rnacentral:lncRNA from 1 species
CACAACAAGAUGGAACAAAUAAAAAGGAAAAAAAAUACAAAGAGUGGAUGGAGAAUAAAACAGAGACAGCGGCACAGCUGGACACAACUAGAUAGAGAACAGAGGAAAACCAAAUAACAAGACUUCAGAUUACAACAAACAGAGGCCAAGUAUUAUUGUUGAGAUCAGAAGAUGGAAAAUUCAAAAGAGUUGAUGGCAGAUGCUGAAUAACAGAACAACAAUGAACGCAAUAAACAGAAGCAAAGUGUGUUUGUGAUCGACAGACGGAAGUAAGGAGAGCGGUUGUUGAUUGAAAAUGAAUGAAUGCAAAGAAAGACUGAUGUUGAAAAUUGAUGUCAAUAGCGAAGGAAUAAUUGAACUUUCGCUGAAUUAUUGUUUGUGGCUUCUUUUACUUUUUAUUUGUGGGUCAUGUCUCUUGGAACUAAUCAUCUUAGGUUAUGCCUUAUAGCUUUAAGGCCGGUAAACCGGUGUCCGUUGGAUUAGCAUAUAGAAAUCCAACAGUGGAUAUAUGUACUUGCAGAAUAAAAUUCAAGAGCAAAGGGAGUGCCGGGCUGCAGUUUCUUAAGGAGAUUUAUAUAUCCUCCUCAAAAAUAAAUGUUUUAAGGUAGAUAUUUAGACUAUUUCAUCAUAAAAUAAAUGUAAUUAAUUUUCAAUAAAUAUCUUAUAUAAAUAUUUAUUUAUUUUUUUAAUUACUAAUGACCUUUGAAUAUACAUAUAUACAUAUUACUAAUUCAAAAAAUAAAUUGUGAUUAUUUGUUAAUGCAUGUGAUUACUUGUGAUGGUAAACAAAGUAGAUAUGGUAUAUUUUGAAGUUAAAUUAAAAAAAAAAAAACAGAGCUUUUACCAUUACUUGCCUUAUCAUCUUUUAAAUUAGAGUUAUUAUUCUUUUAUUUUUCAAGUUGCCAACUCAUCGCAUUCUCUUUUAUUGAAUUUGAAGGUUAAUGAUUAUAAAUUUGUGUAAAAAUUUGAAGUCAAAAUUUUAAAUUAAAAUAAUCUUUAAGUUAUUGAAAAAUAAUAACUUAGUAAAACAAAUAUUAUAUCCUAUACUUUAUUGCUACAAAAUUACGAAACCUUUUAGUUUCAAAAAAAAAAUUUAUGAAACCUUAUAUUAUAUUAUGUUUCCAUAUUUCUCCUUUAUAGUGAAGACUCAUACUUCUCUAAUAAAUGCUAAAGAAUUGGCUUAAUUUUUUUAACCAGCAUGGUAGACCCUUAAGCUAUAUAUACUAUAAUGUCCCUCUUCUCUCACAACAGAUUAAACCAAUCUGAUCUCAGAGUGAGUUGAUACCAUGACUUUGCAUCAUUCGUGAUCAAAGGAGCAUCAUUACUAACUAAUACAUGCUCGAUCAAUAGGCAUGAUAAUAAAUUUUUUAUCUACAAACACUAUUUUUCAAAAUAUUAUAUCUUUAGACUUAACUAAAUAUUUUUUAACUAUGUAGAUAUAGUUUGUUUGAUCUCUUUUAAAUAGUGGAGAUUACAAACAAACAGAUGCGAAUUAGUAGUGAUGUUGAGUUCAGAAGAUUGAAGUUAAGAAAAUUAAGGGUUUCUUGAUCUAGAGAAAUUUCAAAUGAGUGAAGCGUCCUCGAAAUCGGAAGACGAAAAUAAGGAAAGGGUAAGGGUGUAUUUUCGAUGUGAUUCUAUUAGGAGAUCUUUGAAGUAGGGGUGGGCAAAUCGGGUUUCGGUUUGGGUUGUUCAGAUUUCGGUUUCGGUUUCAACCAAUCGAGUUGGAGAAUUGAACCCAAUCAGGUUGAAAACGCCAACCCCAACUGAACCGAACUGAAUUUAGUUCAGGUUCAUAAUUCUGAUCGGACUGGGUUGGUAAUUCAGGUUAAAAUUUCGGUUCGGGUUAAUUCGGGUUAGAAUAAUUCAAUCUAAAAUUUUUGGUUAGUUCGGUUUAAAAUGGGUUGGAACAAUUUAAUCCAAAAAUUCUACCAACAACCACUUAAAAUCCAAAAAUCUCAAUUCCAAACAUCCUUAACAACAAAUAUCAACUACAAACCACCCUUAACAACAUUUCAACAAUAACAAUAACAAUAAUAACAACAAUAACAAUAACAAUAACAAUAAUAACAACAACAACAAUAAUAAUAAUAACAACAACUAUGAAUCAGCAAUUCAGCAUAUUGCCAUAUUCUAAAUUUAAAAAAAAAACACAAAUUAAUUAAUUAACAAUCUCCAAUUUAAUUUAUAAUAACAGUAAAAAUCCUCUCCAAUUUAAUUAAUAAUAGUCUCCAAUUGUUCAAUUACCAGUCAACAGCAACAAACCCUCUCCAAUUUGUCACGAACAGCCUCUAAUUGUUCAAUUAUUAGUCAACAACAAAAAAACUCACUCCAAAUAAUUGAACAAUUGUUAAUUAAUUAAUUAAAAAUAUUGAAUUUAAUUAAUAAAAACACCCAGGAGCAAGUUAGCAAUAUUCCCACUCCAAAAUCCAAAUAUCAGUAUAAACUAAAGGCAUAUUUGGUACAUUGUAUUAUAGAGUAUUAAAAUAAUGUUCACAUUAAAAUAAUAACAAACCUAUGUUUGGAACAAAAUUACAAAGUAUUAGGGUGGGAGGCUAAAAUGCGUGAGUUGACGCAUUAGCUUUGCUUUUUUUUUUUUUUUCAUUUUGCUUUUUUGACUUUUCUGUAUGCUUUAUUAUAUUAUAAUGCUAAAAUAAUAAAUAAAUAUAGUUUUUAAUUUAAUAUAAUAUUUUUAUUUUAUUUGUUUUUACAUUAUAAUUAUUAAUAUAAAUUAAUAAAUAAUUUAUCAUUCAAUAAUAGUAUUUUUUAUUUUUACAUUAUAAUUUAUUAAUAAAUUUAUAAUUUAUUAUAACUAAUAAAAAUAUUUAAAUUUGAAUAAUAUUAAUUUAAAAUUAAUAAUAAUAUAAAUAAUAACAUAAAAUAUUAAUGCAAUUUGAAUAUAUUAAAUCAAUAUAAAACAUUAAUAUAAUAUAAUAUUUAAUUUAAAUUAAUUAAAAAAUAUUACAGUACAAUAUAGCACCAAACAUUGUACAACAUUAUUAUAAUAUAGUGUUAAUACAAUACAGCAUAAUACAAUACACCAAUAUUAAAAUAAUGCAAUACAAUAUAAUAUAAUAUAGUGUGCCAAAUUCUAAAACUAUAUUUGAUUGAUGUAUUAAAGCUCUUCAUUACAUUAAAUUUAUACAGGCCCAUGUUUGAUAGAUAAAAGGCUACAACAACACUAUAUUGUUGGGCCAAGAUAAUGAGGCAACUGCUGCUACCUUUUUUUUUUUUUGUCCUUUAACAUUUUUCACUUUUCACGUGCUUUUGCCUUUUGCUUUGACUUUCCUUUGUUUUAACUUUUGUUUUUGUUUAUUAAUAAAAUAAUAAUAAAUAAAUAUAAUUUUUUUAAUUUAAUAAAAUAUUUUUUACAUUAUAAUUAUUAAUAAAUUUAUAAUUUAUUAUAACUAAUAAUAAAUAUUUAAAUAUGAAUAAAUUUCAAUAAAUAAUAUUUAAAAUUAAUAAUAGUAUAAAUAAUAAUAUAAAAUAUUAAUAAAAUUUAAAUAUAUUAAUAUAAUCUUUUAAUUUAAAUUAAUCACAAAAAAAAUUAAUACAGUAUAAUAUAAUAUCCAACAUUGUAUAGUAUUAUUAUAAUACAGUGUUAAUGCAAUACAUCAUAAUACAAUACACCAACAUUAAAAUAAUGUAAUACAACAUAAUACAAUACAAUAUGCCAAACGCACCCUAAGUGUCAAACCUUGAUCGGUGGGAAGCUACAGCGUCGGCAAAGCGUGACCGUGUGGGACUGAGUGAGACCGUCGAUCGAGGGUGUGAGAAGGGAGAAGAGGGAGCAAGGAGGUGUAACGUGGUGUGUGUGAGUUUAUAUAUAUAUAUAAUUUUUAAAAGCUAAAACUUAAAAAAAAAAAUUUAACCCAAUCCAAACGCCCACCUCAGAUUACUUCCGUGUUAAGAGCUGGAUCCCACACUCUUGAGCCUUUUUCGUCCCAGCAAUUAUAAAAAUAAGGGUCCGCCUAUGUUGCCACUGUUGUACCUAGGGAUGGCAAUUUUCGGGUCCGAGUCCGGGUUUGGCUGUUCCGGAUUCGGACCCAGACACAAAAUUCUCAUAACUGGACCCGCAUUAAACCCGGAUUUUUUUAAUCCGGGUCCGGUCCGGGUUCAACCCGAAAAAAUCCGGGUUUACGGAUUCCGGGUUUUGAACCCAGAUUGCUUUAUUAUUUUUUUUUUUUGAGAGAUCAUAUGGCUUAAUUUAACAGGGCACAAGGGAUGGUGGUUUAAUGUUUUAAUGUUUUCCCCAACAACACAUUACAUAAUUCUUCCUAGAAUUGGUUCAACAAAAUUUGAUGGAUAAAAGGCAAAAAAAGAACAUAUAACACAUCCAAAACCACCAGACUACUAGAACCAAAUUGUUUAACUUUGGUUCAUCAAAAUUUGCUGGACACAGGGCAAAAAAACAGAACAUAUAACACAUCCAGGUUCUAAAACAAAUACAACACAAAUACACAAUAUAAAAUCUAAAAUUCAAAGUUUUAAAGUAAUAAACAUCCACAAAUACAAAUCCAUAACAUAAUUCUACAACUUAAAACUCAAAUUUUCAGCCACUAGUGCUAAAGACUAAACUCUGAAUCAUCCAUUUCAUUAGACUGUUGCUCACUCAUCCAACUUUCAUUAAUCAAAUGCUCUGCAGAAAGUAUUGCUUCCUCUGGAAUUCCAUCUACAAAAAAUGUGUAAAUCAUAAACAUAAUGAACAAGACAACCAAUUAGUGAUAAAUUAUUAAUAAGAACAAUACAACAAAUAAUUUGAUUCUAAUAAAUAAAAUUUUCAUACCUUUUAAGUUUUGUUCAAGCCAAAACUAAUUUUGAGUGCACACCAAUGCCUCUACUGUGGAUGGGUGAAGUCUACUGCGAUGAGGGCUCAAAUGUCUACCUCCAGUGCUAAAAGCGGACUCCGAAGCAACUGUUGAUACAGGAAUGGCCAAAAAGUCCCUUGCAAUCUUUGCAAGUAUAGGAUAUUUGCCUUGAUUAUUCUUCCACCAUGAUAAAAUGUCAAAUUGACUAGUUGAAGGCAAAGUACUCUCCUCAAGAUAAAACUCUAAUUCUGAUUUGGAAUGAGUAUUUUGUGUGUUUUCAUUUCUAAAUAAUGCCCACUCAUCAGCCAUUUCAUCCAAAUCUAAAUCUAACAUAUUAGAGUCCCCUCCUGCAGCAGCUUGAGAAUUGGCACCAUUAACCCCCCACUUGAAUUUGAUAGAUGAUUUACUUCAUACUCAUGUACUAAAUCAACAAAUAGCUUACGCACUCUUUCAACUUCGGAUUCAGCUCUUUCCCCAUAUAUUUUAGGAAAUAAAAAGUUAAUCAGUAACAUUUUACGCCUAAGAUCUAACAUAGUCCCCACUGCAAGAACUCCAUGAAUAACAUCCCAAUACUUUUCAUACUUUGCAAUCAUCCUAGUAGCCAUAUUUUUUAUCCCCUCAAUUGGUGAUUGCAACCAUGCAUUCAUUGACAAUCUAAUUUCACAAAUCUUGGCAAAAAAUAAAUUAGAUGUCAGAUAUCGUGUCCCCGAAAAAAGUUCUGUCAACUUAUAAAAGCUUUUUAGAUACUCACACAUAAGCUUUGACAAAUUCCACUCUGACUCACUAGGUAAAGAUGUAUAAUUUCUCUCACGUUCCUUUAAACGAUCAAAUACAUCUUUAUACAGCAAUGCAGUACUAAGCAUCAAGUAAGUAGAGUUCCAUCUAGUUUUACAAUCAAGUACUAAGUUUUUGGUUUCCUUAAUACCUAAUUGUUUUUUUGCAUUCUCAAAAUUUUCAACUCUAGCUGGUGUUGCUGUCCAAUAAUGAACACUAUCUCUAAUUUUCUCAACUCCCUUUUGUAUCACUGAAAAACCAUCUCUAACUAUCAAGUUCAAUAUAUGAACACAACAACGCAUGUGAAAGAAUUUGCCACCCAUAAUCAUUGAACUAGUAGAAAAUUUCCCCAACAACAAGGCAAUCACAGAAUCAUUUGCAGCACAAUUAUCAGCAGUUACAGAGGACAAUUUUCUAUCUAUAUUCCAAUCUAUCAAACAAUCAUAUAACUCAUUACACAUUACCUCAGCACUAUGUGGAGCUGGCACAUAUAUAAACCUAACAAUGUGAAAAAAUAGUUAAAAUAUUAGACAGGACAUUAAUUUAUGCUUAAACCAAAAAAAAGGUUUCAAGAAUAUUACCUCAUAAUACGACUUCGCAACACCCAUGAGCUAUCAAUGUAAUGUGCCGUAAUAACCAUGUAUCCUUUUUUUUUUUGUUACUAGCAGUCCACAUAUCAGUAGUAAUUGCGAUUAUACUCUCACAAGCUUCCAAAAUACCCAUUGUCUUUUUCUUUUCAACAUCAUAAAUUCUCAAAAUUUCAGCUUUGAUGGUGUUUAUACUAAUAGUCUCAAUAGAAGGUUGGAGUAGCUUCAACAAGUCAUAAAACCCAACAUACUCAACAAAUGCCAAGGGGAGCUCAUGUAGUACAAUCAUUCUAGCUACAAAAAGCUUUACUGUAGUCAUAUCCCAUUUUGAUUCGGAACUAAAAUUACUAAGUGAAGUGCUUCCAUCAACUUUAGAAGAAAAAGAUAGGUGCAUUUGUUGUACAUUCUUAAAUGACCUUCUAGGACAGCGUUUAGCAUGGUUUAUUAAGUGAUUAGUACCCCUCGAAUAAUGUCCUUGCAUAACUAACCCACAGUAAUUGCAAAUUGCCUGAACUUCCUCACCCAACUUAACUUUUUUGAAAUGAUUCCAAGCAUCAGAGACUAUUCUACCACCACCAUCUCAUUUUUGUGAAGUGACAUGAUUAGUAUUACCCCUACGGCCACGGCCACUCCCCUGAACUGCUGCUGUUGAAUUUGGUUAUAAUUCAAUAGCUGUAUCAUUAUUAUUUUCUGAUUCUGUCCUAACUCUCACACAAACACUUUCAUCACUUUUUUCAGAGGCAUCCAAGUCGAUUCUUUGUUCAUUUUCCAUAUCAAUUUUUCACUUUACAAAAAUUAUGUCAAGAUAUAAUUAAUUCCAACAACUUCUUCCAAUUUAUAUGCUAUGUUUAACCGUAAAAGCUAUAAAUAAUAUUUUAGAGAUACCAUUUCUAUUCUUUAACAGCAACAAUAAAAAAUAAUUCAAAAAAUAAACUAUAAAUAAUAAAAUUGAAGCAUAACAAAGUAUAGAUUCUAAAAAUCACAGAGUUUAGCUAUUAAAGUCACAAAGUAUAGAUAUUAAAAUUACAAACAAAGCAAAACAACACAUAGAGCACAGAACACGGUCUAAUUAAAUUGUGAAGACAGUCACAGUGAGUAUCCUAACCGAAUUUCGUUAAUCUAUAUGAAGAGAACAGUUAAUGCCACAAGAUGACUUCUUCUAUCGCUGUUUGGGCCAGCCAAGAACCCACAACCAGUUAAAGCCUUAAGCUGUGCUAGACUGCUAGGUGGCUAAGCAAAAGAACUAGGAUAAAAUAAGGGUCUGCCUAGCGCAAGUCAGCGGUAGAAAUGUUAUUUAUGCAAAUUUCUUAAAUUUGACGUUAUAUCUCCUAAACAAUUCUUAGACCGGGAGUGAAGAUAUUUGCACAUAUUUGCAGAUAUCCUAAAAAUUUCUUACUGCAUUGGCAAAUUAUUCUAAAUUUCUAAUCGAGGAAAAAGAUCAGGAGUGUACAAUACUAACUGGAAAGAGUCAUUAAACUUCAAGCAACUCAAUAUACACAAGUAGUAAAAGCACAGGACAAGGUCGAACCCGAUUUCAGUGAGAGAAAGCAAAAGCAAGCCAAACAAAGUAUUAAUGCUAGUCAGGCUCAGAACUACCAUUCAUGCAGCUAGCCAUAGGCAGCAGCCCUUUGGCUAGUUAUACUUCAAAUUCAAUUCUAAGCUUACUCACUAACCAACUCUUAAUGCACAAAACCAACAAUACGCUUUAGCAGAAAAAAUGGAAACUGUUCUGUUUUAGACAAUAGUUUCUCCUUGUGCUAGAAAAACAAAGAACAAAAAAAGGCAAAUAAUUCAGAAAAACAAAAAGUUUAUAAUUAGCCAAGUGCUCUCAUAUGUCAUAUACAAAGAAAACCAUGUCUGAGGGAAAAUCAUGAAAUACUAGUUAUACAACCCAAGAGGGGGGUGAAUUAGAAUUCUAAAAAAUUAUUCAAUUUUUAAUUUAAAGCUCAAUGUAGAUAUGAAACAAAUUCAAAGCAAUAACAAAUAAGUUAACCACAAUAAAAAGGAUAAAGGAAGAGAGAUUCAAACACUGAGAUUUUUACGUGGUUCAGCCAACCUUGCCUACGUCCACGCCUCCAAGCUUUCCGAGCUUGAGGAUUCCACUAAGCAAGCCUCCAAGGUUUCAAAUGCUUACACUUGACUUCGAAGGUGUCAAUGACCUUUACAACAAGAGAUUAUCCCAAUCUCUUAACCCAAAUGUAUCCCAACACUUACAAUCACUCAAAGAUAAAAUAUUAUAAACUUGUUUUGCCUCUCACAAUAUUUAAGAUUACAAAAUAAUACCCAAUAUGUGAAUAGAUGAAGCAAGAAUGUAUUUAAAGCUUAAUGAAGAUUUUAUUCUCAAGUAUAAGCUCAGUAGUAGUGUUGUGAUCAAUCCUUGUUUAAGUUUGAAUGAGCUCAUUUAUAGCUGCAGCUGAAAACUAGCCGUUAUUGACUUCCUGCACACUGUCGGAUCGCCAUUAGCUAGAUGUCGGAUCGCCGUUUGACUGGUCAAUAUGACCGUUGAGCUGAUUUUUCAAAUUAUCGGAUCGCCGUUAUCUAGAUGUCGGAUCACCGUUUAGGUCUAGAGGCUAACCUUCAGUUCUGUUUGAUCUCAGCGAGCCGUUUAUUAAACUUGUCGGAUCACUGUUUAGGUCCAGAGACUAAUCUUUAUUUCUGUUUGAUAUCGGCGAGCCGUUUAUUAAACUUGUCGAAUCGCCGUUUUCCACAAAAACUGCUGCAGUGAACUAUUUUGCAAGACAACUGUUUUGUUUCUAAAUCUUUAUAAAAAUACUUUAUGAAUCAAUCUUAAUCAUGUUUGUUGAGCUUUUAAAAGAUUAAUCAAUCUUAAUCAUGUUUGUUAUCAUCAAAAUCAAUAGGGAAUUAUUUAUGUUAACAAUCUCCCCCUUUUUUAUGAUGACAAACUUUUCAAGAAAAUACUUGUGUAAUUUUGCUCCCCCUAAGUGAGAUUUUGAAAGACUUGUUAACUUCCCUUAAAUAAGUGUUCAUUUAAUUUUAAUCUCAAACAAAAUUUUAAACAAGACAGACAGAUUGAUUGGAUAAAUAAUUUAUGCCAAUACCAAUUACCAAUUACCAAUUAUCUCCCCUUUCAUCAUAAAAAAAAAAUAAGCUUGAGGAAUGACUUAUGUUUGGAAAAAUUUUGGCAGAAUCUCCCCUGAAAUAUGAGCAUAUCCUCAACAAUACAUAGAGUUAAAAAGAAAAACACUUCUAUAUAAAUAUGCCACCAUAUCAACCAACCUCCAUACCAACAAUUAAACACUUCCAUAAUUAGUAAGACAAACAAUAUAGUACCAAAACCAACUCAACCAGAAAUCAGGUGCACAUGUCCAAUAAAAAAUGUCAUAAAAACAUCAUAAGCAUAAGCAAAAGACAAAUGACAUCAUAAGCAGAAACAAAAGACAUGCAAUGAGAAAUGUCUGUGCGAAGAUCAGAGGAGCAUAAAAACUAAGAUGGGGGCUGUGAAGAGGAGCUGCCGGGGUCAUAACCAAAGUAGCCGAGAAUACGACGCUGGCCCGCAAGUAACUCCAUCUGCUGAUCUGAAAUUUGUUCCCGAAAGGUUGCAAAAUCCGAUUGAAGUUGCUGCUGCUGCUGGGACAGAGCAUCCACUCUGUCGAGAAGCUAUUGAAAGCGAUCCUCAGGAACAGCCGAUGCUGUAGGAGGGACGGCAGUCUUGGCAGGCUCGUCAUCCUGAGAUGAAGCUGCUGCUGGUGCAGUAGGUGCUACUGGUGCUGCUGCUCUGCGAGGGACACGCGGUCUAGCCCCAAGGCGAAAAUCAGGUAACUCAUCCUCGGAGUAGACGUCAUUUAACAUACGAUCAUCCUCUGGUGCAAGCAGUGUGUCUUCGUUCUUAGAGGAUAUGGUCUUUUCUAAUUUCCCACGCUUCUUAAAGAAUCCGAUUGAAGAAAUAAUUUCUCGUCCGAGCUUACGUGUCUCGAGAUAAACAGGCUCGACGAUAGGAACUCGAAAGUGUUUCAAGAUCCUAGUAAUGAUGCUACCAUAAGGAAGGGAUCGGUUGGAGACUUUAGGAGUGGACAACAUAUGACACAGGAUAGUGUAUGAUAAACUCACAUGCCGUCUACGGAUGAGGGAAUCUAAUAGACCAAUAUCAAGUCUAGUUACCUCAUCAGUGUGACCCUGUCUAGGAGUGACCAUGUGUUGGAGAAUGAUAUGAAGUAUUCGAACCUGAAAAAGGAGAAGUUGAGACCUAAAGAACAAAGAACAGAUGUCAUCGAAAAGAUCCCGACAACGACAAAUGUUCCGUACACCAUCCACAUGAUGGAAUUCACUAAAUGAGAUUUCUUUCCUAGCGGUGUACAGAUCUAACCCUCCAUAAGAGAUUCCUAGAAUACUACACAAUUCGGAUUCAUUAAAGGCAAUGCGAAUUCCUCCUACAGAUGUAUAAAGCUCGACACGACGAGUAGAAGAGAAUUCUAUGUUUGAAUAAAAGACACGGACUAGAUUUUCAUAAAUCGGUUCUUCGAUACUUAAUGCUUGCUUCUAAUGACUAAGCAUUUGAGUAAUGGAAUGACCACAAAUAGUAAUAUCCGAAAACUCUGAAAUGUUAAGAGAAAAAGAGGGAGUUACGGGUUUACCCAUGAAUUUUUCACGAAAUUGUUGAGCAGAGGUGUCAUCGGAAAAAUGGAGACUCUCGAAGUCUUGAGGGGGAGACCUGGGGGGACUAGAACGUCGCGGAGCAGUGUGCUUGGUUCGAGCACGCCUUUGUGGUCGUUCCGCCAUGGAUGAGUUGGGAGGAAAAUAGAUUGGUGGAAAUGAAGUUUGAGAGAUGAGACAGUGAUUGUGGGUGGAAAUGUAGUUGGAAAAGGAAGAAAUUUGGGUCAAAUUGAACAAAUGAGGUUCGGCUGGUUCUAAGGUUUCAAGAUGAGAUUUUUCAAAUUUUGAAGAAAAAGAAGGAUUUUAAUCGGUUAAAAAGUGGUAGAGAUGAUAAAGAUGGUUUGUAAUGCUGCAAUUUGGUGAAAAAUGACAAGAAAAAUGAUGGAUUUGAGAGGGGAGAACGGGUGCAGUCGCGGGUUGGAGUGAGAGAGAAAGAGAGAGAGAAAACGAAAUGAGGAGGAAGACGAAGGACUGUUCAAUUAAUGCGUCAUAACGGUGAGCCGUUAUAGAGAAAACGGCGAGCCGACAGAGUCCAGAGAGUUCUCUAAAAAUUUUCAUCAUACCGGCGAGCCGUUUAUAGACAUAACGGCAAGCCGAUAAGGUCCAGAGUGUCCCCUCAAAAUUUUGUAUCAGGACGGCGAACCGAUAGUUAGUUAUCGGCGAACCGAUAGCGUCCAGAAUACUUCCCAUUGUUUCUACCCCAAAACGGUUAGCCGUUUAUUGAAAUAACGGCAAUAUGUUUUCUAUAACUUAUGAUUUCGCACAUUUAUUUUGAUAUUUCGCUACUAUUAAUACAUUUCAAGAUCAUUUUAUUGAUCCAAAAUGAUUUAAGUGCCAGUUCAAUGCAUAAUUCGUGAACAUAUAUAUGUAUUGUAACAAUUAAUUCAUACAUUUUCAAAUAUACAUACACACCACAUGUAUAUUACGAUUGAGCAUUUCAUAGAUAGUAAAGUAUCAAGUCAUAAAUCAAUCAAUGAUAAUAGACUCAAUAGCAUGAAUAAAGAUGUUAAUGUGAAAAUUUCAUCAUCCCAAGUUCAUGUCGAAUUUUUGAAAAUUGUUCUUCGCAAAGAGGUUUUGUAAAAAUAUCGGCAAGUUGUUUUUCCGUAGAAAUAAACUCUAAUGCAAUAUCUCUCUUUUGAACAUGAUCUCUCAAGAAAUGAUGUCUUAUUUCUAUAUGCUUGGUUAGAGAGUGUUGAAUGUGAUUCUUUGAAAGAUUUAUAUCACUAGUAUUAUCACACUUAAUAUGAAUUUAUUCUAGGUUAAUACCAUAGUCUUUAAGUGUUUGUUUCAUCCAAAGAGCUUGUGCACAAUAGCUUCCUGCAGCUAUAUAUUCAGCCUCGGUAGUUGAGAGUGCAACAGAAUUUUGUUUCUUUCUAAACCAUGAAACAAGUGAGUGACCUAGGAUAUGGCAAGUUCCACUAGUGCUUUUUCUAUCAACUUUAUAACCAGCAAAGUCCGCAUCUAAAUAGCAUGUUAAAUCUAUAUGAGUUCCUCUAGGAUACCAAAAGCCAAUAUCUAUGGUUCCACUCAAAUAACGAAAUUUUUUUUUAACAGCAAGCAAAUGAGAUUCUUGGGACAUGAUUGAAAUCUUGCACACAAACAUACACUAAACAUGAUAUCGGGUCUACUUGUAGUCAAAUAAAGUAAAGAUCCGAUCAUACCUCGAUACAUUUUGAUAUCCACUUCUUUGUCCUUUUCAUCUUUGUCGAGCUUGGUUGUUGUACUCAUUGGUGUAUUUUUGGUCUUUGAGUCGUCAAUGCCGAAUCGUUUGAGUAGAUCUCUUACAUACUUGGCUUGAUUUAUGAAUAUUCCUUCCUCAUUUUGUUUUAUUUGCAGCCCAAUGAAGUACUUUAGCUCUCCCAUCAUACUCAUUUCAAAUUCAUUGCUCAUACGAGACGAAAACUCUUUGUACAACAAUUCAUUAGUAGAACAAAAAAUAAUAUCAUCAACAUAAAUUUGAACAACAAGUCUGUCUUUGUUCUUAUGUUUAACAAAGAGAGUGGUAUCCGCUUUACCCAUGGAAAAAUCAUUUUCUAACAGGAAAUUUUUAAGCCUAUCGUACCAUGCUCUAGGUGCUUGUUUUAAUCCAUACAAAGCUUUAAACAACUUAUACACAUGAUUUGGAAAUUUUUCAUUUUCAAAACCAGGGGGUUGUUUUACAUACACUUCUUCCAUAAUAUAACCAUUUAAGAAAGCACUUUUCACAUCCAUUUGAAAUCAAAUGAAAUCUUUAUGACAAGCAAAUGCCAACAACAUUCUAAUUGAUUCUAGUCUAGCUACGGGUGCAAAAGUUUCAUUAAAAUCAAUUCAUUCUUCUUGGUUGUAACCUUGAGCCACUAAUCUAGCUUUAUUUCUUACAACCACACCGGAUUCAUCCAUCUUAUUUCUAAAUACCAUUUAGUACCUAUGACAGAUUGAUGUUCCGGUUUAGGAACUAAUUCUCACACAUUAUUUCUUUCAAAUUGAUUUAACUCCUCUUGUAUUGCCAUAAUCCAAGAUUCAUCAUUUUCCGCAUCCGCAAAGGAUUUGGAUUCAAUUUGAGAGAUAAAUGCAUUAUGCUCACAAGUAUUCUUAAGAGAUGAUAUAGUUGUAACACCUCGUGAGAGAUCUCCUAAAAUUACAUCUUUAUGAUGAGAAGAGACAUACCUCCACUCCUUGGGGAGUGUUUGAGAAAUACCUUCUUGUUGUUCUAGCUCCGUAUUUGUUUGUUCUUCUUGUCUAUCCUCUUGAUUUUCUUGUGGUGCAUUCUCUUGAUUCUCUUUUGAUGAUUCUUUUUGUAACUCUCCAUCAGCAUCAUCAUUAGCAACUCCUUUCUCCGCAGAGGAGGGGUUAGAUUCAUCAAACGUAACAUGUAUGGAUUCUUCCACAACUAAAGUUCUUUUAUUAUAAAUUCUAUAAACUUUGCUUGAGUUUGAAUACCCGAGAAAGAUGCCAACAUCAGAUUUUGGAUCAAAUUUACUAAGAUUAUCUUUUGUGUUUAAAAUAAAACAUUUGCAUCCAAAAACUUUGAAAUAACCAAUGUUGGGUUUUCUAUCUUUCCAAAGCUCAUAGGGAGUUUUAUUGAGAUGAGGUCUAAUCAACACCUGAUUUAAAACAUAGCAAGCGGUGUUGACGGCUUCGGCUAAAAAAUAUUUAGGUAAUGCAUUUUCAUUUAACAUGGUCCUAUCCAUUUCUUGAAUAGACCGAUUCUUUCUCUCAACAACUUCAUUUUGUUGUGGAGUCCUAGGUGAUGAAAAUUGAUGCUCAAUGCCAAGAUUAUUGCAAAAAUUCUCAAAUGUAUAAUUUUCAAAUUCUCCUCCAUGAUCACUCCUAAUUCAUAUAAUACCAUACCCUUUUUUCAUUUUGUAAUUUCUUAUAAAGUACUUUAAAAGCAUCAAGAGCAUCAUCCUUAUUGGAUAAGAAUAGUACCCAUGUAUAUCUAGAAUAAUCAUCCACUAUCACAAAUGCAUAAUAUUUGCCAUUUAGACUAGCAUAUCUAGAUGGCCCAAAUAGAUCUAUGUGAAGGAGUUCAAGUGGUUUUGAAGUAGAAAUAUGGUUUUUAUUUUUGAAAGAAGUUUUGAUUUGUUUUCCAAAUUGACAAGCUUCACAAAUCUUAUCCUUUUGAAAAAUAAUUUUCGGAAGACCUUUAACUAAAUCAUUUUUCGAAAUUUUUGAAAUCAAAUCCAUACUUGCAUGUCCUAACCUUCUAUGCCAUAGCCAACUAUCAUCAUGUAAUGCGGAAAAACAUUUAUCAAUAGUAGAUGCACAUUCUAUGUCAACGAUAUAAACAUUACCACAUCUAUUACCAAUAAAAAAAAUUUUGCCAUCACAUGAGUUCUCAAUAACACAACUAAAUUUAUCAAAGAUAAUUUUAUAACCUUUGUCACAUAAUUGACUAAUGCUAAUUAAGUUGUGUUUCAAGUUCUCAACCAAACAUACAUUCUCAAUUAGAGUUGAAGAGACUUUACCAACAUUUCCAAUUCCAAGAAUUUUUCAUUUUGAGUUGUCUCCAAAUGAUACGUCUCCACCAUCUUCAAUUUUGGUGAAGCUUGAGAACCAUGCAUAGUUUCCGGUCAUGUGCCUUGAACAACCGCUGUCCAAAUACCAUUUAUUUUUCUUCUUCUUUAAGCCCUACAAAGAAAAUCUUAAGUUUUAGGUACCCAAAACUUUUUGGGUCCUUGAGAGUUAGCAACGGUUCCUUUUGGAACCCAAAUACAUUUGACACCAUAAUAUGCAUUCCUUUUCACGGGAUAUCUAUAUUUCAUGUGACCAUUUUGAUUACAAUAAUGACAGACAAUCUUAUGAUCACUUAUGGAGGUAGCUUUAACAAAAUAAUUCUUAUAAUACUUUUGCUUCAAGUUAGGCUUAUAUCCAAGUCCUCCUUUAUCAAAAACACAUUUUUGUGAGUUAAGCAUAUUAUCCAACAUCUUUUGCCCAUUUGUAAAUUUCAAAACAAUUUUAUUCAACUCAUUGCUCUUUUUCUUGAGCAUUUCGUUUUCAUUUUUCAAAUCAUCUAUGUGUGAUUCUAAAUGCUCAUGUAAGAUACUAGGUUUCUCAUUUGAUAAUACAAUUUCAUUAUGCAAUGUUUUGUUCUCUACUUCUAGGCAUGCAAUUUUUGCAUUUAAAGAUUCAUUUUCAUUUUUAACUUUUGCCAUUUCCUUUUUAAGACAUACAUUCUUUUUACCAAUCUUCAUCAACUCAUUAUGCAAUUCUUUAAAAGCAUCAUACAAUUCAUCAUAGGUGGGAUCACUUACCUCAUUGAGAUUAUCAUCCUCUCCUAUUGCCAUAAGCGCUAGGUUUGAUACUUCUUGCAAUCCUUCGUCAUCACUUGAAUCUUCCUCGCUGUCAUCAUACGUUGCAACCAUGGCUUUCUUCUUGAGUUUGUUGAUAAGUGGGCACUCCGAUCUUAUAUGGCCAGACUUCUUGCACUCAUAGCAUGUGAUCAUCUCUUUCUUCUCCCUUUGGUUCUUGAAGUUUCUGAAUUUUCUUCGCUCUCCAGUUUUCUUAAAAAACUUUCUGAAUCUCCUUGCUAGCAUGACUAACUCUUCAUCAUCCGGUUCACUACCUCCAUCACUCUCAUAUUUUGAAGUUUUGAGAGCAAUGCUUUUCUUCUUCUCCUCAUCACAUUUUUCUGCUGCCAAGUCUUCUUCAUAUGAAAUAAGAGAACCAAUUAAAUCAUCAAGAGGUAAAGUAUUUAAAUUUUUGGCCUCUUCAAUGGCAGUUCUUUUAGGUCUCCAUUCUUUUGGAAGUGACCUAAUGAUUUUCUUAACUUUCUCAUUAUUUUAGAAGGUCUUCCCUGAGGCACCUAGAGUGUUCACUAUGUCCGUGAAUCUAGUAUACAUAUAAUACACAUUUUCAUUUUGUUCCAUUUGGAACAACUCAUAUUGACGAGUGUAUCUACUAAUUUUAGACUCUUUAACUUGAUUUGUCCCUUCAUAAACAACUUCAAGUUUAUUCCAUAUUUCUUGUGCACUUUCACAACUAGAUACUCUAUGGAAUUCUUUCUUAUCAAGGGCACAAAAUAAAGCAUUCAAAGCCUUGGAGUUUAGAGACAUUUUUCUCUUUUCUAACUCACUCCAUUGACUUGAUGGUUUAUGAAUAUCAUCUCCUACUUCAUCUUUAAACAUAGGCAUGAAUGGACCAUCAUAAACAACUUCCUAAAAUUCAUAAUCUAAGGCUUGCAAAUAGAUUCUCAUCCUAGUUUUCCAAUAAGCAUAGUCAUUACCAUCAAAGAACGGUGGUCUAGUUGUAGAUUGCCCUUCUCUAAAGGUUGAGUCAUUUAGGGUUGCCAUGGAUCUUUUGCUCUAGACGAUUAAGUCCUAACAAGAGAACAAGGCUCUGAUACCAAAUGAAAUACUAGUUAUGCAACCCAAGAGGGGGGUGAAUUGGAAUUCUAAAAAAUUAUUCAAUUUUUAAUUUAAAGCUUAAUGUAGAUAUGAAACAAAUUCAAAGCAAUAACAAAUAAGUUAACCACAAUAAAAAGGAUAAAGGAAGAGAGAUUCAAACACUGAGAUUUUUACGCGGUUCGGCCAACCUUGCCUACGUCCACGCCUCCAAGCUUUCCGAGCUUGAGGAUUCCACUAAGCAAGCCUCCAAGGCUUCAAAUGCUUACACUUGACUUCGAAGGUGUCAAUGACCUUUACAACAAGAGAUUAUCCCAAUCUCUUAACCCAAGUGUAUCCCAACACUUACAAUCACUCAAAGAUAAAAGAUUAAAAACUUGUUUUGCCUCUCACAAUAUUUAAGAUGACAAAAUAAUACCCAAUAUGUGAAUAGAUGAAGUAAGAAUGUAUUUAAAGCUUAAUGAAGAUUGUAUUAUCAAGUAUAAGCUCAGUAGUCGUGUUGUGAUUAAUCCUUGUUUAAGUUUGAAUGAGCUCAUUUAUAGCUGCAGCUGAAAACUAGCCAUUAUUGACUUUCUGCACACUGUCGGAUCGCCGUUAGCUAGAUGUCAGAUCGUCGUUUGACUGGUUAAUAUGACCGUUGGGCUAAUUUUUCAAAUUGUCGGAUUACCGUUAUCUAGAUGUCGGAUCACCGUUUAGGUCCAGAGGCUAACCUUCAGUUCUGUUUGAUCUCGGCGAGCCGUUUAUUAAACUUGUCGGAUCACCGUUUAGGUCCAGAGGCUAACCUUUAAUUCUGAUUGAUCUCGGCGAGCCGUUUAUCAAAAUUUUUGGUUCGCCGUUUAGGUCCAGAGACUAAUCUUUAUUUCUGUUUGGUAUCGGUGAGCCGUUUAUUAAACUUGUCGGAUCGCCGUUUUCCACAAAAACUGCUGCAUUGAACUAUUUUGCAAGACAAUUGUUUUGUAUGUAAAUCUUUAUAAAAAUACUUUAUGAAACUUGUCAAAAUAGAUGAAAAUUAUGUUGAGCUUUUAAAAGAUUAAUCAAUCUUAAUCAUGUUUGUUAUCAUCAAAAUCAAUAAGGAAUUAUUUAUGUUAACAAAUCACAUUGUGCCAGAAGCAAUACAAGCUCAAAGCAUAACAGCACGAAAAUUGCAAAGAGGGAAAAUCAAAGUGUAAUAGAGCAUAAAUUGUAAAGAGAAAAGCCGAGACUCACAAAUAUUCACAGUGGCAGCUGAAGUAUAUGCUGAUGAACACAGAACACAGCCGCGACGGAGUGAGAGAUCAGACGAGUGAUGCUGAUGAGUGAUGAAACGAACAAAGCCUCACCGUGAAGGUGAUGACAAGCCACGCCGCAAAGGAUCUGAUCUGAUCUGAAGAAGAGAUUACAUGAGAGUUGCAGAGAGAGUGAGAGAGAUUAAGUGACGAUGGAGGACUGAGGAAUGAGUCACGGCUCACGGGUGAGAGAGAUUGAGAGAGGAACAAAUUACGGAUGAGACUUGAGAGAUUGAGAGGAGAAAUUACAGAUUUACAGUAAUUGUUUUUAAGUUAAAAGAGAAAUUUCGAGAGAGGAUCAGAGGAACGAGAGAGAUCUAUGGUUCACUUUUGUUUUUUUUUUAAUUUUUCUAUUUAUAUUUACGGAUUUACGGAUCAAAAUUAAUAUUAAAAUAAAUAAUAUUCGAGUCUGGGUUCCGAAUUUGGGGGUUCACCUGAAGCUAGAUCCGGACCCGAAAAAUGCGGGUUGUCAAAAACUGAUCCGGAUUCGGAUAAAAACUAUUUCGGUGCGGGUCGAACCUGGACCAGAAUUUUUGGAUUCAAUCCGAGUCCGAUCCGGGUUCGGGUUUGGUUGCCAUCCCUAGUUGUACCUUACCACAACCCUUGUCUUUUAUCAAAUAGUUAAUGUAAAAUUUCAUUGAACCCUUUAUACUUUAUUUUAUUUAUAAUUAUUUUGUAAGUAUUGAAAAGAAAAAAUUAUCCUCAAAUUUUAUCUUCAAUAUAUUUUUUUCCCGUUUCUUCUUCUGCUCUCUCACUUUCUCUCUGUAAUGGGUUUAAUGAUGGCUUCAAUAUUGGUCAAGAUUGCUGACCGAUUUGUGGAUAAUUAGUUGUAGGUCAUUGAUUGUUUGUGUGAUGGUUCUCGUGGUGGAAAAUAUAGGCAUCAAAACAAAAUCCUCAAUUUGAUCUGAGAAGCCGAAGUGAGAGUGAGAGAAAGCGAAAUGGCGAUGGCAAGGUGAGCUCAAGCCUUGCUUAUCCAGAGUGAUUAUGUGUUGCAGCUUCAAAUUGUGGCUUCGAUGGAUCUCCGAUUUCCUCUGUCUGUCAUGGUGGGGUUGUGGUGCAGCUGACGUGAUGUUGUUUCGAGAGAGGAAAGAUAAGGCUGACAUGGGUCAAAGUUGUCGGUCGUGGUGCGACUGUGCUAUCUUGCCGACGUGGAGCAGUGUGGUGGCAACCGGUAACAGGUAGCUUCACAAUAUGGGUAUUUGGGUUGAGAGCAGACUGGAGAGAUGAAGCCAUAAUGGUUUCUUUUGAAUUUGAUUUUGGAUUGAUUUUGUUUGGAUGUCACGUGUGUGGGUAUUUGGGUUAUUUUCAUUUAGUGUUGGUUUUUUUUUAAUUAUAAGUUAUGAAUAGAUCGAUUUUGUAAUUAACCACUAGAAUCCCUACUCGUAUUGUUGAAAAUUUUGUUGAUGAUGAGUUUUUUUUUUUAAACCAACAAAUACUUCAAUUCCAUUCAAGAUGGAAACUCUACUCAGUAUCAGUAACUGGGCACAAAAUGGAAAAUCUCAAAAAAAAGGGAUAAGAUUUUAAUAUUCCACAAGCUAAAACAAAGGUACCAAAAUCAGUUGCAUAUCUUCUUUCAAAUCAUUAAUGACCCAAUUCCCAGGUAAUUCAGAGGUAGAAUAUCUACUUGCUGCGCUUGGCUGCACGCUUCCCUUGGCCUUUCUCGGGAGGUCCCUUUCCACAACGUUUCAACAUUUCAAGCUUGGGUAAGCGCUCUUGUUCUUGGCGGGCCAUGACGAGAACUUACCAUCAAUGAGCUUCUUCCACAAAAUCUUGUUGGGUGAUCUCUGGCCAGUGGGAUUAAGUACAUACCCAAAUAUCUUAGCCCUCACCUCAGUUAGCCUUGUGGUCACUAUUGUGGCCAAAAUGUUCUUAAGCCUCUCUCAUGUAGCCAUCAUCACUCGCAACUCUACCUGAUUAGCUCUGUUGAUAAUGAGUUAACUUUGUCAAUGAUCAGUGAUGAGAGAUGAGUUAAUCUUAAUUUCUACAAAAUUUUUUAAUGCUAAUCUAAGGAUAUUUUUGUCUUUUCAUUAAUAUUAAUGUGUUAUGAUUAUUAAUGUAGCGUGGUUGAAAAUAAAAACUCAUUUAAUACUUAUAAAUAAAUAAAUAAAUAAAGUGUAAGGUGAUAAAUUAAAUUUUGAUAAUGUAGGUAAGUAUAAAGUAUUAUAAUAUUUUAUGAUAAAUUAUAAAUAAAAUAGAGUGUAAGGGAUUCAAUGAAAUUUUACAUUAAUUAAUUCACAAAAGACAAAGACUGUGGUAAGGUACAACCGUGGCAACAUAGGCAGACCCUAAAAACAAAUCAUUAUUUUUUUUUUUGAAAGGAAACUUCCAUUAAAUCGAAGAGGAAAAUAGAUACAUCAAUUGUGAAGGGUAAGAACCCAUCCAAACAACAUUUUCACAUUUCUCUAAUGCUAACUUAGCUAGAAAGUGGGCAAUGACAUUACGAGAUCUAUGAGUAUAAUUAAUGCUAACUAGCUCAAAGUUCCUCAUUAAGUUUUGAAUCUCCGAAAUUAUCCAAAAGAUCUCAGACUUGCCGCCUUGCUUGUUGUUAACUAACUUGACUACGCUUUGAGCGUCUGAUUCAACAAUUAAAGCCUUUGCACUUGCAUUCCUAGCAAUCUGUAAUCCCCAUUCCAAGGCUUCUGCUUCAGCAAAGGAAACAUCUCCAUAAAAUUUCGAAAUCUUGAUUGCAGCUGCUAUGACAUUCCCCCGAUCAUCUCGGAUUAUAGCUCCCAGCCCUGCAAGAUGCUUUUCUGAGCUUGUAGCAGCAUCCACAUUGACUUUAACAGAUCCACUUUGGGGGGGAUUCCAAAUCUGCUGAGUCUGCACCUGCUGACUUUCCUUUCGAGCUUGCUCUGGUUUUUGAACUCUUUUGUAAGCCUCCAUUACUGCUUCAGCUUUAGCAACCAGAGUCUAGGGGUUCUCUCUUUUUCCUUUAAAAAGCAUCUCAUUUCUUGCAUUCCACACCAUCCAACAAAUCAUAACCAUUAGUUCUAAAUCAGCUUUGUUUCUUCUGCUGUACAUUUCAUGCAGCAAACUCAAAAAAUCCUGCCCAGCAGUUUGCAUGAUGUCAUUCUCUAAUAGAGUGAGUCUCCAUAUUUUCCUUGCAGCUUUACACUCUACCAAUGCAUGAAACACAUUCUCCACUCCGAGCUUGCAUACUUGGCAGGUAGGCUCUUGGAUAACUUUUCUCUUCCAUAAAUUUUCAGCAGAUGAGAGAAUAUUCUUGGCUGCCCUCCAAGCAAAAAUUCUGAUUUUCUCAGGUAAAGCAAGAGUCCAUAUGAUAUUCCAUUGAUUUUUUCCUGACAUUGAACUUGAAGGCAUGGCUGGAAGUUUAAGACUAAGGGCUGUUUGAUUGCCACUCUUGACCGAGUAGAGACCUUUCUUGUCAUAAUGACAGGUGAUUGUAUCUUCUUUUGGGCUUCAAGGCAAAGGGAUUUCAAUAAUUUUAUCAGCAUCCAUUCUAUUGAAAUGCCUGUAUAUCAGGCUCUCAUUCCACUGGUUUUCUUCAUUUAUCAGCUCAGCAACCAAUGUAUCUUCUGGCAAAGAUGGCCUAACUAUUGGCUUGAAGGUUGACAGCUUCAGGAUCCAGUUAUCUUUGUGAAUUUGGAUUUUUUGGCCAUCUCCAAUUCUCCACCUUGCACCAGAACUGAGAUUCUGUCUUCCUCAUAGGAUGCUUCUCCAUACAAAUGAUAGUGUGGACCCGAGCUUAGCCUUCAUGAAGUCUUUAUUUUGGAAAUACCUAGCUUGUAGAACCUUUGCCACUAAUGAAUCCGAGAAUUGUAAUAUCAUCCACCCUUGCUUAGCCACUAGAGCUUGGUUGAAACUUGAAAAGUCUCGGAAACCCAUGCCUCUUUUACAUUUGGCCUGACUCAGCUUCUCCCACUUCGACCAGUGGAUGCUUCUUUUGUCGCUCUUUGAUCCCCACUAAAAGUCAGCCACAGUUUUUUGGAUAUCAUUGCAAACACUCAUUGGGAUCUUGAAUACACUCAUGGCAUAGGCUGGAAUGGCUUGCGCUGCAGCUUUGAUUAAAACGUCUUUGCCCCCACAUGAGAAGAAUUUGUGCUGCCAGCUGGAGAUUUUGUUAAAGACUUUCAGUUUGAUGUCAUUAAAGAAGUUGCUCAUUUUUCUUCCUAUCAUAGCUGGUAAGUCUAGAUACUUCUCGUGCCUUGAGCCAAUAUUAAGCUGAAAAAUCUGUCCAAUUACAGUGGCUCGAUCAUGCUGGACAUUGCCACUCAGGAACAGAGAUGAUUUCUCAAAAUUAAAAAUUUGCCCGAAAGCUGCUGAGUAGCAAUCAAGUAUCUUUUUCAGGUUCCCACAAUCGGCCAUUGAAGCUCGGCUAAAUAUAAGGCUAUCAUCAACGAACAAGAGGUGGGAAAUGUUCAACUCCUUUCUAAAAGACAGCCCAUGGAUGAGUUUCUGUUGUUCGGCCUGCAGCAACAAAGAGGAAAAGACCUCUGCACAAGUAAUAAACAAGUAAGGGGACAGGGGGCACCCUUGCCGUAAACCUCUCUGGGGCUUUAUUAAUCCUCUGACCGAGCCAUUUAUAAUCAAAGAGAAAGAAACAUAGCUUAUACACUUCAUGACCAAGCAAAUCCAGUUUUGAGAAAACCUCAUACAUUUCAUAGUUUGCUCAAUAAAACUCCAUUCCAAUCUGUCGUAAGCCUUACUAACAUCAAGUUUCAAUGCCACUAACCCAUUUUUUCUCCCUUUGCAGUGCCUUAUUUUAUGUAAACAUUCAUAUCCUACAAUAACAUUGUCGGUUAUCAAUCUAUCAGGUAUAAAAGCACUUUGAAUUGGAGAGAUGAUUUGGUGCAGAAUUUGUUUGAAUCUGUUGGCAACUGACUUAGCCAUUAUCCUAUAGAUAACAUUGCAAAGGCUGAUAAGCCUAAAGUCUGUAACUUUUCUAGGUUUCCCCUUCUUAGGAAUCAUGGCUAUGUAAUUAUAAUUAAGGGGGGCUAGAGUACCUUGAUUGUUUAAGAUGUGAAGACAGGUAGUAAGAACUCCCUCUUUGACCUCAUUCCAGUGCUUUUGGUAAAAAGCUGUUGGUAGCCCAUCGGGCCCCGGUGCCUUGGUUGGGCACAUUUGAUUUAAGGCUUCAGUCACUUCCUCCGCUUUAAAAGGUUUCUCUAACGACUCAUUCAUGUCCUCGGAUACUCUCGGGGUGAUACCUUUUAGCGCUGCUUUCAUCUGGUUUUGACUUGGCUUGGUUGUUGUAAAUAGCUUUGUGAAAUAGUUGCAGAAUUCAGCCUCCACAUCUCUGGCUUUCUUUAACCAAUCCCCUGAGCUAUUUUCAAUCCCCCAAAUUCUGUUCUUUUUCUUUCUAUUCGACACUUUAUGAUGGAAGAACUUUGUGUUCUUGUCCCCUUCCUUGAGCCAAUCUGCUCUUGAGCGUUGCUUCUAGUAAAUCUCCUCAUCAAUGAUGAUAUUUAUAAUCUGAUUUUCCACCAUUUUAAUCUUUUCUCCAGAUUCGUACUGCACCCCUCUCUGCUUCCAUCCUUGAAGCUGCUUUUGUAACUGCUCUAGCUGUUUUUCCCUUCCUUUGAAUUCCCUCUUGCUCUAGUUUAGAAGUCUAGCCAUUGAUUCUUUAGCAAUCUUUCGAAACAAAUAAACUGGAUUGCCACUCUGCCAAUUGCUAUUCAAGCUCCAUUCCUCGUUAACUAUCUCCUUACAAGCCUCAUACGGACUCCACAUAUCCUCAUAAUGAAUUCGUGAGGAUUGUCUCCUACUCGCAGCCAUUUCCUCUCCCCUCUCUUGAACCAUCAUCAGCACUGGACAAUGGUCUGAGGUCCAUGUGUUCAGGUUGAUUACUGCAUCAUUGACAAAAAUAUCACACCAGGCUCUGUUGCAAACAAAACGGUCCAACCUUUCCUCUAUAAAUCUCUGUCCAAACCUCCCAUUACUCCAAGUAAAAGGGUAACCCUUAUACCCUACAUAUGCUAAUUCACAAUCUCUCAAAGCCUGCCUGAAGCUAUUAAUUAAGUUGACAUUUCUCUCAUUGCCUCCGCUCUUCUCAUGAGGAUGCAGAAUUUCAUUGAAGUCUUCGAAACAUAACCAAGGACUAGGAGACAAACCUACCAACCUUCUCAAAAGUGACCAUGUAUGUUGUUUCUGCCCCAUUUCCGGAUGCCCGUACACCCCUGUGCAUCACAUUUGCCUCCCAUUGGCCAUCUGAACUUCAGCAUCUAUGUGAUGCUUGCUGAACGAUUUAAUUUGUACACAAGUUUCUUCAUUCAAAGCAAAGAUAAACCCCCUCCCCUUCCACUACAGCUCACGGCAAAACAAUUAUCAAAUUUUAACUUUUUUCCAGUCACAUUCAUUUGCGUGGUUGACAGCUUGGUUUCACACAAAAAUACCAGUUGAUGACCAUGCAUAUGGAGGAUUUGUUUAAGUACUAGAAACGCUCGGGGAUUCCCCAAACCCCAAACGUUCCAUGAGAUGAUCUUCAUGGCUUUCGGCGGGGCUGGCUUCCAGCCUCCGCCGAUAUCUCUGCUAUGGUUGAAUCCAUGUCCACCAUAUUUUCCAACAUCAAUGGUUCCCAGCUCAAUUUAACUUUUGCCGCUGGAGAAUGGUGCCCCUGCUUCUUUGUUUCUGAUUUAAUUGGACUAGAGAGCUUUGCUUUCUUUUUCGGGCUUUGUCCCAUUGCCUCUCUACUUGUUCGUUUAUGAGCUCCCAGCCCCAUUUUGGAUUCUCUUCCAUUUGGCUCUCUAGCUCGUCUCUUCCAUUUUCUUUUUGUGGGCCUUGCUUGAGUAAUUUCCGGCCCAUUAUCUAUUUUAGCUUCCUCCAUUUCUUUCAAAUUUGUCUUGAACUUUUCCCUCUCUUUCUCCAUCCCAUCUCCUGCCAAUAUUCCCCCUUCUCUAGGAAUUAUUUCAUUGCUGAUAUUCCCACCUUGCUUUUUGCCGCCCAUUUGCUUUUCUUUCAUCGAUUCUACCACUCCUUUCAUUAAAUUCUGCUCACCUACUCCUUCCACCUCAUCAAUCUUGGUAGUCUCCAUGGUUUGACCCGUUUUUUCGCUUAUGGGUUCUGACCCACUUGUUCUAAUCGGGUUGUCCUGGCUUUGUUGUUGUUGUUGCCGGUGGAUUCUGUUAUGCUCUGAACUUUCUUAUUUUUCUUUUGAUCUACUCCCUUCAUAAUUCCAUCUCUCAUUGUUGCGAUUCUUCCUUGAACGACCUCCUACGAUAAUUGCUUUCAUCCACCCACCGUAUGGUAGUUGCUCUUUUUGCUGUCCCUGAAAUUUGGCACACUCUUUGUAUUGAUGCCCAAUGAUGCCACAACAAUAACAGAAAUCUAGUAGUCGCUCAUAGACCACUAGCAUUGGAAUGUCUGAUUCACCUUCUUGUUUAAGGAAGAGUAUUUUCUUCAACGGCAGUGUUAUAUUGAUUAAUACCCUUAUUCUCGCAAAUUCGCCAAGGCAUUCUCCAUUUUCAUCUGUCUCAAUCUCCUCCACUGCCCUAAUCAUUCCUCCCAAUUCUUGGAGCAAUUCUUUCUCCAUGCAUACAAUCGGGACGUUGCGAAUCUGUAUCCAAAAGGUUGUGUGGAUAAAGUAUUGCUUUGUCAGCUCCCCUAUUCCUUUUGGUUCAGUAAGAACAAUUAAUGCUCUAUCAAAAUGCCAAGGACCUCCUGUUAAUACUCUUUUUUUAUCCGCUUCUUCUGUAAAUUUAAACAUAAAGCAAUUGUUCCCUAAGCUUUCAAUUUUAACCUCUUUUACAGUUCGCCACACUUGCUGCAAUGCACUCUUAAAUCCCUCCUUGUUGACUGCUCUUGUGAGGAGGACUUUGCCCACUAAGCAUCUUGCCAACAUUUUCCCCCUUGUGGCUUUCAUGUUCACCUCUAGUGACAUAUUGGUUUUGUCUUCCUCUCUUAUAGUUAUUGCGUUGCAUUUACGGAUUAGCUCGUCUGUAUCCAUGGCACCACAGGCUACAUGAUAUGGAUACAAUAGUGCCCCAUGUAUGACCCCUUGCCUUCUCUGCUCUCCCCAACUCUGAUUAGUAUAAUACUCAAACAAUCACCGAGAAUAAGGAAACGCUAAAGCUAAAAGAAAAACUUAACCCUGAAAGCACUCACUUCGGAGUGACCAUUGAGUCAUUAAGACCCUUUAAAGCUUCCAUUCCAGCUUCUCUGUCAUAGAGAGAGCGUUUGAAAGAAUAUUGUGCAAUUUAGUAACAAAAACAAAUCAUUAUUGAGUGUGAACAGACUUAUUGAUCACCCAAUUUUCAAACUUGUCAUCCUUAUUGAAUAUGCAUUCCCUUUUAAAAAAUUUUAAAAAAGGUACAAAUAAUGAAACAAAGUUUUGUUCCUUCAACAGUUGAUAGAGUUACGCAGCUUCAACUUGCAAGUGCUGUCGGCAUUUUCAAACUUGUAAGACCCUUCAACUUGCUUUCCUAGAUAGCUAUAAUUAAUAAUGACAACAGUCUCCCUUAUAGUGGCUAGUGAGCAACUUGUUUCGUGAAAUUAACGGUAUCUUCUCUCACAUUUUUUAAAAAAUUGAAUUAUAUAACCCACCAAAACUAUAAAGAAUUGUUAGUUUUUCUUCAUUAAAAUUAAUAUAUUGCUCCUCAUAUUGCAAAAUCAAAAUUCAGAAUAAGAAUGAUUGAUACUGUUUAUUUAUUAAAAUGAAAAUAAAAUAUAUGAAGCCUACAUAUUUUUGAAAUUAGAAAACAAGAACUUUAUUUUCCAUGGGGAGUGUUGGGAAUCAAGUUCUCAUUAUUUAAACUCUCAAUUGUACCUCACCGAAAUUUCAUAAUUUCACUUUUGUUCGCAAUUAAAAUAUUAUUAUAGUUAUUAUUCUUAUUUUUAUAGUUGUUGUUGUUGAUGAUGAUGAUGAUGAUGAUGAUGAUACAAGAUAAUAAAAUUAAUGAUAAUUAAACCAAUUUGAAUUUAGAGUGAGUGAGUACUAGGGGUGUUCAGAAUCCAAUCCGAUUCGCUCAAUCCGUCCGAUCUGCUCAAUCUGAUUCGUAUAAAUCCAAUCCGUGGAUUGGUGGAUUGGAUAUGGAUUGAAAAUUUAAAAAUCCGCAGUCGAUGGAUUGGAUAUGGAUUUACUUAUGUAAAUCCGCAGAAACCGUGAAUCCGCAAAAUAUAUAUAUAUAUAUAUAUAAUUAAAAAAUUAUUAUAAAUUUAAUUUUAAAAAAAUUAUAAAUGUGACAUUACAUAGUUACAUAAGCACUAUAACAUAUCUUAGCCAUUACUCAAUAAUAAUAUAAAAUGAAAAAUAAUUAAAUAAUCAAAUAUACAAAUAUAACUUGUAAAAAUUAUAAAACAAAAUAAAAGUAAAGUCACACGCACUAGCAAAAGCAAAGUAACAUAACGCCAAGUCACCAACAAUUUACAAAGUCACUCAAAAGCAAAGUAACAUGACGUUAAGUCACCAAUAAUUUGCAAACAAAAAACCCUAAGCUUCCCCGCCGUCACACACACUAGCAACACUCAAUACUGGUUGGAUACACUCUCGACACGGAUUUGAAGGACAUCGGCCGCGCGAUUCCGGCGAGAGCAAUCCAAUUUCUUUCCCAAGUCCAUUGAGCCACUUCACAUUCACUGGUUCCAGCUGAAUAAUUUCACUAUCACAACCUUCAAGAUCGCCACCCGUACAGCUUCUCCUGGUUCCCAUCGUGGACGGCUCCGUAAUCACCACUUUUCGACAGGCGCAACAGCCCUGGUGAAGGAUCAGACUGUGUUUGGUUUCCGAAACUUCACCAUUUCAAUUAAUUGUGGCUCUAUUUGAACAAUUAAUUUCGGUGUUAUAUUAACGUAUUAUUGUAACUUUAUUUGAACAAUUAAAUUUGGUGUGUUAUAUUUUGAAACUUUGAACGUAUUAUUAUAGCUUUAUUUGAAUAAUUAGUCUCGAUGUGUUAUAUUUUCAAACUUUAAAUGUAUUAUUUUAGCUUUAUUUAAAUAAUUUAUUUAUUUAAAUUUUAUUCAAUUUUAAAUUUAAUUGGUAGCAAAAUUAUUUUUAUAUUAUAUAUUUUUUUAUUUCAUUAGUUGGAGAGAACUAAAAAUUUUUAAUUCGAAAACUAAUGCGCAAAAUGGUGGAUUGGAUAUGGAUUUAGUCAAAUCCGCAUUCGAUCCGCAGACGUAUGGAUUGGAUAUGGAUUAAGUCAAAUCCGCAUCCGAUCCGCAGAUGUAUGGAUUGGAUUUGGAUUGAAUUUUAUCAAUCUGUGGAUUGGAUUGGAUUGGAUUGGAUUGAAAAAUUAUAAUCCGCAAAAUCAUGGAUCGGAUAUGGAUUGAUGUCCAAUCCGUUAAAUCCGAUCCGCGAACACCCCUAGUGAGUACCAUGAGUUCGCAUCAUUUGAUAUCAAAUGAGCAUCAUUACUAACUAAUAUAGGUUCGAUCGAAUUCAUCAUACGAAGUAUAUUAUCGGCUGUAGGUAUGGAAAUAAUUUUGUAUCCACAAACACUAUUUUUCAAAAUAUUUUAAGACUUAACUUAGCAUUUUUUAACCAUACAUGUAUAGGUUGUUUGACCUAUUUUAAAUAAUGGAGAUUACAACAAAUGAACAGAUGUGGAUUAGUAGUGUUGUUGAGUUCAAAAGAUUGAAGUUAAGAAAAGGGUUUCUUGAUCCAGAGAAAAUUCAAAAGAGCGAAGUGUCUUCGAGAUCAGAAGACGAAAUAAGGAAAGGGUAAGGUUUAUACUUUCAAAAUGAAUAUGUUGACAGAUCUUUGAAGAUUAUUUUCAUUAACAGUUGGAUCCCACACUUGAGUCUUUGUAGUCUCAGUCAGUCAGCUAUAAAGAUAAAUUAAUUUUGAGCGUGAAAGGGCUCAAUUGAUCACCAAAUUUUCGAACUUAUGAUCCUUAUUGAAUCUGCAUUCCCAUUUGAAAAACAAAAAAAAGAUUAACAUUAAUUUAACUUCAUCUAGAUUCCCAUUUGAAUCUGCAUUCUCAUUCCGUUCUUUGGGAAUGCGCAUAAUCAAACAAAAUCAUGUCCGCAUUUUCAAACUUGUGACCCUUCAAGCUUUCUAUAACAGCUAUAAUGAAUAAUUACAACAGUGCUACGUAAUAGUGAGCAACUUGUUUGAUGAAAUUAACAGCUUCUGUUCUCUCAUGUAUUUUUAAAAAAUUGAAUUAUCAAAGUUUUUAUUUCAAAAUUAGUGCUAUAGUUCAUUAACUUUUCAAAUUUUCUUUUUUCUUUCCACACAACAAAUUGAUUUUCCCUCCAAAAAAUGUAUUAAAUUGUUUAAUAUUGUAACUUCAAAAACUUAUAAUGAAUUUUUAAAGAGAUAAAUAGAGAAUGUCAAUCUCCCAUCUACUCAAAAUUAAUAUAUAUCAUUAACUCCUGAUUAUUUUUAUAACAACUAAUAACUUUCUGGGUAGCAUAAUUUUACAGUAUCAUCCUUGUUUGUAAGUAUAUUUUUAUUCACAUUUAUUAUAAAUUAAUUAAAUCAUAUCAAUGAAAAUUGAAAUAAAAAUUGAAGUACUAAAAAAAAUGUUUUGGUGUGAAUAAAAAAUUGAAAAUAAAAAUAUUUUUCUUAUAUUUUUUAUUUUUAAAUGUUUUUCUUUUAAUAAAUAUAUAUUUUAUAUUCUCAAAUUGAAUUAUUGAGUAAAUGACUCAUUUAUUCACUUUUUCUUUUAAUUUUUGUUAUUAGGAGGAUUUUUAGAUAUAAUGAAAAUUGUAAGGUAGUAAGUAAUAUAUAAUAAUUUUAAUAGAGAAAAAUAAAAAAUCUGUUAUUUUAAAAUAUAAAGAGAAAAAUAAUUAAUUUCAAAACAUUUUAGAAGAUAUUUCAAUAUGCGGUGGACCACAAACUCGAGUCUUUGUCAUCUCAGUCAACUAAAAGGACAUAUGCUAUAAUGUCCCUCUUCCCUCACAUAUUAAACCAAUGUGAUCUCAGAGUGAGUUUGCAUCGAAGGAGUAUCCUUACUAACUAAUAUAGGCUCGAUCAAUAGAGAUGACAAUAAUUUUUUUUAUCUACGAACAUUAUUUUUUCAAAAUAUUAUAUCUUUAGACUUAACUAAAUAUUUUUUUCACCAUGUAUGUAUAGUUUGUUUGAUCUCUUUUAAAUAGUGGAGAUCACAACAAAACAAAUGCGAAUUAGUAGUGAUGGUGAGUUCAGAAGAUUGAAGUUAAGAAAAUUAAGGGUUUCUUGAUCCGGAGAAAUUUCAAAAGAAUGAAGCGUCUUCGAAAUCAAAAGACAAAAAUAAAGAAAGGGUAAUGGUGUAAUUUUGAAAGUGAAUUUAUUGAGAGAUCUUUGAAGAUUUACUUCCGUUAAGACUUAGAUCCCGCACUCCUAAGCCUUUGUCGGCCCAAUCACUCAACUGUAAAGACAUUUUCUUGUUGAGUGUGAACAGACAUAUUGAUCACUAAAUUUUCAAACUUGUGAUCCUCGUUGAAUCUGAUUCCCCUUUGAAAAAUUAAAAAAAAGUGCAAAUAAUGAAACAAAAUUUUGUUCCUUAACAGCAAGUGUUGUCGGCAUUUUCAGACUUGUAACAAGGGAAUGCGGUCCUCUCCUGAACCCGAAUCUCAUUCCCUGUGACAAGACCCUUGUUACCCUUCAACUCGCUUUCUAAGAUAGCUAUAAUUAAUCGUGACAACAUUACUCUCAGUGAGCAAAAGUUAACAGCAUCUUCUCCCCAUUUUUUAAAAAAUGUAUUAUAUAACCCACCAAAACUAUAAAGAGUCUUUUCUUAUUAAAAUUAAUAAAUUACUCUUUAUAUUAAAUAAUUAAAAUUAAAAUUAAAAUUUAAAAUGAAAAUGAUUUAUUUAUUAAAAUAUAAAUAAAAUAUAUAAAGUUCAUAUGUUUUUUAAAUUAAAAAAUAAGAACUUAAUUUCAUUCCUUAAAUUCUCAAAUUUACCUCACAAAAAUUUCGUAAGCUCACUUUUGUCCUUAAUUAAAAUAUGAUUAUGUUAUUAUUAUGGUUAUUAUUCUUAUUUUUGUAAUAGUUGAUGUUGUUGUUGAUGAUGAUGAUAAUACAUAUAAUAAAAUUAAUAAUAAUAAAAAUAAUAACUAUAAUUUUAACAACAGCAAUAAUAAUCAUUAAUAUUAUUGUUGUUGUUGUUGUUGUUCUUCUUCUUCUUCUUCUUCUUCUUCUUCUUCUUCUUCUUCUUCUUCUUCUUCUUCUUCUUCUUCUUCUUCUUCUUCUUCUUCUUCUUCUUCUUGUUAUUAUUAUUAUUAUUAUUAUUAUUAUUAUUACUAUCCUAUUAUAAUAAUAUUAUUAAAUAAUUAUUUUGAAUAAUAAUAAUCACAAUUAUUAUAACAAACGACAAAAAUCAACUAAAGUAAUUUUAAUAACUUGUAAGAAUUCAUUUUUAUUCAUGGAUAUGUGAUUAUUUGUUAAUGUAUGCAAUUAAUUGUGAUGGUAAACAAAGAAUAUAUGGUAUAUUUUCAAGUUAAAAAAGAAAAACAAAACAAAGUUUUUACCAUUUCUUGCCUUAUCAUCUUUUAAAUUAGAGUUAUUAUUCUUUUUAUUUUUCAAGUUGCCAACUCAUCCGCAUUCUCUUUUAUUGAAUUUGAAGAUCGAUGAUCAUAAAUUUGUGUAAAAAUUUUAAGUAAAAAUUUUAAAUUAAAAUAAUCUUUUAAGUUAUUGGGAAAUAAUAACUUAGUAUAACAAAUAUUAUAUCCUAUACUUUAUUGCUACAAAACUACAAAACCAUAUAUUAUAUUAUGUUUCCAUAUUUCUCUUUUAUAGUGAAGACUCAUACUUCUUCUCUACUAAAUGCUAAAGUAUUGGCUUAAACUUUUUAAUCAGCACAAUAGACCCUAAGCUAUAUAUGUUAUAAUGUCCCUCUUCGCUCACGGAUUAAACCAAUCAGUAGCCUUCUCUCAUAUAGAAAAACUUUUUGCAUAAGACAAAUUAUUAUGUUAUCGGAAAAAUUACAGUAGACGUAAGCUAUAUAUGUUAUAAUGUUCAGAAGAUUGAAGUUAAGAAAAUUAAGGAAAGGGUAAGGAUGUAUUUUCAAAGUGAAUUAUUAAGAGAUCUUUGAAGAUUACUUCCGUCAAGAGUUGGGUCCCAUAGUUUUACCUUUUGCUCGUUCACGUGAAAGUCAGUUUAGAAUUUUUAUCUUAUUUCACAAAGCUAAUUUUUUUUAUCACAAGCAGGAGAGAAACGGCAUUUCUUAGCAGUAGUUCAUCACUGUAGUAGCGAGCGAGUGAGGAACAAAAUUACCAACAAUUAUCAAAAAUAAUUAUACAAAAAAGAUCACAUGCUAUAAUUAAUCAUGACAAUUGACAACAUUACUCCCACCGAGCAAAAGUUAACAGCAUCUUCUCCCACAUUUUUUUAAAAAAAAUUGUAUUAUAUAACCCACCAAAAGUAUAAGGAGUCUUUCCUUAUUAAAAUUAAUAAAUUACUCUUUAUACAGAGAAAUUAAAAUUUAAAAUGAGAAUGAUUGAUGAUGUUCAUUUAUUAAAAUAAAAAUAAAAUUUAUGAAGUCUAUAUAUUUUUAGAAUUAAAGAAUAACAACUUAAUUUUUUAGGGGGAGUGUUGAAAAUCAAAUUCUUAUUCCUUAAAUUCUCAAUUUUACCUUAAAAAAAUUAUAAGUUCACUUUUAUCCUUAAUUAAAAUAUUAUUAUGAUUAUUAUUCUUAUUUUUGUAACAGUUGCAGUUGUUGUUGUUGAUGAUGAUGAUAAUAGUUGAUAAUAAAAUUAAUAAUAAUAAUGAAAAUAAUAACUAUAAUUUUAACAGCUACAAUAAUAAUCAUUAAUAUUAUCGUUGUUGUUGUUGUUGUUAUUAUUAUUAUUAUUAUUAUUAUUAUUAUUAUUAUUAUUAUUAUUUUAAAUAAUAAUAAUCACAAUUAUUAUAACAAACAACGACAAUAAUUAACUAAUGUCAUUUUACUAACUUAUAACAAUUCAUUUUUUUAUUCCAAGACAAACUAACCAUAUCAAUAAUAAUACAGGUCAUUUCAAUUCUAAUUCUUACAGGUAAAGUAAAUAAUUUAUUCUGAUUCUCAUUUUUCAUUUUGAUUUUAUUCUAUUCCGAUUCCAUUUGAUUCUGAUUCCAGCCAAUUCUAAUUACCGAUUAGAAAAUGCAUUGUUACUACUUUAACAAUAACUAAUGAUUCUCCUCACAAUUCUUAUAGGGUUAUCCUUAUUUUAAAAUAUUUUUUAUUCGUAUUUAUUAUUAAUUAAUUAAAUUAUAUCAAUGAAAAUCAAAUAAAAAUUUAAGUAAUAAAAAUGAGAAAAUAUAUGUUUCGGUUUGAAUAAAAAAUUAUAAUAAAAUAUUUUUCUUACAUAUUUUAAAUAUUUUUAUUAUAAUAAAUAUUUUUUUUAUUCUCAAAAUAAAUUAUCAAGUAAACGAUUCAUUAACUCAUUUUUUUCCUUUAAAUUUUUGUUAUUAAGAAGAUUUUUGGGUAUUGACCGUGAAGGGCUCAACUGAUCGCUAAUUUUGCAGCAAUUGCCUUUUCUUUUUCUUUUUUUUAAUUGUUUUGAAAAAAUAUCCAGACUCAUUCUGCAAAGUAUCUGAGGCCAAAGCGCCGAAAGUUAGCAGUUAGUACACCCACAUGUGCUUUUCUUUACAAAAUCUAAAGUUAGCGUGGGUGUCUAUAACUUAAAUUUAAUAUAAUUUAUAAUUAGUAAAAUUCUUUGAUUGACCCAUUAAAUUUUAUUAUUCUAUUACUUAUUUUUAUAUUAAAAAUUUAGUAAUGUAGAAAAAUUCUUAAAAGUUAGAGCGCUGCUAUUCACCCCGAUUUUUAACCCCGAAAAGCGCCCCGAAUUUAAAACGCACCGUUUUGAUUAAAUUGAAAACGGUGCGUUUAACCCAUGUUUCUUCCUUUCCUUUCUUUUGCCAAACCACAGAAACGGACCUUUGCUUCCUUUUCGUUUAAUCCUAUCAUCUUGUGGUCACUGCCGCUGCUGCUUUCUUCAAGACCGAGCUCUCUGCCGCUGCUGCUUCCUUCAAAACCUAACGGCCCGUCCGCAGAGCCCAAUUCAAAGCCGUUCGAUCAAUCGACGAUCCGACACCGAGGCCCAUCAACUGGCGCGUCUGCCUCAGCUUCUUCUUCGUCCUCUCCGGCGUACACGGAAGAGCAAAUCGCGAUCGUGAGACAAAUUAAGAAACGAAAGAUUAUUGCGUGCGUUGAUGGCUCUGAUGGGUUUAAUUUACGUGCGUUGAUUCAGUUGUUGCUUGUGAUUUUGAUAAUUCUCUUGCAGUUUUUGCGUCUUCUAAUCCAAUUUAUGCCAUGUCGAGGUCUUACCCUUAUGAGUACAAGUUUACAACAGAAAGAGGGGUGAAUUUUUAUAUGAAGUCUAGCAAAUUUGAGUAGGACUAUCCGGUGGGUAGUGUUCAGAGAGUAAGGCUCGAAAAGCAAGUUGAAAAGGAUUACUUUACUAUUCUUGCACAGAAUUGCCGGUUAGAGAUUCAACGGCAGCAGUGGGGUUUUAUAAAGGAGACUCCCCAUUGUGACAUGUGGCAGACGUUUCAAUAUUCACCAGCUUGGUAAAUCUGACAAUAAUUUUGUAGUAAUCUACAUAAAGGUUGCUUGAUUGUGCUGCUAUGAUAUUCAUUAUUCAGAUAGGAGUAGCAAUCGUGUUACUGAAAUCUGGUUCAAUGAAACAAGCUGAAGCAAAACUGAAGUAAUUUUCUCCCACAUUCAAUUAAUGCAUCUUCAAAUCUUUCAUAAAGUUGAUCAUUUCCUCGGGAAAUGGAACAUUGCUCUUGUGUAAUGAAGUUUUAAGCAUUGCUGUAAAUGGUUUGUAUAUGAGAAAUUAUUUGUUUUAAUGCCAUAAUUUAUGUGCUGAUUGAUCUUUGAAGAAAUUUUGAGCGCGAUUAACUGUCUCUAGGGUCUGUUGUUGCCCAUGAUGCUCCAACAGCUGGAUGUCUAAUUAUGCAUUAUGAACCUUAACUAUCAGUUUCUAGAGCUGAUGUUCAACUAGCUAUUUGAUGAUGUUUUAGGAAGAUGUAUUUUGGCUGUUUGAGUUUCUAGAGCUGAUGUUAUGUUAGAAAUUAUAUUUAUUUUAAUUGUUGCUGCAGCAACAUAAAUAUAAACUGUUGAUUAACUUGAAUAUCCCAUUUGGAACCAAACAAUGACAAAAAUAAAAUAAUACAUCAAAACACAAGUUAGCAGAUGUUGAUUAACUUGAUACAAAUGCUCACGGUUGAGUAAUUUUAGAUACAAAUACUGAUGGUUCAGCUUACAAAUUAAAAUGAAACAACUCAAGAUUUAUAAAUUUAAAAUCAAACUGCUCAUGAUUCAGCUUACAAUCAUUAAAUAUAGGAACAAUAAUAUACAAACAAAUACUUACGGGUUUUGCAAUGUAGGAAUUCAGCACUCUAACUUUCACGAAUAAGUUGGCGUUUUGCAGUUUGGAAGCUCUGUACUUGGAGUUUUUACAUUUGCAGUUUACAGUUUGCAGUUUCAGUCUGCAAAGCGGAGUGUUGUGGUUCAAGCUUGUGCAAAUAGAAGAAGAAAGAAAAUGUUCACGUGCUGCACGGGUGGAACUAAAUGGGAAAGCAAUCAAAGCAAAAAAGCAAAAAAGCAAAAAAGCAAAGAAGCAAUCAACGCAAAAGGAAAACAGUCAAAGCAAAAAAGAAAUCAAAGCAAAACGCACCGUUUUGACAAUAUUUGGGGUACGGUUUCGGGGUUUAAAAUCGGGGUAAGUAGCUUGCUCUUUCCCUAAAAGUUAAGGAAAAUGAUGUUUGCCCCGGGUCAAACCCCGAAAAUGAAACGCACCGUUUUUAUUAACCCGCAAAACGCACCGUUUUGCCAAGCCCAUUUUCUUUAUCGAUUAAGUGCAGCACAGCCAUUCGAAGUCCUCAAUCCACAAUCAGUAAUAAAUUAUGAUUCUUUUCAAAUCGGAAGGGAGCCCUCCAGAAGGUCAAUUCCAUGAUAUAAUUAGAUGGAUGGAAGAUAUGACAAAGCGGCAAAAAAAUGUGGAGAAGGAAUCAGUUGCAGCUCUACUUUGGGUGAUAUGGAACGCUAGGAAUAAGUGGCUUUUUGAAGGGAAACAAGAGGCUCCAGCCAGAUUAGUAGCAAGAGCUGAAUCAGUUGUGGAGUCUUUUAAAAAUGCCAGCCAGUAUGAUGGGUUAAGGCCAAAUCAGAAAAGGGAGGGUAAGGAAAACCACAGGCAUUCUCUUCCAAAUGGGUGGCUAAAGGUAAAUGUAGAUGCUGCAGUGAACGUUGAGAAACAUGUAGCUGGGCUGGGGGUGGUAAUAACAGACGGGAACCAAAAUUGUAUAAUUGCUGCCAUUAACACUUCUAGAUACUUUGGCAACGUGGCAAUGGCCGAAGCUGCAGCUGUGAAAUGGGGAUUGCAGGUUGCUUUGAGAGUGGGGGGAACCUCUGUGUUGCUUGAAUCGGACUGUCAUGAAGUAGUAGAGAUUAUAAAUAACAGAGACAGUAGUAUGAUGGAAAUCUUUUGGGUGAUCUCUGAAAUUCUGGAAAUUAAGAAGAGUUUUCAGAAUUUCAAGGCUCAACACACACAUAGAUCUUGAGGGGUUUUGCAGUUGGGGUUAUGUAGUUGGGUUGUGUGGUGAAGUGAAAAAUCGAAAGCGAAAGAUGAUUUUUCUGUUUCUUUAUUACAGGAGAAAGAUGAGUUUGAUAAAGAGCUGGAAUGCUCAAGCAAAACGACGUUGUUUUAAGAAAAAUUGAAACGACCCAAAAAACUAAUAAAACGGCGUCGUUUUAUUAAAGCUUCGGGGCUUGACCCGGGGUUUGACCCGGGGCAUCUAUCAGCGCCCAAAAGUUAAUGGAGAAGGAAAAGAAAAAGAAAAAGUGUAAAUGAACUGUAUUCACCUAAGUUUCAAACAUGUGGUUCAAUCUGAAUUUGCUUUUUUCAAAAGUAAAUACAAAAGAAAAUAUAAAGAAAAAGAAAUUAAACGAGACAAAAAUUUGUGGCGUGGGUCAUUCAUAUCUUUUGCCAUUUCUUUUGUAGAGGUACAUAGGGUAGAUAUUUUGAAGUGAAAAGCAGAGCUUUUAUUGUUAUUUGCCUUAUCAUCUUUUAAAAUUAGAGUUAUUAUUCUUUUAUUUUUAAGUAGCCAACGGAUGGUAGCCAACUCAUCCGUGUUCUCUAUUAUUGAAUUUAAAGAUCAAUAAUUUAUGUUAAUAAAUAUUUUGUUAACUAUCAAAGUUUUUAUUUCAAAAUUACUGUUAUAAUUCAUUAAAAUUUCAAUUUUUCCUUUUUCUAUUCACACAACAGAUUGAUUUGCCCUCCAAAAAAAUGUAUUAGAUCGUUUAAUAUUGUAACAUCAAGAAACUUAUAAUAAAUUUUUAAAGAGAUAAAUAGAGAAUGUCAGUCUCGCAUCUACUUAAAAUUAAUAAAUAUACCACUAACUCCUUAUUAUUUUUAUAAUAACUAAUAACUUUCUUAACAAUAUAUUUUUAUAGUAUUAUCCUUGUUUGUAAGUACAUUUUUAUUCAUAUUUAUUAUAAAUUAAUUAAAUCAUAUCAAUAAAAAUUAAAAUAACACAAUAUGUUUUGGAGUGAAUAAAAGAUUGAAAAUAAAAAUAUUUUUCUUAUAUUUUUUGUUAUUUUUAAAUGUUUUUCUUAUAAUAAAUGUACAUUUUAUAUUCUUAAGAUGAAUUUUGAGUAAAUGACUCAUUUACUCACUUUUUCUUUAAAUUUUUUUGUUACUAGGAGGAUUUUUAGAUAUAAUGAAAAUUGUAAGGUAGUAAGUAAUAUGGCCAAAACUACAUUGCGUCAGGGGUUUGGUGCCCCACUCGUUUGUCUGUUAGCAAGGUCAGCGUUGGAUUUGAUCUGACGGCUGCAGAAGAGACACAAAUAUAAAGGGUAGUAACCUGAGGCAAAGGUAACAAGCCAGUCACCUGCAGAAAAUAAGUGUAUGAUAAAAUAACACAUGCAAUGAAUUUUGUAUUUUUUUUUUUUAGAAGACACAUGUAAUGAACUUGCUGGAAGCGUACAUGCAAGUAAUGGUUGGAAACAACCUACUGAAACCGUGCAAGUAUUGGUUGGGCUAAGAUUGACAUGAAAUUUCCCAAAUAGUGUCCGAAACAUUUGCAAAUAGUUAAUUCAAAGCGUCAAUAAAUGCUGGAAAAAAUACAUAUUUUUUAUUUUUUUUAUUAAGAAUACAUUUUUUUUGAUAAAAAAAUAAAUUAUUAAUGGUACAUAGCAACAAAUAUACCCAAAACAAUUAUCCAUAUAUUUGAAAAACAUUUGUUAACAAUACAUAUUUUUAGUAGUACACAUAUUAUAACAUAAACAAAUUGAGUUGUAUCAUGGACAGCCAUAAACUAUGAACAAAGAUUACGAUCUAAACUCCACAUGCAUGUUUAAUUUGUAGAUUCCAUUUUUUUCAUAAUGUGUUUCCCACCAUGGGAUAACAAGGGUUAUUCAGGCAAAACACUACGGCAAUUCAUUAUCAUAGACAGGAAAAAGACAAUGGCAAAGAUCAAUGAUUUAACACACAAGAAUGAGUGAAUAACAACAGCAAGUGAGAACCAUGCAGAAUCCUUUUUAUUAGAGAUCCUUUCUUAAAUCUUAAAUAAGAACAUUAAAUAAGCUUGAAAAAUAUUGGUAACUGGCCCAAUACACAUCCAUCUAACGGAAAACAGCGGACAGUUUGACGCAUGUGUGGAGCACUUGAGGAAACAGAGCAUCCACGGAAUGCCUAAAUUUGAAAAAAAAAAAAAUUGCAUUUGACGAAAAGGACUUUGAGCGUUCAAAUACAAAGUGUCGAUUAACCUUACAAGAUACAUCAACCAUCACAUAUGCUCAACAUGCAAUACCAAAUUAAAUUACCCAUCUCCAGGGUUGGAUUUGUCUUCAAUCAGAUGAAUGCUGGAGAGAAUAUAAUUGAAAGAAUGGCAUCAUCUACCAUGCAAGCUAAGGCUCCUUACAGAUGCUCAACAUGACACCACAAAAGAAAAUACAAUAUCAAAGACACAUCACCAACAUAUAUGCAAACUACCAAUUCUCACAGCAUGCAGUGCAACAACUCAUAAAAUAUGAAAUUUAACAUCAUCUAAGCAUUUUCUCAAGCUUAUUUCUCAUUAAAGAACUUAACUGAAAGUAGUAAACAUAGAGACAUAUAACAGCUUUAUAAGUACAGACCACAAAGUAGAACUUUGUUCGAAUGAUAAUGAUCAUAAUCCACAUUAUAAACGCAGUGAAAUCAUCAAAUGAAAUAAGAACACAGUACACAAUUACACAAAUAUUAGGCUUAAUUAAUUAUUUAGAUUAAAACACCAACUCACACAACUUCCUUGUUGGAAUCUUCUCAUAUCCCAUCUUCUUAGGGCUCAGAUCAUCAUCGUGAUCAUCAACAUCAGUGAAUUCCUCAUACGAAUUGCGAGAAUCGUGACGAUUAGCAAAGAGGCUCCACACCAAAUACAUGGUAACGGCAGUAAGCGAAUCACACCCAACGCCGAAAAGCAAAGCGACUGGUCCGGUCGCAUAGAGAGGAGAAGUCGUGCUCGAAGGGCAAAACACGACGUUUUGGCUCAUGGAUGAGGUGCUGCUCCCGAUCAUCGAUUGAAGGGAGAAUUGGACAAUCGAAGAAGAUUAAGGGACGGUGGGGACUGAAUUGGCGAAUUUCGGUGAAGAUUGUGACGAAUCCAACGGGGUUCUCGGAGUUUGGGUUAGGGUUACGGGGAUUGAAAUGGAUCGAGUAAGAGGAAAUGAAGAGGGUUUUGCAUGGCCUUCCGGAGGCUGAAAUUGAGAGGACACCAUGAAUAUUGUGAGAGCUAAGAGGAGAUGCUGAGUCGAUGACGCCAUUGAUUCGUACCACAUAGCUUCGAUUGGAAAUGAAGCCUCUAAUAGCUUUAGCCGGUUACCCAUUUUUCAAGUGUUAAAUCUCAACCGUUGACUGCCUUUCUUUAUGAUUUCAAGGGUCAUUCACAAAAGGACAAAGGUCAAUAUGCGGUGGACCACACCCUUGAGUUUUCCUCGUCGUCUCAGUCAACUAAAAGGACAAAAUAUUGAGUCUUUAAGGACUCAACUGAUUGUUAAUUUCACAGCAAUUACCUUUUUUCUUUCUUUUUUUUCUAAUUAUUUUGAAAUGGUAGGUAGCAAUUGCUUACAUCAAAAUAUCUAAACUCACUCGGCAAAGUAUCCGAGGCCAAAAUGCCAAAAGAUGGGACACCCACAUGUGCAUCUAAUUACAAAGUCUAAAGUUAAUGAAAAGAAAAAGAAAAAGAAAAAGUAUAAAUGAACGGUAUUCACCUCACUUUCAAACAUCUAGUUCAACAUGAAUUUCCUUUUACCAAAAGUAAAUUUCCUCUCGAAUUGUCCUCAUUACAUCAAACGAAUGAUGACGACGCUCUGUCCGUUUCUGGCUCUCUGCUUUUCUCUCUCACAUCACGAGACACCUCGUUUCUAACUGGGGUACCACCAUCAUAUUUAACUGUUAGGUCUUCCUACUAUGCACCUGAUGUAUGCAUGAUUCCUUAUGACAUGACAUACAGCCAAUUAAAUUCUGACAUGUUUGCAAUAAAGACUGUUAAACCGGUUGAAUUCACAAGAUCUCUUGUUUGUGUGUUUAUGUUCCAAGUUGUGUACUCUGUGUUAUGAGUUCUCUAAUUAGUCUGAUAUUAUCGCAACUGUUGCUCAAUAAUGUUAUAGGUUUUAUAAUAUAUGUCACCGGUACGAUCGCUGUCUCAAGUGGUAAACUUUGAGGCACAAAUUUAGAACGAAAAGUUCCUAAUAAAAUAAAUUAUUUAAUUAAUUAAAUAAGAAUAAAAUGAAUUUGUGAAAAAAAUUUAAAUUUAAUUUUGAAUUAUUUUGACCAAAAUUUAAGUUUUUUUUUAAUUUGUUUAAGAAAAUGCGUUGUAAUUGUCUUGUUUUAAUUGGAAAAUCAAUGAAAAAAUUAUGUAAAAGAAAAAAAAAAAAAAGCAAAACGGUUUGUUUUGGAUGGAGGCCAUAGAUUCCAAUAUUUCCUUCACGAAAACUACAAAAAAUUAUCAAAGGCAUCAAUUUCUACACUCUCACGGAGCAAUACUCUUAACCCAGAAGAAAGUGUAUAAACCAACCCCAAUUAGUCCAUCAAUGUCGUCAACCUCAUACAGCAUAAAAAAAAUCUGUGUCCAUUAAACCGCCAUUUAAACCGUCUUGAUUGAGCCAUUAGACUAUUCGUGUCAUCUUCCCAUCUCGUUGUAGUAUUUUGCCGUUCAAAUCUAGCUAUCAAUUGGGGAAAAUGGGGACCAAUCUGCAAGUCUUUAAAAUAGAAAGAAACUUUUAUUGGGCACUAUGUUCACGGUGGACCCAGCAGCAUUAAUAUUUAAGAUGGAGUUAUUUGUAUUUUAAAAAUUAUUUUAAACAUUCUAAUUUUAAUAAGAAUAUAUAUUAUAAAAAUAUUUAUCAUAUAAGUUAUUGGACAAUAUAUUAUAAGUCAACAUUAUAUAAUUACUUUGAACACUUAUAUAGCACAAUCCUAAUUCAAUUUAUUAUUCUCAUGACUUAAAUAUAAAAAUUUUUAUUUCCAACAUCUUAAUUAAUAUGUAGAUGAAUAAUAAGGAAAUUAACUUUGAGAAAAAAUUAAAUACAAAAUAUGUGUAAAGCUUUUAAAAAAUAAAAUAAAACAAAAGUAUUGCACAAGAUUUUGGGGGGGGGGGGGGGGGGGGGUUUGGCCAUUCUUCUUCUCCUCCUCUCUCUCUCUUUUGUUUGGGUAGUAUUUAUGGAACAUUUUCUAUUGUUAUGUUCUCAUCGCAAGUUAUUUUAGGUGUAAAAUUCAAUAUUGAAAAUAAAUUAAAUAAAAAAAUAGUAACUAAAAUUAUGUUAAAUUAUUUUUUUAUAAAUUAAUUUUUAAUUAUAUUAUUGUGAGUAUAUGCUAAAUCUCUUAAAAAUAGAGUGUUGAAUAAUUUUAUUAGUUUUUUAAAUAAAUAAAGUUAAGUAACUUAAAAAGUUUAAGUAAGGAUAUUUUUAAAUUUUAAACAGUAUACAAAGUAAAAUUUAAUUUUUUUAUAAUUAAGCUAUGAGCGUGCAAAGUAAUAUUUAGAAUACUAAUAAUCCUACCUUAAUCUUUAUCAUCACAUUAUUUUCCAUAAAAAGUUUACAAUUACCUCUUUAUUGGAUAAUUUUGUUCCCUCUCUUACCUUAUGUUCCCUUACAUUCUCAUUUCUGCAUCACCAUUUAAAUUAUAAUCAUAACGUUAAUCUUUAUCUAUCACAUAUUUUGCCAAAUUUAUUCGCACCGCAAAGCUCUUUCCUUUUUUUUUCCCCGUUAAGUUUGCUAUAAUGUACGUGAAGAAUUUAAAGAGAUCUUUCGUGUCCUUACCCUUUUUUUCGGGUGCACUUUUGCUGCUUUUUUACGUUUCUCCAGAAUUCACUUCAACAUGACUGGCGCAUUUUCUUCUUUCUCGCUGCAACAUCAACUAGGCCACCACCUCUUGCCUCUCCCGGUUCCCCUCAAUUUUCGUAUUCAAUGUCCACCGUUGAUUGUACAUUUAUUAAAAUUCUGUGGUUAUUAUUUUUUUGCAUAUAUUUAAUUCCACACGGUCUAUCGAUAGAGCAGGUGCAUCGUAGUUGUGGCCUUAACCCUGUUAUUGGUAACUCAAUAGCUAAUUCUAAUGUUUCAUCAAGCAGUUUAGAGAUAACCUCUCUCGCUGAACACCCUGGAGUAACGCAAUCCAGUUUUCCAGUGCAAUCAUCAGACAGUUGAACAGCUUCUGAAUUCCCUUUGCUUUUCUUGUUUUCUUUUCCAUGAAAAGGGAGCUCAGGCUUCAAUAUAUCUGGGGAUUGAGUACUAAUGAUAAAGACAACAUACGGUAGAGGACACAAAUUGUUAUCAAAGAAUGAUGCACUUUUCAACUGAGUACAGUAAAGCAGUACAGUAAAGCGAGAAUGGGUAAUUAGUUUUACCUGCUAAGCGAAAAUCUAGACUCCUGAAGGUAACCGAUCUUGGGUGAAGCAAAUAAAGAAGAAGGCGAAGUAAAAUUCACUGAGUUGAAUGAGCGAUCAUUGCGUAUGGACUUGAUUUGUUCAAUGGGUGAAAGACCGCUGAUAUAAUUAAAGACUGGAGAAUCCUGUACGUUGACAAGCAUCAUUUUUAAUCGAACAGAGAGUCUUAAAAACCUUGUCAGUGGCAAAUGAUCACGACAAGAAAUCUGAAGUAGAAACAGCAUAGCUCAACAAAUCACUAAGAGAAUAAGACCAAUAACCAAGCAGAUAAAAGAAAAGCAAAAUAACCCAUCUCAAAAUCACCACAUGCACAAUUUAAGGGGUUUGUGACAUGGGUUUAAACAUGAUUUAACAAGUGCCACCUGUGAAUUGUCAGAGAUUGUAUUUUCAUACACGUGUCAAAUUUUCAAAUCCAACAAAUUGUUAUCUUUCUAAAGAGGCUAAUAUUAUUAUUAUCUAUGCAUAGCAUGCUAUAAACAAUUCAUAUUACUAGGGCCUUUGUUUUCUGUGCACAACAUAUGGACAGAGGAACAAAUCCCUGAGCUAAAAUCAUCAUAUUCCAAAAUAUUCUAUUAAAUCAACACCACAAAACGCGAACGCUAAACAGAAUUGGAGCAAUUUACCAAAGCUAUUUGUCACGCAAAGCACUAGUACCUCAGAACCCAAUUUGCAAAAAAGCACCAAAAAUGAAAAAUAACAAAUGCCCAGAUGAAAAAUCAGGAAAAAAAAAUGCUCAAAUCCAAAUUACAACCCCAUAAGUUGAGUCGUUCUCUUCGAACUGAAUUAAAAAAGAUUAAAAAAAUAAAAUAGGGAGAUUGACCUCAAACUUUGGAAACAGAAGCGACAGCGAUCUGUUUCUUGUCUGGAGUGUCCAUUUCUAUAAUCUACUUUGUCCGUUUUCAGUCGCUCUGCUACAGAGCUUCUUCCCUCUGAAGCUGAAGCUCACACACUCUGCAAAACGAAAGCAUUUCUUUUUGAUUGAGAGGCGGGAAGGCGGGAAAAUGAGAGAAAUUUGCAUUUGUUUUCUCUUGGUUUGGUCAUACCUGUGCGGGCCCCAGCUUGACAAGCGGUAUUUUUACUAUUUGUAUAAUUUGCAUGACGCGUGUCACGCAAUGACGAUAAAAUAUAUAUAUAUAUAUAUAUAUUGUUAAUUUUUCACUUAACAUUGAAAUAUCAUAUAAUUUUUCCAAUUUUAUGGUUAUUUUCUCGCCCUUAUGCCACAUUCUUUUGAUCAAAUAAUACAGUAAAACUUUUCUAUAAUCGUAAUAUUAGAGCCAAAUUAACUUUGUUUCUGUAAAGAGGCUAUAGCUUAAUAAAGGUAAAAUUAUAAAAAUUAUUAUUUUGACUCAGUUAUCUUUAGUGCAAGUGAUAUAAAGUACAAAUAUAUGAUAAUUAAUUAAUGAACUAUGUCAAAUACAAUAUGCUGACAAUUAGGGGUGGGCAAAAUCGGGUUCGGGUCGGGUUCGGGUCAACCCGAUCGGGUUUCGGGUUGUUCGGGUUAGACAAGGAGCAAUCCGAACAUAACCCGAAUUAAUGAUCCGACCCGAACCGACCCGAACUAUCUUCGGGUCGGUUCGGGUCGGGUCAUUAAUUCGGGUUAUGUUCGGGUUGGAUUUAAAAUGGGUAGGAUUGAGUUCGGGUCAAUUUGGGUCAGUUCGGGUCAAUUCGGGUCGGUUGAAAUCGGGUCAGUUCGGGUCAAUUCGGGUCAGUUCGGGUCAGUUCGGGUCAAUUCGGGUCGGUUGAAAUCAGGUCAGUUCGGGUCAAUUCGGGUCAGUACGUUUUUUUUUUUUUUUUUUUUUAAGAACCCGAUCGGGUAUUCGGAUCGGGUCGGGUUUGACCCGAACCGAUCACAACCCGAUCGGGUUUGUAAAUUUCAAACCGAUCGGGUUUCGAUCCCGACCCGAUCCGACCCGAACCCGAAAUUUAUCGGGUCUGGUUGGGUCGGGUCGGGUCGGGUCGGAUCGGGUAAAAUGCCCACCCCUACUGACAAUGAUAAAAAAGAUAGAUAAUUUCAAGAAACUAAUGCAUAUAUUUAUGUAGUGUUGGGAUUAUACAAAAUUAUCUUAAAAGUGUAAAGAGUAAAGUAAUAUUCUGAUUAAUUUAAAAAAAAUUAUUUUAUCUUAAUCUUUAAUGCAACAUAGCUUUUUUUUUUUUUUUCUUAGCAACAAAGCAUUGUUCCAAAUAAUUAUUAUUGGAUUCAAAUCAUGUCCUAGGCAUUUUUUCUUCUAGUCGUCUUAAACUUUUAAGGAUUUAUUGGCAUGUGUCAAUCAUUAAUGAAAUUAAAUAACUAAGACUUUGUUUUAAUUAACGUUUACAUAAAUAGACAUCAAAACUCACGUGUGAUUCUUAUCAAAUUUUUUCCUGCAAAUUCUUUUCCUCUCAACUAUUCAUAUUUUGACAUUAAUUUCCAGCAAAUUAUUAAAAAAAAGAAGCGUAAAAUGGAGAAAAGUGAUUGACAACAAGGUUUGCAUCUUAAUUUCAAAAUUUCCCUUUCUUUGCUAUUUUUGUGGGUUCUACAAUUGUUGUUUUCACUCUCAGACAUGGCAAGUCCUUUGACAAAUGUUUCCCCGUUAGCAGAUUUAUCAUAAUGCAUCUCUCUGCAUCCCCACCUAAGAUGGAACCUGUUCUCACAAGAACAGACUCCAAGGUUGGGAAAAUCAAUUGAUCAUCGGAGAAAACAAACAGGAUUAACAAAUCACUACAAUGGUGUGAACCCGUAUAUACAAACGUACCUGCCCCCUUUGUCUGUGAUAUAUUUUCUUAUUGGCCCACUCAAAUAAACAUCCGGAGAAUCCUUGAGCAUCUGCAAUAGGGAAGCCUCGGUCUUAGUUGCAAACAGUGCAAAUAUAGUAUGCAUACAACGAGCAAUGAUGUUAUCACAAUCAAUAAACCCAAGGGCAAACGCAACAGGAUCUUACAUUCUUUGGAUACUCAUCCAUGUACCACCCUUGGACAAAAACCAAUCAGAGAAGCUUAUCUGUAAGAAGAAAUGAAGUUUGAGGUAAAAUAAAAAUUUGUAGGAACAGGGAUUGAAAUUCAACAAACAAGAAAAUAUGUUGUUUGUUGAAAUUCAACAAACAACAAACAAGGCUCCAUCAGGAUCAAGAAGUGCCUUUACAACAGGACUCACCGCAAGAGCAAUAGCAUUUCUUGAUUUAUCAUAAGUCUGCACUUGAGCAAUAUACGAGGCAAAGUACAUCAAAAGAGAAUCCAAAAGAGGCAAGAAGCUUCAACAUGAAAAAAGGGAGUACUGCCUCGUCAUACUGCUUUGCAAUCACAGUGCAAAAGAUAACAUCAACAAAAUCAAAAUCGAGCAUAAAUCUGUAUGCACUACCUUAAGCUGAUUUGUAGACAAAAAUGCACGAAUCCCAUGUAAUGGAGCUCCAAUCGGAAACCGGAAAUCAAGUUCUGGAGUUGAAAAUCAAAAUCAUGAAUCAAAUCAGAGUUAUUAUUGAAUUAGACAAUCCAUAAACCAAUAGAAGGUGAUGUCAAACCAUCAAGCAUAACUAUUAGUUGUUUUAAGUGAUCAAGAAAUAACUAUACCACCAAUUUCCCCACCCUUAUUUACAAAUUUAUGAGUAUGAUCCUUCAUGAGUAAAUUUUCGUCCGCACCGACCUGUCGACAUCCAUGAAAAACUAUCAGAUCAUAAACACAGGUUCCAGUUAAAGAGGAUCUAUGAUUCUGAUCCAUCAUGUUAUUUGAACAACAUUUUCGGAUUUUCUUACAACCCUAAGCUAUUAUCAGUUAUCAUCGCUACAAAUGAUAUGGUCAAGAGGAAUGAUAGUUCUUGUUUCAAGAAUCUCAAAUCGUAAUUCUUUUGCAUGGCUUCUGUGCUUUUAUAAUCAUUCAAACACGCAUAUCCACAACUAAGCAAGCUUUACCUUUUUUGUCAAUCGGAACAGAUUAUUGUAGCAUCCAAAGAAAACGUGCAGGCUGAUUUCAAUAUGGUUUCCACGUUUACGGACAAAUGAAGCCACUUUACCACCAAUAAAAGACCUCAACUCAUAUAUAUCCACCUGGAAGAAAGGAAAAGUUAAAAAAAAAGGAAUAAAAAUUCUUCUAAUUUCUUUCACCAUCAACAAAAUCAGAAAAACACAUACUAAUUCAAAAUGAAAUAAAGUUUGUGAAUUGAAAUAAUGCCAACUCCUAAGAAAAAUUAUGACUGCUGAUAUUUUUUCCAAAAUGCUGAUAAAAGCUUCUGCUAUUUACUUUGAAAAAAUUGAGGUUAGAAGCCUAUUUACUUGAAAUUUUGAGUUUAGGCAAGAGGAUGAAUGGUAAAAGUGAAACAUUUUAGGGAAAAAUGUACGUCAGAGGCCAAUGAAAGCAUUCAGAAGAUUGAAAUCUAAAUGAGCAAAACCCCGUGGCCUUGAUCCAACAAAUCCACUGCUGUUGACAUGCCUGCAAGCCCAGCUCCAAUAAUAGCGACUUUCAGCUUUGGUCCUCUAUAAUGUUCCGGUUCUGGUAGAAACAAACCCUUGGGAGCUGCCAAGUAUACCAUCCAAUUAUCCACAGCGAUCAUGGAAAUAUAUAUGUGUUUAAAGGUACUAAAUUCCUAAACAUGAAAUGUAUCCAAAGAGAGACACAAAGCAGAAUUGUGAAAGCAUUUCAAUUCCCAAUAAAUUUUAAGAAUACAAAAUACUCGGUCUGUUCCUCAAUUCCUUUAAUAAAAUUUCCACUAGAGGCUACGGAAGCCACUCAAUAACACUCCAAAGCCAGAUUUUAAACGUUAUCUUUAUCUUUAACUCCAAUCCAUAAACAAUUCUGCCACAAAUUCAAUCCAAAAUUGUUCAAGUGCACCGCCAAUUCUCCGUCAAUUCCCUCAAAAAUUCAUAAUUGGCAAACACUACAAACCAAAAAGAGCUUCCAGCAAUAAACGCAUAAAAAUCCACCAAGCAACAGAAAACAAAAUACCCAGAAACCAGAAAAGCCAAAAGAUCAAUGCUUGGCAAACAAGCAAAUCAAAUAAAACAAAAAGAAGAGGAAUUUACCCUUAACGCUCAUAUCAGAAACAUUAGUGUCCAAAGAAGCCCGUACACGGAAUCUUGGACCCUUCACUUGAACCCGAGACCAUGUAACGCCAGUAACUGAAGUUGCAGGAAACAGAACUGGAGAACCCAUAUUGCAAAUCCUGAGCUGAAAUCAAAGAAAUUCAAUUGGAACUCAAUUCAGCUCAACCGAGCGGAGCUCUCUUUUGCUUCAAUAACAAAGUGUUUUUCUUUCAUAUCAACAAAGAUUUGUCAACAUCAACAAAAUUUAACUAAGAAACUAAAAUAAUGCGGUAUCUUUGAGUUUAAGAAUCUAACAAGAUGCUAAGGAAGAGAGUUUUGUCAGGGAACUGUUUCGGAGAGGUUGGCCAAGUGCUUCUUUGUUAUUUUUUUUUUUUCUUUUUUUGCCCUUUUCAUUAAUACACAACAGUAGUACUCGCGAAGAGCACAAAAUGUUGGUGACUUUGUCACUAAGGAUACGAAAGUGGAGUGACCAGAGCAACCAACUAAAUUUUCUUUGGGUGAUUAAUUAAUUUAUUAUCAAAUAAUUUUAUUUAUUUAUUUAAACGACAUCCUUAUCUUUGUACAAGGCUGAUGAAAGACGACGAUGUUGCGUUGUCACAUAUUUUUGGGCCGACCGUUUCUUGUUUCGGCUUAAAUGAGGCUUUUGUAAUUUUGUGCUGUUUUUUUACUGAGUAUUUUGUGCUAAAUUACGCCAAAGAAAAAGUGUAAUUGUUAAAAGAUCUGCUGACACUCAUAACCUCUUAAGCGGAAUUUAUAAUGUGACAGUAUUGAUAUCUAAGUUCAUAAUAUCUAUAGGAGUGAUAAAACGAAUAAAUGAAUCGAACCGUAAAUGAAUUUAGUCAAAAUUUAAUGGAUUCGAAUUCGAUGUAUUAUCAAGCGAAUCAUAAUUUAAUAUUCAAAUUCAAUUCAUUUAUUAAAUGGAUAUCCAUUUAAUUCGUUUAUUGUAAAAAAUUUAAACAAAUUGAAUUAAAUUUGGAUUCGUUUACAAUUUGUUUAAUUUAUUUAUGCAAAAUUAAUAAUAAAUCAAUCAAAUGUGGAUUUGUUUAAAUAAUAAUAAUAAUAAUUAAUAACAAAAAUAAAGUAAAAUAAAAUAUAAAAAAUCAUAAAAUUAACAACCUACAAAAUACAAACGAAUUAGUGACCCCAAACUCGGAUUCGAUUCAUUUAUUAAUGAAUUGAAUUGAAUUCACCUAUUUGUUAAUGAAUUAUUUUUUUUUAAAUUCAGACCUAUUUAAUUUGAAUCUAAUAAACAAAUCCUAACCUAAAUUGCCACCUCUAAAUAUGAUGGACCUACUUAAAAUAUAUGAAUACCAAAAUGUGUGGGCUAAAAAGUGGUUUACCAUGCAGCAAUAUGAAUUUUAAGCUCUCUUUUCUUAUGUCACCCAAGGCAUUGGCUGGAUGGCCAAACAGCAGAGUUCAAGUCUACAAUAGAGAAUCGAAAUUUUCCUUUGUAAAUGUUCAUAAGUAUUUGCCAUAGAUUUUUAAGUUAUUCUUGAUAGAUCCCCUACCACAUACGCUAUAAUAUUUCUCUGCUUUUAAUUUAAAAAGUAAAUCAUGCAUAAUAACGGACUUGUAAGGAAAUGAAAUUUCUGGUAAUUAACUAACAAAAUAAAAAAAAGAUGGAUUAUGCCAAAGAAGUUAAUAUAGAGUAAGUCGAGUACUUGACAAUCAAAGUAAUUUUACUCGAGGUUGAUUAAGGAUAGUAUGAUACUUUCUCAAGUUUUAUGAGGACAUUCAUGUAACAUUGGACUAUUGACUAUAGUUAGAGAGAAGUCCAAGGAUGUAAGUGAUGAUGAUAGAUUCACAAUUCUUUUGAAGAAAAUAUUUUAUAUAAACUUAAUUAUAUGGUAUAAAAUGAUUGGCCUUAAUAAAAUUAAAAAAUAAUACACGCCUGGGUCAUGCAAUAUUUUCAACCAACUAAUUUACACGCAAAAUUAAACCUCAUGAGUGAGAACAUUAUGGUACAUUUAUUUGCUAGCAAAAUUAAACCUUAUGAGUGAGAACAUUAUCACGGCACAAAAUGCCUGUGAUAAUGAAACAAUGUGCCAUUCUUAAACUAAUAUUAUUAGAAACUAUAAGUGAAAGUUUUCAGAAAACAUGUGAUAAGUUUUUCUCGGAAUUUAUUUUCUCCUUUGUUUUGAUUUACGCGAGAGAUAAUUGUAAAGAUUGUUUUGAUAAGUUUUCAGAAAACAUGUGACGAAUCGUAGUAAAAAAAAUAUAUAUAAUAAUUGAAUGAGAUCCACGGUUCACAAUUGCAAAUUAAAGGUUGGUUUUAUAAUAAAAUCGUUUUGUGCAUACCAAAUUAGAAAAGAUUAUAAGUAAAUUAAGAUUUUCAAAAUUUGACUAGUAUUAUAUUACGUACAUCAAUAUAAUAUAAAUUUCUUAUAUAUAUAUUUUACUCUGUAACCAAUGCUUUCAAAAACUUUGUACUUGUAUGUUUGAACAACUUUUUUCGCUUUCUAUUUAUAUACGAUCUCAUUUAUGUUUACAUAAAUUUUCAUAUGUACCCAAAUUAAGCACUAAAUAAACACACUUUGGUAAGACACAUUAAUUUCUAGUAUCAGACAAUGAUAUUAUAUUGAAUGUAAUGCUUCCAUGAAUUUUAUUACUAUAUACUAAAAUACUCAACGAUCUCCAUUAAAAAAAAAUAUGCAUGAUUAGAAUUAUUAAAGAUCAUUUGAUGAGGAGUUUCAUCAUUAACUGUGUCGAAACACAGCAGCAAUCCACAAUACACUUAACACGAGAGGGGCACACAAGCAUGCAUGAAUCUUCCACCAUUAAACCUGAAAUCGCAAAUAAAAGAAACAAGAUGAGUGUUGUUUUACGGUCUGAAAGCCGAUUCCAAAUAAUAAUAAUAAUAAUAGUAAUAGUAAUAGACCUUUGUUAAUAAUUACUACUAGUUGUCUCUGCCUUUUACAUCUUCCUCCUCUGUAUCAUCGCCCUCUUCCAAUCACACGGCUAGACCAGUAUGUCUCGAGAAUCUCUACUGCCUUCUCAGAGAUCCCGUUGUCGUCAUGACUUCGUAGAUUUUCAAUCUUUUCUAAUCCCUCAGCCUCCUCAACCAACUGGGCAUAUUGAUUAAAAUCUCCAACGGCGGUACCCGUAUUCAUUUCAGCUACCCCGACCUUCAAAAUGUCCUCUAAUCCUUCUAAGCAAACAGUGACGAUCUUUGGAUCAGCGCAUAGAAGCAGAUCACACAAUGGUUUUACACACCCCUCUCUCACAAGGUGCUUGAUUUGCUCAUGAGUGCCAAACUUGGUGGCAUUUGAAAUUGCCCAAGCGGCCUCCUUCUUUGCAUCAAAUUCAGCAUUUUGAAGUAGAUUGACAAUGGGACCAAUUAAGCCGGAAUCAAUUACCGCCUGAAUCUGCUCCCCGUUUCCAGCUGUAAUAUUUGAAAUAGUCCGGCAUGCAUCCUUCUUAAGGCUCUCUUCAUGAUCAUGGAUCAACAGGCCCAAAAAGUAUGGCAGUGGAUCACAGUUAAUUAUAUACUGAGUCUGGAAAUCAUCUCCCAUCACAAUAUUUCCAACAGUCCGCAGGGCAGGGGCAAGCACUGAGGAUGAUGGAUGGCCAAGGAGCUCAACAAGUCGUGGACAGACACCUGCCUCGAUCACAGCUUGAAUUUUGUCAUUCGUACCAUCAGAAAGAUAGGAGAGUGUCCAACAGGCGUCACUCAACACCUCUUCAUCAUCUAAAUGAAUAAGCUGUGCAAGUGCCGGAAGAGCUGCCCUUACCUGAUCAAAUGGUGGUCCUGGCUUGCCCUUGCAUAAAUUAUACAAUGUCCUUGCGGCAAUUCUCAGCAUUGAAAGCUUGGCAUGCUCAUUUAACUCUGCCAGCAAUGGAAUCAAAGCUCCUUCACUAAGCACAAGAUCACGGCAUCCAGAUGAGUCACCAGCAACAUUUCCCAAUGCCCAAACAGCCUGCUCGCGGACAUCAUCACUUGGGGAAGCAAGCAGCUUCACAAAUAUUGGAACGGCACCGUGGUCAAUCACCACCUUAAUGUUCUCUGAAGUUCCAGAAGCAAUGUUUGAAAGAGCCCAAGCAGCCUCAUACUGAAGUUGCGGAUAGUCUUCCCUCAUAAGAAACUCAACAAAGCGCUGGACAACGCCAGAUUGUAUGACUUUAUCAAUUUGUGGACUCCUCGCAAUCGAAAGCAGUUUGCUGAACUGAGUAGUUGCUUCCAGCUGUAGGCCGCUGUCAUCUGACCAAACCCCAGCAACCAUCCCGGGUAAACUCGCCUACUUAUUUAUUUUAGGAGCAGGAGCAAGAGGAGGAAAUUAAGUUAGGGAUUUGGAGUGAGAGUGAAAGUGGAGAAAAAGCAAGAGAGGGAAAAAGCUGAUUGUUGAGAAAUAUAUACCUUUCGUAUGGUUGUGUUAAGGUCGUCCUUCCAAGCCCAACAUGCUUUACCCCGCCCCUGCACUUUGUGUAAUUUGGGCGUACUUAAUUUUCCUUCAGAGAAAAUCUUCAUAUCGGGGCAAUCAUCCACCACUAAUCUUUCCAAAGAUGGGAACUUGAAAGCACAAUUGCCAGAGCAGAAGCUUGUUAGUCCUUGUAAGCCUAAAAGCUUCAACUUCUUCAAUUCUCUGAAAGUAAUAACCUCAUCUUUUGCUACAACAUCAUCCACCAGUACUAUUUCUGUUAUCCUAUCGCAUGAUUGUAUCUCCAUAUAUCUAAGUCGCACCAGAGUCUUUGCAAUUGAGGAUGUUAAUACGAUUUUCAAUCGUUUACAACACGAUACCACCAGAUUUGUAAGAUUCUGAAAGGAUGUCGACGGUGGCACUAGAUCGACCAAAUGGUCACACCACUUUACAUGUAGAAUAACCAAGUUGUUCGUAACAGAGGACUCCUGUAUCAAAAUGUGCUCCAGAUGAUAACAAUCAUUUGCUUCUCUCACAUUAACCCCCAUCCCAUUUUCAACCUUCUCUUUCGGCAACCAAGUAUAAGAUCCUCCUCCUAUUUGCAGGACUUUCAUUGUGUGAAGUCUCUGGAGGAAGUCACCAAGUGAUAAAAUAGUCCGCUCAUCAACCAACUCCACGUAAAGAUAUUUUAGUUUGCAAAGCAAGUCUUCAGAAAAUAGAUAUUUAUUUGUUCCUAUGUACUUUGCAUCAACUUUCAACUCUUCCAACAUAGGGAAUACCUGGGAGAUCGAUCAGAACCCAAAAAAGAAAAAAAAUAAAUACAAGAUGAAUCAGUUGAUGAGAAUUAUAAGUUACCACUAAUUUAUAAAAUAUAUUUUAUUCAAUAAAUCUUAACCUUUAAAAAAAUUAGUAAUAAUAGUACGCCUAACAUCUAGAAUAAUUAUGAAUGAAUACUAUACACUAAUCUGUAAGAGAGUUACGUUGCUGACAAUUUGAGUUUUAGUAAGAAACCAAGCGAUGAAGGCAAAGGCAAUAUAACUCUAAACUCUAUGAUAUAAACUCUCACAGUACAUACAUAAGAAUUGAAAAAUUGAUUAUAAAAUUCUUGUACGUACCCUUUCCGUGAAGAUACUAGUAGUUCUUUUGUAUCUCAUCAUGAAUUCAGGACAAUGGAAUAUCCUUAAUUCUUUCAAGGAUGGAAAUUCAAGAAUAUCAAGAUCUCCAGUGCAGAAGCUUGUGAACUUUUUAAGAUCAUACAUCUUCAGAUAUUGCAACUGGGGAAACGUUACAAUAUUAUUCUUCAUUUCUUCUUGGUUGUCCACGACUAUUAACUCUUCCAGGACAGGACAUACACUUAUAUCAAUGCGUUGGAGUCGAACAAAGCUACUAACGGUAGAAGAUGAAAAUAGACAUCUUAAAUUCAUACAGCCGAACAGGGUCAAGUGCGUUAAAUUCUGAAUACCACAAGACUUGACUGUAACUUGGUUCAGCCAAAUCCUCUCAACAUUUAUUGAACCCAACGUCAACUUCUCUAACUCUGGUAAUCGAACCUGCUCGAUCAAAAAAUCAACUCGUUAAUUACAAGCAACAAUGAUUUCUGUUGAUGGACAAAUCAAUAAAAUUACUCUUUCUCUGUUUAUAGUUCUUUUCAGUUUUUCAUACAAACAACCGUUAAUCAAGUUUUCCAAAUUAUUCCUUACUAAAUGUAUAGAUUUAGAGGGCGGCUAAUAUAAUUCAUAUUGCAAAUAUUCUUUGAUUGUAACGAAUUUUGUAAUAUUAAAUUUUGUUUGAUUCGCAAUAGGACCUACCAUCCAGCGCGAGCAGUUCUCGGGGAUUUAACUACUGGCACCUCGAUUAUAUAAAAAUUUGGAAUAUUUUCAAAGGAAAUCAAAUAAUUCCCCCUUGCCAAUAGUAAUUAUCAUUAAUUGCCGCGGGUUCACAUAUAAUUCUAAGAAAUUAGGCGAGAAGAGUCUCAUCAACAAUCAAUCAGCAGAUAUCACGUUCGGCAGAUCAUCAUGAUUUCCUCAGAUGCUAGAGAAUCAACGUGAUUUCCGCUCAUGCAGGAGUGGACACAUUAUCUUAGAGCAUCCCUUACUGAGAUCUUUUAAAAAAUUUAUAUUAUAAAGUGAACAACAUAUUUAGUAUAGAUUUAGACGGCGGCUAGUAUAAUUUAUCUGUAUUCUAAUGACGUAUAUUAAAGAAAAUGACUAACCAUAAUUUCAAUCAACUUAUUAGUCUAUAUAUAUAUAUAUAUAUAUAAAAUAUUCAGUGAUUACAACAUAUUUAGUAUUCCAUAACAUGAUGUUUAUAAUAAUAAUUAUUAUUAAUUCACUUAUUGUGUCAAGAACCUUUUCUUUCUCUAAGAAUGAAUUUGUUACACCCUACUAUACUACGGAUGAAAAAUUUAGAAUCAUUGUGAAAUGUGAUUAUUAAUCACUCUUUGCCAUAUUUGCUACCAAACAAGAAUGCAACAAAGAAAAAAAAAACAAAAAUUAUAGAGCAUUAAUAAGACCAUUGACUUAUCAAUAACUGACCUUCUCAGCGAAAAGUGUAUUAGAAAUUUGGACAUUGUCCUCCAAAAUGAUUUCAUGUGACCGCAAAUUAUUUGUUGAUUCCUCCUGUCUCUGCUAACAUUGCAGGUGUAUUGAUUUUAGAGUGUAAGCUUAAUUGUGAGCACAACCUUAAUGCAUAGAUACAAGAUCUUUAAAAAUUAGUACAAUAAACUUAGCACUAAAUCUAAAUUUGAUAUUUUGGAUUCCAUGAUUAAGAUUUUUUUUAAAUGAAAAUUUAAUAGGGUUAAUUUAAAAAUAAAAAUUAAAUAUGAAAAAUUAGACUUGCAAUUAUGGAUUUAAUUUUGAUAAAUAAUGAAUGUUCUCUUAAUAUUUUUUUUAAAAGGUAAAAGUGCGUGCAAAGCCCAAAUUCAUUUUUUUAGUCCCUUACUCUCCCAUGAUUCAAACUUGGGUGGUUGUGGGAGGACUGAAAAUAUAUAAGACCGUUAACUUCACUUUUUUUUUCUUUUUUUUUUUUUUUGUUGAGAGAAAAGAGAAGAAGGAUAUUACAAAGCAUGAAGCUCGUGCAAUAUAAGGACAAUUAUGGUUUUUUCUUUAAAUUAAAAUGGUAAGAUUUUGAAGCUAAAAGAUUAAAAUAUUAAUUAAAUUGCAACCAUUAAAGAUUUUUUUUUUCAAAUGGUUGCUUUGAAAAUGAGAAUAAUAUAAUAUUUGAAGACUUUUCAAAAUUAAUUACUGUGAUAGAUGCACUAGAAAUUUCUAGCUUUAGUCUAAUGUAUAAAUUGACAAAACGAUAUUAGAAUUCCAGGUGAAAAGAACCCUCUCAUACCAUUUUCUUAAAUUAGGAAUGAUCAUACCUCUGACUCUGCCGGACUGAGGGUGAGGUCUGAACCCCACAUCUCGAGACGCUUGAGAUGGGAAGAGCCCACAUUACGAAAAUAAUCGACAUCUUGCUCUUGCAAUCCACGUAAUUCAAGGUCUUCAAUUCUCUGCAGUUGCACGAUCAGCGAAUCCUUCAAGCAAAUGUUGUUAUUUAGCUGGAGACUGAAUUCACGAUACCAAAUGCCGGUGCUCUCCCAAUAGCCAACAUCUCCAAUGCGUAUGAUGUACCUUUCCAGCUUCUCCAAGAGCAGGCCUCUGGGCAGAGUGCUGACGUCAUAGACGUGUAAUUCCAAAGAGGUCAAGUUGGGCAAAUGCUUCAACUCCUCAAGGCUUGCAUUCUUAACCCCUUCUUCCACCUCCACCUCCCAUUUAUCAAAGCUUUCACCUAUAUAUAGUUCUUCUAAACGGGAUAAUUUUGACAGUAUAUUUGGUGGAAUAACUUCUAGUUCCUCACAAUCUCUCAAAUCAAGCAAAUUUAGCCAAGUCAAUUCACCUACUUCUGUUGGCAUCUGCUUAAUAUCGGAGCCUCUUAAGCAAAGGAUUUCUAGAUUCUUCUUCAAGUCUACUACAAAACUUAUAUCAGGCAAGCUGCAGCGACACAAACUCAGUGUUCGAAGGUUUGACAGGAGACCAAGUGAUGAAGGCAGUACCAUGUCAGUCAAGUUUACAACUCUGACCUCGAUCAUGCUCUUGAAAAAGUUGUCUGGAAUUGUUACUCGUGAAGAUUCCCAAGGAUCAUUACUUAGAAAAAGAAGUUCGAGUUGAGGACAUUCCAGUACUUCAGGAAGCAAAUUAGGCUUGAUAUCAUGUAAGACGAUUGAAGUGCAAUGCUUUAUUGCACUUCCGUCUGACCAUUCCCUGCAACCAUCAACCUGCUCAUUUGUAGCAGUAAACACAUUUCGUUCAGUAGAUGCAAUUGAUACGGCGACAUCGCGAACUACAUCAUGCAUAGAAAACAACUCUUUCUCCUGGCUUAUAUGGUCAAGCAACAUACAAGAAGCUUUGAGUGUGCGCACCAAUGUAUGUACUCGAUUUCGUGCUACUUCAAUCUUAUUCACACCUUGAAAUAAACCCAAUCCCAUACCACACAUUAACAAGUCAUCAAUAGAUGAUAUGGCUGUAUAUCCUAUUAGCAAAAAGAUGUUCUUGAGAUCAUCCCUUCCUAGUUUAUUGUAGCUCAACUCGAUAGCUUUAAAUGCGGCUGGCUGUACAUCCUUAAAAUUCGAUGAAGAAGGCCUUCUUAGCUGUUCCAAUGCAUCCUUCCAUUCACGUAUGCUGUUGCUCCUUAAUGCCCUUGCAACCGUCACAAUGGAAACUGGUAGACCUGCACAUUCCUCUGCCACAUUCCUUGCCACCUCUUCCAAUUCACUACCUUCAACAUAAUCACCUGCCAUCUUCUUGAAUAGACUCCAAGCUUCUUCUUCGUUUAAAACACCAACUGGGAAAUUUGUUCGACAAUCCAUCUUCUCAGACAAUACAUUUAGACUUCUGGCCGUCAACAAUACUUUACAACCAUCUCCAAGAGGAAUUCGGACAUUCCCCAAAUUAAGAUUCUCCCAAAUGUUGUCUAAAACUAUCAGGAUCUUCUUCACUUUUUUUAUACCUUCACAUAACCUGCCUGCCCUUCCUUCAUCACUUUCCUCAUGCAACUUCAGGCCUAAUUUAUCUGCAAUUACUCCUUGAAUCUUUCGUAUGUCUUGAUUCUGAGACACCUCAACAAAAACCACCUGAUCAAAGAGUUUGUCACUCUUGACUUUCCUAGCAACUUCUUCGGCCAGCGUCGUCUUUCCGAUUCCGCCCAUUCCAUAGAUCCCAAGCAUGUUGACAUCGCGAUCUUCUAGUGCACUGAGUAUACUCAUCAAAGUGGACAUUCUUGAUUCAAAGGGCUCGUAGUCUUUGCUAGGGAUAAGCCGAAUAUCCUCUGGAGCAGUACGGUAGGAAAUUCUAUCAAAUCUUCGAUCUUCUCGGACUUUGACAACAGCCUCCUUCUUCCUCUCUGCUUCCUUGCUAAGUCGACGGCGGGUCUUCAAAUUAGGACACAACCCCUUGAAACAACGUUUAGUUGCAGCGGCUUCAUCUUCUGUAAAUUUAUCUGCCUCUUCAAUGACUUUGUUGGCCCCUUCAAGCCAACUCCUAACGUUCUCUUCAAUUUCUUCCCCGUUUCGUUCAGCCUCAUCAACCUGGUGCUCUGUACGCACCCUCUCAGACUUUAGUUUCUCAACUUCAGUCUUGAGAUUCUGUAAGUUGCUCGUGUACUUACUCUCACGCAAAUAGCUAAUUUGGCGAUAUGCGGGAGGAGCCAAGCACUUCACAACUUCUACAACAAUAGUAAGAAUGAAAUCAGCCAUCUUCAGUCCUUUGUCCCUGUCUCUCGAUCUCUCUUUUUCUGAAUUUUUGAAAAACAAUUGACUAUUUAGGAAGCACACUGAGUGAUUGAACACAAGUGACUACAACAAGAUGGAACAAAAUAAAAAGGAAAAAAAUACAAAGAGUGGAUGGAGAAUAAAACAGAGACAGCGGCACAGCUGGACACAACUAGAUAGAGAACAGAGGAAAACCAAAUAACAAGACUGAAGAUUACAACAAACAGAGGCCAAGUAUUGUUGAGAUCAGAAGAUGGAAAAUUCAAAAGAGUUGAUGGCAGAUGCUGAAUAACAGAACAACAAUGAACGCAAUAAACAGAAGCAAAGUGUGUUUGCGAUCGACAGACGGAAGUAAGGAAAGCGGUUGUUGAUUGAAAAUGAAUGAAUGCAAAGAAAGACUGAUGUUGAAAAUUGAUGUCAAUAGCGAAGGAAUAAUUGAACUUUCGCUGAAUUAUUGUUUGUGGCCUUCUUUUACUUUUUAUUUGUGGGUCAUGUCUUUUGGAACUAAUCAUCUUAGCUUAUGCCUUACAGCUUUAAGGCCAGUAACCGGUGUCCGUUGGAUAAGCAUAUAGAAAUCCAACGGUGGAUAUAUAUCCUUGCAGAACAAAAUUCAACAGCAACACCCCAACUUUAAAUAUGAUUAUCUGUUGGGGAGUGCUGGGCUGCAGUUUCUUAAGGAGAUUUAUAUAUCCUCCUCAAAAAUAAAUGUUUUAAGAUAGAUAUUUAGACUAUUUCAUCAUAAAAUAAAUGUAAUUAAUUUUUUUUAUAAAUAUUUAUUUAUUUUUUUAAUUACUAAUGACCUUUGAAUAUACAUAUCACUAAUUCAAAAAAUAAAUUGUGAUUAUUUGUUAAUGUAUGCGAUUACUUGUGAUGGUAAACUUUUGAAGUUAAAUUAAAAAAAAAAAACAGAGCUUUUACCAUUACUUGCUUUAUCAUCUUUUAAAUUAGAAUUAUUAUUCUUUUAUUUUUUUCAAGUUGCCAACUCAUCCGCAUUCUUUUUUAUUGAAUUUGAAGAUCAAUGAUUAUAAAUUUGUGUAAAAAUUUUAAGCCAAAAUUUUAAAUUAAAAUAAUCAUUAACUUAUUGGAAAAUAAUAACUUGGUAUAACAAAUAUUAUAUCCUAUACUUUAUUGCUACAAGAUUACAAAACCUUAUAUUAUAUUAUGUUUCCAUAUUUCUCCUUUAUAGUAAAGACUCAUACUUCUUCUCUAGUAGAUGUUAAAGUAUUGGCUUAAACUUUUUAACCAGCACAGUAGACUAUUAAGCUAUAUAUGCUAUAAUGUCCCUCUUUCCUCACAGAUUAAACCAAUCUAAUCUCAGAGUGAGUUGAUACCAUGAGUUUGCAUUUGUCAUCAAAGGAGCAUCAUUAUUAAUUAAUAUAGGUUCGAUCAAUAGGUAUGAUAAUAAAUUUUUUUAUCUACAAAUACUAUUUUUCAAAAUAUUAUAUCUUUAGACUUAACUAAAUAUCUUCUAACCAUAUAUGUACAGUUUGUUUGAUCUCUUUUAAAUAUUGGAGAUUACAACAGAACAGAUGCGAAUUAGCAGUGACGCUGAGUUUAGAAGAUUGAAAUUAAGAAAAUUAAGGAAAGGAUAAGGAUGUAUUUUCAAAGUGAAUUAUUGAGAGAUCUUUGAAGAUUACUUCCGUCAAGAGCUGGGUCCCAUACUCUUUCGCCUUUGUCCUCCAGUCAACCAUAAGACAAAUUAUUAUUGAGUGUAAACGGACUUAUUAACCACCAAAUUUUCAAACUUGUGAUCCUUAUUGAAUCUGCAUUCCCCUUUACAAAAGUAAAAAAAAAAAAGUGCAAAUAACGAAAAAAAAUUUUGUUCCUUGACUGCAAGUGCUGUCGACAUUUUCAGACUUGUAAGACCCUUCUACUUGCAAGAUGCCACUGAAUUUGUCUUUUUUUUUUUUUAAAUUACACUAUACUAUUUUAUAUUUUAUAAAAAAAUUUAAUAGAUAUUAUAAGUUACAAAUUUUUAUAUUUAAUAUUCUCAAAAUAAAUUAUUAAAUAAAUGAUUCAUUUACUAUUUUUUCCUUUAAAUUUUUGUUAUUAAAAAGAUUUUUGGAUAUUGAACGUGAAGGGCUCAACUGAUCGCUAAUUUUGCAGCAAUUGCCCUUUUCUUUCUCCCCCAAUUGUUUUGAAAAAUAUCCAGACUCAUUCAGCGAAGUAUCCGAGGCCAAAGGGCUAAAAGAUGGGACACCCGCAUGUGCUUCUAAUUACAAAAUCUAAAGUUAGGGGGACCAUAACUUACAUUUAAUAUAAUUUAUGAUAGGGGUCCGCCUAUGUUACCACUGUACAAUAAGUUUGGUCUUUUCUGACUCAGUUGUGAUGAGCCCCUUGUACUCGAUAUUAUUUACUAUUUAUUUAUAAGUAUUAUAAAAAUUUUUGCUUACUUAUUAUAUAAAAAUUUAAUUGGUUCCCUUACACUCUUAUUCAUUUACUAUUUUUUUGUAGUAUCAAAAGAAUUUAUAUUUACAACCACGAUACAUUAAUUAUCAUAACACUCUAAUAUUAAUAAAAAGACAAAGACAUCCUUAAAUUAAAACAAAAAAAAUACUUUCUUCUUUUGAGGAAUUACGGUAUCUCAUUUUCCACCACUCAUUAUCAACAAAAUUUUUAAGGAUAUAACCAUUCAUCUUCUUUAUAAUAUCAUCUCGCAAUAAUUAAUACUUUCAUGAAAAAAUAAUUAACAAAAUAAAAAAAUAAAUUCCCAUUGAAUACAUCCCUCUCCACUAUUAAUUUCUCUUCAUCAAUAACCUUUAUCGACAAUUAAAACCACCAUUAGACUCAUCAUAAAGAGAGAGUAAGAGAAAGAAAGAAGAAACGAGAAAAAAUAUAUGAACCUUUUAUAAUUUUAUAGUGCGUUCACUAAACGAGAAUCGAAAUGAGGUGAAAUCAAAACGAGAAAUUAAGGGCCCGUUUGGUAUUGUUUUUGAAUCUGUAUUUUCUGAGAAUAAAAAUGAAAAUGAAAAUGGUGUUUUGCAGUUGCUGUAUUUUGAAUUUAAGUAUGCGUCUGGUAUUAUUUUCUGUAUCCUGUAUUUUAAAACUGAAAACAGUAACAUGCGUUCGGUAGACACAGUCGAAAAUGAUAAAAACAGAGAAUAUGCGUUCGGUAAUACUUUUUUCAAAAACAGUUUUUACUAUUAACCAUUUACAUCAUAUUUAUAGUUAUAAAAUAAUUAUUUAGCUAAUACAUACACAAAUACAACAUAAUAAUUUAAAACAAAAUUAUUAUAAAAAAUUUACAUGAUGAUAAAGUUUUAGAAUUAACAUUAAUUAAAAAAAAUUACAUUGUCAUUGUUUUUACAUCAUAAUUAAGAUAUAUAUUACAACACAUGAUUUAAACAAAAUAAUUAUAAAAAAAAUACAUGAUAGACAUUAUACAUUACGUAUGUAAUUAUGCCACAUAGAAGUUGCAAUUCUAUCUCUUGUAGCACUCAUCUCGGCGACACUUGCUGGAGAUAAAUCAAUAUUAGUAAGUGGCCUACUAGUGUCUCCUUCUUCGAUGGUAACCAAAUCUUGUACAUCAAAGUCCCCAAAUAACCUAUCACUUGCAUUUUCUCGUCGAAUAAAGUUAUGUAAAGCGCAACAUGCAAUUGGAAUUAGACGUUGCUUACGUAAACUAUAAUUAUGCAUAUCCCUUAAAAUUGAAAAUCGCGCUUUUAAAACACCAAAGCAUCGCUCAAUUACAUUACGCAAUGAUGAAUGUCUGUAAUUAAACAAUUCUUGGGGACCUCUAGGUGCUCGACCUGAUCCUCUAUAAUCACGUAAAUGAUAUCUCUCACCUCUAUAUGGUGUCAAAAAUCCUUUCAUAUUUAUGUAUCCAGAAUCCACAACGUAGUAAUAUCCUAAAAUAUAGAAACAAUAAAACAUAACUUAAUUAAAAAAUAAAGGCCAAAGAUAUUAACACACACACACACACACACACAAACAUAUAUAUAUAUAUCUCAAUAUUCUUACCUUCUUCCGGACGUGGAAACCCAGAUUCUGGUCUAUUUAAGGCAUCCAUAAACACCCUUGAGUCAUUGGCGGUACCUUCCCAACCCGUAUAUACAAAUGUGAACAUCAUGUCAAAAGAACAUGCACACAUGAUAUUUUGAGUCACCUGAGUCUUUCUAUCUCGAUAUGAUAUCUGUUUAUGUGCAGGUGACCAUGCAGCAAUGUGGGUUCCAUCAAUUGCACCGAUACACUUCUGUGAAAAUAUGUCAAAAUUAUUAAUUUAUUAACCAAAUGUUAAUGUCACAUAAACUUUGAAGUAACAUGUAUUGAAUUUCUUACCUCAAAAUAUGGAAAAAAAUUUGGAUUGUUACUAAUCUCUGAUGGCGUUUCCCCUUGAGGUUUUGGUUUUAUAAUGUGAUUUGCCAAUUGACAAAGUGCUUUUAAAACACGCUUAAAGUGUGAAAAAACAGUAUCCCCUGAACGUUGAAAACGCUCAGAUACAACCCUCACAACAGCACCAUGGGACAAUACAUACAAGCACAUUGCUACAGCCUCCUUGAUACAAACAUGUCUAUCAUUCUCUAAUAACUGUAGAUGUUCAAGUGUAUAACAUAAUCAAAUAAGUGUAUAAAUAAAACCAAAAAAUAUUAUUUUAAUUUAAUACGAAACUAUUUAAUAUACUACAAAUAUAGUUUUACCUUAAUAUAUUCAGCCCAAACAGCUUCCGAUGCUGUGACCGUAUUUGAAACAUGAUCCCAACCAAACCCGGUAUGAGCUACUAAGUCAGAAAACUCUCGAUGUUUUUUGCGCAACCUAUUAAACUUGGACUUAAGUUGCCCUACAUUGAAUCUUUUUUGGCAUUGUUCUAACAUCUCAUCACUUAUAGUGUUCCAAAUUUUCUUAGUGAAAGUUGAUGUUUGUAAAUCACCCUUUUUAACAUGGUCAUGUACAAUACGAAUAAAAACGGUUUCGGUCCGGCUAGACCAAUCAGCCUUAUCCUCAACAUCAACAUCAUGUGAAUCCAUAUCUUGAAAAAUUAGAAAAAAUAACACAUAUCAAAUAAUGAUCAAAUUCAACAUAACAUAUACAUAUUUCAGCAACAUGUCAUACAUUAAAAACUGAAUGGUACCAAAAAAAAAUAAAAAAUAAAACAUAUAUCAAAUAUUAAUCAAAUUAAAAACACUGCUAUUAAAUUUUUAGAUAUAAACAUACAAUUUUCAGUACAUGCUAUUAAUCCCCCACUAAAUUUCAGUAAUGUAAUCAACAUAAAGGUUGCAUUGCUAUGACUUUUUGCAUUAAUAUUGAUAACUAAAAGCCUUAACUUGCUUUUUGAACUUGGUUAUUUGUUACUCAAUGCAGACAGCUUACAACUUGAAGAUUUGGGAAUCAUUUACCACGGAAAUACCCACCCAGGUAUUUGGUAUGCUAGUGUAGUGUUUUUGGGAACAAUUUAGUCAUCAAGAUGUCUGGUUAUGGUGUAGCUAAUACCAAAAUUUGUAGAAGUAUCUAAAUAAAAAUAAAAUGUGCUCUUUAUUUUGCUAAUAUUUUUUGUUCUAGUAAUUUCAUAGAAUUUAUAUUGGUACAGAGAUAGCUAUGUCUCAAGCCUAUAGUAAUUGCAAUUUUCUAAAUGGCUCAGCGUCUUUCCUUGGUCUGAGGAACAAACAUGGGGAUGAAACAAAAAUCUGGCAUCAGAAUCCAUAUGCUGGCUAUUUUUAACAUUGCUUUUUUGGGUUUCAGCUAUCAUAGUCUAGAGUACUUUUGCACGGUUAAUUAAGUUAAUAACAGUGGAAAGUUUUCCAAUCAGCAUAAAGGAAUUCCCACAAGAAAUUGUUUGUUUUAAUAGAUUUAAUCUCUAAAAUAAAUGAGGAAAAAUUUCAGCUCAUAAAUAAACAAUUUGUCACUACAUAUGAACAACCUCAGAAAUUUCCAGAAUUAAAAAUCACUCAAAUCAUCUCUAAAAAUUUUCAGUUCAUAAACAAAAUAAAUACCAGCAAGUGACAGAUCCGGGAGAGCAACAAUGGUUGGGCAAGUGCAGAUCCGAGAGAGCAAGUGCACCGAGAGAGCAAGUGCAGAUCCGAGAGAGCAAAGACGAAGUAGCAGCAGCUGGACGGAGUCGGAGUAGCAGCAGCUGGACGGAGUCGGAGCAGCAGCGGUUACAGCGGAGAAAGAGCAGCGGCAGUGGCUAGCACACCAAGAGCGACCAAGAGAGAGAUUUGCUGCAACUGGAUUGAGAAAAUUGAGGGGAAAGAGGGUGCUGCAGUGAACUGGAUUGAGAGUGAGGGUUGCAGUGAAGAGAAAAGUGAGGGCUGCAGGGUCACGAUUUUUUUGUUGUUUUUUAAUUCAUUUUUAGGUUUAGUUUGUAAAAUUUGGAAAACAUGUUUAACUUGUUUUCAGUUGUAUAGUUAUAAUAAUGAAUCCGGAUUUUAUGUUUUGUAAUUUAUUUUGUGAAACAAAUCUACCGAACAUGUUUUAUGUGUGUAUUAUAAAAAUGAAAACGAAAACAUGGCUUGCAAAACGGUACCGAACGGGCCCUAAGUUAUCUGACAUCAGAUGACCGCUGUCAUCUGACCAAACCCCAGCAACCAUGGGAAAAAUCACCUACUUGUUUUAGGAGCAGGAGCAGGAGCAGGAGGAGGAAAUUAAGUUAGGGAUUUGGAGUGAUAGGGAAAAAGCUGAUUGUUGAGAAAUAUAUAUACCUUUUGUAUGGUUGUGUUAAGGUCGCCCUUCCAAGCCCAACUUGCUUCACUCCGCCGCUGCACUUCGUGUAAUUUGGGUGUACUUAAAUUUCCUUCAGAGAAAAUCUUCAUAUCGGGGCAAUCAUCCACCACUAAUCUUUCCAAAGAUGGGAACUUGAAAGCACAAUUGCCAGAGCAGAAGCUUGUCAAACUUUUUAAGUCUAAAAGCUUCAACUCCUUCAAUUCUCUGAAAGUAAUAACCUCAUCUUUUGCCACAACAUCAUCCACCAGUACUAUUUCUGUUAUCAUAACGCAUGAUUUUAUCUUCAUAUAUCUAAGUCGCACCAGAGACUUUGCAAUUGAGGAUGUUAAUACGAUUUUCAAUCUUUCGCAACUGAAUACCACCAGAUUUGUAAGAUUCUGAAAGGAUGUCGACGAUGGCACUAGAUUGACCAAACGGUCACACCCCUUUACACGUAGAAUAACCAAGUUGUUCGUAACAGAGGACUCCCUUAUCAAAAUGUUCUCCAGAUGAUAACAAUUAUUUGCUUCACUUAUUUCUACUGCCAUACCAUUUUCAACCUUCUCUUUCGGCGACCGGCCACCAUAUCCUUGUAUUUGGAGGACUUUCAUUGUGUGAAGUCUCUGGAGGAAGUCAUCAAGUGAUACAAUAGUCGGCUCAUCAACCAACUCCACAAAAAGAUAUUUUAGUUUGCAAAGCAAGUCUUCAAAAAAUAGAUAUUUAUUUGUUCCUAUGUACUUUGCAUCAACUUUCAACUCUUCCAAAUUAGGGAAUACCUGGGAGAUCGAUCAGAACCAAAAAAAAAAAAAAUACAAGAUGAAUCAGUUGAUGAGAAUUAUAAGUUACCACUAAUUUAUACAAUAUAUUUUAUUCAAUAAAUCAAUAAAUACAAGAUAAACUUUCACAGUACGUACAUAAGAAUUGAAAAUUUGAUUAUAAAAUUCUUGUACGUACCCUUUCUGUCGAGAUAUUAGUAGUUUUUUCGUAUCUCACCAUGAAUUCAGGACAUGCAGAUAUCCAUAAUUCUUCCAAGGAUGGAAAUUCAAGAAUAUCAAGAUCUCCAGUGCAGAAGCUUGUGAACUUUUCAAGAUCAGACAUCCUCAGAGAUUGCAACUGGGGAAACGUUACAAUAUUAUUCUUCAUUUCUUCUUGGUUGUCCACGACUAUUAACUCUUCCAGGACAGGACAUUUGACUAUCAUAACGUGUUGGAGUCGAACAAAGCUACUAACUGUAGAAGAUGAAAAUAGACAUCUUAAAUUCAUACAGCUGUACAGGGUCAAGCGCGUUAAAUUUUGAAUACCACAAGACAUGACUGCAACUUGGUUCAGCCAAAUCCUCUCAACAUUUAUUGAAUACAACAUCAACUCCUCCAAAUUUGGUAAUGCAACCUGCACGAUCAAAAAAUUAACUUGUUAAUUACAAGCAACAAUUAUUAAUCACUCUUUGCCAUAUUUGUUACCAAACAGGAAUAUAACAAAGAAAAAAAAACAAAAAUUAUAGAGAAUUAAUAAGACGAUUGACUUAUUAAUAACUGACCUUCUCAGGGAAAAGCGUAUUAUAAAUUUGGACAUUGUCCUCCAAAAUGAUUUCAUGUGACUGCAAAUCAUUAUCUGAUUCCUGUUGUCUCUGUUGACGUUGCAGGUGUCUUGAUUUUAGAGCGUAAGCCUAAUUGUGAGCACAAUCUUAAUGCAUAGAUACAAGAUCUUUAAAAAUUAGUAUAAUAAACUUAGCACUAAAUUCAAAUUUCAUAUUUCGGAUUCCAUGAUUAAGAUUUUUUAAAUAAAAAUUUAAUAGAGUUAAUUUAAAAAUAAAAAUUAAAUAUGAAAAAUAAACUUGCAAUUAUGGAUUUAAUUUUGAUAAAUAAUGAAUGUUCUCUUUAUAUUUUUUUUAAAAGGUAAAAGAGCAUACAAAGCCCAAAUUCAUUUUUUUAGUCCCUUACUCUCCCUUGAUUCAAACUUGGGUGGUUGUAGGAGGACUGAAAAUAUAUAAGACAGUUAACUUCACUUUUUUUUUUCUUUUUUUUUUGUUGAGAGAAAAGAGAAGAAGGAUAUUACAAAGCAUGAAGCUCGUGCAAUAUAAGGGCAAUUGUGGUUUUUUCUUUAAAUUAAAAUGGUAAGAUUCUGAAGCUAAAAGAUUAAAAUAUUAAUUAAAUUGCAAACAUUAAAGAUUUUUUUUUUCCAAAAUUGGUUGCUUUGAAAAUGAGAAUAAUAUAAUAUUUGAAGACUUUUCAAAAUUAAUUACUGUGAUGCACUAGAAAUUUCUAGCUUUAGUCUAAUGUAUAAAUUGACAAAACGAUAUUAGAAUCCCAGGUGAAAAGAACCCUCUCAUACCAAUUAUUUAAAUUAGGAAUGAUCAUACCUCUGACUCUGCCGGAUUGAGGGCGAGCCAGAGACGCUUGAGAUGGGAAGAGCCCACUUUGACUAAUUCAUUACGAAAAUAAUCGACAUCUUGCUCUUGCAAUCCACAUAAUUGAAGGUCUUCAAUUCUCUGCAGUUGCACGAUCAGCGAAUCCUUCAAGCAAAUCUUGUUAUUUAGCUCGAGACUGAAUUCACGACACCCAAUGCCGGUGCUCUCCCAAUAGCCAUCAUCUCCAAUGCGUAUGCUGUACCUUUCCAGCUUCUCCAAGAGCAGGCCUCUGGGCAGAGUGCUGACGUCACGGGCGCGUAAUUCCAAAGAGGUCAAGUUGGGCAAAUGCUUCGACUCCUCAAGGCUUGCAUUCUUAAUCCCUUCUUCCACCUCCACCUCCCAUUUAUCAAAGCUUAUACGACCUAUAUAUAGUUCUUCUAAACGGGAUAAUUUUGACAGUAUAUUUGGUGGAAUAACUUCUAGGUCCUCACAAUCUCUCAAAUCAAGCAACUUUAGCCAAGUCAAUUCACCUACUUCUACCGGCAACUUCUUAAUAUCAGAAUCUCUUAGGCAAAGGAUUUCUAGUUUCUUCAAGUCUCCUACAACACUUAGAUCAGGCAGGUAGCACCAACACAAACUCAGUGUUCGAAGGUUUGACAGGAGACCAAGUGAUGAAGGCAGUGACCGUAGAUCCAUGUCAGUCAAGUUUACAACUCUGACCUGUAUCAUCCUCUCGAAAAAGUUGCUUGGAAUUGUUAAUGAUGAAGAUUCCCAACGACCAGCACUUAGAAACAGAAGUUCGAGUUGAGGACAUUCCAGUACUUCAGGAAGCAAAUUAGUCUUGAUACCAUGCAAGACGAUUGAAGUGCAAUGCUUUAUUGCACUUCCGUCCGACCAUUCCCUGCAACCAUCAACCUGCUCAUUUGUAGCAGUAAACACAUUUCGUUCAGUAGAUGCAAUUGAUAUGGCGACAUCGCGAACUACAUCAUGCAUAGAAAACAACUCUUCAUCCUUGCUUUCAUGGUCAAGCAACAUACAAGAAGCUUUGAGUGUGCGCACCAAUGUAUGUACUCGAUUUCGUGCUUCUUCAAUCUUAUUCACGCCUUGAAAUAAACCCAAUCCCAUACCACACAUUAACAAGUCAUCAAUAGAUGCUAUGGCUGUAUAUCCUAUUAGCAAAAAGAUGUUCUUGAGAUCAUCCCUUCCUAGUUUAUUGUAGCUCAACUCGAUAGCUUUAAAUGCGGCUGGCUGAACAUCCUUAAAAUUCGAUGAAGAAGGCCUUCUUAGCUGUUCCAAUGCAUCCUUCCAUUCACGUAUGCUGUUGCUCCUUAAUGCCCUUGCAACCGUCACAAUGGAAACUGGUAGACCUGCACAUUCCUUUGCCACAUCCCUUGCUACCUCUUUCAAUUCAUUACCUUCAACAUAAUCACCUGCCAUCUUCGUGAAUAGACUCCAAGCUUCAUCUUCUUUUAAAAAUCCAACUGGGAAAUUUUUUCGAGACUCCAUCUCUCCAGACAAUGCUUGUUCACUCCUUGCCGUGAACAGCACUUUAAUUCCAACAUCCAACAAAUCAAGAUUUUCCCAAAUAUUAUCCAAGAUUACAAGGAUCCUCUUCUCUUUCUUCAGUCGAUCAUAGAGUCUUCUUGCCCUACCCGAUUCACUCUCCUCAUCAAAUUUUAGACCUAGUUUAUCCGCGAUUUCUCCUUGAAUCUUUCUUACGUCUCGACUCUCAGACACCUCAGAAAAAACCACCUGAUCGAAAAGCUUGUCACACUCUGCUUUUCUGGCAACUUCUUUAGCUAGCGUCGUCUUUCCGAUUCCGCCCAUUCCAUAAAUCAAAAGCAUGUUGACAUUGGGAUUUUUUAAUGCAUCAAUUAUUUCAUUCAGAAUGGACGUUCUUGAUUCAAAGGCCUCGAAGUCUUUGUUAGGCAUAAGCAAGGUAUCCUCCGGAAUGAUGCUGUAGGAAAUACUAUUAACUGGUCUAGCGUCCAGGACUUUGACAACAGCCUCCUUCUGCCUCUCUGCUUCCUUGCUAAGUCGAGGGCGGGUCUUCAAAUUAGGACAUAACCCCUUGAAACAACGCUUAUUUGCAGUGGCUUCAUCUUCUGUAAAUUUAUCUGCCUCUUCAAUGACACUGUUGGCCGUUGCAAGCCAAUUCUCAACGUUCUCUUCAAUCUCUUCUCCUUUUCUUUUAGCCUCAUCAACCUGGUGCUCUGUACUCACCCUCUCAGACUUUAGUUUCGCAACUUCAGUGUUGAGAUUCUGUAAGUUGCUCGUGUACUUACUCUCACGCAAAUAGCUAAUUUGGCGAUAUGCGGGAGGAGCCAAGCACUUUACAACUUCUAAAACAAUAGUAAGAAUGAUUUCAGCCAUCUUCAGUCCUUUGUCCUUGUCUCUCUAUCUCUUUUUUUCUGAAUUUUGGAAAAACAAUUCAACAAGUGACCACAACAAGAUGGAACAAAAUAAAAAGGAAAAAAAAUACAAAGAGUGGAUGGAGAAUAAAACAGAGACAGCGGCACAGCUAGACGCAACUAGAUAGAGAACAGAGGAAAACCAAAUAACAAGACUUAAGAUUACAACAAACAGAGGCCAAGUAUUGUUGAGAUCAGAAGAUGGAAAAUUCAAAAGAGUUGAUGGCAGAUGCUGAAUAACAAAACAACAAUGAACGCAACAAACUGAAGCAAAGUGUGUUUGUGAUCGACAGACGAAAGUAAGGAAAGUGGUUGUUGAUUGAAAAUGAAUGAAUGCAAAGAAAGACUGAUAUUGAAAAUUGAUGUCCAUAGCGAAGGAAUAAUUGAACUUUCGCUGAAUUAUUGUUUGUGCCUUCUUUUACUGUUUAUUUGUGGGUCAUGUCUUUUGGAACUAAUCAUCUUAGGUUAUGCCUUAUAGCUUUAAGGCCGGUAAACCGGUGUCCGUUGGAUUAGCAUAUAGAAAUCCAACGGUGGAUAUAUAUACUUGGAGAAUAAAAUUCAAGAGCAAAGGGAGUGCUGGGCUGCAGUUUCUUAAGGAGAUUUAUAUAUCCUCCUCAAAAAUAAAUAUUUUAAGGUAGGUAUUUAGACUAUUUCAUCAUAAAAUAAAUGUAAUUAAUUUUCAUAAAUAUUUGAUAUCAAUAUUUAUUUAUUUUUUUAAUUACUGAUGACCUUUGAAUAUUCGAUACAUAUUAUUAAUUCAAAAAAAAAAUUGUGAUUAUUUAUUAAUGUUUGCGAUUACUUGUGAUGGUAAACAAAGUAGAUAUGGUAUAUUUUGAAGUUAAAUUAAAAAAAACAGAGCUUUUACCAUUACUUGCCUUAUCAUCUUUUAAAUUAGAAUUAUUAUUCUUCUAUUUUUCAAGUUGCCAACUCAUUGUCUUUUAUUGAAUUUAACGAUCAAUGAUCAUAAAAUUGUGUAAAAAUUUUAAGUCAAAACUUUAAAUUAAAAUAAUCUUUAAGUUAUUGAGAAAUAAUAACUUAAUAUAACAAAUAUUAUAUCCUAUACUUUAUUGCUACAAAAUUACGAAACUUUAUAUUAUGUUUUCAUAUUUCACCUUUAUAGUGACGACUCAUGCUUCUUCUCUAAUAAAUGCUAAAGUAUUGGCUUGAAUUUUUUAAUUAGUACAGUAGAACCUUAAGCUAUAUAUACUAUAAUGUCCCUCUUCUCUCACAGAUUAAACCAAUCAGAUCUCAGAGUGAGUUGAUACCAUGACUUUGCAUCAUUCAUGAUCAAAGGAGCAUCAUUACUAACUAAUAUAGGCUCGAACAAUAGGCAUGAUAAUAAUUUUGUUUAUCUACAAACACUAUUUAACUCUAUCUCUUUUCUCUCCCCCACGCGAAGACUACUCCUUUCUCUUUGGCUAAUUUUUAAAAACCUCCCCUGAGGUUUGGACUUGUUGCAAGUAGAUGGCGAGAAUUUGUUUAUUUGUAAAAAACCCCCUACCGUCAAUUAACUUUAACAUUGACCGUUAGUUGACUGUGCAAAGAUAAUAUUACCCUUAACAAUAGUUUGUAGACGGAAAUAACUAAAAAAAAAUUUAAAAUUAUUGGCUAUUUUAUCCUCUUUAAAUUAUUGAUAUUUUCUUAAAGUUCCUACAAGAAAGAUAAAAUUUAAAAUUUAAAAUUUAAAAAAUCCUCUUUAAAUUAUUGAUAUUUUCUUAAAGUUCCUACAAAAAAGAUAAAAUUAAAAACUUGAAAAUGAAAUAGUUAUAAUCUUUACCCAUAAUAUUGUAAAUCUUUAGAAUUGACAAAGAUAAAAUUGUCAAAAAAUAGGGUUUGUGCUUUUCGCGCCAAUAAUUUUAAUUUUUUUUUAGUUAUUUCCGUCUAUAAACUGUUGUUAAGGGUAAUAUUAUCUUUACACAGUCAACUAACGGUCAAUAUUAAAGUUAACUGACGAUAGAGGGUUUUUUUAUAAAUAAAUAAAUUUUCGCCAUCUACUUGCAACAAGCCCAAACCUAAAGGACGUUUUUAAAAAUUACCCUUUCUCUUUUGACAUUUUUUACGCGUUUCUCUUUUCUCUUCCCCCACGUGAACACUUUUGCCUUUUGCUCGUUCACGUGAAAGUCGGUUUAGAAUUUUGAUCUUAUUUCACAAAGCUAAUUUUUUAUCACAAGCAGGAGAGAAACGGCAUUUCUUAGCAGUAGUUCAUCACUGUAGUGGCGAGCUAGUGAGGAACAAAAUUACCAACAAUUAUAAAAAAAUAAUUAUAAAAAAAGAUCACAUGCUAUAAUUAAUCAUGACCAUUGACAACAUUACUCCCACCGAGCAAAAGUUAACAGCAUCUUCUCCCACAUUUAAAAAAAAAAUAGUAUUAUAUAACCCACCAAAAGUAUAAAGAGUCUUUCUUUAUUAAAAUUAAUAAAUUACUCUUUAUAUUGAGAAAUUAAAAUUUAAAAUAAAAAUAAUUGAUAUGUUUAUUAUUUAAAAUAAAAAUAAAAAUAAAAUUUACAAAAUCAUAUAUUUUUAAAAUUAAAGAAUAAGAAUUUAAUUUCUUAUGGAGAGUGUUGGAAAUCAAGUUCUUAUUGCUUAAACUCCUAAUUUUACCUCACAAAAAUUUUAUAAGUUCACUUUUAUCCUUAAUUAAAAUAUUAUUAUGUUAUUAUUAUGGUUAUUAUUCUUAUUUUUGUAGUAGUUGCUGCUGUUGUUGUUGAUGAUGAUAAUAGUUGAUAAUAAAAUUAAUAAUAAUAAUGAAAAUAAUAACUAUAAUUUUAACAGCUACAAUAAUAAUCAUUAAUAUUAUUGUUGUCGUUCUUAUUAUUAUUAAUAAAAAAUAAUUAUUUUGAAUAAUAAUAAUCACAAUUAUUAUAACAAACAACGACAAUAAUCAACUAAUGUCAUUGUAAUAACUUGUAACAAUUCAUUUUUUAUUUCAAGACAAAGUAACCAUAUCAAUAAUAAUAUAGGUUAUUUCGAUUCUAAUUCUUACAAGUAAAAUAAAUAAUUUAUUCUGAUUCUCAUUUUUCAUUUUGAUUUUAUUCUAUUCUGAUUCCAGUUGAUUCUGAUUCCAGCCAAUUCAAAUUACCAACUAGAAAAUGCAUUGUUACUACUUUAAUAAUAACUAAUGAUUCUCCUCACAAUUCUUAUAGGAUUAUCCUUAUUUUAAAAUAAUUUUUUAUUCAUAUUUAUCAUAAAUUAAUUAAAUUAUACCAAUGAAAAUUAAAAAAAAAAGAGAAAACAUAUGUUUCGGUUUGAAUAAAAAAUUAAUAAUAAAAUAUUUUCCUUAUAUAUUUUUAAUAUUUUUAUUAUAAUAAAUAUUUAUUUUAUAUUCUUAAAAUAAAUUAUUAAGUAAACGAUUCAUUAACUCAUUUUUUUCCUUUAAAUUUUUGUUAUUAAGAAGAUUUUUGGGUAUUGACCGUGAAGGGCUCAACUGAUCGCUAAUUUUGCAGCAAUUGUCUUUUCUUUUUCUUUUUUUUAAUUGUUUUGAAAAAAAUAUUCAGACUCAUUCUGCAAAGUACCUAAGGCCAAAGCGCCGAAAGUUAGGACACCCACAUGUGCUUUUAUUCACAAAUUCUAAAAUUAGGUGGGGUGUCCAUAACGUACGUUUAAUAUAAGAGAAAUGCUAAAGGUCGGGAAUGCUGAGAGAACACUGAGAGAAACGGCAGCUUGGGCUGCCGUUUCGUGUUCUCUCACCUCCCUACUAAGAAAACGAGCCUCCACGUGUUCUCUCAGCUCCCCACUACUUCAGCUCAAGUUACUUUUGUCAAAAGUUGGCGUUUGGCCCCACACUCAAAACACUUUUGCCAAGUGAAUUGUGCCCCCCACGUGAAAGUUUGAGUUAUUUCUUUGCUCAUGACCAAGUAAAGCUAAGUUAAGUUUGAGUUCUCUCCUUACUCCUUCACUCGUUCACUUCUCCUUCGUUUCUCGUUCACUUUUUUGCUCAUCAAAAACCAUUACUUCAGCUCAUCCAAUCAGUGAAUUAGUGGCCAUUACUUCAGCUAAUUCAUUUUCCGAUCUAGAUCUUGAAGCAACACCCAAUUGGUAAUUAUCUCAGCUUAAAGAAUAAUUUUUUAUGUGUUUAUUAUUUUUUUGUUAUAUCAUAAUAAUAGAAAUGUCCUUGCAUUUACUGAUUAAAUGAUAAUGUGUUUAAUUUAUAAUUUUUUAGAAAUCUUUUUAUUUAAAUGAUAUGUUUGAUUUAUAAUUUUUUAAUUUAAAUUUUGUUUGAACAUAGAAUUAUUUUUAAUUUAAAUUGUGUUCGAUUUAUAAUUUAUUUAAUUUAAAUUUUUAGAACUUUAAUGGAUUAAAUUAUUACUGGAAAAAUGUAUAAUAAUUUAUUCUUAAUUUAAAUGUUGUUUCCACAUUGAAUUUUUUAUUUAAAUUGUGUUCGAUUUAUCAUUUUUUAAUUUAAAUUGUUAGAACUUUAAUGGAUUAAAUUAUUGCUGAAAAAAUUUAUAAUAAUUUAUUCUUAAUUUAAAUUUUGUUUCCACAUUGAAUUUUUUUAUUUAAAUUGUGAUUUAUCAUUUUUAUUUAAAUUGUGUUCGAUUUAUUUAUUUUUAUUUAAAUUGUGUUCGAUUUAUCAUUUUUUAUUUAAAUUUUUAGAAUUUUAAUGGAUUAAAUUAUUACUGGAUGGUGUUUGUAUAAAUUGAUCUUACAUUUUGCUUAAUACGAAUAUUAAUUAUUUUGUUGAAAUUGAUAAUUUGAAACAUGAAGAUGGAGUCAAAGAUGCGCAAUCGGAAAAAUAUGAGCCGACUCUUGGGAUGUUAUUUGAUAGCCAUAAGAAAAUGUGGUAAUUUUCAAUAUACUUAAGUAUCGUCAUCAUAUACUUAAUUCUUUCAUUUUCAAUCUUUAUUAUUAUUAUUUUUAAUAUUGGGUUCCAUGAGGAUAUUAUAUGCAAUUUUCCAUGACAUAAAUCAAUACAAUAAUGGCAAUAAAAAACUUAUAACAAUAACUUGAAUCUUAUAUUUAGAGGGACAGUACAAUCAUAUAUGUCUACAAACCAUACAAAAUAAAUAAUUGUACAAAUUAAAACAACUUAUAAAUAAAACUUUAAUAUAAAGCAUAACACAAUAAUCAUCAAGGGAACGGUGAACAUGGAGGAACGCAAAUGGAUGUUUACACUGUGGGCAUGUUGGAUUCCUAACAUACGAGGCCCAUCGAAGGAUGCAAGCUGCACUGCACAGAACAAAGAAAGAACGUCCAUUAAUGCUACCAUAAACGUCCAUUAAUCAUACAAGAGAUGGUAAGCUGAAAACCCCACAUAUUAACUCAUAGUCCUACAUAGAACUCUAACCUAUAAUAUGAAGAUGAUCAACGAGCCUUCAUAUAUGUCACAGUUCCAAAACCAACAAGUCAUGAGGCUGAUUAUAUUAAGGAAACCUCUAACUAUGUGACAACACAAAUAGAUUAAUUCUUGCAACAACAUUUUUAAGUUUUUCAAAAUUUUCUCCUUUUUUACCAAAACAAAUGCCUAAGAAAACCAAAAAAUAAACAAGCAGAUUGUCUCUGUAAAUUGAAUUAACAAGUUCUAUUACUAAAAAAAGGGUAACAAGGAAAGAAAAAUCCAAAAAAUAAACAUAUUGAAAGUCCAUUUCAAUUGCAUGGCACAACAUUAAAUUGAAGAAUUGACUGUACAAAAAAGAUCCAACAAUAUUUAGGUAUGAAAAGGAAAUUGAAUCCAAACCACAAAACUAAAAGCAUACUUCACUCGUGUGUACAAACUACAUGCUGAUACUCAUUUACCAUAAAAUAUUGCAGCAUCGAUUACCGAAGAAGAAAACAAUUCAAAGAAUGCCCCCAAGGCAAGCUCUAUCAAAGUUACAUAUGCAACAGACAUAGUAUUAUAGCAGAGAAACUCCAAUAAACACUCAUCAUGAUGCUUGACAAGAGAAUUAUUCAACAACUAACAACUACAGGGCCUAAGCUCAACUUAAACAUAUACUUGCAUCAAAGCCAAGUCCACACUCCAUAUAUGCUUACAUAAACCAUAUUUUCUCAAUUCUAACUGCAUUUAACUUAAUUUAUUUUGAUUUAUUUAUUCACUGGAAAUUUAUUUUGAUUGCAAAUUCUUCUAUCAUCCACUAAAAUGAUUUAAAUACUAGAUACAUAAAUACACACAUAUGACGAGUACGAAGGGUGAGAGAGAGAGAGAAGAGCUGCAGUAACAGCAAGAAAGUUAAGAUUUGUGACCUCGAAUCCAAGGCCUAUUUCAGAUGUCCCUAAACACUCUUAACUUAUGAAAGGCGCUAAUAAGUAAUCUGCACAGGAAGAUAGGGGAUAAUAACAGAAUUCGUGAUGCAUAAAUUCCAUUCCGAAUAACAUAGCAAAAAGAUGAGAGAUUUGAUUAGAACAAACCAGUAAGCGUGCUCGCAACCUUUUACAAGAGCUGUUGCCUAAAGAACUGUCUUAACCAGAGAAACUAAAAGAUCAAGAGAAAGUAAAACGGCUGGAACGAAGCGAGUUGCUGCUGGAGUGAACAAAAGGAAAGGAGUUGGAGUUAAUGUGGGAGUGCUGGAGAAGGAGUUGAAAAUAGAAAGAAAAAGGAGUUGAAAGGGAGUGCUGGAACAGAUCUGUUCUGUUGAAAGCGAAGAAGGAAGUGGAAGAAGGAGGAAAAUGAUUUGAAAAGGAGCACUUUUUCUUUUUCACAUGAGACAGAUAUCUGUUACUCACGUGGAAGGGGGGGGGGGGGGACGAAACGGCAGCACAAGCUACCGUUCUCUCAGCGUUCUUUCAGGAUUCCCGAUGUUUAGCAGCGCUCUUAAUAUAAUUGAUGGUUAGGUAAAAGUCCUUCAUUAACCCAUUAAAUUUUAAUAUUAUAUUAUUUAUUUUUAUAUUAAAAAAUAAUUAAUGUAGGAAAAUUCUUAAAAGUUAACGGAGAAGGAAGAGAAAAAGAAAAAGUGAAAACAAAAGAAAAUAUAAAGAAAAAAAAUUAAACGAGACAAAAAUCUGUGGCGUGGAUCAUUCAUAUCUUUUGCCUUUUCUUUUGUAGAGGUACAUAACAUGGACUUCCCUGCGGUGCCACAGUGACAUGGUGCCACAGUUUUUUGUCUUUAUUCUGUGAAGCCGUUGGAUGGUUAAUCAUUCAAUCCAACGGUUUAAAUUAAUUAUUGGAGGAAGGCCGCCAGAACUGACAACCUUUGUAGCCGGUUUUGGGUGAGUGUAAUACCAUCUAAUAGUGAGCGUGCAUUUCAAGAUCUUUUGAACUACGAAAUUUCGUUUCAGCGAUUUCAUUUGAAAAUCAAUCUGUAGACAGAAAGUGAACGCACGAAAUUGGUAUUACUGGAUCGCAAUUAUUGGUGGAAUAAUAUCAAACGGUUGAUGUGUACAUGAAUAUGUCCGCGCAGUCCGCGCAGUUGUAGGGAGGUGAUGGUGAAAUAAAAAAUAAAAUUCCCGGCAUGUGCAUUCGAAGGAAUUUAUGAUGCUGAAAGUCUGGGCAUAUCGAAUGAUCCGACGUAGUAGGUAAUUCGAUAUAAACUUGCAAUUUGUUUUAGUUGGAAUAUUUAUAAAAGUCGUGUUUAGGGUUAGUUGAAUAGUUGGUGGAAGAGUUCAGUAAACAAGUAGUAAUGGGGAAAAUUUUCGAUUAAGUAUGUAAACAGGGGUCGUCAAAGAAUGUGAGGUUACUAGGGAGGACUGAUUUGAGGAAUCUCACUGCACUAAUUGUCGGAUUGAAGCCACAAGAGGGACUUAAAAGUGUUCGACGAUGAAAUGAAAUUUGUUAGUAAGUAAAUAUCUUUUGUAAGUAUCAAUUAGUUAUAUGGGUAAUUGAUGAGGACAUACUUUUAUGGCAUGUUCUUAUAAUGAAAUUGUUAACUUUGUUUUAUCUUCUGGUGACCAAUAAUGUAUGGAUGAGAUGUUAGUGUUCAAUUGUUAAUUUGACUGUUGGAAUCAAUUAGGUGGUUGAUGUAGACAUGAAUGUGUUUCUUAGAAAAUCGAGAAUGUUGAUGAGCAUUUAUUGUGUGAACCCCCUCGAAAUGAGUCUAUGAAAAUGAUUGAUUAACAUUGUAGGCGGUGGCAUGGUUGUUACAGAUGAGUCUAUUUAUAGAUUGUGAUCUUAUUGUUGUGGUUUUACUAUGCCCUGUAAUUAAAUUCUGUAAAAUCAGAAUGGUGCAGUUCGUUAGAAGCACUCAUUUAUAAUUUCACUGCAGCAAUGAAGGUAGGGGAGGUUCGCAAGCGAAAAUGUAGGGACGUAAACAGCUUGAACGAAGAUAUGGAAGGCAAUCGAACAAUAGAACGUAUUAGCCAUUACGGAUUCAUCAGUUAUUUGUAAGUAUUUUUACUAUCUGAAUAAAUAAAUUUUAACAAUGACGAGUGGAUUGGAAAUGACUUGAGUUACUUUCAGUGGUGCAACUGUGCGUAGAAUGAAGGCAACAGAUGCAAACACCAGCAUUACAAGAGAGGUGCGUUAAAUGGAAAUAAAAUUUAGUGUACUGCAACACCUUUUUAAUUGGCAAUAAGGUGUAUGUCCGUGUGUUUCUAUUAACUGCUUUGCAGGUUCGAAGGGAAAUUGCGACGUCAUUUAAAAAUUUACCACCAAAGACGAAAUGGAAGUACAAAGUCCGAGUCGAACAAGCAGUGAAAGGGGAAGCAACUAACACAUAUUUUACGCGAUGUGCACCAGACAGAUUGGCAUCAGCUCUUACAAAUCUAUCUGAUGAACAAAGAGAAGCUGUAUGUGAAAUGGGUAUGGGGAGCAUGCUUGAGUUGAAUAAUGGUAGGCUGAAAAGGAAGCUUUGUGGUUGGUUGGUAGAUAGGAUUGAUGUAUGUAGGCGCGUACUAGUUUUGAAUGGUAAUGAGGUAGAGCUCAAUGCUAAUAGCUUUGGUCAUGUCAUGGGAUUAAUAGAUGGGGGCAUGCCUUUAAGAUUAGAGGGUGACAUCAAAGAAGUUGAAUCAUAUGUACAGAUGUUCAGUGCAUCAUCUAGAGGAAUCAACAUCAAGAAAUUGGCAGAAAUGUUGAGUAAUUCGACGGCAGCCAAUGAUAGAUUCAAAGUCACAUUUAUGUUGUUUACUCUAUAUACUGUUCUAUGUCCCCCUGGUGGAGUACACAUAAGUUGUAAUUUCUUAUUUUCUUUGAAAGAUGUGAACUGUAUCCAGAAGAGGAAUUGGGCCACAUUUUGUUUUCAUAAAUUUCUUGAAGGCAUUACUAGGUACAAGGAAGAGAAAUUUGCAUACAUAGGUGGCUGUCUUUUGUACUUAGAGGUGAUAUCGCAUCUUGGAAUGAUAUAGUGUCAAUAUUUUCCUUCACUUUGUUCAGUUGAGUAACUAACUAUAAUUUGCAUUGUUGUUUUUGUUAAUUCCAGAUGCUUUAUUUUAAUUCUAUAGUGUAUGGAAAAGUACAAAGAGACAGGUCUAUGUGUCCCCUGGCCUUGUGGAACGUAGAUGAGAUAAAGCGGUUGAUGAAAUGGAUAGAGAAUAAAGGUGGUUAUAGUAGCGAUGAGGUCAUCUCAAAAAGGAAUUGUAAAUUUGUGGGAUUCUAUGAAAGCAAAUAAUAUACUUACGAUGAAAAACAUGCGAUCCGUGAAUACUGCUUUUCAAUAUGUCCUUGCUUUACAUUUAUUGUAGUUGGAUGUUACGUAUAAAUUUGGUUCAACACUUUACUUAUAACUUCGUACUUGUAAAAUUGUUUUACUAGAUACGAGUCUGUGCUGCAUCUCUAAUAAAGGCCAACUCAAGGUCAGAUGGAUGCAGUAUGCCUGUGGAAAAAGAUUUUAGAGACUCGGAUGUUAGACAGAUGACAACAGCCCCGGGAAUGACGAAGAUAAAGUCAUUUAGUCAAUUGGAUAAGGCAGUAGUGAUAUCAAGUAGGCCAUCAGGAUAUAUUGAAAAAUUAAAGACAUAUGGAUCGUGCCGCAACAACCAUGGCAAUAAUGCUAAGGGGAAGCACUGGAGUGAUGCAACCAAAGGAGAGGGAGUUUGCACCAACUAUGAGAGUAAGCAAUUGUACAAAAGUGCAGCAAGUGGCAGUAUAUACCAGAAUAAUGAAAUCAAGGAAAAAGAAGUUUGUGAAGAUGCACAACAUAUGGAUUUAAUUGACGUAGCAGAUUUUGUCAUGGAGACUCAGACGUCCCCACCAUGCAGUGAAAGCUUGCAUAGUAACAUAAGGAUUGAGGUUAUCUGUAACUAAUAAAAGUUAAAUCUGAAAUUUUCAUCUUCGUUUAGUUGUUUUUUGUUAACCGAAUGUAAUUUAUGUUUUAUAAUUUUGUAAUUAUUAUGAGGAAAAUAUGUUGCAGGAGCCUGCUAUGGUGCAGAAGUGUUCAGAACCGAAUAAAAAGAUUGGGAAUGUAGUCCAUCCAAAGUCACCACUUAAUCAGAUAGGUGCUGGCAGAGCACGUUAUCAGGUUGGACCAUAUGUGAUGCAAAGACCUUUGAGUACUGAUGACGAGAUAUUGAUUAACUUAUGCAUGGAUGAAAAUUUGAAUAAGGGGUAACGUAUUACUUAUGUCGUUGAAUUAGUACUGGCAUUCAUAUAAAAAGUUACUUGAUUGUGUUUGAGCUUCGAAUAAACGGACUUAAUUGUAGGAAAUCAAUAAUUAUGGAAAAAAAUGUCUGCAUGAUAGAUUUUCCGUUGCAGGGAAAUGGUUUUUAAGACGAACUUCAAUUGCAUCGGCAGAAAUGAUAUUAUGUCUCUAUCUCCUAGAAGUACAAUCAAUGUGAAGGUACAACCACCUUCUGUUAAGUGAUGUACUUGUAUGAAUAAUACAUACACAUGUUAUACUGAUUGCUCUUGGAAUUUAAUAGGGCUUGAUGUUUUUGUUAUUUGUUUAUAUGUUGAAUUAAGUCAAUACCCCUUACAUGAAAUUGUUAAUACUCGUAAUUUUCAGAUUGUUUCUGCUGUCUCAUAAUUGUUAUCUGCGAAAGCGAGUGUAAAUGUUGGAAAUAGUAAUUUCAGCCUUUUUCUGCCAGCGUAUUCUGCUGUAAGGACUUUGUGUUAUAUUGCAAUAUUGGAAUUUUAUCCCCUAAGGGGCAGUUUAACAUAAAAUUUCGUGUGUUCAUUCAAUAAGGUGCAUUUGUUUACUAUGCAUGUAAGUUGAGAUAUUGUUCUUGCAAUUACAUUUAACUAGAGCAUUACAAAUAUUUGUUAUUCGAGUUUGGCAACCCACUAUUUCCAUUGCCUAUAAUUUUUGUUUCGGUUGUGAUAGCGUUGAUGUUCUAUAAACUAUACAGUUGCACGAUAACAUCAGUGGGGACCCCACAGACCUUACUUUUGGUAUUAAACAAUUUAUCAGUGGUGAUUUAUACCUGGCGAAUAUUGGUUCGUGUAAACAAGUAAGCAUUUUUUACUUAAGCCAUCAGCAAACCUCGUUUUUAGUUAAUUUUGAUGUUAUCUGUCAGUUUAUUUCACCCUGGUAUUGCAAUCAUCAAUAAAUUUUUGUCCCGGUGAACCAUGGUUUUACACACUGGUACUUAUUGGUUGUAUUAAUAUACAAAAUGCUGGUGGAGAUAUGGGAUCCACUGCCCACUGUAAUGAAGUCACAAAUGUUCGUUGUUGAAUGCAAACGAGCGGUGAGUUACCAUUGUAGAUGCCAAUCGAGUGUACUUUGUUGGCAAAAAAAAAAAUACUUAUAAAUGAACCAUUGUUGUUGUAAAUAAUCCUCCUUUGUUUUAAAAGGAAGUGUCAAAUAUUACUAUUGUUAUUACUGCAAUCUAUCGAUUGACGGAUGUUCCUGCAGCUAAAAUUCAUUGAGAUGGCGUUGCAACAUUGUGGCUCAAAUUGUUUAUCGGGAAGGUUAAACAUGAGCGAGUUCGUAAUCCAGCUUUGUACCAGACAGGCCAGUAUACGUAACGAAUCUGAUUGUGCACUAUAUGUUAUGUUGAUGAUGGAGAGACAUAAAAUGUGGUCGUGCCUUUCUGAGGCAGAGGUGCGUAACAUUUUUAACUGUUCAAUGCUAUAACCCAGGCCGUUAAUAUUAUUUAUGUAUCGAUUCAAUUUUUGCUGCCUUGUACUUAUUGUGUUUGUUCAUUUCAUUUAGAUAAAAUUUGAUUCAGAUAGUGAGAGGGCACGCAUUCUGAUAGAUCUCAUGACAUACAGUUUCAACUGUUUGAAGGACAAAGUUCGUUUGAAGGCUGAGAAGCAUCGAUGGCGUGUUGACGAUGAAGCCCAUUCAAUUUAUGAAGCGAUUAAAAAGAAGCGCGUACGACAGCUUCGGAGUGCGAACCAAAUAGGGCAUGGUCGCCGCCAUUAGCUGCAUUUUCUUUGACGUUCUAUUGUAUAAGUGCAUCCAUGCUUUUCGGAAAGAAAAAAUUGCUAGGUUUGACAGUUGCAGUUCAUCAUUCCAAAAAGCACAAUCAACCACUGACAAUUGUGAGUGAUAAACAACUUAUGUUUUGUUGUUGGCAUAUAACAAUAAAGUUUCCAUCGUGGAUGCCACAGUGUCUCAGUACUGAACUUAAUCAUUUAUGAGUUUACAUUGCUGUUAAUUUUUAAUUUGUCAAGACGGUUGUUCCUAGAGUAUUAUAUCAGUACAUGCUGUUAGCUGAAAUAACAUAUUCUCUGAAUUCUGCAUUUUAUAUGAUACUGAUACUUUGGCCUAGACAAGUUACUGAAAUAUUCAUUUUAUGUUGUAGUCUUGAGGAAGAUGCUUUUUGUACUAAUUGAACUCAACGAUGGAUUGAAUUAAGUUACGCAAGUUGUGCUUAUUUAAGCCUGGCAUAGGUAUAAAAAUUAUUUCUCAACUGCCUCUUAAAAUUUUUUUUUUCCAAAAUUAACGGAUAUAGUGGGAGCAAAAAAAUAGUUGUAUUAAAUCCCCAACCUCUAGAUCUUUUUGGAGUAACGCCAAUAUUCUUUUACAGAUUCCAAAUGUGGGCGUAGUUAGUUGGUGUAAAAGAUGAGGUUGCAAUGCAGUUGGAUUCACUUGCAAAGGCACUUGUGUUUAGAGUUUGGUCGGUUGAUUGACUUACUGUACUGGCUGAAAAUUGCUAGAACCAUGACUCUGAUGUAGGAGAAAAUGGUCUACCAUUUUCUCCUAUUUGGUACCGCGACAAAAUGUUCAUGUAUCGUGUGGGUUGUUGCGGCACGUGGUUUGUGUCUGCUGCAUCUGUCGCAUUUGGUCCCAUUACAUUACUACCACAAAAAAAUUCCAUGCAAUGGCUUGAACAGUCAUCCAGCUGUUGUCUUGUCCCUCCUCUUUUUUUGCACUUUCUAACAUUGUGGCCUCGCUGACCACAUCUGCUACAUUUUCGUUGUUGUGGUUGUCCCAUCUUCGUUUUUUUUUUAUUGAACCUUUGGUAAGAACAACUUCCGGAUCUUGUACCACUGUCUCUCUCCUCUCUAAAGGUUGCCUUGCUGGUUCUUUGGUCUGAGACAUUGCCUGCAACUUCAAAGUCAACUGGUGAAUAUAAGUAAUUGCCACAUUGUAUGCGGCCAAACUUGAUCCAACGAAUCUUAGCAAACUUCGACAUGCUGCAUAUAUUUGGCCAAUACGAGCCUGCUCUGUCAUGUAAUGUGAUUUAUUACAACUUAUAUCAGACAAAGUGUGAGCUUUUAUCUUUGCAGUUUUACUCCAUCGAGAAAGAAUCAUCGAACUUGGAAUUUCUGUCAUAUUCUGAGCCUUGAACACAACAAAUGAAUGCGAGCAUGGAAUUCCAAUUGUCUCAAGCAACUUGCAGGUGCAGGAUAAGGUUUUGCUAGUCUCAUUAAUCACUACUUUCACCUAUUUCCCAACCGAUCCAAACCGCCUAACCCUGUACGUUGUUGACAUUAUAUCCCGAUCACACAUUUCUGCAGUUAACAACGCUUCCUUGUCGAUUUCUUCUUGUACGAGGCGAAACAUGGCCCUUGUGAACUUUUCAGCUGCUUGCUGCUCAUACAUCUUUAAAUGUGUAACCAAAACAGGACGUCCAUCAGAACUGUUAAAGUCAUCCUUCCCCUUUGCUUCCUUUUGUCAAUCCAUUAGUCGGUCCAUCUGUUUAACAAAUUCUAUCAAUCGGAGCCUUCUAUUCACGUAAUGGUUUAGAUACGCAUUCAUUCCUUCCGACCUUUGAGUGCUUCUCAUUCCCCCAAAAAACUUUCCCCGCAAAUAAGCCUCAGCCCACAUAUGUCUAUCUUCAAACAUCUUAACAACCCAUUCAUUUGCGGCAACAUCAUGGUUAUCGACCAUCAAUUUCCAUUUUCGGUCAAAUUCUUCUUUUGUGUAAGCGUUCAUCAUGCAGCGGCGGAAUUCUGUUGUAAAUUCAGGGUUUUGAAUAUUUGUUUGAGCAUUUCGGACCAAAUGCCAGCAACACAACCUGUGUGAAGCUUCUGGAAAUGUCUUGCUUAUUGCAUUUCGCAUUGCUUUGUCCCCGUCGGUUACAACUGUCCUCAGAUCCUUGUUGUUCAUGGUUGUCAUCAAUGUCUCUAACAACCAUGUGUACGUGUGUUCUGUCUCAUCUGACAAUAGAGCAAACCCGAAUACAAUUGUUCGCUGAUGGUGAUUUAUCCCCAAAGUAACCACGAGAGGCUUCCGAUAUGCAUUGGUCUUGUAAGUUUGAUAUUUUUUUUAAGAUUUUAAAGAAAUAUCAAUAAUUGAUCCUGGUCAAAAUAUUUGUUUUAAUUACUUAUGAAAUUGUAAAUAUUUGGAAUUGUAAAGGGCGAAAAUGUCAAAUAAAUAGAGUCAGUUCCCCUUACGCAUCAUAAGUUUCAGCCCUUGUACUUUAGUUGUGUCAGUCUAUAAAUUAUUAUUGGGGGUAAUAUUAUCUUUUGAAAGUCAACAGUUAGUCAAUAAAAAAUUUUAACUUACGAUACGGGAUCUUUUACAAAUAAAAUAAUUUGAACCCAUGUACUUGCAACAGCCUCCAACCUCAGGGGAGGUUUUAAAAAUUACCGUUAAUAAACUUUAGCAUUUUAGGGUGACCCUUAAACCUUUUGGAUCCGACUGUCGUGCAAUAGUUGCACGCUACCCCAAAUUUUGUAUUUUUUCAACUCAGCGAACGGAUCAAUGGGUAAAGGGUUCAACGGCUACAAUGUGUUUAACUGGUUCUAUUAACACUUAAGUCCCUACUGUUUAUUACAAAUUCAUAAAAGCUUUACGUUUUUAAAUAUUCACAUACAUAACUUGUGUUAACAUUUUUAAAGUUUGAUCCAUUGACUUAAUUUGGUAAAAAAAAUGAUUGAUGCCUUGAUCGUGUAAAUAUAAUAAUGUAAUAUCGCAUAAAAUGUUUAAACACCUUUUAUAUUAACCUUCAUAGUUUAUAAAAUUAUAAAAUAAAAAAUGGAUUGGGCCACAUUGCAACAGUAGUACCGUGCCACAGUUGUACCUGUCGUUGGAUCUAUUUAAAUGAGUAGGGUGUGUUUGGUACAUUAUAUCAUAUUAUAUUGUAUUGUAUUAUGUAAUGCACAUGUAUUAAAUUAUAUUAUAUUCUAUUACAUUAAUAGUAUAUUAUAAUAAUUAUAAUUAUAUUAUACAACGUUUGGUAAAUGGUAUUAUCAUGUAUUGCAUUAAUCUUAAGAAUUUAGUCAACUUAUAUUAUUCUAUAUUCAUUAUUAAUUAUAUAAAAUUUUAUUUUCAUAUAAAUUAUUGUUAAAUAAAUAUAAUAUCAUAUAGAAUAAUAUUAUAUUAUAAUAUUUUAAUCUUUUAAUUUAUUAUAAUAAAAUAAUCAAAAUGAUUAAAAUAUAUUCAAUGCUUAAUUAAGGUUAAAUAAUAAAAUUAACAAAAUAUAUUGAUGACGACGACAACGACAUUAAUAUUAAUAUAAUAAUAAAUAUAAUAAAAAUAAAGAAAUUUAUUAAUAUUAAAAUUAUUCAUAUAAUAUAAACAAUAAAAUCAUAAUAAAUUCAAUAUUAUUAAUAUAAUAAUAAUGACAUUAAUAAAUAGUAAUAAAAACAGGAGGAAACAGUUAAUGUUUUACUCAAAAGACAUUUUAUGAUUUUAUCCAGAGAAAAUUACCUAUAUCUACAAAUUUGUAACUUAUGGUAUGUAUUCAGUUUUCUUAUAAAGUGAAAGGUAAUAUUGUGUAAUUUUUGGAAAAAGACAAAAUUCAGUGAUACCGUUAAACUGUUACACGGUAGGCGGACCCUUGUCAUGUGCCUUAAUAUGACACCAACUUCAAGUGGUGCAUUACUAAUCCAAGGCGUCACAUUAAUACUUGCUUGCCACUUAUUAUUUGAUGCCAUUUGGUAUAAUGUGUACUUGGUAACAGAUGUUUAAUGCUUCAUCAACAUUUUGCACGUUGUGAUGACACCAUGUUCAAUUCACUUGUUGUAACACCACCCGUUUUUUGUUUCAUCUACUCUUGUGCAUUCCUGAUUUGCAACUCCUUUUGUUCCUUAUAAAACCACAACUAUUCAUGGACACUCCAUAUUUUUUACGUGAGUCACAUACAACGUUUUACACUUACUUACUGUUACGGUUUGAGGUUGUCAAUAAGUAAUAUUACAUUUUCGUUACAGCAUCGAUUACCAAACGGGCAGGUCGCAUAAGUGGCUUUCUGUUUCAGCUAUCAUCAAUCAUUCAGGUGCAUCAACAAAGGAUAUGGGUCAUUACAUAAUAUAAAUCAGUCUGUCCAAGGGAAUUCAAGGAAACCAGUUGCAAAUGUGUUUGUUCGAAGUUACAAAAGCACAUAAAUAUAUCACAGAAAACAUAUCCAAUGGAAAUAUUACACAUUAAUUCCAGCUCCAAUGGAAGUCCCGCAGCAUAUCGAACUCUAAUGACAUGAAUCGGCCCCAAUAACACCAAACACAUCUAGUUGACUGUUUCCCUAGUAACCCGAAUGUUAACAGUAGGAGACUGUAUUCGAAAGUUGAGAAUUUUGCGACAGAGUGUUUGCAAUCUGGCGCCUUGAACACUUCCGUGGCAGUGGUAUAUGAACUUGUCCAACACUUUACUAUGCCACAGGAAGUACUCCACCAGGCGUACGUCAUCUUUUCCGUCAGUAAAUGCUUUCAUCUUUAUUUUUUUGACGCAUUCACUCAAGCAAUGGGGCACAUUUUCUGUCUCCAGCCACCCAAGUUCGUGGUCGUUUACGUCGAACCAAUCUCCCUGAUAAGUUAAAACAGGCAAACCCAUGGUUAACAUAUUGAACCUAGUUCCUGAUGACUGCACAUGACUAUUGUCUUACUGACCUUCGUUAAUAUACAAGUACGCAAGUUGUAGGUGGCAGUGAGGAUAGUAUGUAGACCUUUCCAGCCACUUCGUCGAACUUCAACAUCCAAAAAGGUGAGGUUGUCAAACCAAAUCAGGGACUGCCUUUCGCAUGCCCGCUUAAGUGCUUGUGGUUUAAUUGGUUAUUACACAAACAACAACAAUAACAACGUUCUGUCACUUUCAAGUAACAAAUAAUUAACCAACUUAAGCCCUUUUGUUGAAAUGCAAAAUUUGGCCUGAUUGUCCAAGGCUUGCUGACAUUCCUUAACAGUUCAAGCAAAACAAUACAUCUCAGCCUUAUGAUCAAUACAAAAACCUAACAGUCAUAACAGAUGAAAAAAUUGUAUAUCAAUCUCUGUCUACCUUUCUCCCUGCAGCGCCGCUCUGUCAAAAUAAUACUAUGUACAUAUCACAUUCGGAUUGAGGACAGCGGCGCAGGGAGAGUUUCAUAAAUUAUAUAAAUUUAUGACAGUACAUGUCGUCAUUCAUCAUCCAUAUGUAACAUAGGUUAACAAUAUAUAAUUCAUUUCACAUCACCAAGUUCAAACAACACACAAACCUUUAUAUCAUCUUUUUGUGGUAAUUGUUUUGCUACUCUACAAGGACUCAACCACCACCAUUGUUUUUUGUUGGUGAAAUUUAGGAUCAUGUUUCUGACAUUUGCAAUUUGACAGUGGAAAUAAUGACAAUUUAAACUACUAUAUAAUCCAUUUACAUGCAAUUACUUACUUGGCCAAUUUAAAUGUCAAACCAAUCUUAAACUAAACUUUAUACUAAUUGCAUGUGUGUGAUCACGUUGUUACAUUGAUACAAUAUGUCACAUUGCAAAUGUUACCCCUUAUAUGCUAGUUUACAACCUAAAAUUACCCGGUACUUUUUUUAAAUGAAUAUUUAGAUGCUGGUAUAGUAUGGGAAUGCUUACCAAAAGAACACCACCGGAUAGGAUCAGACGAGCUGUUUUUGCGACACCCUCAAUGAGGUUGCGAGCACGUUGUGGAUCAACUGUAUCCGAUUCCCAAUGUUGAAGAUCUAAAGUUGCUUACUGGAUGGAUUGCAUCUCAUGUACCUCAUAUUCCAUCAACAUGUUAUCAACAAUAUGGAUUAGUUGGAGAUUUGGCGCCAUAAUGACAGCACAAUGGUGGUAUGACAUCCCUCGCAACGAGGUGAAGAGAACAACAAACGUCAGUGUGUUAAGAGUUGCCGACUGAAUGAUGAAGUUCGCUGGAGGAUCAUCUGGUUGUAUCAAAAUUGUCAGACAGAGUUCCGUCAGUGAAGGGCAACUACAAAACAGCUUCUCUUUAACUCGGUUUUCAAGAUGGGUAAUACAUAUUUGAAGAAUCUUCAGUUGGGGAAAACACACACCAUCCGGAGGAUCUUAUAAGCGAAAUGCAGUGUGUAGUCGAAGAACUUCAAGCGUCAUCGAGCUGUACACAUAUGCAGGCAACUGCAUGGGUGCGUACUGGAUAAUAUCGAUUUCCAUCUCCCGAACAUUCCGCAUUAUUACCUGAGAUACCCACAAAGGAAACCGAUCACUACGUAUAGCGUUGACACUCUGAAGAGAGAACGUAUGUAUUGAUACGGGGUCCGUUCCAGCCAUCACUGAUUCUAUGAAGUUGUUAAAUUCAUCCACCAGGUCAGGAUUGUCAGCAGCAGCCCCCAUGGGACCCCCAUCAUCAAAGCAGAGGUUGCGAACUGAGGUCCAUACAUGCCUCCAUCUUCGCGAAAGACUUGAAGUGGCCACUGCAUCUUCGAGUGGCAGAAAAUUUAGGAUAUUGGACAUCACAGAAUCAGGCAAUGCACUAAUCCUGUCUUCGGGUACUUUUUUUAGCACUCUUCCCCGUCGGAUCCGCGGAACCGAACCAGUUGAUCUCCUCAUCCUUAAGGCAACUCACCUUGGCCUGUGGGACCAUUAAAUACAUUUAAAUUCAUAAUAAUCUGCUACAAAAAUCAAACCAUUUACACAGACGUUAUUUAGAUGUACAAUGUAGGUUGUUAAAUUCACUUCCACACACAUGGUCAUAGUUAACAUUUAUAAAUAAUUUAAAGGUUUAAUUAAGCAGUUACAGUAUGAAUUGCAUUCAAGCAUAGAUUUUUUAAAAAUGAAAAUUUUAUUGACUCAUCCUGAAAAUUAUAUAAUCUAUUGAGGUCGUUGAUUAAUCAAUUAGAAUCAGGUGUACAGAGAUAAAAUAAUACACACAAAAGUCCAGACAUUUCACCAAUUAGCUAAUCCUUUUAGUAUUAUUCCCCAACUUAAAACGAUAUAUCCUAAAACCUUAUCCUUUGUAAGCAUCGCGAUGAAUUUCCCUAACAUAUAUCCAACACAAGCAUUCAAUGUUUAGGUUCAGACUCAUUAACAAAGAUCCACCAUUGCUAACUUAUCGUCGUCAAAAUAAAACAAAUAUGGCACAUUCGCGAAUGAACCAAACAAUUCACCAAAAGGAUAGAAAGUAGAAGGGUUCAGCUGUCUAACGAAAUAUUAGGGGCAAUAAUGGGGAAAAAACAAAAAAAAAAUUGAUGCAUUUGUUCUGGGAACUGUCGUCGUUAUGUAGUGAGUUAAUGCUUGUUUUGUUUGGUGGUUAUGUUAUUGGCCACUGGGCUGUACAUUCCCGGGAUGUGUGACUACAUUGAUCAUUGUCACUCUCGAGAUUGCGGCUUCAGUUCAAUCCGUUAUGAAUCCUUGUGCCAUUGUGGCAACUGGCAACUGCCAUGUGAAAUUGAAAUAUUUGCUUCAGACAAUUACUCGGUGCUUCAAACAAUAAUAUUGUGGGCCCAUUGUUUAGGUCAGUCGCUUUCUCACUUCCCUUGUCUUUCUGGAUUGAACACGUUUGGAUGGUCUUUCAGUUCAACCUUUUUCAUUGCCUCAUUUGUCUCUUGUGGUGCUUGUCAACUUUAGAUCCUUCCAUACUUGGCCGGACACACAAAUUUAAUUUUUUAGAUUGCAUGGGGCCAUGGAAGUAUGAUGACUUCAUUCGGCAUGUGCGCAAUGUGACAACAAGUUUUUUCAUUUUUCAAUUAUGUCCUUUUUUAUUUAAUAUUAUUUAACCAUAAGCUUAUUAUUAUAUUUGUUCUUUUAUAAUUAAAUAAUAAAUAAAAAUAAAAUAAACAUAUUCAGUAGUUAGCAUUACAAAUUGAGACAUUUUUAUUAUUAUUUAUUUUUGUUAUUUAAUAUUAUGUACACAUACAGUUAUUAUUUAAACUAAUGCUUUCAUCAAACAAAAUAAUGCAAAAUAAUAAACAAAUCAUUAGUAACAAGUGUUAACAAAUAAAAUUAUUCUUUUAAUUUACCCAUAGGCUUACAAUUAUAAAUAAGCUUAUUUGAAAACUAAAUAAUAAACAAUUUUAAUAGUGUGUUACAUAUUAUAUAUAUAUAUAUAUAUAUAUAUAUAUAUUAUAUAAAAAACCUCAUUUUAUUUUAAUUUAGUCAUGUAGGUGCAAUGGCCAAGUCCGAAUGUUCAUAUUUGACCUUUUUUUUUUGCUGCGAGUUUAUACGUGUUAAUAUAUAUGCGAAUUAUUAUUUAUAUUAAACUAUAUGUUUCUCUUUGUACAUAUUUAUUGAUAUAUAAAUUUUAUAUGUUUCUCUUUGUACAUUUGUCCCUGCUUUAAUUUAAUCUUUAUCUGAAGGUAUUAUUAUGAAGAUUCUAUUUAACUUAAUUUUGAUUCGUGUUUUUUUUUAAUUUAUAAAUAAUACCCAAUUAAUUAUUAACUACUUGUCCUUCAGCGGAUUAUGUAGACAGACAAAAGAAGAAAAGGAAUUUAGAGAAAUUAAUGUGCAUUGAGAUAACCGCUAAUGUAGGGACGAAAGAAUUAUGCACAUGACCUUCUUAAUGCAAGUAUGAACUUGGUGAAAAUUGAGAAACUUUUUUUAUGUUAUUAUUACUUAACUUUUUGAACGUGGUUUCUAAUAAUUCGCACAUUUGCUUUUGAUCUUCUUUUGUUUUUAUAGAUCUUUAACAAUAUAAUUUUACUUCUUAUUUUCAUGACUUCUUAUUUGAUUUAUUUUAUUUUUGCAGCAUACUUCUUUAGGGUCUGCCUACCGUGCAACAGUUACACGGUACCAUUGAAUUUUGUCUUUUUCCAACAAUCAUACUACACUACCCUAUAUUUAUAAGAAAACUGAAUAUAUACUAUAAGUUACAAAUCUUUAUAUAUAGGUCCUUAUCUCUGGAUAAAAUUAUAAAAUGACUUUUGAAAAAAAAUUUAAUUGUUAUUAUUAUUAUUUAUUAAUGUCAUUCUUAUUAUUAUUAUUAUUAUUAUUAAAAUUUAUUAUUUUAAUUGUUAUGAUUUUUUUAAUUGUUAUCAUUAUUAUUAUUUAAUAAUUUUAUUACCGUCACUAUUUUUAAAAUAUAUUAAAUUUAUUACUGAAUUAUUAUUGAAUUAUUAUUUUAUUAAUAUUAAUAAAUUUAUUAAUCUUAUUAUUGUAAUUAUUAUAUUUAUAUUAAUGUUGUUGUCGUCAUCGUCGUCAUCAUCAUUAAAUUUUAUAUAUUUUUUUUGUUUUGACUAUUAAAUAAUACCACUGUCAUUAUUAUUAUUUUACCUUAAUUAAGCAUUACAUAUAUUUUAAUUAUUUUUUAUUUUUAUUAUAAUAAAUAAAAAAUAUAAAAAUAAAUUAUAAUAUAAUAUUAUUUUAUUAUAUCAUAUAAUAUUUAUUUAAAAAUAAUUAAUAUGAAAACAAUUAUUUAAUAUCAUUAAUAAUAAAUUUAAAUAUUUUUAGUUAAAUAUUAGUACAAAAUUAAUGCAGUACAGGAUAAUACCAAUUACUAAAUGUUGCAUAAUUUUAUUAUAAUUAUUAUAAUAUACUGCUUAUAUAAUAUAAUAUAAUAUAAUAUAAUAUAAUAUAAUAUAAUAUAAUAUAAUAUAAUAUAAUAUAAUAUAAUAUAAUAUAAUAUAAUAUAAUAUAAUAUAAUAUAAUAUAAUAUAAUAUAAUAUAAUAAUAAUAUAAUAUAAUAUAAUAUAAUAUAAUAUAAUACAUGUGCAUUACAUAAUACAAUAUAAUAUAGUGUGUCAAACGGACCUUUAACUUUUUGAGUGAUGAUGGUCUAGAGGGAUGUAGAGAAAGUAAAAAUAAUCCUAGUAGAUCUUUUACAAUGGUUGAUUAGCUAUCAUCACAAAGUUUAGGCUAAUACAAUAAAAGUUAACGAACUACCUUAUAUUUAAAAGAGCAUUUGGAAAUCAAUAAAUUUACUAUUCAAUUAUUUUUAAUCAAGAAUAAAUAAUAAAUGAUCAUUACAACAAGAUUCACAAGCUCAAAUAUCUUAAAAAAUGAUAAUUCUCAAGAAAUAUGAAACUCAAAUGCUUUUGAAAUAUUCUUCAAAAAAUAAACUAACUUCCUUUUAUGUUAUUCUUUAUUUAUCUUUCUAUAACUUUGUUGGGCUAUGUAUAUAUUGAUAUUUUAUAGGUAAAUUAACAUAUUGUAUGUAUAAAUAAACUAACAUGUCAACUAAUGUUAAAAACAAAAAUGUAAUAAAAAAGUAAAGUUUUGUAAUAUUAAAAUAAUAAAAUUUUACAACCUAAGACUUUUUACAUGUUUUCUUAUUUUGAAAUUUCACCUUUUUUUAUUUUAUAAUUUUCUAAAGUAUAAAGGUUAAUAACCUAUAUUCUUAAAACAUAUUCAAUUUAUUUAUUUUACAGUAAAUAUAGAUUAUAUAACAAAAAAUAUUAUUUACAUUUAUCAAAUUUUCAUGUGUUUAAAAAUUUUAUGUGAUAUUACAUUAUUAUAUUUACACCAUCAAUUAUUUUUAUGAUCAAAUUAAGUCAAUGGAUCAAACUUUAAAAAUUUUAAAACAACAAAAAUUAUGUAAGUGAAUAUUUAAAACCUUUUAGCUUUUAUGAUUUUGUAAUAAACAGUAAGGACUUAAGUGUUAAUAACUAAUUGAACACAUCCUGUCUGUUGAACACUUUAACCAUUGAUCUUUUACAAUGGCUGAGUUGAAAAAAGACAAAAAAAUGGGAUACCGUGCAACUGUUGCACGGUAGGCAGACCCACUUCUUUAUGUUAUUUUGAGGACACUACACAAUACAGCUUUGAACUUAUGAAGAGUUUAGAUGAAGUUGUUGGCAUUUUGUUUAUUUUGUAUUGUAAAAAAUAAAUUAUAUGUAAUACUAUUAUGUUAUGGACUUCAAUCACUGAAGUGGAUUUAUUUUAAUUAUAUGUUACCUGUUUUGUAGUUUGUAAUUUAUGCAUUUGUUUGAGAGCUUCCAAAUUAAUUUAAAAAUAUAUUAUGUUACAAAAUUUUAAUUACUUACAAAAACCUAAUUCACAACAUACAUCUGCAAUUUUUUAAAAGAUAUGUAAUAAAAUAGUAGAAGACAACAUUUACGGCUUGUGGUUAAAAACUUUUCAGCAACAUGCAAAUAACUCAUGUCUAAAACUGUUUUCGUAUGAAUGGUUCCACCAAUUACCUAACCAUGAAAUACUACGAUACUUUUGAUAGUAAUAUUAUGAUUAAGGUGCAUGAUACGAUUAUAUAUAGCAAAAGCCACGCAUCCCGAAAGACAAAUCGAUGCACACAUUGAACAAUUGACAAAUUUGUAAGUGGACCAAUGUACUUAACGCAAAUAACGUGAUAUUUAACACAACACAAGAACUUGUUCUAAUGAUUACAAAAACAAUAGUGGCAACAUCCAAGGGAUAUCUUGUACGUACGCUUCAUUCGUCUACCAAAAAAGACUACAAUAAAGUACAAUAUAUAUAAGUCCACAUUUUCCCUACGUUCACAUAUACUACCAACGAAAGAGGCACACCCCAAAUGUUGAUUAAUGUAACGCUUCCCUAUGAAGCAAAAUCGGGUGAUGAACUCAAGUGGCGCAUUAGGCAGUUCCAUCAGCAGUCUCCACCGUUGUUCCAACGCCGUUAGAUUGGGAUCCAUGGCAAUGAUCGCCUCCCUGCUAGAAGUCAAUAGCGUUUAUACAGACAAAAAUGAAAAGAUCAAUGCCACUAUACAUUUUAAAAAACGAUGAAUUGAUUACCCCAACACGUGGAUAAAAUAAACCUAUGCUAGUUAACGAUAAUAACGACAUCCAAUUAAUUGAAAGCUUUGCAAUCACAGAAAUGCUUCGAAGAAAUUUUUUACCGUGGCCGGAGUUGGAUUUACUAGCUUGCAUGUGCGCUUCCCAUGUCCGUCGGCCUUACACACCGUACACCUGUACUUUUGCUUCACGCCCACAACUUGGGCACGUGGUAUAAUGGGUUGUACAGCCGUGGUUGCUGCAGGGUUUUGGUCAGAAUGGGCCACCGCAUCCUUGACCACCGGGACAUCCUCUCUGGUAUGGCACAACGUCGAGGGGGGCCCAAGUGUUGGAGAGUGAGCAGCGUUAACGGAAAACCGAACUAGAACAUGGAGACUGCAACUUCCCUUUAUCAUGGACAAGUGGAUAAUGUUUUUCAACGCAUCGUCCGUGUUGACGUCCACCAUCCGACCAUCCCACGGGAGAACGACUUUAGGAUGGAAAUAAUGAACCGCAGGAGAAUCUCUAGUCUGCAGCACGAGAGCUGCAAUAUUGCAAAAUCUGAGAAGAGUGUAGUGCAUGGGCCUGAUGGAUUUAAUCAUCAUGGCUGACCCCAUGUACUCCAAGACAAAGAUGAAUGGUGGAGGCAUUAUUGGCGUUACCGUCGCCAUGUAUUAGGGAAACUGAGAUGUAGGUGCGAACUAAAAAAAAUGAUGAUCAACUGCGAUGUUCGUACUAUGUGGUUAUGUAAAGGUCAUUCGUGAAUGGUGGCAAUAUACACAUUCGUUGAUAAUAAUACGCAUUACAGAUAAAAAAUUCAUCCAACUAUUUUGAAUUUAGUGGGAAUUCUUAACCAACGUAAGUAGUCCAUAAAUAUAUGGGUAUUUUAUAUGGCCAAUGAGACAUUAGAAGGUAAUUAUUUCUGUGUUUCGUUUAAAAAUUCCAACCUUAAAUUAACUCCCGCCUUUGAAAGAGGCUGGUUAUAGGCGACAAAAAUACUUCCUACUAUUUACAUACCUUGCCGUUGAAGAUUUUGCACUGACAAACUAACAGUGACAACUACUAUACUGUUUGCAGUGCUUUUAUGGUAACUCACGAUAACGAAGCUUCCUGUGGGGUCAAAUGCGCUGAAUGUUAUUAAUUGCCAAUAUUCACAGCAGUUGCAUUCUGUCAGGGAUAUAUUUUCCAGUCAGUGUCUUCUUGAUAAAGGAACAUGAGGCGGCGGGUUGUUUCCUGUGGAUGGCCAUGCAUUUAUGUAGUGGCCGCCGCUAAGCGAGGCCGUCUGUUGCACCGGUGAAAGGACACGACACAAAGAACAUCGCUUCACCCACGUGGCCACGUUUUCACAGAGGAUGACCGUGUUAUUAGCCUUUUUUAGUUCACUUUUGGAGUGCAUUGAAUCGACUUGACUAGCUAAGUGAUAAUCUGUAAGCUACUGACUGCAGCAUCAGCCGUUGGAUACGGUUGGAUGUGAAGUGAGAAACUAAACUAUAAAAUGGGAUGGUGGGAUGAGGGGAUACGUUUGUUAUGGAAUCUGUACCAUAGACAGGUCCACAUUGAAUAUGUUCGUGCCUCUUUCUUCGAUACCCCCAACACGUGGUAUGACUUAAAUCCACACACGUUCAAAAGUUAUCACGGCAUUUACAUCUACAGCCAAAAGUUCAAACUGGUUUAUGGGAAGUAAUCUGUCAAUUGGGAAGCUUCCUGUGGCCUUGCACACAUCGGGUUCAUUGACUACAGCAGUGGAAAACGAGAAGGGUAUUGACGGAAUAUAGAAUUUAUUUGAAUUAUUUGUGAUGAGACAGAAGCAUUUGCUUAUUAGUUAAAGUGACCGUUGAUAUCUUCCCGUUGUGAACCAUUACGUGGAAAUGUCCCAGCAAUGAAUGAGAGUUUAAAUACCGCCUUCUAUCGUUUUGCAUCUAUGAGGGUGCACAAUAUUCUUCCAAGAAAACCAUUUUUCGCAUGUCUUCGUCGACCAAUAGCACCAAUAACAUGAGUAACAACCACGACGGUGGAGAUCGUCGUAGGUGGAUUAAGUUGAAAAAUUGAUAUUGCAACUGUUAUAAUGGCCGGCGAGCUGUAAUACGGAUUUCUAAAUCGUCAAAGAACCCAUGACGUCUUUUAUUUUACUGCGACACCUGCAAGUUUUUGCAUUGGUGGACUCCGGAUAACGAUGAAUGACACAGUCUUCGUGAGUAUGUGCAGGAACGGACAGGAGCCUACCGUCUCAGUCGCUUACAUGUAGUGGCUUGCUUUGUUGGGAUCAUUAUCUCGAAUAUACUGGCAAGAGCGUUGGUUGUGCUAUACUUAUGGUGGUUUUCGGUGAGGACCUCGGCCGAUCCAGGAGUGACGAGCCAGUGGUUUUAGUUUCAGCAUGGGUAGCAGUAUGGUGGGUGUUAAAGUAUAAAUAGUUUCCAUGUAUAUGUUUUAAUUUAGAGCUGAUCCAGCAAUAAACAAGUGUCACCAGUAAAUUUACAUCGUUUUUUUCCAAGUAUAUAGUCAUUGUUUUUGUGCAUCGUGGCUUGAAAGUGGGGCUACAGUGUUUGUUUUAUUCACGUUAGGCGCAAAUCAUGCUAAUCAUCGUGUUUGCUAUGAUUAGUAAGGGGAUUGUUAGGGCUAAGAAAAAUGAAAUUAUUGACCUCCCUGUCAAAUAUUGUUACUAGCUCCCAUGCACUAUAUCGUUGAAGGCAUCUAUUUUAUUGUGCAUUAAGGUAUUGAAUGUGUUGAGAAACAUACACUGUUAAUUCAAGUCAGUUCCCCUUAGUUAGGAUAGAACGAAGCAUGGUUGCAAAUUGAAAAUAUGGUCGAAAAAGACGUCCUUUUAUUAAUCCACCAGGUGACAACAUUCUGGGCGAAGGGUCAUAUUUGUAAAAACCAAGCUGACAAAACAGGAAAACGCUAUUGAUGCAAGUCUGCAACACCAACAACUCAUUUUUUAACAAUCUAGAUGCUACCCCUUAUAUGCGAUUACGAGGACAAAAAGAAAUAAAUAAUAAGACCUUCGCUACCAUUAACGAGAAAAGGAAAAUGAGUUCGCUAUGUGAGCAUUUUUGAAAUAAGUGGCAGCAUUUAGAAUUGUGCAUCUUCAGUGUGGACGUUAAUGGUAGCGCAUGCGAUUGUAGACCAACCAUGCCAAGCCGAACAUUAUGGAUGCCUCAUCAGCCUCGAUGUGAAAAGUGAAAUUUGAAAGAAAGCCGUCCCAAGUGAGAAACACAUCAACGAAUGACGACGUAAACAGCACCUGGCACGUCCGCGAUUCAAGAUUGACCGCUAUGUGGAAGUUCAUGAUCAGGUGAGAAAUCUGUUCCACCUUGAGGAAAGGCAUCGUAAAAAACAAUGUCAUUUUACAGAAAAAAAAAUAUUUGAAUAACAGGAAAAAAAAUCCACACUUCCUAAUUGGAUGUGCCCUAGAGUUUGGAAGCCGUAAAUCGCGACAAAAUUGCCGCAAUUCAGCCCUUUUAAACUGAAACAACUACCGCCGGAUAACAGAUAUCCGUAUCGAAGAUGCACGUUAUAAAUGACCCACAAAAGAGGAAUGAGGUACUGAUUUAGAAAGCGAUAAUGGAGGUGCUGGGAUGAGAAACGACUGUUUGUACACCCAAAUGAAGCUGGGUCCCUCAAAAGAUACAUUUUGUGAACUAUAAUUAAUCGUGGACCAUGAUCAAACGGUGGUGCGACUGAUAGUAUAACCCCCUAAACCGAAGCUUCACCAUAAGUACAAUAACAUGGGGGGAACUGAAAUAAUAUGUUAAUAGUCCUCAUUAACAAAGUUGAACCAUGGAGAUGUAUAUUAAGUAUAUAACAAACGUUCAAAAGUUGUAUACUCAAGUGAACAGGUUGUACAAGUUUGGAAGAGGGUCACGCGGACGAUUGGAGGGACGUUAACGCAUGUAAGAGAAGUGGACCGGCCAUGGGAUCAUAAUAUCAGCACUGAAACAUUUUACCAUAUUUCCCAAUACAUUUAUCACAGUUGUAAAAAAACUAAGCAUCAAAGCAGGAAAGCAUCGAACUGAAAAGAUCAUGUGCAUAGAGAGACGCGUCGAACCUGUGAAUGCUCCUGUUAGUUGGAGUCCCGACCGGAGACGCGACGUGCUGUACACAGCAACAACUCCGGGAAGAUGACUUCGAACUAACAGAAGGAAAAGUGAGGCGAACUUGUCAAAAGCAAUGACAAUCUUGUCACUGACUAAAAUUAUAUGUGGACGAUAACCAGCGAGUGCUAGCAUCUUAGGCCGUGUUUGGACGUGUGCAAAAAGAGGGAAAUAACUUUUGUGUAAGUUUUAAUUAAUAGUAAACACAACCGUACAUAAAUACCGUAAUUUAUCAACCGGGCAAAGCUUACCUUACAUAUAAUGUAACAAAAAACCAAUGAAUAUAAGUCAUUGAUUUUGAUAUUCCUUAAAUCCAAUGGAAAAAAUUAAUUUUAACAUAAAACAAAAUACAGGUGAAAUAUAUAUUGAUAAAAGCUUUUAUUUAUAAUCAUAUAUUUACGUAAUUUUUCAAAUACGUCCUCAUUGAGUUUUUAUAAUGAAAUGGUUUUUUCAUUAAUCUUUUCUACAUUUAUUUUUAAACUGUAAACAUUUUUUACAAUAUUUUUAUAAAGAUUUAUAUGAUUAUUAUAUUCAUAAAGAUCCACAAAUUUUGAAUAUAUUUUUGCGCUUACAUUUAUAAUUUCUUGUCUCUCUGGAGACAUAAACUAAAAUUUUCUUCUAACACAUACACACAUUCAAUCUAUUUUCGUUCUUAAAUACAUAGCAUCAAUGCCAUCACACAUAUUUUGUAAUCUAUAUUUAGUAUCAUGAAUUAUAAUAGACAUUAUAUGUAAUGAAUAUCUUAUAAAUCUAAUGAAUUAUUAAAAAGAUGGUACAAUGAAUAAAUUACCAAAACCUCUAAUAAAAAGAUUACAAUUCUUUGAUCUUAUCAAUGAUUCAAACAUGUGGAGAAAUAAUCAAUUAAAUUGAAUGUUACUAUUUUUAUUAAAUAAAUUAGAAAAUAUAAAUAUUUCUAUAAAUGAUAUAGAAAUGGUAAACAAAAUAUUAGAAAUUCAUAAUUUCAAUGAAGGAAUAUAAAAUAAAAUAAAAAGUUAAGAGAUCAAGUGAUCAACUUAGUAAAGAAUUUAAUAAAGUUAAACAAUUCAUAAAAGACUUCAACAUUAAAAAUCAUGAUAUAUUAAACCAAGAGAUUAAUAAUAUAAUGAAUAAAAAUUCAAUAGAUAUAAAAUUUAACAAGUUAUAGAUUCAAUGAAAUAAAAUAAAUAAAAUCGUUGAGCAGUUUCAUACUAACUUUGCUAUAAAUAUAAAUGAAGAACUUCAAAAAAACUUCAAAUAUUGCUGCUUGGGUGCAAACAACCUGGAGUAUAAACAAUCUGGGGUAUAAUGUAAAACAUUAAAACUUAUUGACUUUUUUAAUAAUUAUUAUCUUUUCUAAGGGUUUAAGAAUUUAUAACUGUAACAUACAACUAAUGUAACAUGAGCUUUGCCUAUCAACCGUAUUAAACAUCCAUGGAAAUGUAUUGAAUGUUAUUAGUAAUCGUGAAUUAGUUGUAGACGAUGCGUGCAUGUAGGGAAUUAUGCACAUGGCUGGAUCUAGUAGUGGUAUGAUACCAGUGAGCUACCAUAGUUUUCUCCGUAAAGAUGUAAUAAUUAGAAUAGUUUGAAAGGAAUAUUUUUUUUUUCCCAUUAUAUGAUGUAGGUCCCCCACAUCUUAUAUUUGUAUGUAAACAUAGGGCAAAACGAUAACAUCACUUCAAGCAGCCAGUUUCAUAGAUUGAUAUUUCCAAUUUUUCUUUUAAGUUGACCUUAUAUUCGCACAGUAAUACACACAAUUACGAAUCUAAUUUUUGUGAUCAUAGUAUAAAUAAGUACCCGCGAGAAAUAUGUCUUGUACAGUAAAAUUACUGUUACAAAUAACAGACAAAUUUGUCACUUCAUUAUAGGUAUAACAUAGUACACUCAAUUUAUUUCGCCCAAACUAAUUUAAUUAUAGUGAGACAUUCUUAACUGUUGCAGAAUAAAGUAAUUUCAAUUUUCAACAAAAAUGUGUAUUUUUUAUUGAAUGUAAUGUAAUAUCUAUUUCCAAUAUUAAUCUCAUGUAAUAGUUUAAAAAUUAUGACAAUUUACCAUGAAAUAUAUUAGUUAUCACAAGUUUCUCUAUUACUUGUCAUCGUAUCAUUAAAUUAAAUAGGCAACAUUAUAUUAUUUAUUAAUUAAAUCCCAAAAUAGUUAUGGUGGUUUGAUGAAUAAAUUGUAAGGAUUGUUUACUUUUCUUGUUUUGUUUAAUUGAUGCACUGCUUUCUUUCUAAUUAUUUAACUAUCGAAUGUCAUGCUAUCUAAAGUCUAUAUGUAUUCAAAUGACGGGAAUCAAGACCUCUCAACAAAUUUCGAAUAUAUAAGAUUGAAACAGCACAAUGUGAAAUACUAAUGUUCAUUUUAUCCUGUAACAAUAUGAAGAAGUUGUACAAUUUAUUAGGAAUUGACCAUAGUUGUGGAACGAAUUGUAAAGCAUAAUCUGGGAAUAGUAAGGAGAUUGUUGUGACCAAUACAACAAAAAACAAAUCAAAUACUUAGUAAAAUGUUGUUACAAAAUAAUUACGUCCACUGUUAACUUGGAAUUCACAUGAUAUUCCCCUAAGUGUAUUGAUGGUAACAUAUGUUGCACGGCUUAUAAAACCCCCGAAGUUCACAAAUUACACUGCAUAGGCGUGAGACUGGGGCCUGACAUUUUGUAUUAUUGAUACGGGCUGGGAUAAACGUCCAUGUGACAAUUACGUCGUUGGUCCUUGAAGAUUAGGAUAUUUACUGACGAAGUGAUAUCAUGGUUUCCACCCAGUAGUAGGGAUUAGUUGGUUAGAACAGGGGAGCUAUUUGCCAUGAUGGUAGGUUUUUUCAGAACGCGAGGGAGUGUUGGUAAAAGUCUGGGAAAAAGGAUAGCUCAUCGAAGCUUCGUAGCGGACAAAAGCGGCGGCCAAGUACAGUUUCCCACGCAACCACUGACAAUGAAAGGAAAGAAAUUGCAAACUUCCGGCAUUUUAAUUUAUUUUUGUGGCAGUCGUUGCUUUGGAAGGUUAAUCCAUAAAAAUAAGGUGAAAUGAUGAACGACAUUUGCGCAGGAGAGGAAAUUUCUUUCCAAAAAUUUCAUCAUAGGGAGUUUCAUAAAUCUGUGCAUGAACAGGAUCCUGUAAAGACUACAUGUGAAACCCAUAUAUCGAUUCGAAGGAAUAACUUAGGAGUGGGAGCCAACAACACCACAGAGAAGGAGAGUAUGCUAAAUACAUACUUCACAGAGUGACACCAGGUAAACAUCAAAAUUAUAUCGUGCUCAUGUUUAUUAAUGACAAGUCUGUCUCACAUAUGUUCAUUCCGCUGGGCAAUGAAAUUGCAUGUGACGGAAAUGUAAUAAUCACUUUAAAACUGCUGUAUGGGUAGUUUAUUGUAGCACGAAUCAGGUUUGCAAUCGUACGGUAGACGCAUGUUUACAUUACAAAAAAUUGUUACGUUAGCUAUUACUUACAACUUCUCUGUUGAAUAACAAUGUGCAUUUCGUUUAAAUUUGUCAUAUUAAACUUGCAUUUAAAAUGUAUAUUUGGCCACACCAUUAAUUACUUGGGAAGAUGGCCAGUUAUGUGCAUUAUUUGAAGAAACUAUCCCGCAUUUCACAGUUUAGGCCGUCAUGGAAGAGCAUCAGCAUAUCAAAUUUUUCAUUUGCUCAUGCUUGUGGUGAUUUAAUAAACAGAUAAACCAAAUUCAAAGCAAGUCAUGGAAGAGGAUCAGCAGUCUGUUGUCAAAGGUAUAAAAGAGCCAAAGAAGCGCAGGCUUAUUAGUUCUACGAAUCACGCUGACCUCUUGAACUGUUCGCCAGAAUAUGUUCGUUCCUGUAGCUCAACAAAUAGACGAACGGCUAUAUUGGAUACUGACAUGGCCAAAUUGCAAAAGGCAUUAUAGUUUAAGAAUGAAAAAUAUAAUAGAAAAAUGUCCAAGGAGUUAUUUCCCAGUACAAAAGGCAAGGACGAACUGGUAGAUCAACAAUGUCGGGUGCUUGGCAAGGGUAACCCAAGUUGCACGGAACAUCUAAAAGGGAAUAAACAAACCCCUGUGUUUCUUAAAACACGUUGGCCAACAGGGUGGUACUCGGAUGAUGAACGAGACACGUUGGCAGACGUAAACGAUGAUCAACAACAAUUAGAAGGAUACUCGUCAGAAAAAGAGAAGGACAAUUUGUACGGAUUGGUAGAAAACCAAUUAGAUGAAGAUGUGGGUGACUGGUUCAUAUUUGAUGACAGUGUACAUCAUAGACUAGUAUUAUAUCACGGCCAGCGAUUUAAAGAUGUGACCCAGUUUAGGAACACUAUUCAAGUGUAUGCAAUUCGUGAACGGUUCAAGUUGUGCAUUAUGGAAAAUCGAUCUCACAUUGUCAGUUGCGAGUGUUCUGAUCUUUCUUGCGACUGGCAGGUUAAAGCAAUCAGAGAUGUCCGUGGUAAGGGUUUUGUUAUAACAGAAUUCUCACUAAAACACAAUUGCCCUCGACUUGACCACGCAUUCCACCCUGCAUCAAAGUGGAUUUCAGCAAUGUUUCUUCAUCGAUGGAAAGAACAGACAAGUAUCACCACAACAGAGGUCAAAAAUGAUAUUGAAUCCAUGUAUAGGAUUAAAUGCCCUGAGUGGAAGGUGUUUUGUGCAGCAAACAGAGCAAAACAGAUUUUGGGCCUGGAUUAUGACGAUGGUUAUGCAAUGCUGCAUCAGUUCAAAGAAGAAAUGAAAAGGAUCGAUAGGGACAACAUCGUGCUUCUAGAAACUGAGAGCCAUGAAUCACGAAAAGAAGAAAGGUUCAAGAGGGUGUUUGUAUGCUGUGAACGUACAUCCUAUGCAUUCAAGGUGCAUUGCCGAGGUAUCCUAGCUGUUGAUGGUUGGGAAAUUAACAAUCCGUGCAAUAGUGUCAUGCUGGUGGAAGCUGGACUUGAUGGGAAUAAUGGGAUCUUAACAGUUGCCUUCUGCGAAGUUCAAGUCGAAGACUUGGAUUCUUGGGUUUUUGUUUUAAAGAAUAUCAACAGCGCGCUGCGUUUGGAGAAUGGCAAAGGUCUAUGCAUAUUGGGUGAUGGAGACAACGGUGUUGAAUACGCUGUUGAAGAAUACCUUCCUAGAGCUGUGUACCGACAGUGCUGCCACAAGAUUUUCAACGAAAUGGUCCGGAGAUUCCCCACAGCACCUAAACAGCACUUGUUCUGGUCCGCUUGCCGCACCACGAGUGCUACAAGGUUCUAUAACUAUAUGGAAUUGAUAUAUCUUGGAAGUCAACAAUGCCAUGACUGGUUGAAGAAUUCAAAUUGAGAAAGGUGGGCACUAUUUUGUAUGCCUCAUUAGGUUAAGUGUACCUGUGUCACAUUAACGAUUACUGAGAAACUUCGCACUUCCUUUGACCACUAUUUGGAGAUGAGCAUUACUAGAAGAUUUGCGGCCAUUGCACGCUCAACGGCUGAAAUUUUCGAACGUAGAAGGAUGGCUGUCUGGAAAUAGUAUAGGGAGAAAAUAACGCCCACAGUUCAGGAUAUCAUUCACAACCGUUGUAUUGAUGGUCGGUGCUUCAUCGUGCGUAAGCAGACUGGCACAAUAUUGGAACUGACUGAUAGUUGUUCAUUAUGUUAUGAGCUAAACAUGGAUGCGAUGCCAUGUAGUUGCGGAUUAUGGCAGAUCUCAGGAAUUCCAUGUGCUCAUGCUUGUAGGGGAAUCAAAUAUAUGAGGCGCAAGAUUGAAGACUAUGUGGACAACACGAUGUCUAUACAAAAUUAUAUAUCCACUUAUGCGACAUGCAUGAUGCAAUUACCUCAAGAAUAUGCUUGGAAGUGGGACGCAGGUCACACCCUGCUUCCACCCAUCAGUUUGCCUCUCAAACCAAUUUCGGCCAAAGGCACCGAUGACUUGACAUCCAACAAACAUUUACUACACACGGCUGAUCAGUACCUCACACCUACACGUAACCUUCAGGUGCAUCUUUUCCUUAUACAACUUCUAUGUAUAUUUGCACUGCACAUCCUUAAACUAAUGUCACCUUUGCGAAAACUUAUAUUAACUCCUUCACUACAGUGGACACAGGAUAAGAAUUCGAGCAACUCUUCUGAACAUUCCAGCCUCCUCAGGCUCAUAUCCACCACCAGCUCUAAUACUAUUAGUAAGGAUCCGUUACUUUUUACUAUAUUUUGCAACAAACUCAUAAGUCAUUCACAAUUCCUUAGUGUCCAUGCUUAUGACAACUGCUCUUAACUCACUAAAUGAUUUUUACCUCAACAUUCUACCAAAUUCACAACUACCAUAUGUAUAUAAUGUGCUUAAUUGCAACUAAACUAUUUUCUGUUCGGCUGGUUCUUCUUUUAUCUAUGCCUAUGCAAAUAUUGUGACAGUGACAGAACCAAUGCUGCUCCUGACAUAAACAACUUUUCAUAUUCGCAUACUGCAAUGUAUCUGUUGCUAUUACUGCCAUCUUUAACUAAUGACCAAGAGCUUCAAGCAUGUGAGGGUGAAAUAAAACUUUUGCACAUUCGACUGACACCAUCCUUGUUGGAUGGUAGUGGUAUCCAAUUACUGUUAUAAAUGUGUCGAAUAUGAUUGUGCCAUGCUGAGAAUGACGUCAAUGUGAACUUUAUAAUUGCACUGUUUCUUAAUGACUAUUACUGCCUAUUACUUAAUUUUUUAUUUUUCCUUGGUUGUUUCAACUGGGAGCCCAAUACUUAAAAUUUGUGCUCUAUAAAAAUCGUUGCACACCAGUGCAAUUUCUUUUCCUUUAAAUAUAGAAAUUGUUUAUCUACAAAAGUUUCCAUAUUUUCACACAAUAUGAUCAAUUUAUUGUAUUGCAGGCCUCUGAUAACGGUUUCAAUUGGAUGGAGGACUUGCACUUCAACUUUUGGCCUGCAGACCACCAUUUUUGGAGAAUGGCGCCAAUGGUGUAUUAUAUAUGUAUUGGUUUGUAGUGGGAUGGUGCAUGUUUUGUAUUUGGCUUCUGGGAAGAUGGUUACUGGUACAUAAAAACUUUAACUCUCAUAUAACCAACUUUUGAUAUCCACCAUAACCAACGUUUUUUGUUUGUGAAUGCCGUUUAAUUAACUACGACCAGUUUAAUCUGCAUCUAUUCCCUGUAUGCUUUUGCACUCUUUGUUUGUUUGCUUGUGUCUAAUAACUGUAAUGUCUCAACUUUUGAUGCCGUAGCGUGUUCUAAAACAUCUAAAAUGUCAGCACUAUAGCCAUUAUUCUCUUCUUACUACCGUUACCUAUAAAAUAAAUCCCGAUUUUGCAUUGUCCAUCUCCAUAAUUCCUCCAACCCUUAGAAUGGUUGUUUUGUUUUUCAGAACUAAUUGCCGUUUUUCUUCCCUUACAAACUUUCUCUCUUCCCCUAUUGAGGACCACCUACACAAAUCUGUAGUUUGGAGACAACCAUUUCCUAUUAUCUACACAAUUGUCCUGAAUAAUUAUAACUGUCACUAAAUCGCCUCCUCUAUCAAUUUCCACGGUUCUAACAUAGUAGGAUCCUAGUGAUUAUGUUCAUAUUCUUUUCAUAUGUAAUCUUCUCCAGCUUUUAUAAUUCAUACUCAUUGUAUGUGCUUCACCCAACAUUGUCGUCGCUCUUGCUUUGCAAAUUCAACGUCAACUAUUGGAGAAUAGUAAUAGGCACUGGGGACAUACCCAUUCGGUGGAGCAUAUUAUGCUUCCAUUCAGUGAACCUCUUCCACGACCUUAACAUAACCCAAACACAAUCUUGUGAAAAUCCCCCAAACCAUCCCACUCUGGAACAAUUUCAGUCGGGGUAGUUUAGAUAUAUCCCCGCCAAUCACUGAAUUGCUCGGUAAUUAAAAUGCUGACAUGAUACCCUCUUAUAUUUGGAAUAAAUAGAUAUAUAUAUUAUGCAUAUUUAGGUACCUAAUCAAUUUCGAUGCCACCAACAAAUAGGAUACGGGAAAAUAAAAAAAUAACUAUAACGAUAGAUCAUCCAAUUUUACGACUCAGUUGUGGUGGCCAAAUGUUACCAUCCUCCAAAUAUCUCAAUAGAACUGCAAAUACAUCAAACAUGCUUAUUACAGUUUUACAAGGCCAAAAAUAAAAUUUCUAGGCCUUCAACACCCCCUUCCAGUGCCUUCUCUAGAACCAUUACGAAACUUCCAAUACCUUGUCAGCAACCAUCACCAGUGAUUACAUACCUCAUUCUUCUAAAUCCUAACACAACAUAAACAAACAAAAUACAAACAUGUUUAACCAUUGUAAACGUAAUAACUAACUUAUAUAACAAUAAAAAUUUACGCUAUAUAACUAUACAGCCUCCACAUCUGUUUCAAUCUAUGAUUCCUCGUCCACAAUCUUCACUUCUGCUGUACAGGUAGAUGCCACAGGUAUUAAAUAAAUACUAAUGAGACCACAAUUAAGUCAGUAGUACUUGCGUUUAACAAAUGAAUAUUUUAUAUUACAGUGUAAACCAUAUACCUCCACAACGAGCACACAUCCAUUAUUCAACUUUCACUACACAUCAUAGCCUCAACAUGCCUUGAUGAAUACACUACUUAUUGGACUCAAUGAAUUUAAAUAAUGUUGGUAUCAAUAACACCUCCACUAAUCAAUACAUAAACCAUAACUCACUUUACUAUCUUUUACUAACCAAAGCUCCAAUGCAAUAGUCCGCGUGUAUAUACCUAUAAACAAAUGAAUGCCCCCCAUCAAUUUUCGUUUCUUCAUCGAUUAUAAAGGCAUCCUACAGAAAAUUCGAACAAUUCACUUUUCUAACUUUUCCAUGCAAUCUCUUUCAAACCAAUCCUCUAUCUAACCAUAACUUUAAAUUUAUGCAAGUCUUUUCAUCUUAAAGCCGAUAAAUGUAUUAUGCGUGGCAAACAAAGACAAUUAUAUUAUACAUAUACUUAAAGUGAAUGACCAACCAAAGCACACGCCUCACUAACAAAGUGGUUACAGAUCGAACCACUAAUAUUAUGCCAUUUUUUCCAUUUGUUCUUCGGUGACUCUGUAUGUAUGUAAUUAACCAUUAUUUUUAUGCACCCACUGUCGAUAUUUACUAAUAUACAAUAAAAAAAUUACAUCUACACAAAGUAUGAGCCACCGAAAAUCAAAAGCAUCCAUUGAAACUAUGUUUCUUUCCUUAACAAUUAACCCAUAAAUAAGGUUUAACAUGUCAAUGAUUACCCCACUGCUCAAACCCCUUUACUGUAUUUAUUUCAACCCCUAUACUAUAUUUAUUUCAACCUGAGCAAACCCAGCCAUUCACCUCUUCGCAACCUAGGCAUUUCGAACACCACAUCUUCGAAAUCAACUACAAAAACGCAUUCACAAACAUGAAGCCUACCUAUGCAUGCGAAACGACUCUUCCAGUGCCUGCAAAAAUGCCAGAUUCAUAAUACCAACAAGGCCAUCUUCAAUAAUACAGACAUCAAUAGAAUAUAAUUUCAUAAAUCGGCAGCAACAUUUUUCUUACGGCAAAAUCAAAAUCACGACCACCAAAAAACACACAUUCAUUUACGAUUUAAGGAAAGAAUCUUUACCCUUCCUUGCCUAACGAAAUUUCCGGUUAUUCCCCUCUCUCGCAAAUGUCAGAUUUGAGAUUCAAAUUUGUUUCACAUCCUAUUCUUGUAUUUUUUUUUUUUCCAUGGACUUCAAGACCUUCAUUAGACAACCGGUUUAAACGGUUGUUGUUACUACCUGCGUCCGCUCUCCAAACUUUUAUUUAAACCGUUGGAUUGAACAUACUUAUAUCCAACGGCUUAACAGAAUAAAGACAAACCACAGUGGCACGGUGCCACUGUGGCACCACAGGAUGACCCACAUAACAUAGAGUAGAUAUUUUGAAGUGAAAAGCAGAGCCUUUACUGUUGCUUGCCUUAUCAUCUUUUAAAACUAGAGUUAUUAUUCUUAUAUUUUUAAGUAGCCAACGGAUAGUAGCCAACUCAUCUGUGUUCUCUAUUAUUGAAUUUAAAGAUCAAUGAUUUGGGUCUGCCUACCGUGCAACAGUUGCACGGUAUCCCAUUUUUUGUCUUUUUUCAACUCAGCCAAUGGAUCAAUGGUUAAAGUGUUUAACGGCCAGGAUGUGUUCAAUUGGUUAUUAACACUUAAAUCCUUACUGUUUAUUACAAAAUCAUAAAAGCUAAAAGUUUUUAAAUAUUCACUUACAUAAUUUUUUUUGUUUUAAAUUUUUUAAAGUUUGAUCCAUUGACUUAAUUUGAUCAUAAAAAUAAUUGAUGGUGUAAAUAUAAUAAUGUAAUAUCACAUAAAAUUUUUAAACACAUGAAAAUUUGAUAAAUGUAAAUAAUAUUUUUUGUUAUAUAAUAUAUAUUUAAUGUAAAAUAAAUAAAUUGAAUAUGUUUUAAGAAUAUAGGUUAUUAACCUUUAUACUUUAGAAAAUUAUAAAAUAAAAAAGGUGAAAUUUCAAAAUAAGAAACAUGUAAAAAGUCUUAGGUUGUAAAAUUUUAUUAUUUUAAUAUUACAAAACUUUACUUUUUUAUUACAUUUUUGUUUUUAGCAUUAGUUGACAUGUUAGUUUAUUUAUACAUACAAUAUGUUAAUUUACCUAUAAAAUAUCAAUAUAUAUAUAGCUCAACAAAGUUAUAGAAAGAUAAAUAAAGAAUAAUAUAAAAGGAAGUUAGUUUAUUUUUGAAGAAUAUUUCAAAAGCAUUUGAGCUUCAUAUUUCUUGAGAAUUAUCAUUUUUUAAGAUAUUUGAGCUUGUGAAUCUUGUUGUAAUGAUAAUUUAUUAUUUAUUCUUGAUUAAAAAUAAUUGAAUAGUAAAUUUAUUGAUUUCCAAAUGCUCUUUUAAAUAUAGGGUAGUUGGUUCAUUUUUAUUGUAUUAGCUUAAACUUUGUGUGAUAGCUAAUCAACCAUUGUAAAAGAUCUACUAGGAUUAUUUUUACUUUCUCUACAUCCCUCUAGACCAUCACCACUCAAAAAGUUAAAGGUCCAUUUGGCACACUAUAUUAUAUUGUAUUAUGUAAUACACAUGUAUUAUAUUAUAUUAUAUUACAUUAGUAGUAUAUUAUAAUAAUUAUAAUAAAAUUAUGCAACAUUUGGUAAUUGGUAUUAUCCUGUACUACAUUAAUUUUGUACUAAUAUUAAACUAAAAUUAUUUAAAUUUAUUAUUAAUUAUAUUAAAUUAUUAUUUUCAUAUUAAUUAUUUUUAAAUAAAUAUAAUAUAAUAUAAUAUAAUAAUAUUAUAGUAUAAUUUAUUUUUAUAUUUUUUAUUUAUUAUAAUAAAAAUAAAAAAUAAUUAAAAUAUAUGUAAUGCUUAAUUAAGGCAAAAUAAUAAUAAUGACAGUGGUAUUAUUUAAUAAUCAAAACAAAAAAAUUGUAAAGUUUAAUGAUGAUGACGAUGACGACGACGACAACAUUAAUAUAAAUAUAAUAAUUAGAAUAAUAAGAUUAAUAAAUUUAUUAAUAUUAAUAAAAUAAUAAUUCAGUAAUAAUUCAGUAAUAAAUUUAAUAUAUUUUAAAAAUAGUGAUGGUAAUAAAAUCAAUAAAUAAUAAUGUAAUGAUAACUAAUUAAAGUAAUCAUAACAAUUAAAAUAAUAAAUUUUAAUAAUAACAAUAGUAAUAAUGACAUUAAUAAAUAAUAAUAAUAACAAUUAAAUUUUUUUUCAAAAGUCAUUUUAUAAUUUUAUCCAGAGAAAAGGACCUAUAUAUAAAGAUUUGUAACUUAUAGUAUCUAUUCAGUUUUCUUAUAAAUAUAGGGUAGUGUAGUGUAAUUGUUGGAAAAAGACAAAAUUCAGUGAUACCGUAUAACUGUUGCACGGUAGGUAGACCCCAAUGAUUUAUGUUAAUAAAUAUUUUGUUAACUAUCAAAGUUUUUAUUUCAAAAUUACUGCUAUAAUUCAUUAAAUUUUCAAUUUUUCCUUUUUCUAUUCACACAACAGAUUGAUUUGCCCUCCAAAAAAAUGUAUUAGAUUGUUUAAUAUUGUAACAUUAAGAAACUUAUAAUAAAUUUUUUAAGAGAUAAAUAGAGAAUGUCAGUCUCGCAUCUACUCAAAAUUAAUAAAUAUACCACUAACUCCUUAUUAUUUUUAUAAUAAUUAAUAAUUUUCUUAGCAGUAUAAUUUUAUAGUAUUAUCCUUAUUUGUAAGUACAUUUUUAUUCAUUUUUAUUAUAAAUUAAGUAAAUCAUAUCAAUAAAAAUUAAAAGAACACAAUAUGGUUUGGUGUGAAUAAAAGAUUGAAAAUAAAAAUAUUUUUCUUAUUUUUUUUGUUAUUUUUAAAUGCUUUUCUUGUAAUAAAUGUACAUUUUAUAUUCUUAAGAUGAAUUUUGAGUAAAUGACUCAUUUACUCACUUUUUCUUUAAAUUUGUGUUAGUAGGAGGAUUUUUAGAUAUAUUGAAAAUUGUAAGGUAGUAAGUAAUAAUAUAAUAAUUUUAAUAGAGAAAAAUAAUUAAUUUUAAGACAUUUCAGAAGAUAUUUCAAUAUGCGGUGGACCACAUCCUUGAGUUUUCAUUGUCUCACUCAACUAAAAGGACAAAAUAUUGAGUCAUGAAGGACUCAAUUGAUUGUUAAUUUUACAGCAAUUACCUUUUUUUUUUCUUCUUUCUUUUUUGUUCUUAAUUAUUUUGAAAUGGUAGGUAGCAAUUGCUUACAUCAAAAUAUUUAGCCUCACUCGACAAAGUAUCUGAGGCCAAAAUGCCAAAAGAUGGGACACCCACAUGUGCAUCUAAUUACAAAAUCCAAAGUUAAUGAAAAAGAAAAAAAGAAAAAGUAUAAAUGAACGGUAUUCGCCUCACUUUCAAACAUGUUCAACAUGAAUUUCCUUUUACCAAAAGUAAAUUUCCUCUCGGAUUGUCCUUAUUACAUCAAACGAAUGAUGACGACAUUCUCUGUCCGUUUCUGACUCUUUGCUUUUCUCUCUCACAUCACGAGACACCUCGUUUCUAACUAGGGUACCACCAUCAUAUUUAACUGUUGGGUCUUCCUACUAUGCAGCUGGUGUAUGCAUGAUUCCUUGUGACAUGACAUACAGUCAAUUAAAUUCUGACAUGCUUGCAAUAAAGACUAUUAAAGUGACCGGUUAUUCCGGUUGAAUUCACAAGAUCUCUUGUUUGUGCGUUUAUGUUCCAAGUUGCUUACUAUGUGUUACAAGUUCUCUAAUUAGUCUGAUAUUAUCGCAACUGUUGCUCAAUAAUGUUACAUGUUUUAUAAUAUGUCACUGGUACGAUCGCUGUCACAAAUUUAGAACAAAAAGUUUCCAAUAAAAUAAGUUAUUUAAUUAAUAAAAUAAGAAUAAAAUGAAUUUGUAAAAAAAAUUUAAAUUAAAUUUUGAAUUAUUUUGACCAAAAUUUAAUUUUUUUAAUUUGUUUAAGAAAAUGCGUUGUAAUUGUCUUGUUUUAAUUGGAAAAUCAAUGAAAAAAUUAUGUAACAGACAAAAAAAAAAAAAAGCAAAACGGUUUGUUUUGUACGGAGGCCAUAGAUUCCAAUAUUUCCUUCACGAAAACUACAAAUAAUUAUCAAAGGCAUCAAUUUCUACACUCUCACCGAGCAAUACUUUUAGGUAGCGUUUAUUUUUUGGAUUGGAGUGGGAAUCCUGAGGAGUGGGAAUCAUAGGAUUGGGAGUGUGGAGUGGGAGUGUGGAGUGGGAGUGGGAGAAUGUUGUUUACUUACACUAGAAUGGAAGUAUAUAAUGGAGAUCAGAAUUCAAUUUAUGUGUUUACUUUAUCUUAGGUUGGGAAUAAAUAGUUUCAAAUUACAAUUUUAUCUUUAUUUAAAGAAUUAUAGUUUUUAAUUACAAAGCUAAUAAAAAAUAUAUUUAAUGAAUAAAUAUUUAUUUUAUUAUAUUUGUAAAUUUAUAAUAAUUAUUAAUAUUCUUAAUUAUGAACAUCACAUUUUUUUUAUUAAUUUUAAUUCUAAUAUAAAAUGAAAUGUUAUUUUAUUUAAUAUAAUUAUAUUAAAUUUAUUAUUAUAUAAACUAAUAAUAUAAUUUUAUUUAGUACAAAAUUAAUAUUUUCUUAGAAUAACCUAUUUAUUAUUAUUAAUAUUAAAUAAAUAUAAUACUAUUAUUUUUAAAAUAAAUACAAUAAUAUUAUAUUUAUUAAUUCUCUAUUAAUAUAAUAAUAUUAUUUUAAAAUAAUUUUAACUUAGAAUCAAUGCAAAUUAUUAUUUAGUUAAAUAUAAUAAUAUUAUUCAAAUAAAUAUAAUAUUAUUUAUUUUAUUUUAUUAAUUAUAAAUAUUAAAUUGAAUUAAAAUUUAAAAAAAAAUGUAGAAAAGGGAGAGGUGGGAGUGGAUUCCCACUCCCACUUCUCACUCCAAAAAUGGAUAGGGCCACAGAGUGGGAUUCUCAAUCCUUCACUAAAUAAGUGAAAUAAACACUAAAGUGUGAGAAAUUCACACUCCUCACUCCCACUUCAAAAAAUAAACACAACAUUAACCCAGAAGAAAGUGUAUAAACCAACCCCAAUCUGUCCAUCAAUGUCGUCAACCUCAUACAGCAUAAAGAAAAUCUGUCCAUUAAACCGCCAUUUAAACCGUCUUUAUUGAGCCAUUAGACUAUUCGUGUCAUCUUCCCAUCUCGUUGUAGUAUUUUGCCUUUCAAAUCUAGUUAUCCAUUGGGGAAAAUGGGGACCAAUCUGCAAGUCUUUAAAAUAAAAAAGAAACUUUAAUUGGGCACUAUGUUCACGGUGGUGGACCUAGCAUUAGCUAUUUGUAUUUUAAAAAUUAUUUUACACACUCUAAUUUUAAUAAGAAUAUAUAUUACAAAAUUACUUAUCAUAUAAGUUACUGGACAAUAUAUUAUAAGUCAACAUUAUAUAAUUACUUUGAACAUUUAUAUAGCCCAAUCCUAAUUCAAUUUAUUACUCUCAUGAUUAAAUAUAAAAAUUUUUAUUUCCAACUUCUUAAUUAAUAUGUAGAUGAAUAAUAAGGAAAUUAACUUUGAGAAAAAAUUAAAUACAAAAUAUGUGUAAUACUUUAAAAAAAAUAAACAAAAGUAUUGCACAAGAUUUUUUUUGGGGGGGGGGGGGCUUGGCCAUUCUUCUUCUUCUCCUUCUAUCUCUCUUUUUUUGUAGUAUUUAUGGAACAUUUUCUAUUGUUAUAUUCUCAUUGCAAGUUAUUUUGGGUGUAAAAUUCAAUAUUGAAAAUAAAUUAAAUAAAAAAUUAGUAACUAAAAUUAUGUUAAAUUAUUUUUUAACUUAAUUUUUAGUUAUAUUAUUAGUAUAUGUUAGAUCUCUUAAAAAUCGAGUGUUGAAUAAUUUUAUUAGUUUUUUAAACAAAUAAAGUUAAAUAACUUAAAAAAUUUAAGUAAGGAUAUUUUUAAAUUUUUAAACAGUAUACAAAGUAAAGUUUAUUUUCUUGUCAGUGGCAAAUGAUCACGACAAGAAAUCUGAAGUAGAAACAGCAGAGCUCAACAAAUCACUAAGAGAAAAUAAGACCAAUAACCAAGCAGAUAAAAGAAAAGCAAAAUAACCCAUCUCAAAAUCACCACAUGCACAAUUUAAGGGGUUUGUGACAUGGGUUUAAGCAUGAUUUAACAAGUGCCACCUGUGAAUUGUCAGAGAUUGUAUUUUCAUACACAUGUCAAAUUUUCAAGUCCAACAAAUUGUUAUCUUUCUAAAGAGGCUAAUAUAUUAUUAUCUAUGCAUAGCAUGCUAUAAACAAUUCAUAUUACUGGGCCUUUGUUUUGUGUACACAACAUAUGGACAGAGGAACAAAUGCCUGAGCUAAAAUCAUCAUAUUCCAAAAUAUUCUAUUAAAUCAGCACCACAAAACGCGAACGCUAAACAGAAUUGGAGCAAUUUACCAAAGCUAUUUGUCACGCAAAGCACUAGUACCUCAGAACCCAAUUUGCAAAAAAGCACCAAAAAUGAAAAAUAACAAAUGCCCAGAUGAAAAAUCAGGAAAAAAAAAAGCUCAAAUCCAAAUUACAACCCCAUAAGCUGAGUCGUUCUCUUCGAACUGAAUUAAAAAAAUUAAAAAAAAUUAAAUAGGGAGAUUGACCUCAAACUUUGGAAACAGAAGCGACAUCGAUCUGUUUCUUGUCUGGAGUGUCCAUUUCUAUAAUCUACUUUGUCCGUUUUCAGUCGCUCUGCCACAGAACUUCUUCCCUCUGAAGCUGCAGCUCACACACACUUGCAAAACGAAAGCAUUUUUUAUUGAUUGAGAGGCGGGAAGGCGGGAAAAUGAGAGAAAUUUGCAUUUGUUUUCUCUUGGUUUGGUCACACCUGUGCGGGCCCCAGCUCGACAAGCGGUAUUAUUACUAUUUGUAUAAUUUACAUGACGCGUGUCACGCAAUGACGAUAAAAAUAUAUAUAUAUAUAUUGUUAAUUUUUCACUUAACAUUGAAAUAUCAUAUAAUUUUUCUAAUUUUAUGGUUAUUUUCUCGCCCUUAUGCCACAUUCUUUUGAUCAAAUAAUACAGUAAAAUUUUUCUAUAAUCAUAAUAUUAGAGCCAAAUUAACUUUAUUUCUGUAAAGAGGCUAUAGCUUAAUAAAGGUAAAACUAUAAAAAAUAUUAUUUUGACUCAGUUAUCUUUAGUGCAAGUGAUAUAAAGUACAAAUAUAUGAUAAUUAAUUAAUGAACUAUGUCAAAUACAAUAUGCUGACAAUGAUAAAAAAGAUAGACAUAAUUUCAAGAAACUAAUACAUAUAUUUAUGUAGUGCUGGGAUUAUACAAAAUUAUCUUAAAAGUGUAAAUAGUAAAGUACUAUUCUGAUUAAUUUAAAAAAAAUAUUUUAUCUUAAUCUUUAAUGCAACAUAGCUUUUUUUUUUUUCUUAGCAACAAAGCAUUGUUCCAAAUAAUUAUUAUUGGAUUCAAAUCAUGUCCUAGGCAUUUUUUCUUCUAGUCGUCUUUAACUUUUAAUGAUUUAUUGGCAUGUGUCAAUCAUUAAUGAAAUUAAAUAACUAAGACUUUGUUUUAAUUAACGUUUACAUAAAUAGACAUCAAAACUCACAUGUGAUUCUUAUCAAAUUUUUUCCUGCAAAUUCUUUUCCUCUCAACUAUUCAUAUUUUGAUAUUAAUUUCCAGCAAAUUAUUAAAAAAAAGAAGAAGCGUAAAAUGGAGAAAAGUGAUUGACAAUAAGAUUUGCAUCUUUAUUUCAAAAUUUUCCUUUCUUUGCUAUUUUUGUGGGUUCUACAAUUGUUGUUUUCACUCUCAGCUGCAGUUCAAUGAACUCUAUUAAAUAAUUAGUUUUUAAACUACAAGUAGCUUUGGAACAGCUCUUAAAUUGAUAUAACUUCUAUUAUUAUGUAACUUAGCAAGGUCAGAUAUUUUAAUAAUAGCACAUCACUAUUGUUUCAUGUGAAUGAUGCAAUUGGAUUAGCCAAUACAUACCGUCAUCCCCGGGAGAUGCUAUGGCAAUAGCUUACUCUACCGUGCCAAUGUCAUUAGUAUUAAUCUGUCGAACCUAAGACCAGAUCUAAGUUGAUCUAGAUUCCCCAAGAUUGCACACCACACAGUGAUUAAUGAAUCAAGAACAAUAAACCAUCAAAGAAUCGCAAACUUACAUGUCGGGUUACAUGUAAUAAAUGUUUUAAUUAUUAGAUGAUUCAUAAUGUUAGACCAUUUUUUGUAUGUUUUGUAAUCUACGUUUGAUAAUUUAAUUAGCUGAUAAACACUUGAAUAAUAUUAUUUCAUUAACUAUGUCAUUGAUCCCCAGGAAAAAAAAAAAAAAAAAACCCAAUUUGGGAUGUUAUACAUUACUUUUUCAUUACUUCCCAUUUUAGAUUAAUAUUUAUCACAUAUAUUCUUAGCAACUUGUAACCCUUUUUGCUAAGGGUGAAAUGUGUUUGUUACCCCUUCUAUUUCUGAGAUUGUCCUUACAAUAAGGAUGCCGGCCACAAUGUCAAAAACUGCUAUCUCUAGGUGUAAAUUCCUUAUAAAAUUCUUUUUUAAUUGAAAUUACUUAAAUAAUUGAAGAUAAAUUAAUUUUUUAUUUCAUUCAAAUAAAAAAAAUCAAUUAAACACUUCAAUAAGCUAUCCUUUUAAUUUUUUUUUACACCCAUCCAGUUUCAUAAUUUAUAUUUAUAAUUUAAAUUUUAAUGGGAAUAUUUUUUUGAAAAAUUUUAAGAAUUAAGAAUUAUGGGGAUAAAAAUUAUGUAAUAAGACCAAAAUAAUUUAAAAUUUUAAAAUUUGCAUGUAUUAUAAACAAAAACUUGAAAGAAAUACUCUUUUCAGGGUGAAAUUUAAUGAGAAAAAGAUUAAUUUUAAUUUAUGAAUUAGUAUUUUAUAAGUUAAACUGAGGUAUUUCAAGAAAUAGAAUUCAAAAGGCAUGGGAACGAGGGCCUUGGGUUUCAUUUUGUUUUGUAUGAAUUGGGAAAAAUACACGGACAGACAAAGGGAGCAGUCAUUAUAAUGCUGUGGAGCUUGUCGGAGAUUCCCUGCCCAUUUGUAGCUUAGAAUCCUGGGGUUUUGUUCAUGUCUUUUCUCUUUCCCACUUUCUCAUAUUGCUGUCUCAUAAGAGAAAUAGUCAUACAUAGUUGGUUAGGCCUCCAGUCCAUUAACUUAAUAAUGAAUUUUAUGAAAAUUGAUUAUCUCAUUGGAAUUACAUAGAUAUUGGAAAACAUUACUCCAGCCCCACCAUCCCAACCAUUUACUUAGUUCAUCAGUAAAAGCUGGAUUUUCCAUUUGUUCUUGAGAUUCAAAUUAAGGCAGCAAGUUGCUCAUUCAAUAUUAUCUAUGUAAUCCUGUAAAAGUGAAGGGCGUUUAGAUGUGGAAAAACCUUACUCCUGCCGCAACACCUCAAACAGAUUGUGAUCAGACAAGACUUAGUUCAUCAUUAGCGGUAGUUGGAGCUUCCAUUUGUUCUAGAGAUUCAAAGGCAGCAAGCUGCUUCCUCAGUGCUACUAAUUCUUCCCCGGCAUUGCAUAUGUAGCCUGAGGCUUGUCUGCCAGACAAAGUUGCUCCUUCCAUACUAUCUAUGUAAUCCUGUGAGAGUGAAACCAUUUAGAAGACAUAUCUCUUUUUUUUUUUCAAUAUUUGGAAUGAAACAAUUAUAUACAGUUACCUGUUUUGUAUAUGAGCUGGCGAGGAAGAAGUUCUUCACUGGUAUCUUUUGAUCAGGUCUGAAGGGGUCUUUACCAGGUCCCUCACCUCACAAAGAUUGCCGGAUUUUGACGACAGAUAACCAAAUAACUUCUAAACCUUGGGAUGAUGGAAAUAGAGCUCAAACCUAAUAAAAGGAACCGUGAAUGGAUAGUAUGGACUCAUGUAUAUUAUCCAGAAAGUUGCAUGACCUUUUUUGGUACUCAGGUCACUAAAAAAUGUGAGAUAAACAUCUAGGAUAAGAAAAGCAAAAAAGCAUAACCUAAUACGUAUUAUAUGAAUUGAAGGUGUCACUGAACGCUACCAACCUGCUUUGCCACUCUCCUUCUGAUUUCAUCAUUUGGUAAGGGCAUAUAAGGAUCUCCAGGCGUCAAAAUGCAUCUGAAAUAUAAUAUGGCUAUAGUAAGUAACACAGAAUACAAAGACACUUAGCAAAAGGAAGUCAAUCAGAUUCCAUGCACAAAAAAUAACUAAUAAUGACGAGGAUAAGAAAUUUUUCUUGCUGGAGCAACGAACCUUGCCCUUCUCUGUAGUAGUCUUCUGGUGAAGUGAGUGCUAGAUCUGCAAAGCAAGAUAAAUCUGCAUCUGGAGUAUAUGAAAGGUUAUCUAACCCCACAGCUUGCCUCAAUUGUCUACAUGUUCAAAACAAGGAUCUGUUAAAAAAUGGAAAUUUCUUCAAUGCAUUAGUAAAGGGAAGUGAAGUGAAAGCUGAUUUCUUAGGCCUUCACAGAGCAUCAUGUGUUUGAAUUCCGGUAACCUCACAAAAAAUUAGAGCAUCACCUUGACCGUUCUAGGUCUUGCAACUCAGUAACCCAACCAUUGCAUCUAAGCUGCACUGUGACAACAGGAACUCCAACUAGCUCAUAAAUAUUGUUGAAAAUUUUCAUUUCCCUCCACGAUGAUGGAGGCAAACUUUUAAUUCCAGGGACAUCACAUGCAGCCAUUAAAUAAGAAGUUGAAUAAAGAAAAAUCGUUCAACUAAAUGAUUCAGGAGUUAAAAAAAAAAAUGUAGAAGUAGAAAUAAAUAACGAAGAUUUAACCAUAAACCUGCAACAUAUGCAUCAGCUUGCACAACCUUCUUGUCAGUGGCCUGAAAUAGAAUGAGAAAUUGAAAGACAGUAAGCAUUAAAGAAUAAACUCAAAGAAGCUGCUUCUAACAGAUGAUAUAAACAGUAAAUUUACAAAUGUCAGAUCAUUGCAUUAGCUCUAUGCCUCCAUCAGAGGGAAUAUUAAUAGAUGCAUAAAAAAAUAAUUAGAGCCACAUGUUAAACAAUUUACCUUAGAAGUAGCAAGUGCUUUGACAAAUUUUUCCCCGUUAGCAGAUUUAUCAUAAAGUAUCUCUCUGCAUCCCCACCUAAGAUGGAACCUGUUCUCACAAGAACAGAUCCCAAGGUUGGGAAAAUCAGUUCAUCAUAGGAGAAAACAAAGAAGAUUAACAAAUCACUACAAUGGUGUGAACCCGUAAAUACAAACGUACCUGCCCCCUUUAUCUGUGAUAUAUUUUCUUAUGGGCCCACUCAAAUAAACAUCCGGAGAACCCUUGAGCAUCAGCAAUAGGGAAGCCUCGGUCUUAGUCGCAAACAGUGCAAAUAUAGUGAGCAUACAACGAGCACUGAUGUUAUCACAAUCAAUAAACCCAAGGGCAUACGCAACAGGAUCCCACAUUCUUUGGAACCCUUGGACAAAAACCAAUCAGAGAAGCUUAUCUGUAAGAAGAAAUGAAGUUUUAGGUAAAAUGACAAUCUGUAAGAACAGGGAUUGAAAUUCAACAAACAAGAAAAUAUGAUGUCAUUCUUACACUAUCCAAAUCUCAUAUGUCCUUCAAGGCUCCAUCAGGAUCAACAAGUGCCUUUACAACAGCACUCAGAGCAAGAGCAAGAGCAUUUCUUGCUUUAUCAUAAGUCUGCACUUGAGCAAUUUAUGAGGCAAAGUACAUCAAAAGAGAAUCCAAAAGAGGCAAGAAGCUUCAACAUGAAAAAAGGAGUACUGCCUCAUCAUACUGCUUUGCAAUCACAGUGCAAAAGAUAACAUCAACAAAAUCAAAUUCUAGCAUAAAUCCAUAUGCACUACCUUAAGCUGAUUUGUAGACAAAAGACCCGUUUGGGGCAGCUGCGCGGUUGCAGCGCAGCUGUCCCAAACGGGUCCAAUCAGAAACCCAAAAUCAAGUUCUGGAGUUGAAAAUCAAAAUCAUGAACCAAAUCAGAGUUAUUAUUGAAUUAGACAAUCCAUAAACCAAUAGAAGGUAAAACAAAAAGGAAUAAAAAUUCUUCUAAAUUCUUUCACCAUCAACAAAAUCAGUAAAACACAUACUAAUUCAAAAUGACAUAAAGUUUGUGAAUUGAAAUAAUGCCAACUCCUAAGAAAAAUUAUGACUGCUGAUAUUUUUUCCGAAAUGCUGAUAAAAGCUUCUGCUAUUUACUUUGAAAAAAUAGAGGUUAGAAGCCAAUUUACUUGAAAUUUUGAGUUUAGGCAAGAGGAUGAAUGGCAAAAGUGAAACAAUUUAGGGAAAAAUGUACUUCAGAGGCCAAUGAAAGCAUUCAGAAGAUUGAAAUCUAAAUAAGCAAAACCCCGUGGCCUUGAUCCAACAAAUCCACUGCUGUUGACAUGCCUGCAAGCCCAGCUCCAAUAAUAGCCACUUUCAGCUUUGGUCCUCUAUAAUGUUCCGGUUCUGGUAGAAACAAACCCUUGGGAGCUGCCAAGUAUACCAUCCAAUUAUCCACAGCGAUAAUGGAAAUAUAUAUGUGUUUAAAGGUACUAAAUUCCUAAACAUGAAAUGUAUCCAAAGAGAGACACAAAGCAGAAUUGUGAAACCCAAUAAAUUUUAAGAAUACAAAAUACUCGGUCUGUUCCUCAAUUCCUUUAAUAAAAUUUCCACUAGAGGCUCCGGAAGCCACUCAAUAACACUCCAAAGCCAGAUUUUAAACGUUCUCUUUAUCUUUAACUACAAUCCACAAACAAUUCUGCCACAAAUUCAAUUCAAAAUUGUUCAAGUGCACCGCCACUUCUCCAUCAAUUCCCUCAAAAAUUCAUAAUUGGCAAACACUACAAACCAAAAAGAGCUUCCAGCAAUAAACGCAUAAAAAUCCACCAAGCAACAUAAAACAAAAUACCCAGAAACCAGAAAAGCCAAAAGAUCAAUGCUUGGCAAACAAGCCAAUCAAAUAAAACAAAAAGAAGAGAAAUUUACCAUUAACGCUCAUAUCAGAAACAUUAGUGUCCAAAGAAGCCCGUACACGGAAUCUUGGAUCCUUCACUUGAACCCGAGACCAUGUAACGCCAGUAACUGAAGUUGCAGGAAACAGAACUGAAGAACCCAUAUUGCAAAUCCUGAGCUGAAAUCAAAGAAAUUCAAUUGGAACUCAAUUCAGCUCAACCGAGCGGAGCUCUCUUUUGCUUCAAUAACAAAGUGUUUUUCUUUCAUAUCAACAAAGAUUUGUCAACAUCAACAAAAUUUAACUAAGAAACUAAAAAUAAUGCGGUAUCUUUGAGUUUAAGAAUCUAACAAAGAUUUGUCGACAUCAGGGAACUGUUUCGGAGAGGUUGGCCAAGUGCAUUUUUGUUUUUUUCUUGUUUUGCCCUUUUCAUUAAUGCACAACAUUAGUCCACGUGAAGAGCACAAAAUGCUGGUGGCUUUGUCACUAACGAUAAUGGAUGGAGUGUCCAAAGCAACCAACUAAAUUUUAAAGAGAGGGAAUGAUAAGUAAUAUCUUAAUGGGGUGAUUAAUUAAUUUAUUAUCAAGCAAUUGUAUUUAUUUAUUUAAAAGAUAUCCUUAUCUUUGUACAAGGUUUGAGGAAAGACGACGAUGUUGUGUUGUCACAUAUUUUUACGUUUCUCCAUAAUUCACUGCAACAUCAACUGGGCCACCACCUCUUGCCUCUCCCGGUUCCCCUCAAUUUUCUUAUUCAAUGUCCACCGUUGAUUGUACAUUUAUUGAAAUUCUGUGGUUAUUGUUUUUUUGCAUACAUUUAAUUCCACACGGUCUAUGAAUAGAGCAGGUGCAUCGUAGUUGUGGCCUUAACUGUUAUUGGUAACUCAAUAGCUAAUUCUAAUGUUUCAUCAAGCAGUUUAGAGAUAACCUCUCUCGCUGAACUCCCCGGAGUAACGCAAUCCAGUUUUCCAGUGCAAUCAUCAGACAGUUGAACAGCUUCUGAAUUCCCUUUGCUUUUCUUGUUUUCUUUUCCAUGUAAAGGGAGCUCAGGCUUCAAUAUAUCUGGGGAUUGAGUACUAAUGAUAAAGACAACAUACGAUAGAGGACACAAAUUGUUAUUAAAGAAUGACGCACUUUUCAACUGAGUACAGUAAAGCAAGAAUGGGUAAUUAGUUUUACCUGCAACGUGAAAAUCUAGACUCCCGACGGUAACCGAUCUUUGGUGAAGCAAAUAAAGAAGAAGGCGAAGUAAAAUUCACUGAGUUGAAUGAGCAAUCAUUACGUAUGGACUUGAUUUGUUCAAUGGGUGAAAGACUGCUGAUAUAAUUAAAGACUGGAGAAUCCUGCACGUUGACAAGCAUCAUUUUUAAUAUAACAUAGAGUCUUAAAAACCUAGUCAGUGGCAAAUGAUCACGACAAGCAAACUGAAGUACAAACAGCAGAGCUCAACAAAUCAUUAAGAGAAAAUAAGACCAUUAACCAAGCAGAUAAAAGAAACGCAAAAUAACCCAUCUCAAAUCACCGCAUGCACAAUUUAAGGGGGUUGUGACAUGGGUUUAAGCAUGAUUUAACAAGUGCCACCAGUGAAUUCUCAGAGAUUGAAUUUUCAUACACAUGCAAAUUUCCAAGUCCAACGAAUUGUUGUCUUUCUGAAGAUAUUAACGUUGCAUAGCAUGCUAUAAAUAAAUCAUAUUAUUAGGGCCUUUCUUUGCUGUACACAACAUAUGUACAGAGGAACAAAUCCAUGAGCUGAAAUCAUCAUAUUCCAAAAUAUUCUACCCAAUCAACACUACAAAACCCUAACGCUAAACAGAAUUGGAGCAAUGUACGAAAGCUAUUUGUCACACAAAGCACUGGUACCUCAGAACCCAAUUUUCAAAAAAGCAACAAAAAUGAAAAAUAGCAAGUGCCCAGAUGCAAAAUCAGGAAAAAAAUGCUCAAAUCCAAACUACAACCCCAUAAGCUGAGAUUGACCUCAAACUUGGAAACGGAAGCGACAGUGAUCUGUUUCUUGUCUGAAGUGUCCAUUUCUCUCGCUCCGCCACAAAGCCUCUUCACUCUGAAGCUGAAACUCACCACGCACUUGCAAAACGAAAGCAUUUGAUUGAUUGAGAGGCGGGAAGGCGGGAAAACGAGAGAAAUUUGCUUUUGUUUUUUCUUCGUUUGGUCAUACAUCUGCAGGCCCCAGGUUGACAAGCGUUAUUACUACUACUUGCAUUAUUUGAAGGACGCGUGUCAUGCAACGAUGAUGGAAAAAGUGGUGCAAAACUUCAAUGGUCACGAAAUGACGAUAAAACAAAAAUAUAUGGUUAAUUUUUCACUUAACAUUGGAAUAUCAUAUAAUUUUAUGGUCAUUUUCUCGCUGUUACGCCACAUUCUUUUGAUAAAAUAAUAUGGUUAAACUUUUCUAUAAUCAUGAUAUUAGAACCCAAUUAACUUUAUUUCUAUAAAGUGGUUAUAGCUUAAUAAAGGUAAAAUUGUAAAAAAUAUUAUUUUGACUUAAUUAUCUUUAGUGCAAGUGAUAUAAAAAAUAAAUAUAUGAUAAUUAAUUAAUAAAUUAUGUCAAAUAUAAUAUAUGGACAAUGAUAAAAAAGAUAGACAUAAUUUCAAAAAACUAAUAUAUAUGUUUUUGUAGUGCUGGGAUUAUACAAAGUUAUCUUAAAAGUGUAAAGAGUAAAGUAUUAGAUUGGAUUGAAUUAUAUAUAGUGCUGACUUAUGUUUGGUAUGAUAUUGUAUUAGAUUAUGUUAAAUUAAAUUUACAUGAAAUUAAAUAGUAUUUACAUUAAUAUUUGAAUUUAAAUAUCAACUAUUUAUAGAUAUUUAACAAUAAAUAUUAUAAUUAAUUAAAAACAGCACUAAUAAGGGGUGUGUGUGUGUGUGUGUAUUCAUUUAGUUAUUGGGUAGUCAUAAUUAUAAUAAAGAAAUAUAAACUAUUUAAAUUAUAGGUUAUUUCAAAGAGUAAUGAGAGAUAUCAUUUCAUUAAAUAAAAUAAAUAAAACUAUUCAAAUAAUAAAUUAAUUAAUAAAUUUUAAGUAAAUCAUGAAUAAAAAAGAAAUUACUUAAUUAAAAACAAUAAAUAAAUAAAUAAUUUUUAAGUUAUAAAUAAAAUUGUGUAAUAAAUUAUGGAAGAUAUUAUAAAUACACAAAUAUUUUUUUCACAUUAUCUAGUCCCAACUAAACCCACAUAAAAAUUAGAAUUAGCAAUCCCAUGAAUUUAGGAUUAAAAUUUGAAUUUAGUCCAUUAAUCCAAUCCAAGUGAGCAUGCCAAACAUAGUAUUAAUAUUUUAUCCCAAUAAUAAGUCCAAUCCUACACUAAAUCCUACCUCCCAAACAUAACCUUAAGAAUCUAUUGACAUGUGUCAUUAAUGAAAUUAAAUGGCUAAAAUUUUGUUUUAAUUAAUUUUUACCUAAAUAGACAUCAAAACUCAUGUGUGACUCUUGUUAAUCUUUUUCUUACAAUUUCUUUUCCUCUUAAUUCUUUAUAUUUUGACACCGAUUUCUAGCAAAUUAUUAAAAAAAAGAAAAGGAGCACAAAUUGGAGAAAAGUGAUUGACAACAAGGUUUGCAUCUUAAUUUCAAAAUUUUCCUUUCUUUGUUGUUGUUUUUUUUUUUUUUGGGUUCUAUAAUUGUUGUUUUCACUCUCACUUACAAUUCAAUGAACUAAAUUAGUAUUGCUACUUAUAAACUGCUAUUACCGGGCAUAUAAUUUUAUUGCUACAAUUUUACUGCUGUUUAGCUAUUUUUCUGAGUUUUUAGUUGUUGUUCUAUUGUCUCUUUGGGGUUUGCAACUGAUGUUUGCUGUUUUUCUAUGAAACAAUUAAAUUCUUUUGCUGCUACAUUUUUUGUUGUUCUAUUAUGGCCGGGACGUAUGUGAAAGGGAAAGAAUCUACCCAAAAAAAAAAAUGACAAAGAGUCACAUGUGAGUUUAGAUGUAUUUUUAAGUAAAAAUUAAUUAAAACAAAAUCUUGGCCCAUUAAAUAACUUAAUAUAAUCAAUUUGUUCUUAAUAACUUAAUAUUAUUUAAUCUAUAGAAGCAAGAUCCUCGAAGACAAAACCUAUAAAUAAUUUAAUAUAAUGAAUUGAUUCUUAAUCUACUCCAAAUUGAGACUACAAUUUUUUACUUAAAAAUUGGCUAGCUAACUUUACCUUGAUGGGCUGACUAUCGCCCAUACAUAUUUCUUCAAAUUUAUUAAUAUUUUUGUGCAUAGCAAUUAGGGUUACGUGACAACGAAUUCUCCUUUUAGUAUAUAAAAAGUAUACUCACAAGUAGUGUAGUGUUCCCCUCCUAAAGGGCAUAGCUCACUGACUUUUAGUCUCUUUCUUCAGUUGACGACUCCAGUUAGACUCUUCAAUGAGAUUAAAGAUUGAAUAUAUCAAAAAUAUUAGCAAUAUUUGUGCUUAUAUUUAACAAAACUAGAGUAAUAUAUUGAUUAAUCUACAUAAUUUUAGGCGGGUUCUUAGGUAAUGUUACAAUUACAUAGAUUAUUUUCACAGUAUAAGCCAAAUCUUAAGAAUUAAUUACUUGAAUAAAAGGAAUAAAGGAUGAUCGAUAAAAGUAAAACAAAGAAAAUAAAUUAUGCCGUUAAAUUGGGAUAUUUGGCUGCCUUAAUCGCUAGAGAUGCUUCUCCAAAACCCGCGUGUAAACAAAACACAUAUUUUUAACAUAACAAUAGCCCAAGCACAUAAACAAGAGUGAAAGCCGAGGAAUCAAUUUCAUUACUGUUCACUAGUAUUUUCAAUUUCAUUAUUUCAUUAACUGUCAUUGAUAAAAAAAAAAAAAAAAACUCAAUUUGAGAUGUUAUACAUUACUUUUCAUUACUUCCCAUUUCAAACAUAUUUAUCAUAUAUAGUCUUAGUAGCUUGUAACCCUUUCUGGUAAGGGUAAAAUAUUUCUUACCCCUUUGAUUUCUGAGAUUGUCCUCACAAUAAUGAUGCUGGCCCCAAUUUCUAAAACUACUAUCUCUAUGAGUAAAUUCCUUAUAAAUUUUCUUUUAAUUGAAAAUAUUUAAACAAUUGAAGAUAAAUUAAUUUAUUUUUUUAUUCGAAUGAAAAUUCAAUUAAACACUUAAAUAAGCUAUUCCUUUAACAAUUCUUUUCACACCCAUCAUGUUUCGUAAUUUAUAUUUAUAUUUAUAUUUUAAAAUUUAAUUGAAAAUACUUUUUGAGAAACUUUUAAGAAUUAAGAAUCAUGGAGAAAAAAAUGAUUUAAUAUGAAGAAAAUAGUUUAAAAUCUUAAGAUUUGUAUGUUUUAUAAAUAAAAACUUGAAAAAAUACUCUUUCCGAGAAAAGAUUUAAUCAGAAAAUGAUUAAUUUUUAAUUUAUGAAUUAAUAUUUUAUAAAUUAAACUAGGGGUAUUUUAAGGAAUAUAAUUAAAAAAGAGUGUCAUAAGGAUAUUUAGGGGUGUUAGAAGCCAUACUCAUUUACAUAAGCCAUGGGAGUUAGGGUAUUGGGUUUCUUUUUGUUUUGUAUGAAUUGGGAAAAAUACAGAGACAGACAAAGGGAACAGUCAUUACAAAGCUGUGAAGCGUGUGGGAGAUACCCAUUUGUAGCUUAAACUCCUAGGGUAUUGUUUCUGUCUUUCUCUUUCUCACUUUCUCAUGCAGCAGAUGUACAUAUCAUGAAAUAGCCAUACAUAGUUGGUUAGGCCUCCAGUCCAUUAACUUAAUAAUGAAUUUUAUGAAAAUUGAUUAUCUCAUUGGAAUUACAUGGAUAUUGGAAAGCAUUACUCCAGCCCCACCAUCCCAACAAUUUACUAAGUUCAUCAGUAAAAGCUGGAUUUUCCAUUUGUUCUUGAGAUUCAAAUUAAGGCAGCAGAUUGCUCAUCCCAUACUAUCCAUGUAAUCUUGUAAAAGUGAAGGGCGUUUAGAUGUGGAAAAACCUUACUCCUGCCGCAACGCCUCAAACAGAUUGUGAUCAGACAAGACUUAGGUCAUCAUUAGUAGUAGUUGGAACUUCCAUUUGUUCUUGAGAUUCAAAGGCAGCAAGCUGCUUCCUCAGUGCUACUAAUUCUUCCCUGGCAUUGCAUAUGUACGCUGAGGCUUGUCUACCAGACAAACUUGCUCCUUCCAUGAUAUCUAUGUAAUCCUGUGAGAGUGAAACCAUUUAGGACACAUAUCUCUUUUUUUCUAUUGAUCGUGACAUAUUUGGAAUGAAACAAUUAUAAACAGUGACCUGUUUUGUAUAUGAGCCAGCAAGGAACAAGUUCUUCACUUGUGUCUUUUGAUCAGGUCUGAAGGGGUCUUUACCAGGUCCCUCAUGGUACAAAGACUGCCCGAUUUUGACAACAGAUGACCAAAUAACUUCUAAACCUUGGGACAAUGGAAAUAGAGCUAAAACCUGAUAAAAGGAACCGUGAAUGGAUAAUAUGAACAGAUGUAUAUCAUCCAGAAAGUUGCAUGACCUUUUGCAGGGCUCAAAGUCACUAAAAAAUGUGAGAUAUACAUCUAGGAUAAGAAAAACGAAAAAGCGUAACCUAAUAUGUAUUAUAUGAAUUGAAGGUGUCACUGAACACUACCAACCUGCUUUGCCACUCUCCUAAUGAUUUCAUCAUUUGGUAAGGGCAUGUAAGGAUCGCCGGGCGUUAAAACGCAUCUGAAAGAUAAUUCAGUUAUAGUAAGCAACACAGAAUACAAAGACACUUGGCAAAAGGAAGUCAACCAGAUUCCAUGACACAAAAUGAAACUAAUAAUGGCGAAACUUCUCUGUAGUAGUCUUCUGGUGAAGUGAGUGCCAGAUCUGCAAAGCAAGAGAAAUCAGCAUGUGGAGUAUACAAAAGAUCAUCUAAUCCCAGAGCUUGCCUCAAUUGCCUACAUGUUCAAAACAAGGAUCCGUUAAAAAAUGGAAAUUUGUUCAAUGCAUUAGCAAAGGGAAGUGAAGUGAAAGCUGAUUUCUUAGGCCUUUAAAGAGCUUCUUUUGAUUGAAUUCCUGUAACCUCACAAAAGAUUAGAGCAUCACCUUGACCGUUCUAGGUCUUGCAACUCAGUAACCCAACCAUUGUAUCUAAGCUGCACUGUCACAACAGGCACUCCAACUAGCUCAUAAAUAUUGUUGAAAAACUUCAUUUCCCUCCACGAUGAUGGAAGUAAUCGUUUAAUUCCAGGGACAUCACAUGCUGCCAUUAAAUAGGAAGUUGAAUAAAGGUAAAACAUUCACCUAAAUGAUUCAGGAGAACAAAAAAGCACAAGUAGGAAUAAAUAAGGAGGAUUUAACCACAAACCUGUAACAUAUGCUUCAGCUUGCACAACCUUCUUGUCAGUGGCCUGAAACAGAACCAGAACCUCUAAGACCAUAAGCAUUAAAUAAUAAACGCAAAGUAGCUGCUUCUAACAGAUGAUAUAAACAACUGAUUUACAAAUGUCUGGUCAUUGCAUUACCUCCAUCAGAGGGAUUAUCAAUAGACGAGUAAAAAAAUAAAUAACUAAACUAGCUUUUGCCGCCUAAUUAGAACCAUGUGAGAAACAAUUACCUUAGACAUGGCAAGUCCUUUGACAUAUGUUUCUCCAUUAGCAGAUUUAUCAUAAAGUAUCUCUCUGCAUCCCCACCUAAGAUGGAACCUGUUCUAGCAAAAACAGACCCCAAGGUUAGGAAAAUCAGUAGGAGAAAACAAACAAGAUUAACAAAUCACUGCAAUGAUGUGAACCUGUAAAUAGAAAUUUACCUGCCCCCUUUAUCUGUGAUAUGUUUUCGUAUGGGCGCACUCAAAUAAGCGUCUGGAGAACCCUUGAGCAUCCGCAAUAGGGCAUAAGCAACAGGAUCCCACAUUCUCUGAAUACUCGUCCGUGUCCCACCUUUGGACAAAAACCAAUCAGAGAAGCUUAUCUGUAAGAAGAAAUGAAGUUUUAGGUAAGAUAACAAUUUGUAGGAACAAGGAUUGAUAUUAAAACAAACUAGAAAAUAAGAUGUCAUUCUUACACUAUCCAAAUCUCCUACGUCCUUCAAGGCUCCAUCAGGAUCAACGAGUGCCCUUACAACAGGACUCAGAGCAAGAGCAAGAGCAUUUCUUGCUUUAUCGUAAGUCUGCACUUGAGCAAUACAUGAGGCAAAGUACAUCAAAAAAGAAUCCAAAAGAGGCAAGAAGCUUCAACAUGAAAGAAGAAAUACUGUCUUAUCAUACCGCUAACUAAUCAGAGUGCAAAAGAUUACAUCAACAUAAUCAAAAUGGAACAUAAAUCCAUAUGCACUACCUUAAGCUAAUUUGUAGACAAAAAUGCGCGAAUCCCAUGUAAGGGAGCUCCGACUGGAAACCGGAAAUCAUGUUCUGGAGUUAAAAAUCAAAAUCAUGAACUUAAUCAGAGUUAUUAUUGGACUAGACAAUCCACAAACCAAUUUCAGAGUGUCCAACCACCAAACAUAACUAUCAGUAGUCUUAAGUGAUCAAGAAAUAACCAUACCACCAAUUUCACCACCCUUAUUCACAAAUGUAUGAGUAUGAUCCUUCAUGAGUAAAUUUUUUUGUGUCCGCACUGACCUGUAGACAUCCAUGAAAAACUAUCAGAUUAUAAACACAGGGUCAAUUUAAAGAGGAGCUAUGAUUCUGAUCCAUCAUGAUAUUUGAAGAACAUUUUCAUAUUUUCCUACAACGAGUAAACUAUAACCAGUUAUCAUCACUAUAGAUGGCAUGGUCAAGAGAAAUUAUAGUUCUUGUUUCAAGAAUCUCAAAUCAUAAUUCCUUUGCAUGGCUAGUGUGCUUUUAUAAUCAUUCAAACACACUUAUCCACAACUAAGCAAGCUUUACCUUUUUCAUCAAUCGGAACAGAUUAUUGUAGCAUCCAAAGAAAAUGUGCAGGCCCAUUUCAAUAUGGUUUCCAUGUUUAUCAAUAAAUGAACCCACUUUACCACCAAUGAAAGACCUUGACUCAUAUAUAUCCACCUGGAAGGGGGGGGAAUCUUCUAAUUUCUUUCACCAUCAACAAAAUCAGUAAAACACAUACUAAUUCAAAAUGAAAUAAACUUUGUGAAUUGAAAUAAUGCCUGCUCUAAAGAAAAUGAUAACUGCUAUUCAUUUUUCCGAACUGCUGAUAAAAGCUUCUGCUAUUUACUUUGAAAAAAUUGAGUAACUUCAAAUUUUCAGUUUAGGCAAGAGGAUGAAUGGUAAAAGUGAGACAUUUUAGGGGAAAAGAAAAUACUUGAGAGGCCAAUGAAACAUUGAAAGAUUGAAAUCUAAAUGAGCAAAACCUCAUGGCCUUGAUCCAACAAUUCCCCUGCUGUUGACAUGCCUGCAAGCCCAGCUCCAAUAAUAGCCACUUUCAGCUUUGGUCCUCUAUAAUGUGCCGGUUCUGGUGGAAACAAACACUUGGGAGCUGCCAAGUAUACCAUUCAAUUAUCCACAGGGAUAUUGGAAAAACAUACAUGUUUGAAAGUACUAAACAUCAAAUGUCUCCCGAAAAAAAUACAAAGCACAAUUGCAUAAGCAUUUCAUUUCCCAAUAAAUUUCAAGAAUACAAAAUACUUGGUCUGUUCUUGAGUUCCUUCAAGAAAAUUUCCACUAGAGAGCACGCAAGCCACUCAAUAACACUCCAAAGUCAGAUUUUAAACGUUAUCUUGAUCUAUAAGUACAAUCCAUGAACCAUUCUGCCACAAAUUCAAUUAAAAAUUAUUCAAGUAAAAUGCCAAAUUCUCCAUCAAUAGCCUCAAAAAUUCAUAACUAGCAAACACUACAGAACAAAAAGAGCUCCCAGCAAUAAACACAUAAAAAUCCCACCAAGCAACAUAAAUCAAAAUACCCAGAAACCAGAAAACCCAAAAGAUCAAUACUUGGUAAACAAACAAAUCAAAUCAAAUAAAACAAAAAGAAGAGAAAUUUACCAUUAACACUCAUAUCAGAAACGUAAGUAUCCAAAGAAGCCCGUACACAGAAUCUUGGAACCUUCACUUGAACCCGAGACCAACAAACACCAGUAACUGAAGUUGCAGGAAAAAGAAGUGAAGAACCCAUAUUGAAAUAAAAGAAUCCAAACCCAAAGUCCCACAUCUAAAUAUGAUGGAUCCACUCCAUGCGGCAAUAUGAAAUUUAAGCUCUCUUUUCUUAUGUCACCCAAGGCAUUGGCAGGAUGGCCAAACACCUGAGUUCAAGUCUACAAUAGAGAAUCGAAAUUUUCCUUUGUAAAUGUUCAUAAGUAUUUACCACAGAUAUUCAAGUUAUUCUUGAUAGAUCCCCUACUAUAUAUGCUAUAAUAUUUCUCUUCUUUUAAUUUAAAAGUAAAUCAUUCAUAAUAUCGGACUUGUAAAGAAAUAAAAUUUUCGGUAAUUAACUGACAAAACAAAAAAAGAUGGAUUAUGCGAAAGAAGUUAAUAUGGAGUAAGUCGAGCACUUGACAAUCAAAGUAAUUUACUCGAGGUUGAGUAAGGAUAGUACGAUACUUUCUCAAGUUUUCUGAGGACAUUCACGUGACAUUGGACUAUUGAUUAUAGUUAGAGAGAAGUCCAAGGAUGUAAGUGAUGAUGAUAGAUUCACAAUUCUUUUGAAGAAAAUAUUUUAUAUAAACUUAAUUAUAUGGUAUAAAAUGAUUGGCCUUAAUAAAAUUAAAAAAUAAUACACGCCUGGGUCAUGUAAUAUUUUCAACCAACUAAUUUACAUGCAAAAUUAAACUUUAUGAGUACAUUUAUUUGCUAGCAGAAACUCUGCCAAAUUUUCCGAAAUGUGAAAGUGAACACUUUUAACAACGUCACAAAAUGCAUGUGAUAAUGAAACAAUGUGCCAUCCUUAAACUAAUAUUAUUAGAAACUAUAAGUGAAAGUUUUCAGAAAACAUAUGAUAAAUUUUUCUCGGAAUUUGUUUUCUCCUUUGUUUUGAUUUAUGUGAGAGAUAGUUGUAAAGCGUAAAAUUUUAAAAUCCGUAACAAAACAAAAACUUACAUGGGUUGGGCGCACCAUGUGCAUACCAAAUUAGAAUAAUUGACGAAUCGUAAUAAAAAAUUUAUAUAUAAUAAUUGAAUGAGAUCCAUGGUUCACAAUUGCAAAUUAAAGGUUGGUUUUAUAAUAAAAAUCUUUUUUUGCAUACCAAGUUAGAAAAGAUUAUAAGUAAAUUAAGAUUUUCAAAAUUUGACUAGUAUUAUAUUACGUACGUCAAUAUAAUAUAAAUUUGUUAUAUAUAUAUAUAUUUUACUCUGCAACCAAUGCUUUCAAAAACUUUUUACUUGUAUGUUUGAACAACUUUUAUCGCUUUCUAUUUAUAUACGAUCUCAUUUAUGUUUACAUAAAUUUUCAUAUGUACCCAAAUUAAGCAUUAAAUACACACACUUUGGUAAGACACAUUUCUAGUAUCAGACAAUGAUAUUAUAUUGAAUGUAAUGCUUCAAUGAAUUUUAUUACUAUAUACUAAAAUACUCAACGAUAUUCAUUAAAAAAAAAAAAGAAAUUGCAUGAUUAGAAUGAUUAAAGUUCAUUUAAUGACGAGUUUCAUCAUUGACUGUGUCGAAACACAACAGCAAUCCACAAUACACUCAACACGAGAGGCGCACACAAGCAUGCAUGAAUCUUCCACCAUUAAACCUGAAAUCAUAAAAUGAAAGAAACAAGGUGAGUGUUGUUUUACGGUCUGAAAGCCGAUUCGAAAUAAUAAUAAUAAUAGACCUUUGUUAAUAGUUACUACUAGUGGUCACUGCCUUGUCCAUCUUCCUUCUCUGUAUCAUCGUCCACUUCCAAGCCGCUGUCAUCUGACCAAACCCCAGCAACCAUCGCGGGAAAAAUCACCUAUUUGGAGUGAGAGGGAAAAAGCUGAUUGUUGAGAAAUAUAUGUAUCUUUUGUAUGGUUGUGUUAAGGUCACCCAUGCAAGCAGAACGUGCUUCAGUCCCCCAUGCUUUACUCCCCCACUGCACUUCGUGUAAUUUGGGUGUACUUAAAUUUCCUUCAGAGAAAAUCUUCAUAUCGAGGCAAUCACCCACCACUAAUCUUUCCAAAGAUGGGAACUUGAAAGCACAAUUGCCAGAGCAGAAGCUUGUCAAACUUUUUAAGUCUAAAAGCUUCAACUCCUUCAAUUCUCUGAAAGUAAUAACCUCAUCUUUUGCUACAACAUCAUCCACCAGUACUAUUUCUGUUAUCUUAUCGCAUGAUUCUAUCUCCAUAUAUCUAAGUCGCACCAGAGUCUUUGCAAUUGAGGAUGUUAAUACGAUUUUCAAUCCUUUGCAACACGAUACCACCAGAUUUGUAAGAUUCUGAAAGGACGUCGACGAUGGCACUAGAUUGACCAAACGGUCACACCCCUUUACACGUAGAAAAACCAAGUUGUUCGUAACAGAGGACUCCUCUAUCAAAAUGUGCUCCAGUUGAUAUUUUGCUUCUCUUAUUUCUACCCUCAUCCCAUUUUCAACCUGCUCUUUCGGCAACCAAGCACCAUGUCCUCCUAUUUCGAGGACUUUCAUUGUGUGAAGUCUCUGGAGGAAGUCACCAAGUGAUAAAAUUGUCCGCUCAUCAACCAACUCCACGUAAAGAUAUUUUAGUUUGCAAAGCAAGUCUUCAGAAAAUAGAUAUUUAUUUGUUACCACGUGCUUUGCAUCAACUUUCAACUUUUCCAAAUUAGGGAAUACCUGGGAGAUUGAUCAGAGCCCAAAAAAAAAAAAAAAAAAAAAAAAAAUACAAGAUGAAUCAGUUGAUGAGAAUUAUAAGUUACCACUAAUUUAUACCAUAUAUUUUAUUCAAUAAAUCUUUACCUUUAAAAAAAAUAGUAAUAAUAAUACGCCUAGCUAACAUCUAGAAUAAUUAUGAAUGAAUACUAUACACUAAUCUAUAAGAGAGUUCCGUUGCUGACAAUUUGACUUUUAGUAAGAAACCAAGCGAUAAAGGCAAAGGCAAUAUAACUCUUAAGCUUUAUGAUAUAAACUUUCACAGUACAUACAUAAGAAUUGAAAAUUUGAUUAUAAAAUUCUUGUACGUACCCUUUCCGUCAAGAUAUUAGUAGUUCUUUUGCAUCUCGCCAUGAAUUCAGGACAUCCAGAUAUCUCUAAUUCUUUCAAGGAUGGAAAUUCAAGAUUAUCAAGAUCUCCAGUACAGAAGCUUGUGAACUUUUCAAGAUCAGACAUCCUCAGAUAUUGCAACUGAGGAAACGUUACAAUAUUAUUCUUCAUUUCUUCCUGGUUGUCCACGACUAUUAACUCUUCCAAGACGCGACAUCUGACUAUCUGAAUGCGUUGGAGUCGAACCAAGCUACUAACAGUAGCAGAUGAAAAUAGACAACUUAAAUUCUCACAGACAGACAAGGUCAAGUGCGUUAAAUUCUGAAUACCACAAGACAUGACUGUAACUUGGCUCGGCCAAAUCCUCUCAACAUUUAUUGAAUCCAACGUCAACUUCUCUAACUCUGGUAACCGAUCCUGCUCGAUCAAAAAAUUAACUUGUUAAUUGCAAGUAAACGAUCAUUGAUUAUAAAAUUCUUGUACGUACCCUUUCCGUCAAGAUAUUAGUAGUUCUUUUGUAUCUCGCCAUGAAUUCAGCACAUCCAGAUAUCACUAAUUCUUUCAAGGAUGGAAAUUCAAGAAUAUCAAGAUCUCCAGUGCAGAAGCUUGUGAACUUUUCAAGAUCAGCCAUCAUCAGAUAUCGCAACUGAGGAAACAUUACAAUAUUAUUCUUCAUUUCUUCUUCGUUGUCCACGACUAUUAACUCUUCCAAGACAGGACAUUCGACUAUCUUAAUGUGUUGGAGUCGAACCAAGCUACUAACAGUAGAAGAUGAAAAUAGACAUCUUAAAUUCUCACAGACACACAAGGUCAAGUGUGUUAAAUUCUGAAUACCACAAGACAUGACUGUAACUUGGUUUUGCCAAAUCCUCUCAACAUUUAUUGACUCCAACGUCAACUCCUCUAACUCUGGUAACCGAACCUGCUCGAUCAAAAAAUUAACUCAUUAAUUACAAGCAACAAUGAUUUCUGUUGAUGGACAAAUCAAUAAAAUUACUCUUUCUCUGGUUAUAGUUCUUUUCAGUUUUUCAUACAAACAACCGUUAAUCAAGUUUUCCAAAUUAUUCCUUACUAAAUGUAUAGAUUUAGACGGCGGCUAAUAUAGUUCAUAUUGUAAAUAUUCUUUGAUUGUAACGAAUUUUGUAAUAUUAAAUUUUGGUUGAUUCGCAAUAGGACCUACUAUCCAGCGCGAGCAGUUCUCGGGGAUUUAACUACUGGCACCUCGAUUAUAUAAAAAUUUAGAAUAUUUUCAAAGGAAAUCAAAUAAUUCCCCCUUGCAAAUAGUAAUUAUCAUCAAUUGCCGGGGGUUCACAUAUAAUUCUAAGAAAUUAGGCGAGAAGAGUCUCAUCAACAAUCAAUCAGCAAAUAUCACGUUUGGCAGAUCAUCAUGAUUUCCUCAGAUGCUAGAGAAUCAACGUGAUUUCUGCUCAUGCAGGAGUGGACACAUUAUCUUAGAGCAUCCCUCACUGAGAUCUUUUAAAAAAUUUAUAUUAUAAAGUGAACAACAUAUUUAGUAUAGAUUUAGACGGCGGCUAAUAUAAUUUAUAUGUAUUCUAAUGACGUAUAUUAAAGAAAAUGACUAACCAUAAUUUCAAUCAACUUAUUAGUCUAUAUAUAUAUAUAUAUAUAUAUAUAUAUAUAUAUAUAUAAAAGUGACUACAACAUAUUUAGUAUUCCAUGACAUGAUGUUUAUAAUAAUAAUUAUUAUUAAUUCACUUUUUGUGUCAAGAACCUUUUCUUUCUCUAAGAAUGAAUUUCUUACACCCUACUAUACUACGGAUGAAAAAUUUAGAAUCAUUGUGAAAUAUGAUUAUUAAUCACUCUUUGCCAUAUUUGCUACCAAACAAGAAUGCAACAAAGAAAAAAAAAAUUAUAGAGAAUUAAUAAGACCAUUGACUUAUCAAUAACUGACCUUCUCAGCGAAAAGUGUAUUAGAAAUUUGGACAUUGUCCUCCAAAAUGAUUUCAUGUGACCGCAAAUCAUUAGCUGAUUCCUCCUGUCUCUGCUAACAUUGCAGGUGUAUUGAUUUUAGAGUGUAAGCUUAAUUGUGAGCACAACCUUAAUGCAUAGAUACAAGAUCUUUAAAAAUUAGUACAAUAAACUUAGCACUAAAUCUGAAUUUGAUAUUUUGGAUUCCAUGAUUAAGAUUUUUUUAAAAUGAAAAUUUAAUAGAGUUAAUUUAAAAAUAAAAAUUAAAUAUGAAAAAUUAGAGUUGCAAUUAUGGAUUUAAUUUUGAUAAAUAAUGAAUGUUCUCUUAAUAUUUUUUUUUUAAAGGUAAAAGAGCGUACAAAGCCCAAAUUCAUUUUUUUAGUCCCUUACUCUCCCAUAAUUCAAACUUGGGUGGUUGUAGGAGGACUGAAAAUAUAUAAGACAGUUAACUUCACUUUUUUUUUUUUCUUUUUUUUUUUUGAGAGAAAAGAGAAGAAGGAUAUUACAAAGCAUGAAGCUCGUGCAAUAUAAGGGCAAUGAUGGUUUUUUCUUUAAAUUAAAAUAGUAAGAUUUUGAAGCUAAAAGAUUAAAAUAUUAAUUAAAUUGCAAACAUUAAAGAUUUUUUUUUUUCAAAUGGUUGCUUUGAAAAUGAGAAUAAUAUAAUAUUUGAAGACUUUUCAAAAUUAAUUACUGUGAUAGAUGCACUAGAAGUUUCUAGCUCUAGUCUAAUGUAUAAAUUGACAAAACGAUAUUAGAAUCCCAGGUGAAAAGAACCCUCUCACACCAAUUAUUUAAAUUAGGAAUGAUCAUACCUCUGACUCUGCCGAACUGAGGGCGGGGUCUAAACCCACCAUAAAGAGACGCUUGAGAUGGGAAGAGCCCACUUUGACUAAUUCAUUACGAAAAUAAUCGACAUCUUGCUCUUGCAAUCCCCAUAACUCAAGGUCUUCAAUUCUCUGCAGUUGCACGAUCAGCGAAUCCUUCAAGCAAAUCUUGUUAUUUAGCUCGACUCUGAAUUCACGACACGGAAUGCUGGUGAUCCCCCAAUACUCAAGAUCUCCAAUGCGUAUGCUGUACCUUUCCAGCUUCUCCAAGAACAGGCCUCUGGGCAGAGUGCUGACGUCAUGGGUGUCUAAUUCCAAAGAGGUCAAGUUGGGCAAAUGCUUCAACUCCUCAAGGCUUGCAUUCUUAACCCCUUCCACCUCCACCUCCCAAGCAGCAAAGCUUCUAUGACUUAUAUAUAGUUCUUCUAAAUGGGAUAAUUUUGACAGUAUAUUUGGUGGAAUAACUUUUAGACACCAACAAUCCCUCAAAUCAAGCAACUUUAGCCAAGUCAAUUCACCUACUUCUACCGGCAACUUCUCAAUAUAAGAACUUCUUAAGCAAAGGAUUUCUAGUUUCUUCAAGUCUCCUACAACACUUAUAUCACGCAAGCUGCAGUCACACAAACUCAGUGUUCGAAGGUUUGACAGGAGACCAAGUGAUGAAGGCAGUGACCGUAGAUUCAUGCCAGUCAAGUUGACAACUCUGACCUGCAUCAUCCUCUCGAAAAAGUUGUUUGGAAUUGUUAAUGAUGAAAAUUCCCAACGAUCAGCACGUAUAAAAAGAAGUUCGAGCUGAGGACAUUCCAGUACUUCAGGAAGCAAAUUAUUCUUGAUAUGAUGUAAGACGAUUGAAGUGCAAUGCUUUAUUGCACUUCCGUCUAACCAUUCCCUGCAACCAUCAACCUGCUCAUUUGUAGCAGUAAACACAUUUCGUUCAGUAGAUGCAAUUAAUAUGGCGACAUCGCGAACUACAUCAUGCAUAGAAAGCAACUCUUUCUUCUGGCUUAUAUGGUCAAGCAACAAACAAGAAUCUUUGAGCUGGUGUACCAAUGUAUGUACUCGAUUUCGUGCUGCUUCCAUCUUAUUCACACCUUGAAAUAAAGUCAAUCCCAUACCAAACAUUAACAGUUCGUCAAUAGAUGCUAUGGCUGUAUAUCCUAUUAGCAAAAAGAUGUUCUUCAGCUCCUCCCCUACCAAUUUGUCGUAACUCCACUUUAUGGCUUCAUAUGCAUCUGGCUGUACAUCCUUAAAAUUCGAUGAAGAAGGCCUUCCUAGUUUUUCCAAUGCAUCCUUCCAUUCCUGUAUGCUCUUGUUCCUUAAUGCCCUUGCAACCGUCACAAUGGAAAGUGGUAGACCUGCACAUCCCUUUGCCACACCCCUUGCUACCGAUUGGAAUUCACUGCCUUCAAAAUAAUCACCUGCCAUCUUCUUGAAUAGAUUCCAAGCUUCUUCUUCGUUUAAAACACCAAUUGAGAAAUUUGGUCGAGAAUCCAUCUUCCUAGACAAUACAUCUAGACUUCUGGCCGUCAGCAAUACUUUACAACCUUUAUGACCAUCUCCAUGAGGAAUUCCGACAACCCGCAAAUCAAGAUUUUCCCAAAUGUUGUCUAAAAUUAUCAGGAUCUUCUUCUCUGCUUCUAUACGUUUAAAUAAGCUGUUUGCCCUUCCUGAUUCACUUUCCUCAUGAAACUUCAGGCCUAAUUUAUCUGCUAUUUCUCCUUGAAUCUCUCGUAUGUUUUUAUUAUGGGAUACCUCAUCUCCUUGAAUCUUUCGUAUGUUUUGAUUACGGGAUACCUCAACAAGAACUACCUGAUAAAAGAGUUCACUCUUGACUUUCCUAGCAACUUCUUCCGCCAGCUUCGUCUUUCCGAUUCCGCCCAUUCCAUAAAUCCCAAGCAUGUUGACAUUGGGAUUUUUUAAUGCAUCCAUUAUGUCAUUCAGAAUGGGCGCUCUUGAUACAAAGGCCUCGUAGUCUUUGUUAGGGAUAAGCCGAAUAUCCUCUGCAGCAGUACGGUAGGAAAUUCUAUCAAAUCUUCUAGCGUCCCGGACUUUGACAAUAGCCUCUUUCAACGUCACUGCUUCCUUGCUAAGUCGACGGCGGGUCUUCAAAUUAGGACACAACCCCUUGAAACAACGCUUAUUUGCUGCGGCUUCAACUUCUGUAAAUUUAUCUGCCUCUUCAAUGACUUUGUUGGCCCCUUCAAGCCAACUCCUAACGUUCUCUUCAAUUUCUUCCCCGUUUCGUUCAGCCUCAUCAACCUGGUGCUUUGUACUCACCCUCUGAGACUUCAGAUUGUCAACUUCAGUCUUGAGAUUCUGUAAGUUGCUCGUGUACUUACUCUCACGCAAAUAGCUAAUGCGGCGAUAUGCGGGAGGAACCAAGCACUUCACAACUUCUACAACAAUAGUAAGAAUGAAUUCAGCCAUCUUCAGUCCUUUGUCCUUGUCUCUCUAUCUCUCUUUUUCUGAAUUUUUGAAAAACAAUUGACUACUUAGGAAGCACACUGAGUGAUUGAACACAAGUGACCACAACAAGAUGGAACAAAAUAAAAAGGAAAAAAAAUACAAAGAGUGGAAGGAGAAUAAAACAGAGACAGCGGCACAGCUGGACACAACUAGAUAGAGAACAGAGCAAAACCAAAUAACAAGACUUAAGAUUACAACAAACAGAGGCCAAGUAUUAUUGUUGAGAUCAGAAGAUGGAAAAUUCAAAAGAGUUGAUGGCAGAUGCUGAAUAACAAAACAACAAUGAACGCAAUAAGCAGAAGCAAAGUGUGUUUGAAUGCAAAGAAAGACUGAUGUUGAAAAUUGAUGUCAAUAGCGAAGGAAUAAUUGAACUUUCGCUGAAUUAUUGUUUGUGGCCUUCUUUUACUUUUUAUUUGUGGGUCAUGUCUUUUGGAACUAAUCAUCUUAGGUUAUGCCUUAUAGCUUUAAGGCCGGUAAACCGGUGUCCGUUGGAUUAGCAUAUAGAAAUCCAACGGUGGAUAUAUAUACUUGGAGAAUAAAAUUCAAGAGCUAAGGGAGUGCUGGGCUGCAGUUUCUUAAGGAGAUUUAUAUAUCCUCCUCAAAAAUAAAUGUUUUAAGGUAGAUAUUUAGACUAUUUCAUCAUAAAAUAAAUGUAAUUAGUUUUCAAUAAAUAUCUUAUAUAAAUAUUUAUUUAUUUUUUUAAUUACUAAUGACCUUUGAAUAUACAUAUAUACAUAUCCCUAGUUCAAAAAAUAAAUUGUGAUUAUUUGUUCAUGUAUGCGAUUACUUGUGAUGGGAAAUAAAAUAGAUAUGGUAUAUUUUGAAGUUAAAUUAAAAAAAAAAAAAACAGAGCUUUUACCAUUACUUGCCUUAUCAUCUUUUAAAUUAGAGUUAUUAUUCUUUUAUUUUUCAAGUUGCCAACUCAUCCGCAUUUUUUUUUUAUUGAAUUUGAAGAUCAAUGAUUAUAAAUGUGUGUAAAAAUUUUAAGUCAAAACUUUAAAUAAUCUUUAAGUUAUUGGGAAAUAAUAACUUAGUAUAACAAAUAUUAUAUCCUAUACUUUAUUGCUACAAAAUUACGAAACCUUAUAUUAUAUUAUGUUUCCAUAUUUCUCCUUUAUAGUGAAGACUCAUACUUCUUCUCUAUUAAAUGCUAAAGUAUUGGCUUAAAUUUUUUAACCAGCACAGUAGACCCUUAAGCUAUAUAUACUAUAAUGUCCCUCUUCUCUCAUAGAUUAAACCAAUCUGAUCUCGGAGUGAGUUGAUACCAUGACUUUGCAUAAUUCGUGAUCAAAGGAGUAUCAUUACUAACUAAUAUAGGCUCCAUCAAUAGGCAUGAUAAUAAUUUUUUUUAUAUACAAACACUGUUUUUCAAAAUAUUAUAUCUUAAGACUUAACUAAAUAUUUUGUAACUAUGUAGAUAUAGUUUGUUUGAUCUCUUUUAAAUAGUGGAGAUUACAAACAAACAUAUGCAAAUUAGUAGUGAUGUUGAGUUUAGAAGAUUGAAGUUAAGAAAAUUAAGGGUUUCUUGAUCUAGAGAAAUUUCAAAUGAGUGAAGUGUCCUUGAAAUCGGAAGACGAAAAUAAGGAAAGGGUAAGGGUGUAUUUUCAAAGUGAUUCUAUUACGAGAUUUUGAAGUAGGGGUGGGCAAGUCGGGUUUUGGUUCGGGUUGUUCAAGUUUCGAUUUGGAUUUCAACCCAAUCGGGUUUGAGAAUUGAAUCCAAUCGGGUUGAAAACGCCAACCCAAACUAAACCGAACCGAAUUUAAUUCAGCUUGGGUUCAUAAUUCGGAUUGGUAAUUCAGGUUAAAAUUUCGGUUCGGGUUAAUUUGGGUUAGAAUAAUUCCAUCUAAAAUUUUGGGUUAGUUCGGUUUAAAACAAAUUGAAACAAUUUAAUCCAAAAAUUAUACCAACAACCACUUAAAAUCCAAAAAUCUCAAUUCCAAACAUCCUUAACAACAAAUAUCAACUACAAACUAUCCUUGAUAACAUUUCAACAAUAACAAUAACAAUAAUAACAACAACAACAACAAUAAUAAUAAUAAUAACAACAACUAUGAAUCAGCAAUUCAGCAUAUUGCCAUAUUCUAAAUUUAAAAAAACACACAAAUUAUGUAAUUAAUUAAUUAACAAUCUCCAAUUUAAUUUAUAAUAACAACAAAAAUCCUCUCCAAUUUAAUUAAUAACAAUCUCGAAUUGUUCAAUUACCAGUCAACAACAACAAACCCACUCCAAAUAAUUGAACAAUUGUUAAUUAAUUAAUUAAAAAUAUCUAAUUUAAUUAAUAACAACACCCAAGAGCAAGUCAGCAAUAAACCCACUCAAAAAUCCAAAUAUCAGUAUAAAUUAAGUGUCAAACCUUGAUCGGUGGGAAGCUACAGCGUCGGCAAAUUGUGACCGUGUGGGGCUGAGUGAGACCGUCAACCGAGGGUGUGAGAAGGGAGGAGGGAGCAGGGAGGUAACGAGGUGUGUGUGAGUUUAUAUAUAUAUAUAUAUAUAUAAUUUUUAAAACCUAAAACUUAAAAAAAAAAUUUAACCCAAUCCAAACCGCCCACCUCAUAUUACUUCCGUUAAGAGAUGGAUCCCACACUCUUGAGCCUUUGUCGUCCCAGUCAACUAUAAAAACAAAUCAUUAUUGAGUGUGAAUAGACUUAUUGAUCACCCAAUUUUCAAACUUAUCAUCCUUAUUGUAUCUGCAUUCCCUUUUGAAAAUUUUUUAAAAAAGUACAAAUAAUGAAACAAAGUUUUGUUCCUUCAACAGUUGAUAGAGUUACGCGGCUUGGACUUGCAAGUGCUGUCGGCAUUUUCAAACUUGUAAGACCCUUCAACUUGCUUUCCAAGAUAGCUAUAAUUAAUAAUGACAACAGUCUCCCUCAUAGCGACUAGUGAGCAACUGAAAUUAACGGCAUCUUCUCUCGCAUUUUUAAAAAAAUUGAAUUAUAUAACCCACCAAAACUAUAAAGAAUUGUUAGUUUUUCUUCAUUAAAAUUAAUAUAUUGCUCCUCAUAUUGAAAAAUCAAAAUUCAGAAUAAGAAUGAUUGAUACUGUUUAUUUACUAAAAUGAAAAUAAAAUAUAUGAAGCCUACAUAUUUUUGAAAUUAAAAAACAAGAACUUGAUUUUCCUUGGGGAGUGUUGGAAAUCAAGUUCUUGUUAUUUAAACUCUCAAUUGUAUCUCACCGAAAUUUCAUAAUUCUACUUUUGUCUUCAAUUAAAAUAUUAUUAUAGUUAUUAUUCUUAUUUUUGUAGUUGUUGUUGUUGAUUAUGAUAAAUGGUCAGGCAAAUGAUUCAUUUACUUAUUUUUUUCCUUUUAAAUUUUUGUUAUUAAGAAGAUUUUUGGAUAUUUAGCGUGAAGGUCUCAACUGAUCGCUAAUUUCACAGCAACUUCCUUUUUUUUUUUUUCCCUCAAUUGUUUUGAAAAAAUAUCAAGACUCAUUCAGCAAAAUAUCCGAGGCCAAAGCGCCAAAAGAUGGGACAGCCACAUGCACUUCUAAUUACAAAAUCUAAAGUUAGGGUGUCCAUAACUUACAUUUAAUAUAAUUUAUAAUUAGGUAAAAUUCAUUCAUUGACCCAGUAAUUUUAUUAUCCUAUUACUUAUAUUUUUAUAUUAAAAAAUUAGUAAGUAGGAAAAUUCUUAAAAGAUAAUGAAGAAGGAAAAGAAAAAGAAAAAGUGUAAAUGAACUGUAUUCACAUAAGUUUCAAACAUGUGAUUCAAUCUGAAUUGGCUUUUUUCAAAAGUAAAUACAAAGGAAAAUAAAAAGAAAAAAGCAAUUAAACGAGACUAAAAUCUGUGGCCUGUGUCAUUCAUAUCUUUUGACAUUUCUUUUAUAGCGGUAUAAAGGGUAGAUAUUUUGAAGUGAAAAGCAAAGCCUUUACCAUUACUUGCCUUAUCAUCUUUUAAAUUAGAGUUAUUAUCCUUUUAUUUUUAAGUAGCCAAAUUAGAGUUAUCAUCCUUUUAUUUUUAAGUAGCCAACUCAUCCGCAUUAUCUAUUAUUGAAUCUAAAGAUAAAUGAUUAUAAAUUUCUCUGAAGAUUUUAAGUCCAAACUAUAAAUUAAAAUAAUCUUAUUGAUUAAGUUAUUGUAUAAUAAUAACCUUAGCAUGACAAAUAUUAAUUCUUCUCUAGUAAAUGCUAAAGUAUUGGCUUAAGUUUUUUAACCAGCACAGUAAAUCCUUAAAGCUAUAUAUGCUAUAAUGUCCCUCUUCCCUUACAAAUUAAACCAAUUUGAAUUUAGAGUGAGUGAGUACCAUGAGUUUGCAUCAUUUGAUAUCAAAGGAGCAUCAUUACUAACUAAUACAGGCUCGAUCGAAUUCAUCAUACGAAGCAUAUUAUCGGCUGUAGGUAUGGAAAUAAAUUUUGUAUCCACAAACACUAUUUUUCAAAAUAUUUAAGACUUAACUUAUCAUUUUUUAACCAUAUAUGCAUAGGUUGUUUGACCUAUUUUAAAUAAUGGAGAUUACAACAAAUGAACAGAUGUGGAUUAGUAGUGUUGUUGAGUUCAGAAGAUUGAAGUUAAGAAAAAGGUUUCUUGAUCCAGAGAAAAUUCAAAAGAGCGAAGUGUCUUCGAGAUCAGAAAACGAAAUAAGGAAAGGGUAAGGUUAUACUUUCAAAAUGAAUUUGUUGAGAGAUCUUUGAAGAUUAUUUUCAUUAACAAUUAGAUCCCACACUUGAGUCUUUGUCGUCUCAGUCAGUCAGUUAUAAAGACAAAUUAAUUUUGAGUAUGAAAGGACUUUCAAACUUGUGACCCUUCAAGCUUUCUAUGACAGCUAUAAUGAAUAAUUACAACAGUGCUACCUAAUAGUGAGCAACUUGUUUGAUGAAAUUAACAACUUCUUUUCUCUCAUGUAUUUUUAAAAAAUUGAAUUAUCAAAGCUUUUAUUUCAAAAUUAGUGCUAUAGUUCAUUAAUUUUGAAAAAUUUUCUUUUUUCUUUCCACACAACAGAUUGAUUUGCCCUCCAAAAACUGUAUUAGAUUGUUUAAUAUUGUAACUUCAAAAAACUUAUAAUAAAUUUUUAAAGAGAUAAAUAGGGAAUGUCAGUCUCCCAUCUACUCAAAAUUAAUAUAUAUCAUUAACUCUUGAUUAUUUUUAUAACAACUAAUAACUUUCUGGGCAGCAUAAUUUUACAGUAUCAUCCUUGUUUGUAAGUAUAUUUUUAUUCACAUUUAUUAUAAAUUAAUUAAGUCAUAUCAAUGAAAAUUGAAAUAGAAAUUGAAGUACUAAAAAAAAUGUUUUGGUGUGAAUAAAAAAUUGAAAAUAAAAAUAUUUUUAUUAUAUUUUUUAUUUUUAAAUGGUUUUCUUAUAAUAAAUAUAUAUUUUAUAUUCUCAAAUUGAAUUAUUGAGUAAAUGACUCAUUUACUCACUUUUUCUUUUAAUUUUGUUAUUAGGAGGAUUUUUAGAUAUAAUGAAAAUUGUAAGGUAGUAAGUAAUAUAAAAUAAUUUUAAUAGAGAAAAAUAAAAAAUCUGUAAUUUUAAAAUAUAAGGAGAAAAAUAAUUAAUUUCAAGAUAUUUUAGAAGAUAUUUCAAUAUGCGGUGGACUAUAAACUCGAGUCUUUGUCGUCACAGUCAACUAAAAGGACAAAAUAUUGAGUGCGAAGGGCUCAACUGAUUGCUAAUUUCACAGUAAUUGCGUUUUUUCUUUCUUUUUUUUAAUUAUUGGGAAAUAAUAACUUAGUAUAACAAAUAUUAGAUCCUAUACUUUAAUGCUGCAAAAUUAUGAAACCUUAUAUUAUAUUAUGUUUCCAUAUUUCUCCUUUAUAGUGAAGACUCACACACUUCUUCUGUAGUAAAUGCUAAAGUAUUGGCCUAAACUUUUUAACCAGCACAAUAAACCCUUAAGUUAUAUAUGCUAUAAUGUACCUCUUCCCUCACAGAUUAAACCAAUCUGAUCUCAGAGUGAGUUUGCAUCGAAGGAGUAUCCUUACUAACUAAUAUAGGCUCGAUCAAUAGGGAUGACAAUAAUUUUUUUAUCUACGAACAUUAUUUUUUCAAAAUAUUAUAUCUUUAGACUUAACUAAAUAUUUUUUUAAUCAUGUAUGUAUAGUUUGUUUGAUCUCUUUUAAAUAGUGGAGAUCACAACAAAGCAAAUGCUAAUUAGUAGUGAUGUUGAGUUCAGAAGAUUGAAGUAAUGAAAAUUAAGGGUUUCUUGAUCCAGAGAAAUUUCAAAAGAGUGAAGCGAAAAGUGAAUUUAUUGAGAGAUCUUUAAAGAUUUACUUCCAUUAAGGGUUGGAUGCCACACUUUUUGAGCCUUUGUCGUCCCAAUCAUUCAAUUAUAGGAUCCCUAAGCAUAUAACUUACAAUCCUUUCACAUAAAUAAUGAGUAGUGUGAAUCCAUACAACUUACAACCUUCUCACAUAAAUAAUGAGUAGUGUGAAUCCAUACAACUUACAACCUUCUCACAUAAAUAGUGAGUAAAUCUAAACUACUCACUAUUCAUGUAAAAAAAUUAUAAAUUACAUACAUGUAACUUAGCAUUAUUCUCCACUAUAAAGACAUAUUCUUAUUGAGGGUGAAUAGGCAUAUUGAUCACUAAAUUUUCAAACUUGUGAUCCUCAUUAAAUGUGAUUCCCCUUUGAAAAAGAAAAAAAAGUGCAAAUAAUGAAACAAAAUUAUGUUCCUUAGCAGCAAGUGGCGUCGGCAUUUUCAGACUUGUAAAAGGGAAUGAGAUCCUUUCCUGAACCCGGAUCUCAUUCCCUGUGAAACAAAAAAAGGUGCAAAUAAUGAAACAAAAUUCUGUUCCUUAGCAGCAAGUGGCGUCGGCAUUUUCAGACUUGUAAAAGGGAAUGAGAUCCUUUCCUGAACCCGGAUCUCAUUCCCUGUGAAACAAAAAAAGGUGCAAAUAAUGGAACAAAAUUUUGUUCCUUAACAGCAAGUGGUGUCGGCAUUUUCAGACUUGUAACAAGGGAAUGAGAUCCUCUCCUGAACCGGGAUCUCAUUCCCUGUGACAAGACCCUUGCCACCCUUCAACUCGCUUUCCAAGAUAGCUAUAUUAAUCGUGACAACAUUACUCUCAGUGAGCAAAAGUUAACAUCAUCUUCUCCCUAUUUUUUUAAAAAAUUGUAUUAUAUAGCCCACCAAAACUAUAAAGAGUCUUUUCUUAUUAAAAUUAAUAAAUUACUCUUUAUAUUAAAAAAUUAAAAUUCAAAAUGAAAAUGAUCUGAUGUUUAUUUAUUAAAAUAUAAAUAAAAUAUAUGAAGUUCAUAUUUUUUUAAAUUAAAAAAUAAGAACCUAAUUUCAUUCCUUAAAUUCCCAAAUUUACCUCACAAAAAUUCCAUAAACUUACUUUUGUCCUUAAUUAAAAUAUUAUUAUGUUAUUAUUAUGGUUAUUAUUCUUAUUUUUGUAAUAGUUGUUGUUGUUGAUGAUGAUAAUACAUAUAAUAAAAUUAAUAAUAAUAAAAAUAAUAACUAUAAUUUUAACAACAGCAAUAAUAAUCAUUAAUAUUAUUGUUGUUGUUGUUGUUGUUGUUGUUGUUCUUCUUCUUCUUCUUCUUCUUCUUCUUCUUCUUCUUCUUCUUCUUCUUCUUCUUCUUCUUAUUAUUAUUAUUAUUAUUAUUAUUAUUAUUACUAUCCUAUUAUAAUAAUAUUAUUAAAUAAUUAUUUUGAAUAAUAAUAAUCACAAUUAUUAUAACAAACGACAAAAAUCAACUAAGGUAAUUUUAAUAACUUGUAAGAAUUCAUUUUUAUUCAUGGAUAUGUGAUUAUUUGUUAAUGUAUGCAAUUACUUGUGAUGGUAAACAAAGUAUAUAUGGUAUAUUUUCAAGUUAAAAAAGAAAAACAAAACAAAGUUUUUACCAUUUCUUGCCUUAUCAUCUUUUAAAUUAGAGUUAUUAUUCUUUUUAUUUUUCAAGUUGCCAACUCAUCCGCAUUCUCUUUUAUUGAAUUUGAAGAUCGAUGAUCAUAAAUUUGUGUGAAAAUUUUAAGUAAAAAUUUUAAAUUAAAAUAAUCUUUUAAGUUAUUGGGAAAUAAUAACUUAGUAUAACAAAUAUUAUAUCCUAUACUUUAUUGCCACAAAACUACAAAACCAUAUAUUAUAUUAUGUUUUCAUAUUUCUCCUUUAUAGUGUGAAGACUCAUACUUCUUCUCUAGUAAAUGCUAAAGUAUUGGCUUAAACUUUUUAACCAGCACAGUAGACCCUUAAGUUAUAUAUGUUAUAAUGUCCCUCUUCGCUCACAGAUUAAACCAAUCAGUAGCCUUCUCUCAUAUAGAAAAACUUUUUGUAUAAGACAAAUUAUUAUGUUAUCGGAAAAAUUACAGUAGACGUAAGCUAUAUAUGUUAUAAUGUUCAGAAGAUUGAAGUUAAGAAAAUUAAGGAAAGGGUAAGGAUGUAUUUUCAAAGUGAAUUAUUAAGAGAUCUUUGAAGAUUACUUCCGUCAAGAGUUGGGUCCCACACUUUUACCUUUUGCUCGUUCCCGUGAAAGUCAGUUUAGAAUUUUUAUCUUAUUUCACAAAGCUAAUUUUUUAUCACAAGCAGGAGAGAAACGGCAUUUCUUAGCAGUAGUUCAUCACUGUAGUAGCGAGCGAGUGAGGAACAAAAUUGCCAACAAUUAUCAAAAAAUAAUUAUAUAAAAAAGAUCACAUGCUAUAAUUAAUCAUGACAAUUGACAACAUUACUCCCACCGAGCAAAAGUUAACAGCAUCUUCUCCCACAUUUUUUAAAAAAAAUUGUAUUAUAUAACCCACCAAAAGUAUAAAGCGUCUUUCCUUAUUAAAAUUAAUAAGUUACUCUUUAUAUUGAGAAAUUAAAAUUUAAAAUGAGAGUGAUUAAUGAUGUUUAUUUAUUAAAAAUAAAAUAAAAUUUAUGAAGUCUAUAUAUUUUUUAAAUUAAAAAAUAAUAACUUAAUUUCUUAUAGGGAGUGUUGGAAAUCAAGUUUUUAUUUCUUAAAUAUCCAAUUUUACUUCACAAAAAUUUUAUAAGUUCACUUUUAUCCUUAAUUAAAAUAUUAUUAUGGUUAUUAUUCUUAUUUUUGUAGUAGCUGCUGUUGUUAUUGUUGUUGUUGUUGUUGAUGAUGAUGAUAAUAGUUGAUAAUAAAAUUAAUAAUAAUAAUGAAAAUAAUAACUAUAAUUUUAACAGCUACAAUAAUAAUCAUUAAUGUUAUCGUUGUUCUUAUUAUUAUUAUUAAAAAAUAAUUAUUUUGAAUAAUAAUAAUCACAAUUAUUAUAACAAACAACGACAAUAAUCAACUAAUGUCAUUUUUCUAACUUAUAACAAUUCAUUUUUUAUUCCAAGACAAACUAACCAUAUCAAUAAUAAUACAGGUCGUUUCGAUUCUAAUUUUUACAGGUAAAGUAAAUAAUUUAUUCUGAUUCUCAUUUUUUAUUUUGAUUUUAUUCUAUUCCGAUUCCAUUUGAUUAUGAUUCCAGCCAAUUCUAAUUAUCGAUUAGAAAAUGCAUUGUUACUACUUUAACAAUAACUAAUGAUUCUCCUCACAAUUCUUAUAGGAUUAUCCUUAUUUUAAAAUAUUUUUUAUUCGUAUUUAUUAUUAAUUAAUUAAAUUAUAUCAAUGAAAAUCAAAUAAAAAUUUAACUAAUAAAAAUGAGAAAAUAUAUGUUUCGGUUUGAAUAAAAAAUUAUAAUAAAAUAUUUUUCUUACAUACUUUAAAUAUUUUUAUUAUAAUAAAUAUUUUUUUAUUCUCAAAAUAAAUUAUCAAGUAAACGAUUCAUUAACUCAUUUUUUUCCUUUAAAUUUUUGUUAUUAAGAAGAUUUUUGGGUAUUGACCGUGAAGGGCUCAACUGAUCGCUAAUUUUGCAGCAAUUACCUUUUCUUUUUCUUUUUUUUUAAUUGUUUUGAAAAAAUAUCCAGACUCAUUCUGCAAAGUACCUGAGACUAGAGCUGGCAAAAUUUGACACGACCCGAUUACCCGACACGAACACGACAUAAAUAAAUGGGUAUGGGUCGUCAAAUUUAACACGAUUAUUAAAUGGGUCGGGUCCGGGUCAACACGAUUUUUUUCCGUGUCGGGUUUGGGUUAAAAUUCUUGACCCAUUUACCCGAUCAAUGACCCGAUUAUAUUUUCUAUUUUAAAAUAAUUUAUAUAUUCUUAUAAUUAAAACUCAAAUAUUAGAGAUGAUUUUCUUUUUUUUUUUAUUUUUUAAAAGGGUGAAUAUAAACACAGUGUUUUAUUUAUAAAAUUUUACAUACAUUUAGAGCUUCAAUAGUGUAAAUGUGUAAAAAUUGAUAGACAUGUAUAUUUUAUAAUAUUGAUAUAUAAUAUUAUAUAUAUAUAUAUAUAUAUAUAUAUAUAUAUAUAUAUAUAUAUAUAUAUAUUAAAACUUCAAUAGUAUAAAUGUAUAAUAUAUUGGUAGAUAUAUAUAUUUUAUAAUAUUGAUAAAUUAUGUAUGUAUGUAUGUAUGUAUGUAUGUAUGUAUGUAUGUAUGUAUGUAUGUAUUUAUGUACAUACGUAUGUAUGAUAGUGUGUAAAUAUUUUAUGUAACUUUUGUUCAAUAUAUAGAUAUUAAACGGGUUAUUGGGUAACCCGAUUAUUUUUCCGUGUCGGGUUUGAGUCUCAAUAUUUUGACACGAUUAUUAAAUGGGUCGGGUUUGGGUCGAUCUAAAUUUGACACGACACGAAACUGACACGAUACGAACACGAUCCGAUGACCCGUUUUGCCAGCUCUACCUGAGACCAAAGCGCCGGCCAAAGCGCCGAAAGAUAGGACACCCACAUGUGCUUUUAUUUACAAAAUCUAAAGUUAGGGUGGGUGUCCAUAACUUAAAUUUAAUAGAAUUUAUAAUUAGGUAAAAUUCUUUGAUUGACCCAUUAACUUUUAUUAUUUUAUUAUUUAUUUUUAUAUUAAAAAAUUAGUAAUGUAGAAAAAUUCUUAAAAGUUAAUGGAGAAGGAAAAGAAAAAGAAAAAGUGUAAAUGAACUGUAUUCAUUUAAGUUUCAAACAUGUGGUUCAAUCUGAAUUCGUUUUUUUUAAAAGUAAAUACAAAAGAAAAUAUAAAGAAAAAAAAUUAAACGAGACAAAAAUCAGUGGCGUGGGUCAUUCAUAUCUUUUUCCAUUUUUUUUUAAUAGAGGUACAUAGCAUAGAGUCGAUAUUUUGAAGUGAAAAGCAGAACCUUUACUGUUGCUUCCCUUAUCAUCUUUUAAAAUUAGAGUUAUUAUUCUUUUAUUUUUAAGUGGCCAACGGAUGGUAGCCAACUCAUCCGUGUUCUCUAUUAUUGAAUUUAAAGAUCAAGGAUUUAUGUUAAUAAAUAUUUUGUUAACUAUCAAAGUUUUUAUUUCAAAAUUACUCCUAUAAUUCAUUAAAUUUUCAAUUUUUCCUUUUUCUAUUCACACAACAGAUUGAUUUGCCCUCCAAAAAAAUGUAUUAGAUUGUUUAAUAUUGUAACAUCAAGAAACUUAUAAUAAAUUUUUAAAGAGAUAAAUAGAGAAUGUCAGCAUCUACUCAAAAUUAAUAAAUAUACCACUAACUUCUUAUUAUUUUUAUAAUAACUAAUAACUUUUUUACCAGUAUAAUUUUAUAGUAUUAUUCUUAUUUGUAAGUAUAUUUUUUAUUCAUAUUUAUUAUAAAUUAAUUAAAUCAUAUCAAUAAAAAUUAAAAUAACACAAUAUGUUUUGGAGUGAAUAAAAGAUUGAAAAUAAAAAUAUUUUUCUUUUAUUUUUUGUUAUUUUAAAAUUUUUUUCUUAUAAUAAAUGUAUAUUUUAUAUUCUUAAGAUGAAUUUUGAGUAAAUGACUCAUUUACUCACUUUUUCUUUAAAUUUUUGUUAGUAGGAGGAUUUUUAGAUAUAAUGAAAAUUGUAAGGUAGUAAGUAAUAAUAUAAUAAUUUUAAUAAAGAAAAAUAAUUAAUUUCAAGACAUUUCAGAAGAUAUUUCAAUAUGCGGUGGACUACAUCCUUGAGUUGAGUCUUCAUCGUCUCAGUCAACUAAAAGGACAAAAUAUUGAGUCACAAAGGACUCAACUGAUUGUUAAUUUCACACCAAUUACCUUUUUUUUCUUUUUUUUUUCUUAAUCUAUAUAUUUAUAUAAAGUUAGUACUUGAGAAUGUGAUGUAUCAUCACCAUUUUUUUUUAUUUAAUAAAUAGAGAAAUUUUCUUUUAAAUUUGACUUUUCAUUUUCUCAUAAUUAAUUUGAUUGCUAUUGCACAAUAACAAUUAUGUAAAGAUUUUAAUGAGGCAUAUUAUUUGUAAUGAACAUUUAAGAGAGAGUGUUAUUUGUAAUGAACAUCUAAGGGAGAGUGUUAUGAAUUUAUUAAAAUAAAUAUAUAUUUUCAUAAUAUAUAUCUCUUAGUCUCCCCACUAUCUCCCAUUAGCAACCUUUAGCUUCCUUAUAACUCCCACUAUUUUUAUAAAUCCACCCACCUUCAUAAAAUAAUUACAAUAAGUUCACAUUAUUUUAUAGAAUUACAAAUUAAUAAUAAGUUUGAAUAAUUAAUUAAUUAAAUCAUUCUUAUAAUUUUUUUUCUUUCUUUGUCUUUCAACAAUCUUUAAUAAUUUAAGGUUGCUUUAAGAUAAGUUUAAUUUAAUUAAUUUACCCUUAUAAUAUAAAAUAACAAAAUUACCCUAAGAAAUAUAUAUUAUUGUAACUAAUUGUUUAGGCAUUUAGUUUUAUGUUUUAUAAUCUAAUAUGCUUUAUAUAAAAUUUAAUAAUUUUCAAUACUCCAAAUGUCCUAAUUACAUCUUGUUAGUUUAGUGAAAUAUUAAUAAUUAUACUAAAAAAGCAUUACUUAUACAUCAUUAAAAUAUAAAAAAAAUUAUUAAGUUAAAGUAAACUUUUAGAUAUUUUUGUUACUUUUACCUUAUAAGGUUAGAAUAAUUAUAUUAAUUUAUGUUAAAACAACCUUAUUGAUCAAAUAUAAUUAAAAAAAUAGUCUCAUAAAAAAAUUAAUGAAUAUGGAUUUAAUUGGUUAAAUUUUUAAAUUUCUUCUUAAUUUGAAUUUUUAAAAAAUAAUGUGUACUUGUAGUAAUGAUUUUUUAAAAUUGGGGUGGGUUAUUAUUGAUGACCUUUGAACAUACAUACAUAUUAUUAAUAUAUUUAUUAAUAUAUACGAUUACUUGUGAUGGUAAACGAGGUAGAUAUGGUAUAUUUUUAAGUUAAAAAAAAAAAACAAAACUUUUACCAUUUCCUGCCUUAUCAUCUUUUAAAUUAGACUUAUUAUUAUUUUAUUUUUCAAGUUGCAACUCAUCCUCAUUCUCUUUUAUUGAAUUUGACGAUCAAUGAUUAUAAAUUUGUGUGAAAAUUUUAAAUCAAAGUUUUAAAAUAAAAUAAUCUUUAAGUUAUUGAGAAAUAAUAACUUAAUAUAACAAAUAUUAUAUCUUGUACUUUAUUGCUACAAAAUUACGAAACCUUAUAUUAUAUUAUGUUUCCAUAUUUCUCCUUUAUAGUGAAAACCCAUACUUCUUCUCUAGUAAAUGCUAAAGUAUUGGGUUAAACUUUUUAACCAGCACAGUAGACCCUUAAGCUAUAUAUGUUAUAAUGUCCCUCUUCCCUCAGGAUUAAACCAAUCUGAUCUCAGAGUGAGUUUGCAUUAUUUGUCAUCAAAGGAGCAUCAUUACUAACUAAUAUAGACUCGAUCAAUAGGUAUGACAAUAAAUUUUCUGUCUACGAACACUAUUUUUUAAAAUAUUAUAUCUUUAGACUUAACUAAAUAUUUUUUAAUCAUAUAUGUAUAGUUUGUUUGAUCUCUUUUAAAUAGUGGAGAUCACAACAAAGCAAAUUCGAAUUAGUAGUGAUGUUGAGUUCAGAAGAUUGAAGUAAAGAAAACUAAGGGUUUCUUGAUCCAGAGAAAUUUCAAAAGAGUGAAGCGAAAAGUGAAUUUAUUGAGAGAUCUUUGAAGAUUUACUUCCGUUAAGAGUUGGAUGCCACACUUUUUGAGCCUUUGUCGUCCCAAUCAUUCAAUUAUAGGAUCCUUAAGUAUAUAACUUUCAAUCUUUUCACAUAAAUAAUGAGUAGUGUGAAUUCAUACAACUUAUAACUUUCUCACAUACAAUUUACAACAUUCUCACAUAAAUAGUGAGUAAAUCUAAACUACUCACUAUUCAUGUAAAAAAAUUAUAAAUUAUAUAUAACUUAGCAUUAUUCUCCACUAUAAAGACAUAUUCUUAUUAAGUGUGAACAGACAUAUUGAUCACUAAAUUUCCAAACUUGUGAUCCUCAUUAAAUGUGAUUCCCCUUUGAAAAAGAAAAAAAAGUGCAAAUAAUGAAACAAAAUUAUGUUCCUUAGCAGCAAGUGGCGUCGGCAUUUUCAGACUUGUAAAAGGGAAUGAGAUCCUUUCCUGAACCCGGAUCUCAUUCCCUGUGAAACAAAAAAAGGUGCAAAUAAUGAAACAAAAUUCUGUUCCUUAGCAGCAAGUGGCGUCGGCAUUUUCAGACUUGUAAAAGGGAAUGAGAUCCUUUCCUGAACCCGGAUCUCAUUCCCUGUGAAACAAAAAAAGGUGCAAAUAAUGGAACAAAAUUUUGUUCCUUAACAGCAAGUGGUGUCGGCAUUUUCAGACUUGUAACAAGGGAAUGAGAUCCUCUCCUGAACCGGGAUCUCAUUCCCUGUGACAAGACCCUUGCCACCCUUCAACUCGCUUUCCAAGAUAGCUAUAUUAAUCGUGACAACAUUACUCUCAGUGAGCAAAAGUUAACAGCAUCUUCUCCCUAUUUUUUUAAAAAAUUGUAUUAUAUAGCCCACCAAAACUAUAAAGAGUCUUUUCUUAUUAAAAUUAAUAAAUUACUCUUUAUAUUAAAAAAUUAAAAUUCAAAAUGAAAAUGAUCUGAUGUUUAUUUAUUAAAAUAUAAAUAAAAUAUAUGAAGUUCAUAUUUUUUUAAAUUAAAAAAUAAGAACCUAAUUUCAUUCCUUAAAUUCCCAAAUUUACCUCACAAAAAUUCCAUAAACUUACUUUUGUCCUUAAUUAAAAUAUUAUUAUGUUAUUAUUCUUAUUUUUGUAAUAGUUGUUGUUGUUGAUGAUGAUAAUACAUAUAAUAAAAUUAAUAAUAAUAAAAAUAAUAACUAUAAUUUUAACAACAGCAAUAAUAAUCAUUAAUAUUAUUGUUGUUGUUCUUGUUGUUGUUGUUGUUGUUCUUCUUCUUAUUAUUAUUAAUAUUAUCAUCCUAUUAUAUUAUUAUUAUUAAAUAAUUAUUUUGAAUAAUAAUAAUCACAAUUAUUAUAACAAACGACAAUAAUCAACUAAGGUAAUUUUAAUAACUUGUAACGAUUAAUUUUUAUUCAAAGAUAUGUGAUUAUUUGUUAAUGUAUGCAAUUACUUGUGAUGGUAAACAAAGUAUAUAUGGUAUAUUUUCAAGUUAAAAAAGAAAAACAAAACAGAGUUUUUACUAUUUCUUGCCUUAUCAUCUUUUAAAUUAGAGUUAUUAUUCUUUUUAUUUUUCAAGUUGCCAACUCAUCCGCAUGCUCUUUUAUUGAAUUUGAAGAUCGAUGAUGAUAAAUUUGUGUGAAAAUUUUAAGUCAAAGUUUUAAAUUAAAAUAAUCUUUAAAUUAUUGGAAAAUAAUAACUUAGUUGUAAUAAAUAUUAUAUUCUAUACUUUAUUGCUACAAAAUUACGAAACCAUAUAUUAUAUUAUGUUUUCAUAUUUCUCCUCUAUAGUGAAGACUCAUACUUCAACUUUUUAACUAGUACAGUAGACCUUUAAGCUAUAAAUGUUAUAAUGUCCCUCUUCGCUCACAGAUUAAAACAAUCUGUAGCCUUCUCUCAUAUAGAAAAACUUUUUGUAUAAGACAAAUUAUUAUGUUAUAGGAAAAAUUACAGCAGACGUAAGCCAUAUAUGUUAUAAUGUUCAGAAGAUUGAAGUUAAGAAAAUUAAGGAAAGUGUAAGGAUGUAUUUUCAAAGUGAAUUAUUAAGAGAUCUUUGAAGAUUACUUCCGUCAAGAGUUGGGUCCCACACUCUUAAGCUUUUUUCGUCUCAAUCAACUAACAAGACAAAUUAUUAUUGGGUGUGAACAGUCCGGCUUAUUGAUUGUUAAAAAAAUAGCAUUAUUUUGAGCGCACAUGUUGAGUAAGUCUUAUUUAACGAAAGUGAAAAAUAAGGUUCAAAUUUUAUUUUAUUGAUAUUUUAAUAAUAUUUUUUUUUAUUUUUUUAAAAUGGUGUUUAGGUAAAUAAGAAAUUAUUUAUUAAAAUUCAUUUUUAAAGUUAAAAAUUUAAAAAGAAAUGAGGUUUAUCCCACAUGAAAAAAAGAAGCUUAAGAAUUAGUAUUUAUAUAUAAACAUUUAACCAUUCAUAAAUAAGAAUUAUAGGAAUAGAGACUCUUUUCACACAUACGUGCGUAAGGGGUACAAAUUCAAGACGAAUUUAGUUGAACUCGUGUGCACCUGCAUAUCCUGAGAACGCAAAUGUCGGUGAUAAAUUUGUUUUAAAGAUUCUACUCUGUGUAGGCCUCGGUUCCAUUUUAUUUUUUCUGUUUCGGUUUUCAUCUCUCUUCGGUUUUGCUUUCUAUUAUUUCAUUUCAAAUUUCAGUAGUUAUCUUUCGUUGCUUAGCUACUGUUUAAUUUGUUACCUCACCGUUUGUUUUAUCUAACAUUGAUCACCAAAUUUUCAAACUCGUGAUCCUGAUUGAAUCUGCGUUCCCCUUUGCAAAAGUAAUAAAAAAAAGUGCAAAUAAUGAAGACUUUCUCUUUUCACAUUUUUUACGCGUUUCUCUUUUCUCUCCCCCACGUGAACACUUUUGCCUUUUGCUCGUUCACGUGAACGUCAUUUUAGAAUUUUUAUCUUUAUUAAUCAUGACAAUUGACAACAUUACUCCCACAUUUUUUUUAAAAAAAUUGGAUUAUAUAACCCACCAAAAGUAUAAAAAGUAUUUUCUUAUUAAAAUUAAUAAAUUACUCUUUAUAUUAAAAAAUUAAAAUUUAAAAUAAAGAAUGAUUGAUGAUGUUCAUUUAUUAAAAUAAAAAUAAAUUUUAUGAAGUCUAUAUAUUUUUAAAAUUAAAAAAUAAGAACUUAAUUUCGUAUGAACUGUAUUCACUACUUAGUAUUCUUAAAAGUUAACGGAGAAGAAAAAGAAAAAAAAAAGUGUAAAUGAACUGUAUUCACCUAAGUUUCAAACAUGUGGCUCAAUCUGAAUUCGCUUUUUUCAAAAGUAAAUACAAAAGAAAAUAUAAAGAAAAAAAAUUAAACGAGACAAAAAUCUGUGGCGUGGGUCAUUCAUAUCUUUUUCCAUUUCUUUUGUAGAGGUACAUAGGGUAGAUAUUUUGAAGUGAAAAGCAGAGCCUUUACUGUUGUUUGCCUUAUCAUCUUUUAAAAUUGGAGUUAUUAUUCUUUUAUUUUUAAGGAUGGUAGCCAACUCAUCCGUGUUCUCUAUUAUUGAAUUUAAAGAUCAAUGAUUUAUGUUAAUAAAUUUUUUGUUAACUAUCAAAGUUUUUAUUUCAAAAUUACUGCUAUAAUUCAUUAAUUUUUCAAUUUUUCCUUUUUCUAUUCACACAACAGAUUGAUUUGUCCUCCAAAAAAAUGUAAUAGGUCGUUUAAUAUUGUAACAUCAAGAAACUUAUAAUAAAUUUUUAAAGAGAUAAAUAGAGAAUGUCAGUCUCGCAUCUACUCAAAAUUAAUAAAUAUACCACUAACUUCUUAUUAUUUUUAUAAUAACUAAUAACUUUUUUAGCAUUAUAAUUUUAUAGUAUUAUCCUUGUUUGUAAGUACAUUUUUUAUUCAUAUUUUUUAUAAAUUAAUUAAAUCAUAUCAAUAAAAAUUAAAAUAACACAAUAAGUUUUGGAGUGAAUAAAAGAUUGAAAAUAAAAAUAUUUUUCUUAUAUUUUUUGUUAUUUUUAAAUGUUUUUCAUAUAAUAAAUGUACAUUUUAUAUUCUUAAGAUGAAUUUUGAGUAAAUGACUCAUUUACUCAUUUUUUUUCUUUAAAUUUUUGUUACUAGGAGGAUUUUUAGAUAUAAUGAAAAUUGUAAGGUAGUAAGUAAUAUAUAAUAAUUUUAAUAGAGAAAAAUAAAAAAUCUCUUAUUUUAAAAUAUAAGGAGAAAAAUAAUUAAUUUUAAAAAAUUUUAGAAGAUAUUUCAAUAUGCUGUGGAUCACACCCUCGAAUCUUUGUCGUCUUAGUCAAUUAAAAGGACAGAAUAUUGAGUGUGAAGACUCAACUGAUUGUUAAUUUCACAGCAAUUGUCUUUUUUUUAUUCUUUCUUUGUUUUUCCUAAUUAUUUUGAAAUAGUAGGUAGCAAUUGCUUACAUCAAAAUAUCUAAACUCACUCAGCAAAGUAUCCGAGGCCAAAAUGUCAAAACGUGGGACACCCAUACAUCUAAUUACAAAGUCUAAAGUUAAUGAAAAGAAAAAAAGAAAAAGUAUAAAUGAACGGUAAUCACCUCAUUUUCAAACAUCUAAUUCAACAUGAAUUUCUUUUUACGAAAAGUAAAUUUUCUCCCGGAUUGUCCUCAUUACAUUAAACGAAUGAUGACGACGCUCUGUCCGUUUCUGACUCUCUGCUUUGCUCUCUCACAUCACGAGACACCUCGUUUCUAACUGGGGUACCACCAUCAUAUUUAACUGUCGGGUCUUCCUACUAUGCACCUAGUGUAUGCAUGAUUCUUUGUGACAUGACAUAUAGCCAAUUAAAUUCUGACAUGCUUGCAAUAAAGACUGUUAAAGUGACCGGUUAUUCCGGUUGAUUUCACAAGAUCUUUUGUUUGUGUGUUUGUGUUCCAAGUUGUGUACUCUAUGUUACGACUCCUCUGAUUUUUUUUUUUUUAAGUCUGUUAUACAGAGAUAUUACUGACAUUACAUCAAACAUUACAAUUAAUAUUUACAAUCAUACUAUAUAACUGGGACCACCACCAUACAUUGACACACUGAAGUAUAUGCCCAGAUAUUUUAAACCCUCGAAUUAUACACAGAUAUUACUGACAUUACAUCAGAUAUUACAAUUAAUAUUUACAAUCAUACUAUAUAACUGGGACCACCACCAUACAUUGACACACUGAAGUAUAUGCCCAUAUAUUUUAAACCCUCGAAUUAUACACAGAUAUUACUGACAUUACAUCAGACAUUACAAUUAAUAUUUACAAUCAUACUAUAUAACUGGGACCACCACCAUAACAUUACAAUUAAUAUUUACAAUCAUACUAUAUAACUGGGACCACCACCAUACAUUGACACACUGAAGUAUAUGCCCAGAUAUUUUAAACCCUCGAAUUAUACACAGAUAUUACUGACAUUACAUCAGAUAUUACAAUUAAUAUUUACAAUCAUACUAUAUAACUGGGACCACCACCAUACAUUGACACACUGAAGUAUAUGCCCAUAUAUUUUAAACCCUCGAAUUAUACACAGAUAUUACUGACAUUACAUCAGACAUUACAAUUAAUAUUUACAAUCAUACUAUAUAACUGGGACCACCACCAUACAUUGACACACUGAAUAUCAGACAUUACAAUUAAUAUUUACAAUCAUACUAUAUAACUAGGACCACCACCAUACAUUGACACACUGAAGUAUAUGCCCAGAUAUUUUAAACUCUCUCUAAUAUUCGAGGGGUGCCUGCUCCACUCACAUUUCGUAAGGGAGAGACUGUCUCCAUUCAAUUAAUUAAUAAUUGAGGAAGAACUGAAACUAACCUCUAUAAUGCUCUUAUGGAGGCUCGAACCCUUGCACUCAACAUUAUAAGUACAAGGCUUCUCCCAUUGGACCAAAGGCCUAUUGGUAUGAGUUCUCUGAUUAAGUCUGAUAUUAUCUGUUGCUCAAUAAUGUUACAGGUUUUAUAAUAUGACUGGUACGAUCGCUGUCACAAAUUUAGAACGAAAAGUUUCCAAUAAAAUAAGUUAUUUAAUUAAUUAAAUAAGAAUAAAAUGAAUUUGUGAAAAAAAUUUAAAUUUAAUUUUGAAUUAUUUUGACCAAAAUUUAAGUUUUUUUUAAUUUGUUUAAGAAAAUGUGUUGUAAUUGUCUUGUUUUAAUUGGAAAAUCAAUGAAAAAAUUAUGUAACAGACAAAAAAAAAAAAAAAAAAAAGCAAAACGGUUUGUUUUGUAUGGAGGCCAUAGAUUCUAAUAUUUCCUUCACGAAAACUACAAAAAAAUUAUCAAAGGCAUCAAUUUCUACACUCUCACCGAGCAAUACUCUUAACCCAGAAGAAAGUGUAUAAACCAACCCCAAUCAGUCCAUCAAUGUCGUCAACCUCAUACAGCAUAAAAAAAAAUCUGUGUCCAUUAAACCGCCAUUUAAACCGUCUUUAUUGAACCAUUAGACUAUUCGUGUCAUCUUCCCAUCUCGUUGUAGUAUUUUACCUUUCAAAUUUAGUUAUCAAUUCUGGAAAAUGGGACCAAUCUGCAAGUCUUUAAAAUAGAAAGAAACUUUAAUUGGGCACUAUGUUCACGGUAGUGGACCCAGCAGCAUUAAUAUUUAGGGUGGAGCUAUUUAUAUUUUAAACAUUCUAAUUUUAAUAAGAAUAUAUAUUACAAAUGAUCACGACAUUGGGGACCAAUCACGUUGACAAGCAUUUUUUUUAUUUAUUAAUAAAGUGCUCUGAAAAGAGCUAAGGCAAUACUAAACGGGGGUGGUCCCGUUUUUAAUCUAACAUAGAGUCUUAAAAACCUUGUCAGUGGCAAAUGAUCACGACAAGAAAUCUGAAGGAGAAACAGCAGAGCUCAACAAAUCACUAAGAGAAAAUAAGACCAAUAACCAAGCAGAUAAAAGAAAAGCAAAAUAACCCAUCUCAAAAUCACCACAUGCACUAUUUAAGGGGUUUGUGAUAUGGGUUUAAAAAUAAUUUAACAAGUGCCACCUGUGAAUUGUCAGAGAUUGUAUCUUCAUACACAUGUCAAAUUUUCAAGUCCAACAAAUUGUUAUCUUUCUAAAGAGGCUAAUAUUAUUAUUAUCUAUGCAUAGCAUGCUAUAAACAAUUCAUAUUACUAGGGCCUUUGUUUUCUGUACACAACAUAUGGACAGAGGAACAAAUCCCUGAGCUAAAAUCAUCAUAUUCCAAAAUAUUCUAUUAAAUCAACACCACAAAACGCGAACGCUAAACAGAAUUGGAGCAAUUUACCAAAGCUAUUUGUCACGCAAAGCACUAGUACCUCAGAACCCAAUUUGCAAAAAAGCACCAAAAAUGAAAAAUAACAAAUGCCCAGAUGAAAAAUCAGGAAAAAAAAAUGCUCAAAUCCAAAUUACAACCCCAUAAGCUGAGUCGUUCUAUUCGAACUGAAUUAAAAAAAAUUAAUUAGGGAGAUUGACCUCAAACUUUGGAAACAGAAGCGACAUCGAUCUGUUUCUUGUCUGGAGUGUCCAUUUCUAUAAUCUACUUUGUCCGUUUUCAGUUGCUCUGCCACAAAGCUUCUUCCCUCUGAAGCUGAAGCUCACACACACUUGCAAAACGAAAGCAUUUUUUAUUGAUUGAGAGGCGGGAAGGCGGGAAAAUGAGAGAAAUUUGCAUUUGUUUUGUCUUGGUUUGGUCAUACCUGUGCGGGCCCCAGCUUGACAAGCGGUAUUAUUACUAUUUGUAUAAUUUACAUGACGCGUGUCACGCAAUGACGAUAAAAUGUAUAUAUUGUUAAUUUUUCACUUAACAUUGAAUGAUUGAAAUAUCAUAUAAUUUUUCCAAUUUUAUGGUUAUUUUCUCGCCCUUAUGCCACAUUCUUUUGAUCAAAUAAUACAGUAAAACUUUUCUAUAAUCAUAAUAUUAGAGCCAAAUUAACUUUGUUUCUGUAAAGAGGCUAUAGCUUAAUAAAGGUAAAAUUAUAAAAAUUAUUAUUUUGACUCAGUUAUCUUUAGUGCAAGUGAUAUAAAGUACAAAUAUAUGAUAAUUAAUUAAUGAACUAUGUCAAAUACAAUAUGCUGACAAUGAUAAAAAAGAUAGACAUAAUUUCAAGAAACUAAUACAUAUAUUUAUGUAGUGCUGGGAUUAUACAAAAUUAUCUUAAAAGUGUAAAGAGUAAAGUAUUAUUCUAAUUAAUUUAAAAAAAUUAUUUUUUCUUAAUCUUUAAUGCAACAUAGCUUUUUUUUUUUUUUUCUUAGCAACAAAGCAUUGUUCCACAUAAUUAUUAUUGGAUUCAAAUCAUGUCCUAGGCAUUUUUUCUUCUAGUCGUCUUAAACUUUUAAUGAUUUAUUGGCAUGCGUCAAUCAUUAAUGAAAUUAAAUAACUAAGACUUUGUUUUAAUUAACGUUUACAUAAAUAGACAUCAAAACUCACAUGUGAUUCUUAUCAAAUUUUUUCCUGCAAAUUCUUUUCCUCUCAACUAUUCAUAUUUUGACAUUAAUUUCCAGCAAAUUAUUAAAAAAAAGAAGAAGCGUAAAAUGGAGAAAAGUGAUUGACAACAAGGUUUGCAUCUUAAUUUCAAAAAUUUCCUUUCUUUGUUAUUUUUGUGGGUUCUACAAUUGUUGUUUUCACUCUCAGCUGCAGUUCAAUGAACUCUAUUAAUAACCAUGAAGCUUAAUGUAUCAAUUCCAGUACGAGAAGUCCUUCUACGCAUGUUACAACACUUUUUUGUCAUUAUAGGUUGCAAAUGUUCCGUAAUGUACUCAUUCAUAUAACGGAAACGCUAUUAUCAAUAAUGAAAGUUGACUAAGUUUGUAAAUUCUAUUUAACGAAAAAGUAACAUAAAUUUAGUUGAACAAGAGGUAAUUAAUAUGUAAUCUAUGAAACUAGGGUGUGACUAAGUUACAUAGUAAUGUAACUUACAUGAACACAAAAAUAAUUAGUUUUUAAACUACAAGUAAUUUUGGAACUGCUCUUAAAUUGAUAUAAGUUUUAUUAUUAUGUAACUUAGCAAGGUCAGGUAUUUUAAUAAUAGCACAUCACUAUUGUUUCAUGUGAAUGAUGCAAUUGGAUUAGCCAAUACAUACCGUCAUCCCCGGGAGAUGCUAUGGCAAUAGCUUACUCUAUCGUGCCAAUGUCAUUAGUAUUAAUCUGUUGAACCUAAGACCAUAUCUAAGCUGAUCUAGAUUCCCCAAGAUCGCACACCACACAGUGAUUAAUGAAUCAAGAACAAUAAACCAUCAAAGAAUCGCAAACUUACAUGUCGGGUUACAUGUAAUAAAUGUUUUAAUUAUUAGAUGAUUCAUAAUGUUAGACCAUUUUUUGUAUGUUUUGUAAUCUACGUUUGAUAAUUGAAUUAGCUGAUAAACACUUGAAUAAUAUUAUUUUAUUAACUAUGUCAUUGAUCCCCAGGAAAAAAAAAAAAAAACCCAAUUUGGGAUGUUAUACAUUACUUUUUCAUUACUUCCCAUUUUAGAUUAAUAUUUAUCACAUAUAUUCUUAGUAACUUGUAACCCUUUUUGCUAAGGGUGAAAUGUGUUUGUUACCCCUUCUAUUUCUGAGAUUGUCCUUACAAUAAGGAUGCCGGCCCCAAUGUCAAAAACUGCUAUCUCUAGGUGUAAAUUCCUUAUAAAAUUCUUUUUUAAUUGAAAUUACUUAAAUAAUUGAAGAUAAAUUAUUUUUUAUUUCAUUCAAAUAAAAAAAUCAAUUAAACACUUAAAUAAGCUAUCCUUUUAAUUUUUUUUUUUUACACCCAUCCAGUUUCAUAAUUUAUAUUUAUAAUUUAAAUUUUAAUGGAAAAUAUUUUUUUGAAAAAUUUUAAGAAUUAAGAAUUAUGGGGAUAAAAAUUAUGUAAUAAGACCAAAAUAAUUUAAAAUUUUAAAAUUUGCAUGUAUUAUAAACAAAAACUUGAAAGAAAUACUCUUUUCAGGGUGAGAUUUAAUCAGAAAAAGAUUAAUUUUCAUUUAUGGAUCAGUAUUUUAUAAAUUAAACAGAGGUAUUUUAAGAAAUAGAAUUCAAAAGGCAUGGGAACAAGGGCAUGGCAUUGGGUUUCCUUUUGUUUUGUAUGGAUUGGGAAAAAUACACGGACAGACAAAGGGAACAGUCAUUAUAAUGAUGUGGAACUUGUCGGAGAUUCCCUGCCCAUUUGUAGCUUAGACUCCUGGGGUUUUGUUCAUGUCUUUUCUGUAUCCCACUUUCUCAUGCAGCAGAUGUACAUAUGAUGAGAUGAAAACAACAGCAAAAAUUGCUGUCUCAUAAGAGAAAUAGUCAUACAUAGUUGGUUAGGCCUCCAGUCCAUUAACUUAAUAAUCAAUUUUAUGAAAAUUGAUUAUCUCAUUGGAAUUACAUAGAUAUUGGAAAACAUUACUCCAGCCCCACCAUCCCAACCAUUUACUUAGUUCAUCAGUAAAAGCUGGAUUUACCAUUUGUUCUUGAGAUUCAAAUUAAGGCAACAAGUUGCUCAUUCUAUAUUAUCUAUGUAAUCCUGUAAAAGUGAAGGGCGUUUAGAUGUGGAAAAACCUUACCCCUGCCGCAACACCUCAAACAGAUUGUGAUCAGACAAGACUUAGUUCAUCAUUAGUAGUAGUUGGAGCUUCCAUUUGUUCUAGAGAUUUAAAGGCAGCAAGCUGCUUCCUCAGUGCUACUAAUUCUUCCCCGGCAUUGCAUAUGUAGCCUGAGGCUUGUCUACCAGACAAAGUUGCUCCUUCCAUACCAUCUAUGUAAUCCAGUGAGAGUGAAACCAUUUAGAAGACGUAUCUCUUUCUUUCCAAUAUUUAGAAUGAAACAAUUAUAUACAGUUACCUGUUUUGCAUAUGAGCCGGCGAGGAAGAAGUUCUUCACUGGUGUCAUUGGAUCACGUCUGAAGGGGUCUUUACCAGGUCCCUCACCACACAAAGAUUGCCCGAUUUUGACGAAAGAUGACCAAAUAACUUCUAAACCUUGGGAUGAUGGAAAUGGAGCUAAAACCUAAUAAAAGGAACCGUGAAUGGAUAGUAUGGACUCAUGUAUAUUAUCCAGAAAGUUGCAUGACCUUUUGUGGUACUCAGGUCACUAAAAAACGUGAGAUAAACAUCUAGGAUAAGAAAAGCAAAAAAGCAUAACCUAAUACGUAUUAUAUGAAUUGAAGGUGUCACUGAACGCUACCAACCUGCUUUGCCACUCUCCUUAUGAUUUCAUCAUUUGGUAAGGGCAUAUAAGGAUCUCCAGGCGUCAAAACGCAUCUGAAAGAUAAUAUGGUUAUAGUUAACAAAAUGGAAUACAAAGACACUUGGCAAAAGGAAGUCAAUCAGAUUCCAUGCACAAAAAAUAACUAAUAAUGACGAGGAUAAGAAAUUUUGCACACUGGUGCCUUCUCUAUAGUAGUCUUCUGGCGAAGUAAGUGCUAGAUCUGCAAAGCAAGAGAAAUCUGCAUCUGGAGUAUAUAAAAGGUUAUCUAACUCCACAGCUUGCCUCAAUUGCCUACAUGUUCAAAACAAGGAUCUAUUAAAAAAUGGAAAUUUCUUCAAUGAAUUAGUGAAGGUAAGUGAAGUGAAACCGGAUUUCUUAAGCCUUCACAGAGCAUCUUGUGUUUGAAUUCCGGUAACCUCAGAAAAGAUUAGAGCAUCACCUUGACCGUUCUAGGUCUUGCAACUCAGUAACCCAACCAUUGUAUCUAAGCUGCACUGUGACAACAUGAACUCCAACGAGCUCAUAAAUAUUGUUGAAAAAUUUCAUUUCCCUCCAGCCUCCACAAUGAUGAAAGCAAUCUUUUAAUUCCAGGGACAUCACAUGCUGCCAUUAAAUAAGAAGUUGAAUAAAGAAAAAUCGUUCAACUAAAUGAUUCAGGAGUUAAAACAAAAUGUAGAAGUAGAAAUAAAUAACGAAGAUUUAACCAUAAACCUGCAACAUUUGCAUCAGCUUGCACAACCUUCUUGUCAGUGGCCUGAAAUAGAAUGAGAACUUGAAAGACAGUAAGCAUAAAAGAAUAAACUCAAAGAAGCUGCUUCUUACAGAUGAUAUAAACAACAAAUUUACAAAUGUCAGGUCAUUGCAUUAGCUCCAUGCCUCCAUCAGAGGGAAUAUUAAUAGAUGCAUAAAAAAAUAAUUAGAGCCACAUGUGAAACAAUUUACCUUAGACAUGGCAAGUGCUUUAACAAAUGUUUCCCCGUUAGCAGAUUUAUCAUAAAGUAUCUCUCUGCAUCCCCACCUAAGAUGGAACCUGUUCUCACAAGAACAGAUCCCAAGGUUGGGAAAAUCAGUUCAUCAUAGGAGAAAACAAAUAUGAUUAACAAAUCGCUACAAUGGUGUGAACCCGUAAAUACAAACGUACCUGCCCCCUUUAUCUGUGAUAUAUUUUCUUAUGGGCCCACUCAAAUAUACAUCCGGAGAACCCUUGAGCAUCAGCAAUAGGGAAGCCUCGGUCUUAGUCGCAAAUAGUGCAAGUAUAGUAAGCAUACAAUGAGCACUGAUGUUAUCACAAUCAAUAAACCCAAGGGCAUACGCAACAGGAUCCCACAUUCUUUGGAUACUUGUCCGUGUACCACCCUUGGACAAAAACCAAUCAGAGAAGCUUAUGUGUAAGAAGAAAUGAAGUUUUAGGUAAAAUAACAAUUUGUAGGAACAGGGAUUGAAAUUCAACAAACAAGAAAAUAUGAUGUCAUUCUUACACUAUCCAAAUCUCAUAUGUCCUUCAAGGCUCCAUCAGGAUCAACAAGUGCCUUUACAACAGGACUCAGAGCAAGAGCAAGAGCAUUUCUUGCUUUAUCAUAAGUCUGCACUUGAGCAAUAUACCAGGCAAAGUACAUCAAAAGAGAAUCCAAAAGAGGCAAGAAGCUUCAACAUGAAAAAAGGAGUACUGCCUCAUCAUACUGCUUUGCAAUCACAGUGCAAAAGAUAACAUCAACAAAUCAAAAUCAAGCAAAAAUCCAUAUGCACUACCUUAAGCUGAUUUGUAGACAAAAGUGUGCGAAUCCCAUGUAACGGAGCUUCAAUCGGAAACCGGAAAUCAAGUUCUGGAGUUGAAAAUCAAAAUCAUGAACCAAAUCAGAGUUAUUAUUGAAUUUGACAAUCCAUAAACCAAUAGAAGGUGAUGUCAAACCAUCAAGCAUAACUACCCACCAAGCAUAACUAUUAGUAGUUUUAAGUGAUCAAGAAAUAACCAUACCACCAAUUUCACUACCCUUAUUUACAAAUGUAUGAGUAUGAUCCUUCAUGAGUAAGUUUUUGUCCGCACCUACCUGUCGAAAUGCUUGAAAAACUAUCAGAUCAUAAACACAGGCUCCAGUUAAAGAGGAUCUAUGACUCUGAUCCAUCAUGUUAUUUGAACAACAUUUUCGAAUUUUGGUACAACCCUAAGCUAUAAUCAGUUAUCAUCACUACAAAUGAUAUGGUCAAGAGGAAUGAUAGUUCUUGUUUCAAGUAUCUCAAAUCGUAAUUCUUUUGCAUGGCUUGUGUGCUUUUAUAAUCAUUCAAACACGCAUAUCCACAACUAAGCAAGCUUUACCAUUUUCAUCAAUCGGAAGAGAUUAUUGUAGCAUCCAAAGAAAAUGUGCAGACCCAUUUCAAUAUGGUUUUCAAGUUUAUCGACAAAUGAACCCACUUUACCACCAAUAAAAGACCUCGACUCAUAUAUAUCCACCUGGAAGAAAGGAAAAGUUAAAAAAAAAAAGUGUUGAGAAUUAUGUUUGAUUAAACUUAAUUCUUUCCCCAAGAAAUCUCCACACACUGAUCUUAUUGAAACAAGAAUGAAUACCCAAGAUAGUAAUCAGAAAUAAAGCAAGAGUGUUUAGACAGAAAUAGAGAUUAAAAGCAUAGAAUAAACUGGACACAAGGAGAAUUCUAGAGGUUCGGCUGGGUAGCCUACAUCCUCUUGAGAAACAGAAGCCGUAGCUUUUCUUUGAUGCUUAACAGAUUACAAGACUUAGAGAGUUUGUUACAAAGAACGUUGGUUAUCUAAACUUGGCCUUGGGGCCCUUAUAUACAGCUCUCGAAGGAUCCAGAUAAGUGUGCUGCUUGCCAGCUCUUGUUCUGGGUUUGUUGAAACAAACCCAGAAAGUUCCCGCCAAGGCUAACCAUUGAUAACAGCCUUUUAAUUAGAAACGACACUUGCUGCUGCCGUUUAACUAAAGCUUGAAUCCGUAGAUGCUCGAGCAAUUCACGUGCAUUACUUAAGCUAUUCGUGUGACAGGAUAUGGUUGUCAUAUGCGCAGCAUUAUCUGUCUGAUUGCUUUGUCGUUUCUUGAUUAAUACUAGACACGACAAAGUCAUCUUCUCCGUAAGCUCUUAAUUCAGGCUCACAAUUAACAAAAAGGAAAAAAAAUUCUUCUAAUUUCUUUCACCAUCAACAAAAUCAGAAAAACACAUACUAGUUCAAAAUAAAAUAAAGUUUGUGAAUUGAAAUAAUGCCAACUCCUAAGAAAAAUUAUGACUGCUGAUAUUUUUUCCGAAAUGCUGAUAAAAGCCUCUGCUAUUUACUUUGAAAAAAUUGAGGUUAGAAGCCAAUUUACUUGAAAUUUUGAGUUUAGGCAAGAGGAUGAAUGGUAAAAGUGAAACAUAUUAGGGAAAAAUGUACUUCAGAGGCCAAUGAAAGCAUUCAGAAGAUUGAAAACUAAAUGAGCAAAACCUCGUGGCCAUGAUCCAACAAUUCCACUGCUGUUGACAUGCCUGCAAGCCCAGCUCCAAUAAUAGCCACUUUCAGCUUUGGUCCUCUAUAAUGUUCCAGUUCUGGUGGAAACAAACCCUUGGGAGCUGCCAAGUAUACCAUCCAAUUAUCCACAGCGAUAAUGGAAAUAUAUAUGUGUUUGAAAGUACUAAAUUCCUAAACAGGAAAUGUAUCCAAAAAGAGACACAAAGCAGAAUUUCGUAAGCAUUUCAAUUCCCAAUAAAUUUCGAGAAUACAAAAUACUCGGUCUGUUCUUCAAUUCCUUUAAUAAAAUUUCCACUAGAGGCUACGCAAGCCACUCAAUAACACGCCAAAGCCAGAUUUUAAACGUUAUCUUUAUCUUUAACUCCAAUCCACAAACAAUUCUGCCAGAAAUUCAAUCCAAAAUUGUUCAAGUGCACCGCCAAUUCUCCAUCAAUUCCCUCAAAAAUUCAUAAUUGGCAAACAAUACAAACCAAAAAGAGCUUCCGGCAAUAAACGCAUAAAAAUCCACCAAGCAACAUAAAACAAAAUACCCAGAAACCAGAAAAGCCAAAAGAUCAAUGCUUGUGCAAACAAGCAAAUCAAAUAAAACAAAAAAAAGAGGAAUUUACCCUUAACGCUCAUAUCAGAAAUAUUAGUAUCCAAAGAAGCCCGUACACGGAAUCUUGGACCCUUCACUUGAACCCGAGACCAUGUAACGCCAGUAACUGAAGUUGCAGGAAACAGAACUGAAGAACCCAUAUUGCAAAUCCUGAGCUGAAAUCAAGAAUUUCAAUUGGAACUCAAUUCAGCUCAACCCAGCUGAGCUCUCUUUUGCUUCAAUAACAAAGUGUUUUUCUUUUAUAUCAACAAAGAUUUGUCAACAUCAACAAAAUUUAACUAAGAAACUAGAAUAAUAAAAGAGGGCACCUUUGAGUUUAAGAAUCUAACAGGAUGCUAAGGAAGAGAGUUUUGUCAGGGAACUGUUUCGGAGAGGUUGGCCAAGUGCUUUUUUGUUUUUUAUUUUUAUUUUUUUCUCAUUUUGGCCUUUUUCAUUAAUACACAACAUCAGUACUCGCGAAGAGCACAAAAUGUUGGUGACUUUGUCACUAACGAUAGUGGAUGGAGCGACCAAAGCAACCAACUAAAUUUUAAAGAGAGGGAAUGACAAGCAAUAUUUUAAUUGGGUGAUUAAUUAAUGUAUUAUCAAGCAAUUGCAUUUAUUUAUUUAAACGAUGUCCUUAUCUUUGGACAAGGUUGAGGAAAGACCGCGAUGUUGUGUUGUCACGUAUUUUUGGGCCGACCGUUUCCAGUUUCGGCUUAAAUGAGGCUUUUGUAUUUUUGUGCCGUUUUUUUACUGAGUAUUUUGUCCUAAAUUACACAAAGAAAAUGUGUAUUUGUUAAAAAAUCUGUUGAAACUCAGAACCUCUUAUGUGGACUUUAGAAUGCGACAGUAUUGAUAUCUAAGUUCGUAAUAUCAAGAGUGAUAAAACGGAUAAAUGAAUAGAAAUGUAAAUAAAUUUGGUUAAAAUUUAAUGGAUUCGAAUUCGGUAUGUUAUCAAACAAAUCAUAAUCUUAGGAUUUGGAUUCAAUUCAUUUAUUAAUUGGAUACCUAUUUAAUUUGUUUAUUAUACAAAAUUAAAUGAAUUGAAUUGAAUUGAAUUUAGAUUCAUUUACAAUUUGUUUAAUUUAUUUAUGUAAAAUUAAUAAAAAAUCAAUCAAAUGUGGAUUUGUUUAAAAAAUAAUAAUAAUUAAUAGCAAAAAUCAAGCAAAGUAAAAUAGAAAAAAAAUCAUAAAAUUAACAACCUACAAAAUAAAAACGAAUUAGUGACCGCAAACUUGAAUUCAAUUCAUUUAUUUAACGAAUUGAAUUGAAUUCACUUAUUUGUUAAUGAAUCAAUUUUUUUUAAAAUUCAGACCUAUUUAACUUGAAUCAAAUAAACACAUCCUAAUCUAAAUUGUCACCUCUAAAUAUGAUGGACCUAUUUAAAAUAUAUGAAUACCAAAAUGUGUGGGCUAAAAAGUGGUUUACCAUGCAACAAUACGAAGUUUAAGCUCUCUUUUCUUAUGUCAUCCAAGGCAUUGCCUGGAUCGCCAAACACUAGAGUUCAAGUCUACAAUAAAGAAUCGAAAUUUUUCUUUGUAAAUGUUCGUAAGUAUUUAGCAUAGAUUUUUAAGUUAUACUUGAUAGAUCCCCUACCAUAUUUGCUAUAAUAUUUCUCUUCUUUUAAUUUAAAAGUAAAUCAUAAUAACGGAUUUGUAAAGAAAUUAAAUUUCCAGUAAUUAACUGAAAAAAUAAAAAAGAUGGAUUAAGCGAAAGAAGUUAAUAUAGAGUAAAGUCGAGUACUUGACAAUUAAAGUAAUUUUACUCGAGGUUGAGUAAGGAUAGUAUGAUACUUUCCCAGGUUUUCCGAGGACAUUCAUGUAACAUUGGACUAUUGACUAUAGUUAGAGAGAAGUCCAAGGAUGUAAGUGAUGAUGAUAGAUUCACAAUUCUUUUGAAGAAAAUAUUUUAUAUAAACUUAAUUAUAUGGUAUAAAAUGAUUGGCCUUAAUAAAAUUAAAAAAUAAUAAAAAUAAUACACGCCUGGGUCAUGCAAUAUUUUCAACCAACUAAUUUACACGCAAAAUUAAACCUUAUGAGUGAGAACAUUAUGGUACAUUUAUAUGCUAGCAAAAACUCCGCAAAAAUUUUCCGAAAUGUGAAAAUGAACACUUUUAACAAUGACACAAAAUUCCCACCCCCCAUGAUUAAUUCUCUUAUCUGGAAUAUUAGGGGGAUUGGAAAAGCCCCUGCGGAAAUUAGUUCGAUUACAUCGAUUGUCUUUGAUUUGUGUGUUGGAGCCAUUUAUUUCCAUUGAUCGUUUAGAGGCUCUUCGGGUGCGGCUUGGGAUGGAUCAUGCUUUAUCUUCCCAAUCUGGGAAGAUUUGUGUUUCUGGUCCGCACCUUUCUCGGUGGAGCUUCUGCAUGACAUGGGCAAGGUGAUUCAUUGUCGGGUUAGUCACUCUUUUUUUCCUGAUCCUGUGUAAGUUUCAUAUGUGUACGCUAGUUGUUAUAUGGAUGUGCGAGAGAAUUUAUGGGAUGCUCUUAAGACCUUUGCGGAUAGUCAUGAUCUACCUUGGAUCGUGGGGGGAGAUUUUAAUAUGAUUCAGGCGGUCUCGGAGAUUUCUGGCGGGCAUCCACAUACUCGGGGAGCUAUUGAUGCCUUUAAUUUAGCGUUGCUUGAUUGUGGUUAGGAGGAUGCUGGCUUUGUUGGCAGUCCUUUUACUUGGACUAAUGGGCGCCCAUGGAGGCAGCUUGAUAGGGUGGUCUGCAACGCUCACUAGUAUGCUUUCUUCUCAGUAUUUCGGGUCUCUCAUCUGAAUCGUACUGCCUCAGAUCAUUCUCCUUUGCUUUUUCUUGGUGAUCGGGGCGCUGUUAGAGGACCUUCACGGUUUAAAUUUCUUCAUGUGUGGCUCAAGCAUCCAGGUUUUCUUGAUACUAUGCGGCAGUCUUGGGGUGCUCCGGUGGUUGGUUCUGGAAUGAGAGCCUUUCAACAGAAACUCACUCGGUUAAAGUUCUGCCUAAAAGCUUGGAACAAAGAUGUCUUUGGUAACGUUUUUUCUCAGGUCCAACAAGCAGAGGAGGACAUGGCUCAGAAGGAAAGAUUGUAUGAUAUUUCUGGCUCCGUCGAUUACAGAGCUAAUUUUUCCGAGGCCAGGGCCUGGUUGCAGCAUGCUUUGCUUCGUGAGGAGAUUUUUUUUACGUCAGCAGUCCAGUGUUCGAUGGGUUCGAGAGGGCGAUGCUAAUACCUGUUUUUUCCAUGCGAUGAUUCGGAAAAAGUGCCAGUUGUUUCAUAUUCACAGGAUUCGGGUUGAUUGUUUCUUAGAGUGGAUUUCUGAGCCCUCCGCCAUUGUAGAUUAUGAUGUCGAUUAUUUUCAAGAUUUAUUAACGGGAGAUGCCAGUCAGUUUCAGCAGACGGACUUCGAAGUUAUUCCAUCUCUUGUGUCUGUAGAGGAUGAUGUAGAGUUAUGUAGAGAGCCGGAUAUGGAUGAGAUUAGACAUGCGGUAUUUUCUAUUGAUCCAGAUAGUGCUCCUGGACCGGAUGGUUUUUGUAGCAGAUUCUAUCAGUCGUGUUGGGACAUCAUUUGCCGUGACUUGUUAAAUGUUGUCCUCGAUUAUUUUAGAGGUUCGGCAUGCCCAGAGGUUUCCAAAGUACUUUAUUGGUCUUUCUGCCUAAGAAGGCUUCUCCGGCUUCUUGGGCUGAUUUCCGUCCGAUUAGUCUUUGUAAUGUGAGCAACAAGGUCCUUACUAAGUUGCUUGUCCCAUCUCCUGCCUCACAUUAUUUCUCAUACUUAGAGUGGUUUUGUUCCUGGUCGAGUGAUUCAUGAUAACGUGCUCCUGGUUCAGGAGUUCGUUCACGAUCUCAAUCGCCAUAGUCGAGGGAACAAUGUGGUGCUGAAAUUAGAUAUGGCCAAGGCAUACGACGUAUGUCAUGGCCUUUUAUUAUUCAGAUGAUUCACUGUUUUGGGUUCUCGAAGCGUUGGAUUUCUUUGAUUCGGCGAGCGAUUUACGGUCCUUAGUUUUCAGUGCUUAUGAACGGGGUCAGUAACAUAUAUUUCUAGUCCCAGAGUGGUCUUUGGCAGGGUGAUCCCCUUUCCCCUUGCUUAUUUAUUAUUGCUGCAGAAUUUUUAUCUCGAGGCUUGGAUCAUUUGUAUUCUCAGUAUCCCUCUGUUCGGUAUUGUUAUACUGCACCUACUUCUAUCUCCCACUUGAGUUUUGCGGAUGGUAUUGUUAUUUUUGCAAAUGAGAGCCGAUCUAGCUUACAGUGGCUUGUGGAUUUCUUACACCAUUAUAAGGUGAUCUCAGGGCAGUUGAUUAGCGAGGACAAGAGUAACUUCUACAUUAGGAAGUCAGCUUCGACCUCCCGCUAGGCCAUUGUUCACUCUGUGACUAGCUUUCAGUGACGUCAGCUUCCGUUUACUAAUCUUGGGUGCCUGAUCUUUACAGGGUACCUCAAGAUCUCCUAUUUUGAUGACAUGGUCCGGAAGGUCAAGGAUAAGAUUUCUGGCUGGGCUAACCGUCUGCUUUCCUUUGGUGGGAACCUCGUCCUCAUUCGCCAUGUGUUAUCCUCUAUGGCCCUGCACUUAUUUCACGUCCUCCGCCCUUUUAUAACGGUAGUUUAACGCCUAGAGCGAUUGUUCACCCGAUUCCUAUGGGGUGAUUUUGAGGGAAGACACCAGAUCCACUAGUGUAGAUGGCCAAAGGUUUAUUAUCCAGUUGACGAGGGUGGCCUCGAUAUACGAUCUUUUGAUGAUAUGGCGGAGGCUUUUGAGAUUAAACUUUGGUGGCGGUUUUGUCAGCAGAGUUCCUAUAUGAAGUCUAAGUAUUGCAGAUCUACGCAACCAAGCCUUAUCCAGUUUCGCUAUCUUGCCUCUCCUUUAUGGAGACACCUUUAUAAGAUUCGUUGCACGGCUAAACCUCAUGUGCGUUGGCUCGUUGGGAGUGGAGAUUGUAGCUUCUGAUAUGAUUGUUGGCUGAGUUCUUGCCCUUUAUUUUUUUAUAACCCUACAGCGGCUUUGUCGGUGCCGGUCUAGUUCUUUGGCAGGGUACAAUCUGGGACAGAGGCAAACUAAGGGACGUCUUGCCUUCAUCUAUUGUUGAGCAGAUCCUAUUAGUGCCUAUUUCUAGUGGGAAUCCAGACCUGAUUCGUUAGGACCUUGCCCCCGACGACACGUUUAACUUGCGGACUGCUUGGGAGCUUGUACAGUGCUCUAGGUCGAGGGAUGAGCUUUUCUCGAUGAUUUAGUAGAGGCAUAUCCUGUCACGAGUUUCCUUUUUUCUCUGGCAGCUACUUCACGGAUUCCUAGCUACUGAUGAUGCCUUAUACUUGAGGGGUUUCUAUAUGGUUUCUCGAUGUAUUUGUGGGCGGGUUGCUGAGACUUCUCGGCAACUUUUUAUGGAUUGCCCGCGGGCCCGUCAUAUUUGGGUUCAUUGCCAGCGGAUCAUGGGGAUGCGUGAGCUUUAUUUUCUGUCUCCCCGUGCUUUGCUUUUAUUUUGGAGACAUUGUGCCCCUUCUCGGAAUCAUCAUCGGGUCCUUCUGCCUUACUUCAUUUUGUGGCAAAUUUGGAAGGCCCUAAAUGCUUUCCAGUUUCAUUCACAGUCUUUCUCCACUGAUGCGGUUAUCUUUCAGGUCGACUCUGAUCUCAGGCUCGCUAGUUCUGCUUUUGGAUUCAAGCCUCCCCAACUGAGGGGAGUCUUGGGUUCUCGUAUUGCGGAGGGCUUGCGAGUUAUGGCUCCCCCUAGGAGGUCGAUUCGUCUAGUUGCUUGGAUGAGGCCAACUUCAGGGGUGGCUAAGCUGACUGUGGAUGGUUGCUCUGGGGUCAACCUUGGGAUGGCUGCUUCCAGGGGUAUUCUUCGGGAUCACCGGGGCAUGGUUUUAGCGGCUUUUGGAUCCUUUUUGGGUUACAAGCCGAUCUUAUAUGCUGAGCUCAUGGCGGUGUGCGAGGGUUUGGAGCUUGCCAUUCAGCUUGGGUACUCAGUGCUCGAGGUUGAGUCAGACUCGGCUAUGGUGAUGUCAUGGAUUCACACCUCAGGGUCCUGUUCGAUGGGAAUGUUCUUAUUCUCUACGCCGGGUGUGCCGUCUGGUAACGUCAUUCCCCAUUCAGGUGAGACAUGUUCUUCGCGAGGCUACUUAUGCUGCUGAUUUUCUAGCCAACUGGGCGCGCACUCAUCGGACUAGCCGGUGUUUCUUAUCUCCUCGAGAGCUUCCCAAAGGCUUAUCUGGUAUUCUUUACUUAGAUCCCCACGCAAUCCCCCAUGUCAGAUGUUAGGAUUUUAUCUUUUUCUUAUAUCUCAUUUUCUCUAGGAGGUUUUGGCUUAUAUCCCCCUCCUUUAUAUCUAAUUCAUUUUCAGAUUUAUAUUAUAGGUAAGGGUUCCGCCUAGCUCCCACCACUCUGGUGGUUUUAAAAAAAAAAAAAAACAAUGGCAUAAAAUGCCUGUGAUAAUGAAACAAUGUGCCAUCCUUAAACUAAUAUCAUUACAAACUACAAGUGAAAGUUUUUGGAAAACAUUGAGAAGUUUUUCUCGGAAUUUGUUUUCUUCUUUGCUUUGAUUUAAGCGUAAAUUUUUAAAAUCCGUAACAAAACAAAAAUUUACAUGGGUUGGGCGCACCUUGUGGUUCGUGCAUGCUUUCGUCUAAUAGUAUUUGAUACAUACAAAUUCAUUUUAAAAUUGACGAAUCGUAAUAAAAAAAUUUAUAUAUAAUAAUUGAGUGAGAUCCAUGGUUCACAAUUGCAAAUUAAUGGUUGGUUUUAUAAUAAAAAUCUUUAUGUACAUACCAAAUUAGAAAAGGUUAUAAGUGAAUUAAGAUUUUCAAAAUUUGACUCGUAUUAUAUUAUGUACGUCAAUAUAAUAUAAAUUUGUUAUAUAUAUAUAUAUAUAUAUCCAAUGCUUUCAAAAACUUUAUACUUGUUUGAACAGAUUUUUUGCUUUCUAUUUGUAUACACAAACACUUUUUUAGGACACAUGUAUAAUUAAUCUUAAUAAUUCUUAUACAAUCCUCUAUUUAAGACCAGCAACGUCACCCAUUAUAAUUUAUCACUAAAUAUUGUAAAACUAUUGGUUUUCACGAAUAACUAAUAAAAAUUAUUUUUUUUGUAAGAAAAAUACUGCGAUUCCUUUCACUGUUGUAGUAGUAUAGUUAUCGUGGACGAUGAAUUUCUAGUAUUGUACAAUGAUAUUUAUGUUGAAUGUUUAGGGAAUGAAAUAGGGUGACCAAGAUAAAGGGGUUUGCUCAUACAUUAUCGUGCUCUCCUCAAAGCAAAAGUGAGCAAAUGGUUGAGCAGAUCAUCUCGACCAGAAUAAUAUGUGGUGACCUCGAGUACAGCACCUCGACCAGGAUGUUAUUGGUCACCUCGACCAGGAUGUUAUUGGUCACCUCGACUAGGAUGUUAUUGGUCACCUCGACCAGGAAGUCACCAGGAAGCACGUCAUCCGCGAGGCCAAUUUCCUGUAAGAAGCAUAAAGCCAUUCCUGCUGCAUUCUUGCUAAGGGUUGAUUCGAGGAGACCCGGUCAACGACAGUUGGCGAGGCAUGCUCUCCAGCCCGAGAAUCUAGGCACGAAGGCCACGCAACCACCCAUGACUACGGAAAUGGGGAAUCCACAUUCGAGAGGUGGGAGGACAACGGACAUAGACUGCGGAAAACUGGGAUUCAGAGGAAGCCUAUAAAAAGGUAGCCAACGAAGGUAAAAGGGUUAGCAAUUUUGAGAUUAGAAGAGAGCUAAAGAAAUUCUAAAGAAGAGAAAACUAUGAAAAAGCCAUAAGAUCUGUGGCAAGCGUUCCCCGAACCUUCAUAUCUGACUUGAGCGUCGGAGGGUUUGCGCCGGGAAAACAACCGGCGUACUCUGACUUGUCUGUGUGCGCAGGAACCUCUGGAGAAGAAGCCUUACGAGGAGACCUUCUGGUCGUGGUGAAGUUGAUCGAGCAGAGAUCCUGGUCGUAUAACGAGGAGAACCAGAAUCUCGCAUCAACAUUUUGGCGCUGUCUGUGGGGAAUGGUACAAAAAGCCAGCUUGUUAUCUUUAUCAAUCUUCAUCUGGCCGAAGUGAAGGCAGAAUAUUGCGGUGCAUAAAUGGAUGAGCUUGCUUAAACAAGGAAGCAAAAACCUUAAAGGAGAGCACAUUGAAAGCACACGUUUGUAAAAAUCAGAACAGGUCAGAAGUUAAAUUCUUAUUUACAAGCAAUUUUUUCAUGAAAAUUUAAUUAUUUCUCUAAAUCCUGCUAUGUGAGAUGAGGAGCCCUUAUAUUCAUUAAAUUGAUUGUGCUCAUAUUAAGGCUGACUGUAUAACUUAGUUAACUUGAUUUCUUGAAAGCUAUUCAAUAUGAGAAUGAUUUAAGAAAAUAGAGCUAGGCUAGCGUUGAGAAACCAAUCAAAGCUUACUAAUAAGGCAUGCAAAGGCUCCAAAGUCUCAAAGCCUGUCUUAUGGCGAGACAGAAGCCAAGCGUGCCAGGAUCUGCUCGACCACGAGAAGGCGAGUAGAAUCCCAAUCCUUGAAGAAUUUGAAGGCAUGCAAAGGCUCACCAAGUCUCAAAGCAUGUCUUAUGGCGAGACAGAAGCCAAGCGUGCCAGGAUCUGCUCGACCACGAGAAGGCGAGCAGAAUCUCAAUCCUUGAAGAAUUAAAGGCACGCAAAGGCUCAUCAAAGUCUCAAAGCCUGUCUUAUGGCGAGACCAGAAGCCAAGCGUGCUAGGAUCUGCUCAACCAAGCGAAGGCAAGCAGACUCCCAAAUGUUGUAAAAAUUCCUAAGGCAUGCAAAGGCUCACCAAAGUCUCAAAGUCUGUUUAUGGCGAGACCAGAAGCCAAGCGUGCCAGGAUCUGCUCAACUAAGCGAAGACGAGCAGACCACCAAACUUUCAAAAAAUUCCUAGGGCGUGCAAAGGCUCCAAAGUCUCAAAGCCUGUUUUAUGGCGAGACAGAAAGCCAAGCAUACCAGGAUCUGCUCAACCAAGCGAAGACGAGCAGACCACUAAAGUUUCCAGUCUUGAUUCGUUUCACUCUCAAUACUAGAAACUGGGGGACUGGUGUUUAGGGAAUGAAAUAGGGUGACCAAGAUAAAUGGGUUUGCUCAUACAUUAUCGUGCUCUCCUCAAAGUAAAAGUGAGCAAAUGGUUGAGCAGAUCAUCUCGACCAGAAUAAUAUGUGGUGACCUCGAGUACAGCACCUCGACCAGGAUGUUAUUGGUCACCUCGACCAGGAAGUCACCAGGAAGCACGUCAUCCGCGAGGCCAAUUUCCUGUAAGAAGCAUAAAGCCAUUCCUGCUGCAUUCUUGCUAAGGGUUGAUUCGAGGAGACCCGGUCAACGACAGUUGGCGAGGCAUGCUCUCCAGCCCGAGAAUCUAGGCACGAAGGCCACGCAACCACCCACGACUACGGAAAUGGGGAAUCCACGUUCGAGAGGUGGGAGGACAACGGACAUAGACUGCGGAAAACUGGGAUUCAGAGGAAGCCUAUAAAAAGGUAGCCAACGAAGGUAAAAGGGUUAGCAAUUUUGAGAUUAGAAGAGAGCUAAAGAAAUUCUAAAGAAGAGAAAACUACGAAAAAGCCAUAAGAUCUGUGGCAAGCGUUCCCCGAACCUUCAUAUCUGACUUGAGCGUCGGAGGGUUUGCGCCGGGAAAACAACCGGCGUACUCUGACUUGUCUGUGUGCGCAAGAACCUCUGGAGAAGAAGCCUUACGAGGAGACCUUCUGGUCGUGGUGAAGUUGAUCGAGCAGAGAUACUGGUCGUAUAACGAGGAGAACCAGAAUCUCGCAUCAACAUUGAAUAUAACGCUUCAAUGAAUUUUAUUACUAUAUACUAAAAUACUCAACGAUCUUCAUUAAAAAAAAAAAAAUUGCAUGAUUAGAAUGAUUAAAGUUCAUCUAAUGACUAGUUUCAUCAUUGACUCUGUCGAAACACAGCAGCAAUCCAGAAUACAUUUAACACGAGAGGCGCAGACAAACAUGCAUGAUGAAUCUUCCACCAUUAAACCUGAAAUCAUAAAAUGAAAGAAACCAGAUGAGUGUUGUUUGUCUGAAAGCCGAUUCGAGAAAAAUAAUAAUAAUAAUAGACCUUUGUUAAUAAUUAAUACUAGUUGUCACUACCUUGUGCAUCUUCCUCCUCUGUAUCAUCGUCCUCUUCCAAUCACACCGCAAGACCAGUAUAUCUCGAGAAUCUUUACUGCCUUCUCACAGAUCCCAUUGCUGUCAUGUCUUUUUAGAUCUUCAAUCAUUUUGAAUCCCUCAGCCGCCUCCACCAACCGUGCAUAAUGAUUAAAAUAUCUAUUGGCGGUACCCGUAUUCAUUUCAGCUUCCCCGACCUUCAAAAUGUUCUCUAAUCCUUUUAAGCAAAUAGUGACGAUCUCUGGAUCAGCGUAUAGAAGGAGAUCACACAAUGGUUUUAUACACCCCUUUCUCACGAGGUACUUGAUUUGCUCAUGAGUACCACCUGAGAUGGCAUUUGAAAUUGCCCGAGCGGCCUCCUUCUUUGUAAAAAAUUCAGCAUUUUGAAGCAGAUCGACAAGGGGACCAAUUACGCCAGCAUCAAUUACCACCUGAAUCUGUUCCCUGUUACCAGCUGUAAUAUUUGAAAUAGUCCUGCAUGCCUCUUUCGCAAUGCCUGUACACUGAGUCAGGAAACCAUCUCCCUUCACAAUAUAUCUGACAGUCCACAGGGGAGGAGUGAGCCCGAAGGGGAAGGGUAAUGGAUGAAGAAGGAGCUUAACAAGUCGUGGACAGACAUCUGCCUCGAUCACAGCUUGAAUUUUGUCAUUCGUACCAUCAGAUAGACAGGAUAGUGCCUCGCAGGCAUAUCUCAAGACAUCGUUGUCAUUUGAAUGAACAAGUUGUGCAAGCGCAGGAAGAGCUGGCCUCACCUGAUCAAAUGGUGGCUCUGGCUUGCCCUGGCAAAAACGAGACAAUGUCUUUGUGGCAUUUCUUAGCAUUGAAGGCUUAGCAUGCUUAUUUAACUGUGCCAGCAACGGAAUCAAAGCUUUUUCACUGAGCACAAGAUCACGGUCUCUAGGUGAGCUACGAGCAAUAUUUCCCAGUGCCCAAACAGCCUUCUCUCGGACAUCAUCACUUGGAGAAGAAAGUAGCUUCACAAAUAUUGGAACAGCACCGCCGUCGAUCACCACAUUAGUAUUCUCAGAAGCAAUGUUUGUAAGAGCCCGAGCAGCUUCCAACUGAAGCUGCGGAUUGUCUUCCCUAGUAAGAAACUCAACAAAGCGCGCGACAACGCCAGAUUGUAUGACUUUCUCACUUGGUGGUAGGAGCAGUUUUCGGAACCAAGUAGUUGCUUCCAGCUGCAAGCCACUGUCAUCUGACCAAACCCCAGCAAGCAUCCCGGGUAAACUCACCAACUUAUUUUAGGAGCAGGAGCAGGAGGAGGAAAUUAAGUUAGGGAUUUAGAGUGAGAGUGAAGGUGGAGAAAAAGCAAGAGAGGGAAAAAGCUUAUUGUUGAGAAAUAUGUACCUUUUGUAUGGUUGUGUUAAGGUCGUCCUUCCAAGCCCAACAUGCUUCACCAUGCCGCUCCACUUUGUGUAAUUUGGGUGUACUUAAUUUUCCUUCAGAGAAAAUCUUCAUAUCGGGGCAAUCAUCCACCACUAAUCUUUCUAAAGAUGGGAACUUGAAAGCACAAUUGCCAGAGCAGAAGCUUGUCAGGCUUUCUAAGUCUACAAGCUUCAACUCCUUCAAUUCUCUGAAAGUAAUAACCUCAUCUUUUGCUACAACAUCAUCCCCCAGUACUAUUUCUGUUAUCCUAUCGCAUGAUUUUAUCUUCAUAUAUCUAAGUUGCACCAGAGUCUUUGCAAUUAAGGAUGUUAAUACGAUUUUCAAGUUGUUGCAACGCGAUACCACCAUAUUUGUAAGAUUCUGAAAGGAUGUCGACGGUGGCACUAGAUUGACUAAAUGGUCACACCCCUUUACACGUAGAAUAACCAAGUUGUUCGUAACAGAGGACUCCCUUAUCAAAAUGUGCUCCAGAUGAAAUGCUUCUCUUAUUUCUACCCACAUCCCAUUUUCAACCUUCUCAUACGGCAACGAGGCACUAUAUCCUCCUAUUUGGAGGACUUUCAUUGUGUGAAGUCUCUGGAGGAAGUCACCAAGUGAUAAAAUAGUCCGCUCAUCACCCAACGCCACAAAAAGAUAUUUUAGUUUGCAAAGCAAGCCUUCAGAAAAUAGAUAUUUAUUUGUUACUGUGUACUUUGCACGAACUAUCAACUUUUCCAAAUUAGGGAAUACCUGGGAGAACGAUCAGAACCCCAAAAAAAAGAAAAAAAAGAAAUACAAGAUGAAUCAAUUGAUAAGAAAUAUAAGUUGCCACUAAUUUAUACAAUAUAUUUUAUUCAAUAAAUCUUAACCUUUAAAAAAAAAUAGUAAUAAUAGUAUGCCUAACAUCUAGAAUAAUUAUGAAUGAAUACUAUACACUAAUCUGUAAGAGAGUUACGUUGCUGACAAUUUGAGUUUUAGUAAGAAACCAAGCGAUGAAGGCAAAGGCAAUAUAACUCUAAACUCUAUGAUAUAAACUCUCACAGUACAUACAUAAGAAUUGAAAAAUUGAUUAUAAAAUUCUUGUACGUACCCUUUCCGUGAAGAUACUAGUAGUUCUCACCAUGAAUUCAGGACAUUUAGAUAUCCGUAAUUCUUUCAAGGAUGGAAAUUCAAGAAUAUCAAGAUCUCCAGUGCAGAAGCUUGUGAACUUUUCAAGAUCAGACAUCUUCAGAUAUUGCAACUGAGGAAACAUUACAAUAUUUUUCUUCCUUUCUUCUUGGUUGUCCAUAACUAUUAACUCUUCCAAGACAGGACAUCCGACUAUCUCAAUGCAUUGGAGUUGAACAAAGCUACUAACGGUAGAAGAUGAAAAUAGACAUCUUAAAUUCAUACAGCAGGACAGGGUCAAGCGCGUUAAAUUCUGAAUACCACAAGACAUGACUGCAACUUGGUUUUGCCAAAUCCUUUCAACAUUUAUUGAAAGCAAAUGCAACUUCUCUAACUCUGGUAACCGAACCUGCUCGAUCAAAAAAUUAACUCGUUAAUUACAAGCAACAAUGAUUUCUGUUGAUGGACAAAUCAAUAAAAUUACUCUUUCUCUGGUUAUAGUUCUUUUCAGUUUUUCAUACAAACAACCGUUAAUCAAGUUUUCCAAAUUAUUCCUUACUAAAUGUAUAGAUUUAGACGGCGGCUAAUAUAAUUCAUAUUGCAAAUAUUCUUUGAUUGUAACGAAUUUUGUAAUAUUAAAUUUUGGCUGAUUCGCAAUAGGACCUACUAUCCAGCGCGAGCAGUUCUCGUGGAUUUAACUACUGGCACCUCGAUUAUAUAAAAAUUUGGAAUAUUUUCAAAGGAAAUCACAUAAUUUCCCCUUGCAAAUAGUAAUUAUCAUUAAUUGCCGCGGGUUGACAUAUAAUUCUAAGAAAUUAGGCGAGAAGAGUCUCAUCAACAAUCAAUCAGCAGAUAUCACGUUUGGCAGAUCAUCAUGAUUUCCUCAUAUGCUAGAGAAUCAACGUGAUUUCCGCUCAUGCAGGAGCAGGAGUGGACACAUUAUCUUAGAGCAUCCCUCACUGAGAUCUUUUAAAAAAUUUAUAUUAUAAAGUGAACAACAUAUUAAGUAUAGAUUUAGACGGCGGCUAAUAUAAGUUAUAUGUAUUCUAAUGACGUAUAUUAAAGAAAAUGACUAACCAUAAUUUCAAUCAACUUAUUAGUCUAUAUAUAUAUAUAUAUAUAUAUAUAUAUAUAUAAUAUAAUAUAUUCAGUGAUUACAACAUAUUUAGUAUUCCAUAACAUGAAGUUUAUAAUAAUAAUUAUUAUUAAUUCACUUAUUGUGUCAAGAACAUUUUCUUUCUCUAAGAAUGAAUUUGUUACACCCUACUAUACUACGGAUGAAAAAUUUAGAAUCAUUAUGAAAUAUAAUUAUUAAUCACUCUUUGCCAUAUUUGCGACCAAAGAAGAAUAUAACAAAGAAAAGAAACAAAAAUUAUAGAGAAUUAAUGAGACCAUUGACGUAUUAAUAACUGACCUUCCCAGUGAAACGCGUAUUAGAAAUUUGGAUAUUGUCCUCCAAAAUGAUUUGAUGUGACUGCAAAUCAUUAGCUGAUUCCUGUUGUCUCUGUUGACAUUGAGUGUAAACUUAAUUGUGAGCACAAUCUUAAUGCAUAGAUACAAGAUCUUUAAAAAUUAGUAUAAUAAACUUAGCACAAAAUCCAAAUUUGAUAUUUCGGAUUCCAUGAUUAAGAUUUUUUAAAUAAAAAUUUAAUAGAGUUAAUUUAAAAAUAAAAAUUAAAUAUGAAAAAUUAGAUUUGCAAUUAUGGAUUUAAUUUUGAUAAAUAAUGAAUGUUCUCUUUAUAUUUUUUUUUAAAGGUAAAACAGCGUACAAAGCCCAAAUUCAUUUUUUUAGUCCCUUACUCUCCCAUGAUUCAAACUUGGGUGGUUGUAGGGGGACUGAAAAUAUAUAAGACAGUUAACUUCACUUUUUUUUUUUUUUUUUUGAGAGAAAAGAGAAGAAGGAUAUUACAAAGCACGAAGCUCGUGCAAUAUAAGGGCAAUUAUGGUUUUUUCUUUAAAUUAAAAUGGUAAGAUUCUGAAGCUAAAAGAUUAAAAUAUUAAUUAAAUUGCAAACAUUAAAGAUUUUUUUUCCAAAAUUGGUUGCUUUGAAAAUGAGAAUAAUAUAAUGUUUGAAGACUUUUCAAAAUUAAUUACUGUGAUGCACUAGAAAUUUCUAGCUUUAGUCUAAUGUAUAAAUUGACAAAACGUAUUAGAAUCCCAGGUGAAAAGAACCCUCUCACACCAAUUAUUUAAAUUAGGAAUGAUCAUACCUGUGGCUCUGCCGAACUGAGGGCGAGGCCUGAACCCCUCAUCUCGAGACGCUUGAGAUGGGAAGAGCCCACUUUGACUAAUUCAUUACGAAAAUAAUCGACAUCUUGCUCUUGCAAUCCACAUAACUCUAGGUCUUCAAUUCUCUGCAGUUGCACGACUAGCGAAUCCUUCAAGCGAAUCUGGUCAUAUAGCUCGAGUCUGAAUUCACGACCCCAAAUGCCGGUGCUCCCCCAAAACCGACCUCCAAUGCUUAUUCUGUACCUUUCCAGCUUCUCCAAGAACAGGCCUCUGGGCAGAGUGCUGACGUCAUGGGUGUCUAAUUCCAAAGAGGUCAAGUUGGGCAAAUGCUUCAACUCCUCAAGGCUUGCAUUCUUAACCCCUUCCACCUCCACCUCCCAAUUAUGAAAGCUUUUAGGACCUAUAUAUAGUUCUUCUAAAUGGGAUAAUUUUGACAGUAUAUUUGGUGGAAUAACUUCUGGUCCCCAACAAUCCCUCAAAUCAAGCAACUUUAGCCAAGUCAAUUCACCUACUUCUACCGGCAACUUAUUAAUAUAAGAACCUCUUAAGCAAAGGAUUUCUAGUUUCUUCAAGCCUCCUACAACACUUAUAUCGGGCAAGAUGAAGCCGCACAAACUCAGUGUUCGAAGGUUUGACAGGAGACCAAGUGAUGAAGGCAGUGACCGUAGAAACAUGCCAGUCAAGUUGACAACUCUGACCUGCAUCAUCCUCUCGAAAAAGUUGUUUGGAAUUGUUAAUGAUGAAAAUUCCCAACGAUCAGCACGUAUAAAAAGAAGUUCGAGCUGAGGACAUUCCAGUACUUCAGGAAGCAAAUUAUUCUUGAUACCAUGUAAGACGAUUGAAGUGCAAUGCUUUAUUGCACUUCCGUCUGACCAUUCCCUGCAACCAUCAACCUGCUCAUUUGUAGCAGUAAACACAUUUCGUUCAGUAGAUGCAAUUGAUAUGGCGACAUCGCGAACUACAUCAUGCAUAGAAAACAACUCUUUCUUCUGGCUUAUAUGGUCAAGCAACAUACAAGAAGCUUUGAGUGUGCGCACCAAUGUAUGUACUCGAUUUCGUGCUACUUCAAUCUUAUUCACACCUUGAAAUAAACCCAAUCCCAUACCACACAUUAACAAGUCAUCAAUAGAUGUUAUGGCUGUAUAUCCUAUUAGCAAAAAGAUGUUCUUGAGAUCAUCCCUUCCUAGUUUAUUGUAGCUCAACUCGAUAGCAUUAAAUGCGGCUGGCUGUACAUCCUUAAAAUUCGAUGAAGAAGGCCUUCUUAGCUGUUCCAAUGCAUCCUUCCAUUCACGUAUGCUCUUGCUCCUUAAUGCCCUUGCAACCGUCACAAUGGAAACUGGUAGACCUGCACAUUCCUUUGCCACAUCCCUUGCUACCUCUUUCAAUUCAUUAUCUUCAACAUAAUCACCUGCCAUCUUCGUGAAUAGACUCCAAGCUUCAUCUUCUUUUAAAAAUCCAACUGGGAAAUUUUUUCGAGACUCCAUCUCUCCAGACAAUACUUCUUCACUCCUUGCCGUGAACAGCACUUUACAUCCCAUGUGAUCAUCUCCGUGAGGAAUUCCGACAUCCAACAAAUCAAGAUUUUCCCAAAUAUUAUCCAAGAUUACAAGGAUCCUCUUCUCUUUCUUCAGUCGAUCAUAGAGUCUUCUUGCCCUACCCGAUUCACUCUCCUCAUCAAAUUUUAGACCUAGUUUAUCCGCCAUUUCUCCUUGAAUCUUUCUUACGUCUCGACUCUCAGACACCUCAGAAAAAACCACCUGAUCGAAAAGUUUGUCACACUCUGCUUUUCUAGCAACUUCUUUAGCUAGCGUCGUCUUUCCGAUUCCGCCCAUUCCAUAAAUCAAAAGCAUGUUGACAUUGGGAUUUUUUAAUGCAUCAAUUAUUUCAUUCAGAAUGGACGUUCUUGAUUCAAAGGCCUCGAAGUCUUUGUUAGGCAUAAGCAAGGUAUCCUCCGGAAUGAUGCUGUAGGAAAUACUAUUAACUGGUCUAGCGUCCAGGACUUUGACAACAGCCUCCUUCUGCCUCUCUGCUUCCUUGCUAAGUCGAGGGCGGGUCUUCAAAUUAGGACAUAACCCCUUGAAACAACGCUUAUUUGCAGUGGCUUCAUCUUCUGUAAAUUUAUCUGCCUCUUCAAUGACACUGUUGGCCGUUGCAAGCCAAUUCUCAACGUUCUCUUCAAUCUCUUCUCCUUUUCUUUUAGCCUCAUCAACCUGGUGCUCUGUAUUCACCCUCUCAGACUUUAGUUUCACAACUUCAGUGUUGAGAUUCUGUAAGUUGCUCGUGUACUUACUCUCACGCAAAUAGCUAAUUUGGCGAUAUGCGUGAGGAGCCAAGCACUUUGCAACUUCUGAAGCAAUAGUAAGAAUGAUUUCAGCCAUCUUCAGUCCUUUGUCCUUGUCUCUCUAUCUCUCUUUUUCUGAAUUUUGGAAAAACAAUUCAACCAAGUGACCACAACAAGAUGGAACAAAAUAAAAAGGAAAAAAAAUACAAAGAGUGGAUGGAGAAUAAAACAGAGACAGCGGCACAGCUAGACACAACUAGAUAGAGAACAGAGGAAAACCAAAUAACAAGACUUAAGAUUACAACAAACAGAGGCCAAGUAUUGUUGAGAUCAGAAGAUGGAAAAUUCAAAAGAGUUGAUGGCAGAUGCUGAAUAACAGAACAACAAUGAACGCAAUAAACAGAAGCAAAGUGUGUUUGUGAUCGACAGACGGAAGUAAGGAAAAGCGGUUGUUGAUUGAAAAUGAAUGAAUGCAAAGAAAGACUGAUGUUAAAAAUUGAUGUCAAUAGCGAAGGAAUAAUUGAACUUUCGCUGAAUUAUUGUUUGUGGCUUCUUUUACUGUUUAUUUGUGGGUCAUGUCUU